ACAGCAGCUUCAGUUUAUCAAACUCAAUCAAUUUUCUUUCUUAACAAAAUUCCAAAGAUGUGUAGCAUUUUUCAGAUCGCAUGCGAUGGUGCUCUUUUCAAUCGUUGCUUGGAUUGCUUUCUUGGAAAAGCAGCAUACCUUCGUAACCUCCCAGAUAAUCUUGUAGACUUGGAGACUGAACUGGGAAGACUAAUCGCAGCAAAGAACGAUGUGAUGAUGAGGGUUGUCAAUGCUGAACGGCAACAAAUGAGAAGGCUGGGCCAAGUGGAAUGGUGGGUUUCGAGGGUGGAUGCUGUUAAAACUGGAGCCGAUGAACUUAUCACAGACGGCUCUGAAGAAAUUGGCGAAUUAUGUGUUGGAGGCUACUGUUCCAAGAACUGCAGGUCAAGCUACAAGUUCGGAAAACAAGUGGCUAAAAAGCUACAAGAUGUGAAGGCUUUAAUCGCCGAGGGAGUUUUUGAGGCGGUGGCUACUGAGGUGGUGCCCGAGAGAGCUCCGGAACCUGUAGCAGAUGAAAGACCCAUUGAGCGAACAGUAGUAGGCUUGCAAUCACAACUUGAACAAGUCUGGAGAUGUCUUGUAGAAGAAUCAGUGGGAAUCAUUGGCCUAUAUGGUAUGGGCGGUGUUGGUAAAACCACACUGUUGACCCAUAUCAACAAUAAAUUUCUUGAGAGUCCCACCAACUUUGAUUGUGUGAUUUGGGUCGUAGUUUCAAAAGACCUGCGACUUGAAAAAAUUCAAGACGAUAUUGGGAAGAAGAUAGGUCUGUCUGAUGAUUCAUGGAAGAAUAAAAGUUUUGAGGAGAAAGCUGUAGACAUCCUGCGGAGUUUAGGAGAGAAGAGAUUUGUAUUGUUGUUAGAUGAUUUAUGGGAGCGGGUUGAUUUAACAAAAGUGGGCGUUCCACUUCCCGGACCACAAAAUACUACCUCAAAAGUCGUAUUCGCAACCCGUUUCAUCGAUGUUUGUGGUAGCAUGGAAGCUGACAGGAAGUUCCUAGUGGCGUGCUUAUCAGAAAAGGAUGCUUGGGAACUGUUUCGAGAAAAAGUUGGGGAAGAAACUCUUCAGAGUCAUCAUGAUAUCGUUGAGCUAGCCCAAAUUGUGGCCAAAGAGUGUGGUGGUUUGCCACUCGCACUUAUUACUAUUGGUCGAGCUAUGGCCUGCAAAAGGACAGCCGAGGAGUGGAUACACGCAGUUGAAGUGCUAAGAAGAUCAGCUUUUGAGUUUGCAGGUUUGGGAAAAGAGGUGUAUCCUCUUUUAAAGUUUAGCUAUGAUAGUUUGCAGAAUGAGACGAUUAGAUCUUGUUUCUUAUAUUGUUGUUUAUAUCCCGAAGAUUAUGGAAUUCUUAAAUGGGACUUGAUUGAUUGUUGGAUUGGUGAGGGAUUCUUAGAGGAAUCUGACAGGUUUAGUGCAGAAAACCAAGGUUACUACAUUGUGGGCACUCUUAUUCAUGCGUGUUUACUAGAAGGGAUAGAAGAUGAUAGAGUAAAAAUGCAUGACGUUGUUCGUGAUAUGGCUCUAUGGAUAGCUUGUGAAAUUGAGGAGAGGAGACACUUUUUGGUUUGUGCAGGCGCUGGAUUAGAACAGGCACCGGCUGUUAGAGAAUCGGAAAAUGUGACAAGAUUGUCAUUGAUGCAAAACCAAAUUAAAAUUCUGUCGGAGGUUCCCACAUGCCCUGAUCUCCUCACUUUAUUUCUUGACUUUAAUGAGGAGUUGGAGAUGAUCGCGGAUGGCUUCUUCCAAUUUAUGCCUUCUCUCAAAGUUUUGAAGAUUUCAAACUGCGGGAAUUUUACUUUUCAAUUACCUUUGGGGAUGUCAAAGUUGGGUUCACUAGAACUUUUUGAUAUUUCACGCACCGAAAUACAAGAGUUACCAGAAGAGUUAAAGUUGUUGGUAAAUCUGAAAUGUUUGAAUUUGAGGUGGACAAGCAAGUUAAUUAGAAUUCCACGGCAACUAAUAUCAAAUUCUUCAGGGUUACGUGUGUUGAGAAUGUUCGCUACUGGCUAUGAAUGUUUUCAUGAAGCACCAGAAGACAGCGUUUUAUUUGGUGGGGGUGAAGUUUUAGUACAGGAAUUGCUCGGUUUGAAAUAUUUAGAGGUAUUGGAGUUGACCUUGGGAAGUUAUCAGGCUCUCCAAAUCUUUUUGAGCUCAAAUAAGUUAAAAAGUUGUAUUCGAUCUCUUUUCCUCCAGUUGGCCGGAGAUACAAAGUCGAUUAUUGAUGCUGCGGCUUUCGCAGAUCUAAACCACCUCAAUGAAUUAUAUAUUUAUGAAGGUAUUGAGUUGGAAGAAUUGAAGAUUGAUUAUACAGAGAUAGUACGAAAAAGGCGGGAACCUUUUGUUUUCCGCAGCCUUCACCGUGUUACCAUAUUUAGUUGCGGUAAAUUGAAAGAUGUGACAUUCCUCGUUUUUGCUCCAAACCUCAAGUCUCUUGAGCUAUUGCAAUGCGAUGCUAUGGAAGAAAUAAUCAGCGUCGGAGAAAUUGCUGAGACUCCUGAGAUGAUGGGACACAUAAGCCCUUUUGAAAAUCUCCAAAGUCUUCAUUUAUCGUAUUUACCAAUUUUGAGGAGCAUCUACUGGAAGCCAUUGCCUUUCACUCAUCUCAAAAAAAUGGAGGUACGUAGAUGCGAUCAGCUUAGAAGGCUUCCGCUCGAUUCCAACAGUGCAACAGAGCGUAAUGUUGUUAUUCGUGGAUACACACUCUGGUGGAACCGACUUCAAUGGGAGGAUGAAGCCACUCAAAUUGCUUUUCGUUCCUGUUUCCAACCUCGUUCCUGAGCAGUGGUCGCAAAAUUUGAUUUCUGGUGAGUGCGUUUGUCUUUUAAAAAGAAGAAUUUAAAAGAAAUUUAUUCUUGUCGUUUUCUUCACUGUUUUUAUUUGAUUUCUGGUUAGUUUCUUUCUCUCUCUCUCUCUCUUUGUCUUCUGCAAAUCACAAUUAAAUGUUGAAUUAAUGGAAUUGAUGCUCUGGUUUUUUACUUUUUGUUGUCAAAUUUUGCCCUGUUCUAUCUUCUUAGCGAUUUAAUUUCCUGUCAAAAGACGAGCGAGAAGAACAUAUAUAUGACUUAAACCAAUUGAUACUUUAUUUAUGUGCAUUGUAUGUAAUAAAUAUUAAGUAUACUUUAUUUUUGCCCUGUUCUCUGUUUUUAUUUCAGUCUCUCUCUCUCUUUCCUGUCUUCUGCAAAAUAUAAUCAAUUAUUUUCAAAAUAUCAUUGAUGAUUUUUCUGCUCUAAUGCUAUGUAAAUAGUAUGUUAAGUAAAACAUAAUCAAUUAUUUGUGUUUUAUCUCUAAUUAGAACAUCAAUCAGUUCAGUACCUCACAAAUAAUUCGCAAUAUCUACAAAAUACUAUAAUGGCUACAAAACAAAUCCUGCUUGCAAAUUGUCAAGGAUACCUAUCCGUUCGCUUGACAAGUCAUUUGAAUAAAUAUUGUUCACAUUCCUUACUCUAUCAAUUAUCCAAAGCACCAUCAAUGGUCCUCAACUUUAGUUUGAAUAGUAUACAUGCCAUCACCAUUACCAAGAAUCAAGCAUGGAAGAGUCAUUCUAUAGAGUUAAUCGAAGCAAGGAAUGAUGUAUCAGAAAAUAUUUGGUGGAGAAUUCAGCACAAACAUAUUUUGGAUGAUCAGAAUCAAUAAAACCUGGUGGUUGCGCCAUAUAAACAUCUUCGGAAAGCUGACCUUGAAGAAAGGCGUUAUUGAUAUCCAAUUGACGAAGAGGCCAGCCAUGACUAACAUCAAUACUAAGAACAAGCCGUACUGUGGUGGACUUAACAACUGGACUGAAAGUGUCAUAAUAGUCCACACCAGGCCAUUGAUUGAACCCUUUGGCAACAAGAUGAGCUUUAAACCUGUCAACAGAACCGUUGGAAUGUCUUUUAAUACAAAAAUCCAUUUGCAGCCAACAAUAUUGGAAGGGAUGGGAGGUGGAACAAGCUUCCAUGUCCCGUUACGAACAAGAGCAUCAUACUCUUCUGACAUAGCUGGACGCCAGUGAAGAUUUUUGAUAGCUUGCGUCACAGUUGUAGGUUCACAAUCAGAAGAAGGGCUAAAAUGAGCACGGAGGUUAAGUUUUUGUAACGGCUUGUGAAUCUUAUUUUUAGCUCGGGUAGUCAUAUCAUGAUGACUUGUGGGGCAAUGAUCUAGUGGAGUUUAGGAAGAUGAUUGAACAGGAAGUGAAGAAGUGCUUUGUGUAGAGGUAGAAGUAGGUUGGGAGGAUUGCUGCGGAGAUGUUACCGGUAGAGAAGAAGGAGCAGUACACGGUGGCAACUCCAGAGGGCCCACAAUAGAUGGAGUAGGUGCCGACAAUGGAGUACUAGGAAAUGAAACAGGAAGAAUUGGUGGAACACUUGCGUAAUUAGGAGUGGUAGAUGAGCUUGUAAUGAUUUGUAUGGAAAAACAAACUCUACAAAUUUAACGUGACGUGAAAUAAAAAUUCAACCCGAUUGCAUAUUUAAGAACAUCUCAAAUGAAUUGCUUACUGCUAUCAUCAUCAUUAUUGUCUAUAUAAUAAUGGAUCUUUAUUAUAUAUAUGUUUCCACUAAAAUAUAUUUAAUUAUUCUUUAUUUUUCUAUUGUUGCGUGUAAGAUUUAUUUGAGUUCUAAGUUAUAUCAAUACAAAUGUUAUCUUAUCCAUAAAAAGUUAGAUCCAACAAUUAUGAAAAUUACUAUAGAGUUGCUUUCAAUUAUUUUUUUAAAAUACCAGGAGUAAAUAAUAAUUAGUUCAAAUGGUGGAGACUAAAAUGCGUUCACCUUUAUUUUUUAUCUGUUAUUUACUUUUGUCAUUACAUUAAUGCACAUGCUAUACAUUUGAGACAUUCCAUUAAUUGCCAAUUAUGUAUGUGAGAUAGUAAUUUAAAUUAAAAAAUAAAAGUGAAAGUUAAUCCUAUGCAAUGUGAAUAAAUUUCUUUCCUUUUUCCUUUACUCUUUUUAUUUGACAAUAAAGUUUCCAUCUAUCAUCUAUCAUCUAUGUACACAAAAUUUCUGCAACAAGUACAAAACAUAAAAAUAUAUGAAUAUUAAGGGAAACACGCAGAAGUUCAUCAUUUCAAUGUUCAGUAUUACCAAUUUUGGCAUUAAGCUUGUACGAAUAUAUUCUACUUCGAAAGCAAAAUAUUAGACUCGUGAUUUUAAUUCAUUCAUUAUCUCUCAUUUUAAUCCCAAAAUAUUCAAGAGUAUCCAAGUUACCAUAAGACUUCAGAGGCUCGAGCCUUAGCCAGAGAUGGUUAAUUGAUAGACUAUGUGCCUGGGUCGAGCACUGGAAGCCUGCAAUGCAGACUGAUUGAUUUAUCAGUUUAACGUGUGCCAGGAAUGAAGAACUGGAAUAUCACCGUCAAGCAAGCACCCUGUGGAGCAAUACCAAAGAAUGCACAAUCUGGCUUUGCUAGGUGACCCUGGAGGCUUUUUGAAAAGUGCUUCAUGCUCACUUGCACAGAUUGAGCAUCCCCUCUGGAUAUUGCCCUCUCUGAUCGAGUCUGAGCACUCAAAUUUCGGUCCUCAGAUGGAGCUACAGCUUUCUCUCCAAUAACCAACAAUUUUCUAAACUCAGCACCUAGUGUGAUCAGAGUUGUUGAUAUUUGCAAAUGGAGAUCCCCAUAUUUGCAAAUGGAGACAUUUAACAAAUCACCAACAUGCUUCAUCCGGUCCACGAAAUUCUGCAACUGAUUCAAAUCUGGAACCUGAACCAGAGUCGGAGGUAUAUCUUGAGCCAUAUCUAAAGCAGUUUGAAGUUCAAGACCUUGAGCCCUUGACAAUGGUUUUGAAAUUGGAACAUCUUGGAUUACUGCAGACUUGUACCCCUUGGUUUCAAAGGUAAGGAAAGGCAUUGCUUGAGUACAAUUUGGAGGCAGCUUCUUCACCAAUUUUAUUUGGAGGCAAUUGGCAGCGGAUCCAGCUGCACCAAUUUCAGAGCAACUACUGACACUACUUCGAACAGCACACUGACGAAGUGAUAUGUCUACGGCAAAGGCAAUGCAGUCCUCAUUUUGGCUUGAGAUGCAGUAAUCAUCGAAGAGAGUUUCCUUGUGAAACUGGGCAACACAUUGAAUCCCUUCGCCACUGAGAAGGUUGUGGAGGAAGUAAGCUGUCUCUCUAGUGAGGAAGAGGUGGCAUACCUUCCCCAUUUUGUCUAGGGCAGGUAGGAAUCUUUUUUCUAAGAGAUUUACUUCAUUCUCUGUGAGAAAUGCUUUGAACUUCAUCCCUCUGUCUCUAUCCUCACUUAUCAGGAAAUAAGUUGAAAGCACUAUGAAGAGAGAGAGAGAGAGAGAGAGAAUUAAGAUAUAUAGACAAGAAAAUAAUUAGACGUUGAUCUUACAAACUAAUACUUCAAGCAGUAUCCUAGAAAGCUAAAAACUGCAAGAUGGCUUGAAAUUUGAAAAGAGCACAUGGUUUUCCUCCUUAACUUGAGAAAAUGUUUAAUAUAGUGCACCUUACAGAAGCAUUUAAGCAAUUAGAACUUUGCACAAAAACAUCAAGAAGACUAAACAAAUCAGAUGCAGUGUAUUUGUCCAAGCACAAAUUGCAUUUUGUCCUCAACUUUAAUAUUUAUUGAUGAGAAUCAAUACAGGUCCCUCAUUUGUUAUAGAAAGCUUUCUUGUAGUCUCACCAGUUAAUUCACAGGUCUAUAAUCAUCUUGCAAAGUUAAGGGCAUUUCUUUCGAUCUAAAGUCUUUGCAUCACCACCUCAUCACACGCCAAGCCAAUAUUCCAUUUACCUCUACAACAAAAAGUUUUUAAGUAAAUAAUCCUAAUGCACGCAGCCGAAUAAAAUGCAGUAAGAAUAUUCAACUUAAAAAUCUGAAAGCCAACUUGGUGAAUUGCCUCCUUAGGUGAAGUUCCAUGCUUUACUAUAGUUGACAGAACUCAGCAAAAGCUUCCAUACAACAGAUUUUGAAAAUGAUGAUGCCAAUAGAUACUCAUUCAAUCCAUUGAAACUCCAAAGGUUCAUUGUUCAUAGAAGUUUACAGAGUUUUGGUCAUCAAAUAGCUCAGACCUAAUCCCAAACAAAAAACGAGUGAAAAUUAGAUCACGAGCAGCUAAUUGUAAAUUCUAACUUAACUCUUCAUCUCCUUUGUAAACAAGAAACAAAAUGGAGACACGCAAAAUGAAUAUGGAGAAAAUUUGAACUCAAAUGAAAUGAGGGCACGAAAGCAAACAAAUGGCAUGCACAAAAAAACCAAGCCUCGAUAAAAAACUAAUUAACCAUUAAGAAAAAAAUUGGUCAGAGAAUGAACUCCAAAUUCAGGAGUCAAGCAAGAAGCUUUCAUUAUUUCAGAAGCUCCUGUACAAAUUAAUAAGUUAUGCUCUUUGGAAGCAAACCUAAAUUCCAAGAGAAACAGAACCCAAAAAAUUUGCAAUUAUACGCAAAGGAAGUGAAGCACAGGAUUCUAUCACACAUAGGAAUUGUAUAACAAGAGAUCGAUAUAUCGAAUUAGAAAACUCAAUUCGAAUUUGUGUCAAAAAUCAAAAUUAGAAGAUUUCACAUUUCGAGAGGAACAAGCAACAGAUGAAGUUCAAAAUUUCAGCCAUAACAUGCUAAAAAUGCUACACUUAACGGUUCAUUUUCAUGGAUUUUCUCGGGAAACAAACAGAAAAUUACGGUUUAGAGAGUUGACUGACCUUUUGGCUUUUGAAAUUGACCAGAUCGCGCGCCAAAUUGGAAGAGGGAAAGUGAAAGCGCGAGUUUUAAUAUGGGUAUUAGAUAAGGAAAUUUUAUUAGGUUGCGAGGGUAAAAAAGGAAAGAGAUAUCAUUAUUUUAUUAUCGAUAAUUAUUAAAUUUUUUUCCAAAAAAAAGAACAAGCAAGGAUUUUUUAUUGUCAUCACUAAGUUAAAAAAAAUUGUUUCAAAAUUACUUGAGUCAUAUCCAAUGGACCAACAAAGUAAUCGUUUUUAUUUUUAUUGAUUUUUGCAGGAAAUUAAUAACUUAAAAAUACUGAAAGCUACUGUAAAAAUUUUUAUUAUCAACCUCAUAAUUUUUUUUUUUUGGGGAAGAGAAUUCAAACUUUUUUUUUAUGAAUAUCGCUGUUUCGUUUGAGUUGGAUGUGAAUUCAAAUCCAAAUAUUCUUUGUUUUUCAAUUUUGAACUCAAUUUCUUUUUCUCAAGAAUGUUAUGCAGAAAUAAUUUUUACUAAAUCUUUUUUGAUGAAUUGUUUAAAUUAAACAAUUGGAAUAAGAAUUGUAACGAUUUAUCAUAAGCGUGCUAAUAUGAUAACUUGUUUUACGAAGGAUUAAUUAAUCAAUUAAUAUUAAAUUAUAUAUUAGUCAAUUAGAUAUGUGUUACAUUUAUCAUGUUUUGUAGGUGAUAGUACAUCAUUUCUAAAAGAAUAUAGUACGUUAAAAUAUUAUUUUAAUGAAGAAAAUUUUAUUAUUUUAUUAUUAGGUGACACAAUAAUAAAUGGAUUUCUGUAAGAAUUGAGAUUCUUGAUAUAAUUAUUACAUAAGGAGAAGUUUAGUUGGUUCAAUUUUGACGUGAUAAGAAGACAACACAGCACAGAAAACCCAAAUUGCCACUUCCACUAAUAAAAGAUACCUGUUUGAAAAGUAAUUAUAAACUAUCUUCUUUGUGUUAUUUCUCAAAACUUUUGUGGCACAAAUGUUAUUUCCAUUGACAACAGUACGAAAUACCACCCCUUUCACUUGAGCAGGAGCAAAGCAAAGGUAUGAUGAGCUAUCUCUGUAUAAUUGAAACGCCAUUACUAAACGAUUCUUGAUGAUGGGAGCCACCGUGCCAGCUUUGUCGCUGAUUUGCAUGAUUUAUUAGUUGUCCAGAUGGCGGAUUUUGUACUGUUACCUUCGUUUCAUUCUUCAGAGCCAUGUACUGUUCUAGGAUACCAGAGAAACCAAGGUGGCAUUGAAGUUGCCCUGGUGGUUAGUUUUCCGAUCAUUUUUUUAUUCAAUUAUUUAUGUUUUUAGAAAAAUGUAGGAAAUAUGUAGAAAUGUUGACAGCUAUGAUUUUGAAACUUUUGCCUAAAAUUGUUAUCAUUACUUGUUGUUUCUUAUUUAAAGAGAAAUUCUAGAAACAUGAAAUGAUUAUUCUACGCUUGUUUUAAUAUUGUGCUAUGAAGAUUACGAAGGUUUGAUUAUAUGUCACUAUCAAUUGCCUUAAUCGUUUGUCGUAAAUCAAUUAAGCAUUUUGAUGCGAAUGAUUCCCUAUUAAAAAAUUCAAGUCAGAGCUGAAUUGCAAAGUAGUUAGUCGUGCUUGCAAUUCAAAUUAAGUAUUGUAUUUUCUCCCUGAUUUGGUUGAUUCAACUAUGUGCAUUUGCUUAUGAACGUUGCAGUAUAGAAAUCGAAAUAUCUUGUCUUUUGCUAAGCCCAGAAGCAAAUUCUUUGUAUUCUACUCAUCAGUUUUCUUCAUUCUCUUUGUUGAAAUUUUAUCUAAACAGCGGUUUCUUCGAAUUUAUGCCUUCGCUUACUCUUUUAAAUUUUAUCCAAACAACGGUUUUGAAAUUGUUUUCACUACAAUACCUUAGUCUUUCAGAUGCUCCCGUCACUGAGUUGCCAGAAGAGCUAAAAGCCUUGGUAAAUCUUAAGUGUUUGAACCGGAGUACACAAAUUAUCUCUCUACAUUUCCAAAGCAAUUGAUUUGUUACUUUUCGAUGCUACAUGUUCCGCGAAUAUUCAGUUGUGGUUAUCUUGUUCAGAUACCAGAAAAUAGCGUUAUAUUUAGUGGUAAUGAAUUCUUGGUUUGGGAGUUGCUUAGUUUAAAACGUUUAAAUGUAUUAAGCAUCAUCUUGAAAAGUUUUUCUGCUGUCCAAAAACUUAUGAGCUUCCAAAAGUUUCAAAGCUGUACACAAUGCAUGGAGCUUGUAGACUGUGAUGAUCCAAAGUCAUUUGCCGUGGCAGAGUUGAAGCAUCUUGAAAAACUAGGUUUUUCAAGUUGUGGAAAUUUGGAAGAGUUAAAGUUCUGCUGUGUCGAAGUUGCAAAGGCUCGAGAAUGUUUUCGUUUGAACAGCCCUCACUGAGUUAAGAUGAAGGCUUGUCAUAAAUUGUGGGAAGCGACAGGUUAUUCAAAUAGAAAAAUUUAUGGAGAUGGAUGUUAAUCUUAAGGUUAUUCAAUUAGAAAAAUUUGAAUAAAAUUUAUGGUAAGUGCUUUUCCAUUUAUUGCAUAUUUAUAUCUAAUUUUUAUUUUCCUUUAUUGUUAAAUUUUGGUCUCUAUUUGUUGUUGUAUGGUGGCAUUCUUGUACAAUUAUUAGCUUUUCAUUUCUCUUCUCACAUUAACUGCCCUUCUGAUCAUGUAGGAUUUGCUGAUGCAAAGAGUCAUAAUUUGGGAUACAAAUGUAAGAAUUAGACAGAUGACAUGUUGUUUUGAAGCUCUCAAAGAAGGACUAAUUAUGUCAUUGAAAGCCUCCAAUUUUGUGAUUGGUUUCUUUUUAUUUUAUUUGUUGUUUUCUCUAUUUUCAGAUCACUUAAUUGUUAGUUGUUGUAAUGUAAUGUUUUAGUAUAGCAAAUUAUAUUCGGCCAAGACAGUGAUAGGAGGGCACAUUGUGCAUGCACACUAGUGGAUUUGGCAUGCCAAAUCCAAUUAGGAUGGAUAACACUUUAUAAGCAUUAGGCUUCUCUCAUACCUGAGUAAUAUAGAAUAUGUUUAUAAGUUGUGAAUCACCCUUUACAAGUGUUAGGCUUCUGCUAUACUCAGUGAUGUGAAAUAUAUUUAUAAGCACUAAACUUCUCCCAUACACUUUAUGUUAAUAAUAAUAAUAAUAAUAAUAAUAAUAAUAAUAAAAUAAUAAUAAAUAAACCCAUUUUAACAGACUCUUUUUUCUUUUUCUAUAUGAACAAAUGCAUUCUUCAAAGCAACUGUGGGGAGAAGAAGUGAGUAGAGAAGAACUGAGCCCCUGUCAUUCCCCUAAAACCUCACCAAAACCUCUCUUGUAAGCUUCUCGGAUUUUCUUUCUAUAUUUCUUAGGAACUCAUUUUUUAUUGAAUCACUUAUUUUGCAUGCUGCAUUUUUUGGUUGUCGUAUUUGUGUAUUAUCUUAUCUGGAAUGCUGUUAUGAUUGAUGGAACAAGUAAUCGAUUUUUGGUCUAAUGGAAGUUGAUUUAUUUAUUUAUUGUUGUUUUUAUUUGAAAUUAUGUACAAUUGUAUUUCAUUCAUUUCUCUCUCUUUUGCUUUUUUCCCCCCAUAUAUUUGUUAUGUAUAAUUGCGUUUCAUUUAAUAUUGAUCAUACUGUAGGUAACCAUGUGAUUGUAGAUGGGGAUUUCGAGUUUGUUGAAUAUUCAUGUAAGUGAAGUAACCGUCACAAUACUAGUGAAAUUGGGAGCUUUAUUCAUGAGUUUGUGGUUUUGAAAAGUACCACAGUUCAACUGGUGAAGGCUCCGUUUUGGGAUUCUUCUUUUUCUAGGCUGCAAUUAGGAUAUGUACAUGAUAGACAAUCUUUUGUUGGUUUAGCAUAUCUUCGCUGAUUUUGUCUUUUAUUCCCCAAUUUUAUAAUUACACACCAUGAAUGUUGGGUGAUUGUAUAGAAAAUUUGUGUUAUAACAAAAACAUUGUGAAGGAGUUUCCGUGCUAAUAGUUAGUGGCUUCUGUUUUAUUGGCAUUGAUUGGGUAGAUUACGUGUUACAGUGAUUCAAUUUGUGUUCCAAACUUUGCUUUAAUUUUCUGUUUUCCCCAACUAUUUAUGUCAAAUUUAAAUCCAGAAGCAUGUGCUGAUUUUUUCUUUUUGUAUUAAUCUGUGAAGUUUAUUUGGAAUGGAAGUAACUGGGUCGGGUCUAAUGGAUUAAAUUAUGACAUUGAGGGGAAGGCACUAAAAGGGUUUGCUUGACACAUUUGGUUCUGUGUUUACUCUGCAAGAAAUAACUUUUGCUUAUUGCAAUGCAGGGGGAAAUCCCGAUUUGGCUGGUGAAUUUCUCUGCAACAAACAGGCAAACACCUCAACAUCUUCUGUCCAUACUUCUGCUGGGGAGGCAAGGGGUAAAGAGUCUUCAAAAUCAUCAAAUAGUUACAUCUCUGAGAAUUCAUUUUAUGGAAAUGGAAAAUCUAGAGUUUCUAAUACAAAAUGGCAUCUGGUAUCAGGACGUACCGUUUCAAGUUUUCUUGGUAAAGAUUAUGUUAAACCUGCACAGCCAGCUAAUGGCACUUUUCUGGCAUCAAAGCCAUUGAAGUUGGAUCCAAGGGAGUUUCGCAUUUCUGCACUUUCAGAGAAGAAACUAAACCGACAAUCAAAGGAUGACCAUUUGCAGAAGGAUAUGGAAGAUUUUCUUUUUAAAUUGCUAGGAGAAGGGUUCCAGCUGUACAGGGAUGUGAUUCAGGAGGUUCAUGGUAACGUCUUAAAUAUAUUGAUGCCAAUUUAAUACAUAUUGUCCUUUUCAAUGUUCUUUCUUUCUUUCUCCUCUUUUUAUUAUUCUUCUUCUUCUUUUUUCUUUUCAUGUGCAUGUGAUCACUAAUUUGGUAUUAUUCUUGACUUGCAGAUAGUUGUGGAUAUGAAAUGCAAAAGGUAAGGGCUAUAUCUUCUUGAUGGAGGCCUCUGAUUUUUUAAAUCGCAUUUUCCUUUGUGAUUGAUAUAUCAUACCAAAGUCAAGUCUUAAAUACUGCUGUCAUAUGUUAAGGUUCAACUUCCAUUUUGAUUAACGUCGAUUUGCUACUGCUUCCAAAAGUGAGAAUGAGAUACUUUGGUUAAUUUCAGUAGUUGAACUCAAUGGAGUACUUUAUUUAGAUCUUCAUGGUUCAAAGGCCUGAAAAAACUUGCCGGUAUUUGCAAAAUGACAUCUGUGCUUUUAUUUAGACUUAUUAUUAAAGACAACAUUUUAUUUCAGCCAAAAAUGUUUGUUUCAAUUAAAGACUUGAACCAUUUUCAUUUAACCUGAUUGUGAUGCUUUACAUUAUGCAUGUUCCUCUCAAUCAAUAAAAGUUGAGGUCAUGAUUUUAUAUUUCUAUUUUGUAACUUGAAAUAAUUGGUCUGCCUGUUUCUGUUGCUUGAUAACAUGAAUUUUUCCUUCUGAAGUUAAUUUGAUCAAUAAAGUAAUUCUUCGGAGAGGAUAUGCCCAUUCUAUAGUCAUUUUCUUAGCUAACAUGUUUUUUCUUCACUCUUCAAAGCAUGUCUAAACUAAUUGAUCGCUCAGCGGAGACUUUGGGUGAGAAGACAAAAUUUCUUGGUAAAUCCUCUGAAAAGGUAUGCAUAAUUCCCGAGUAUUAAAUAAUCAUUGGUCAUAAUUUUUGUACACGACUCUUGUUUUGGAGAUCGUUAAAAGUGGUUGAUGAUCUAUUUUGUAAUAUCAUAGAGGGAUCAUGAAUUCCUUUUCUUUUCUGUGGCUAGGCAACACUUUCGAGCCAAGCUAAGGAAAUCUAUUUUAGGUAAUGUGAAAACUAGUUGUAGGAUGUAAUAGUUUAUUAUGCCCUGACAAUAACUUUUUGUAUAAUUGUCAGUUUAAUGAAUACAAGAGGAACUCUGUUGGCAAGUUCAUCCAUGAUAGAUGCUAAAAUUAUUUAUGCAUACCAGUUGCCUUAACUAAUUUUUCUCAACACUGGUAUUGAACAGGAAAAUGAAUAUGCAAUUUGUAUAUUGUGCCAUUGUGGAGAAUUUGGAUAUUCUUAUUUAAGUAACAAGGAGAGUAUUUGCCUCAUCUUUAAACAAUGAAUCUUUGAGAAAUGAGGAGUGGGUGAUUGACAGUGUCUUCAUGUAAAUGUUCAUUUAUUUGUAUUUUGAACUAUUAUGAGAAUCUUUGUAUGCCAAAUUAGUAAUACAAAUGUUCAGAUGAUUUUUCCUGUUGAUCAUGCGUGUGUAUCUGCACACAACCAUUGUGUACCACUUUAUUCUGAUGCACAAAUAUCUGUAGUUUAGAAGAAAAGAAAUAAUAAUCAUAUAUUAUUGCUUGGUUCAUGAUUAUUAAAUGAUUAUGGCUUUAGAAAAUCCACAAAUCCUUUGUGUUCAUAUAUGAAUGUGCGAAGUUCGCUAUAUCUUAGAUUACCUUCUUCCAAGAUAACAAGUUCAUAUAUUUUUUUUAAUCCUUUUUCAUCACAGUUGAAUUUCAAGUGUAAGUUUUGUUAUUAAUAGCUGGUUUCCUGUUAUUAUGAUUUCAUAAACAAUGAGAGGAUAUGUGCUCUACUUUUGGAUGGCCUCCACAUAAAAGAAAAUUGCAACAAUUGAAUUCUUCUGGAGGGUAUGGUAUUUAAUUUAUUUUCUCAGCUUGUUGUAAGACUAAUAUAUUUCCUUCAGUACGCACGGCAUGGUGGGAAGGGUUUUUAUUGAAAGAAUUAUGAUAUUUCUUAGACUUUGUUUUGGAAGGGGGUGGAGGGAUUUCUCAUCCAUGUAUGGUUACUUGAUUAGCUUUUGACUGUACUGUCUCCGUCGUGCAAAGGAAAAUCCAAAUACUAACGAAGGGGAAUUGCUUAGGCACCCAAAGGACAGAAAUGAAUUACGGAAGGAGGUUUUUGCUGCUUUAUUUAGUGCUGCUGAGAAAUCUGAUGAAUUUCCUGAAAUUACGGUGAAGACGGAGUGGAGGUCCAACGCAUUAGGAAAGGUGGUGAGUGAACCGCCAGAGGAAUUAGUACCAGAAUACAAGGCUAAUGUGGUGCACUGGCAGCAAGAUGACCAGACCUGUAUGUGCUCUUAUAUUAACUAUAUUGGCUGGAUUUGUGAGUGUGUUCAUUUUUGUGUGUAUACUCACUUUUGUAUUUAUGCAUAUUCACGUGUGUAGGAUUCUCGAUUUCUGCCACUUACUGGAGAACUAGUGGAAAGCUUUAUACUGAUAUAUGUGCUAUAUAACUAAUGGAAACUACAAUAUGAAUAUUUUCUCUCACCUGGAGAGCAGUGUAACUAAUAUAAUUUGUGGCUCUGGAAUACUGAAGAUUCUGCAAUAACUAAUGGAAAAUAUGAUAUGAAUAUUUUUUCUCACCUGGAGAACUUUGUAACAGAUACAUUUUGUGCUGGAAUGUCUAAAGAAUGCUUCAGUUUAUAUCAAAUAUCUUUUAGUUAGAAAAGAUAAAAUUCUCUGAAUCUGAAAGACUGAAACAUUUUGCAUAUUUCGUGAAAGGCAAGUAUCUGUAGAUACUAGCUCAUGCAUUGAGGUAAUAUCAAUGUUAAAGAAAAACAGCAAUAAUUUAUUAUACAGAAUUAGGUUCACUUGCUUUAAAUGCUGGUCUGAUCAACCAUAUCAACCUGUAAUGGUCCUGCAGAAAUAUAUAUACGGGGAGAAACUAGCUAAUUUUCCUUUCACUUAUGGGUUUGGUCUUUUUUUCCCCAAUUUUUCAGCUUUCCUUCUCCUGAAGUAUGUUAAUAAUUGCAGAUAAUGGCGAAGAGGACUGCUUCCAGGCUACCGGCAAAAACUUUGUGAAAGCUUUGGAGUUAAACAGGGAAUUCACUUACUGCUAAGGACAAUUGGUGGCGAGCUAUUUCAUUCAUUUUAUGUCCAUACAUCUAUUUAAUUAUUAAAGAUAAUGUACGCAUUUGUAAAUUUCAGAUUGUGUGUCUCUGAAAAUAACAAUAUUUAAAAUGUCUCUUAAAUUAUUAUAAAUUUUAAUUUACUCUCGAUUUAAAAUGGAACAUGUUGGUGAAAUAUUUUUUCUUCUUAAUAAAAUUGAAAUAAAUUAUGUUAGCAGUAGUUUGAAAUAUUUUAAAGAUGAUUAUUUUAUAAGGGAGUAAUAUGAAAUGAAAUUUACUUUUCAUGCGUGAAAUGUUGAAAAAGGACAAAGCAAGUGUCCCUGCUUUUAUUUUAUUUCAAAGUGGAGUCAUCUCACAUACUUUAGCUCUAUCAUUAGGAGCCGGCUAAGUUACGUUAAACGUAAUUUACGCCAGGCACAGCAAUAAUGACAAGUCCCAUGACUAGUAUUGUUGCUGUGUCUGACGUAAGUUACGUUUAACGUAACUUAGCCAAAGCCCUAUCAUUAAUAUAUAUUUAAAUUUAACACAUGCAUGUGGGUUACUUUUCCGUAAGUUCCUUAAUAUAUAUUUAACACAAAUCAUGGAAGAGAUGGGAGUAUAUCAAGAUGAUCAAAGCAUGAAACAAAAAUAUUUAAGAAGUAAAACACUGAAAAUGGAGAAGAGAUGCAAGCAAAAGAUAUUCUAAAGAAAAGCAAUCUAUCCCCUUUCGAGGGCAAACUUAUCAGGUUUAAGAAAAGUACAUGCUUUGGAUUGGUAGUUGCAGCCUUGCAGGAUAAUUGUUUUUGCCACUAUAUUAGUUGGAGGAGUUGAACCCAGUGAAGAAUGUUAUGGAAGAGCAAAUGAUAUUUCUGAUAGACUCUAUUUGAUUAUGUAGCCUGAAUAGAUGUCUUGUUGAAAGAUAUAUCAGUGCAUUAGUUCAUCCUUGUCUGUCAAUGUGUUUUUAAUGGUUUUUCCAAUUGUUUUUUUUUUUUUUGAAACUGAUUAAGCAUCAGGUUACUGCAUUACACAGAUAUAUAUACAACUGCUAUGACAGCAGGUCAUUACACUGAUAUUUACAAUCAGAUAUAUAUACAUGGGACUUAUAUUAUUACAUUUUUAUUCUAUGAAGUACAUGCCCAUCCCAAAUACCCCUCACGGAGGAGGGAUGUCUCUACUCCACUCGCAUUUCGCAAGGGAGAAAGACGUUUAUAGAAAUCUCCACACAAUUAUGUUUAAUUGGAGGAGGUUGAGUCCGUGGGGACUCGAACCAUUGCCCUCAAAGUCAUGCUUAACUUUGAGGGCAAUGGUCCACCACUGGGCUACAAGCCCAAGUGGCGGUUUUUCCAAUUGUUUAUUGCUAUAGAUUGAUUGUAAAUUGAUGUGAACUUAAUGUUGAAAUAUUUUCUCUUUAGUGGAAUGAAAGUUAAACAUUCAAGAUUAGAUUAUUCAAGGUCCACAUAGUAUGUGUUCCGUUGUGUUGUCUGUAAUUUUGCAUUUAAAUAAAUUUGAGUGCUGCCGUUUCGCUCCCACAAUCUCUCGCCUUUUUUUAAUUUUAAAAAUUAAAAUAUUAAUAAAAAACAAUAAAGAAAAUCGAAUCCUUUAUGUCAUUCCAUCUUUACAACUCUCUCUCACAAACUCCAUCUAACAGACUUCUCUCUUACUAUCUCGGUCGAACAAGACCAGUGACAAUGAUGACACGACCGCCGACGAUGAGAUGGUCAUCGCUAAAGAAUCGGGCCGUGUAUUUUACAAUUUCUUGGUUUGUGACAACAAUGGAAAACUCCUGAAAAUUUUGAAUUUGUAGUCGAGCAAAGGAAGAAGCAAGUUAUCUUCAAAGCAUUUUCCAGUAAUAGCUGAUGAAAUUUAAUACUUCAAGCUGGCCCUUUGCUGUCACAACUAGAUGCAUUUGCACUGUCAUUACAAUUUAUGGAAAUUAAAGUAAUUAAUGGUUCUAAUUAAUAGCUUCCCAAAAAACCAAUCUGCCCUUGUGAGAACCAAAGCAUUAAUUUCUUGUAAGAGCUGCAGAAGGCCAGAGAAUUUCAGAUCGUGAAAAGGAGUGUGUGAGUGAGAGAGAGAUCGUGAAAUAGUGAGAGACAAUGAGAGAGAGAGCCGCUCGACUGAGAUGGUGAGAGAGUUGCAAAAAUGGAGUAAGGAGCAGAUAAGAUUAUGUUUUCUUUAUUAUUUUUUAUUAAUAUUUUAAUUUUUUUAAUUAAAAAAGGGCGAGAGAUUUUGGGAGUGAAACGGCAGCAUGUUCCAAUAAAUUUUUACCAAAGUUUCUCUCGUGUUUCUCUCACCUUUCUAGAUACCAAGCAUUUUCCAAUAAAUUUUUACUAAAAACUUAGCAAGCCCUUGAAACUUUGGUCAAAAUUAUUGUUAUUAUUACUUUUAGAGGAAAAACUUUUAUUAAAACCUCAUUAACACAAUUCUUAAUUAAAAUUAUAAGUUUGUGUUGGUGUAAGGAUUUGCAGGAGCAAUUACUGCCUAGCCAAGUGUCAAAAGCACAAAAUAAAUCAAGAGAAAGUAGACAUGAAUUAGGAUCCAAUGAAAUUUAAAUCCCGGAGAAAAGAAAUAAUCAUGCAGAUUAUCAAGAUUUCAAUAAGGGAUAUUGAUAUCCUAUUUUGAUUAAUAAUAUCCUUUUACUGUGUUAACUCAAAAAAUAUGUAUAUUCUAAUAUUUUACAAUAAAUAGAAAUCUAAUAUUAAAAUAAAUGUGAUAUAUAUAUAUAUAUAUUAAAUAAUUUAAAUAUAAAAAAUAUUUUAAUGUUUUACAAUCUACUACACAUAUUUUAUUAAGUUAAUAUAAUUUUUCAAAUAAAUAGGGACAUAAUAUUAAAAUAAAUUUAUAAAAAUUUAAAUUAUUUUGAAUUUAAAAUAAUUUUAAUAUUAUUAAUAUGUUAGAUAUGUUUGAUUAAUUAUAAAAAUUAUUUACGCAAAUUUUUUUAAUAUUUUCAGUAGAUAUAAAUAUAUUACUUACAUUUUGAUUAUUUAACUAUUAUUAUUCUACAAUUAUUUAUAUAAUGUUUGCACUUAUUAGAAUAUAUUUAAAGUCAAAUCUUUUGCACUUCUACCUAGCUAGAAUUAUUGGACGCAGAGAAAUAAGCAUAUAUGCUUUAUAACUUUAGAAAUCGAAUUAUCUAUACAAAUUGAUUUUAGCUGGAAAAAAAGUGAGCUGAAUGAUAUAGGCGAUUAGUGUGGUAAUAUUUCAUAGAGUUAGACUAUUGAAUUUGGCACCCCUCCAAUCUUCUCAUGAUUACCUUUUUGAGUUAUUAAUACACUUCUAAUUUUUCGUUUAAUUUUUUUUAUUGUUAUACUCAAAGUAGUAUUGUGAUAUUUUAUAUUUCUUUUGCAAUCUUAUUAUUAUUUUACACAAAAUUAAAAAGUUUUCUAGGUGAUGAACUUUUGAGUUUUGAACAUUAAUCAUUGGCUUAAAUUUCAUAUAUUUUACAUUAUAAUUUGAAAUUAAGUACGAAAAUAUUUAAUAAAUUAUGAAAAGAUUAACAGAUUAUUCUAAAUUGAUACAACUUAUUUUAGUUAAAUAAAAAGUAACAGGUAAAAAAAAAAAGGAUUGGUUAUGAAAUUUGUUGGAAAAAAAUCUGUGUGUGUUUAAUUUUUAUUUGUCCUUAAUUGUAAUUUAUUUGAAGUGAGGUUUUAUAAGGAUAAUGAAGGGGUGCCAUAGUUUCACUCUAUUUCAUAUGGAGAGAGAAGUAAAAGGUACACCUGAGGUUAAUGGAAAGGACUUCGAAAGUUUCUUUUGAUUAUAAUACUGUUUGUUCUAAUUAACUUAAAAAAUUUUACUUUAAUAUUUUAUAAUAAAUUAAAUUUUAAUCUUAAAAUAAGUAUAAUCAUAUAUUUUAAAAUAAUCUUAAAAUAAAUACAAUCAUAUAUUUUAAAAUAAUCUUAAAAUAAAUACAAUCAUAUAUUUUAAAAUAAUCUUAAAAUAAAUACAAUCAUAUAUUUUAAAAUAAUCUUUAUAUUUAAAAUUUAUUUAUUUGUACAUAUUUUAUAAUAAAUAUAACACAUACUAUUAAAAUAAUAUAUAAAAAAUUAAAGUAUUUUGAAUAUUAUAUAAAAUAACUUUAAGAUUCUUAAUAUGUAAGAUAUAUUUUAUUAAUUUAAAAUUCUAUUUAAAAUUUUAUUAAUUUAAAAUUCUAUUUAACCCAAAGAUUUAUUUAAGAUAAAUUAAUAAUCAUAUUUUUUAAAUCAUUUCAAAUAUUAAAAAAUAUUUUGAUAUUACUAGUCUAUUAAAUAGAUUAAAUAUUUUUAUUAUUUUGUACUAAUCAAAAGUUACAGCUCGAAUGAUAUUAUGAGAACAGAAUUUUUAUGUCUUUAUUAAAAAUUUGGGUUUGUAUAAUUAUUUUUUCAAAUGUUAGGGGCAUAGCUGUCUUUUUACUUUUAUAUAUGUGAACCGCGGUGGUGAAAAAGUGUGAUUUAAUAUUAGUUAUUUAAAUAAUAUCUGAAUUAAAGAUGUACAGAGAAGAAAUUUCGGUGGGCAUUUUAGUCUUUUAACGAUUAUCAUGAUUAGGGAUUAGGUCCUGCUCUUGAAACGUUGGUCAGAAAAGUUCUAAAAUGCGUACAUUAUCUUUACUUUAAAAAAGUUAUUUUAUUUUAUUACAAAUUAAUGCCGACAAGAAAAAGCAAGAUCUUAAANNNNNNNNNNNNNNNNNNNNNNNNNNNNNNNNNNNNNNNNNNNNNNNNNNNNNNNNNNNNNNNNNNNNNNNNNNNNNNNNNNNNNNNNNNNNNNNNNNNNAUAAAGAUGAAGAAAAGGGCAAAAAAAUAUUAAUGAUUAACGAAAUCUCUAUCCAAAUUGAUUUUAGCAGGAAAAAAGUGAGCUAAAUGAUGUAGACGAUUAGUGGUAAUAUUUCAUAGAGUUAGACUAUUGGCACCCUUCCAAUCUUCUCACGAAUCCUCUUUUUGAGUUAUAUUUAUUUUAUUUUUAAAAUAUCUUUUUUCUCUUUUACUACACUUCUAAUUUUUCAUUUAAUUUUUUUAUUGUUAAACUCAAAGUAGUAUUGUGAUAUUUUUAAUUUCUUUUGCAAUCUUAUUAUUACUCUGCAUAUAAAUUAAAAAGUUUUUUAGGUGAUGAAUUUUUGAAUGUUAAUCAUUAGCUUAAAUUUCACAUAUUUUACAUUACAAUUUGAAAUUUAAUAUGAAAAUAUUUAAUCAAUAAGAAUUAUGAAAAGAUUAAUAAAUUAUUCUAAAUUUAUACAACUUAUUUUAGUUAGAUCAGAAGUAGCAGGUUAACAAAAGAAAGGAUUGGUUAUGAAAUUUGUUGGAAAAAAAUCUAUGUGUGUUUAAUUUUUAUUCGUUGUUAACUCUAAUUAAGUAGGUUAAAUAUUUUUGUUAUUUUUUACUUAUCAAAAAAUUUAAGAUCAAUAUUUUUAGUUACCAUUCGAAGGAUAUUAUGACAAAAACAGAAUUUUCACUUCUUUGUUAAAAAUUUGGGGGUUUGUGUAACUAUUUUUUCAAAUGUUAGGGGCAUAUCUGUCUUUUUACUCUAUAUAUAUGAACCAUGGUGGUGAAAAAGCGUGAUUUAAUGUUAUUUAUUUAAAUAAUAUCUCAAUUAAAAAUGUAAGGAGAAGAAAUUUCGGUGGGCAUUUUAGUCUUUUAACGAUUAUCAUGGUUAGGCCCUGGUCUUGAAACGUUGGUCAGAAAAGUUCUAAAAUGCGUUCAUUUGUCUUUACGCCAACAAUAAAAAGCAAGAUCUUAGUGUCCCACAAAAGCAAAUCGUAAUAUUCCGCAAUGGAGUUAGAUCCGCAAAAGCAAACAAAUUCUUUUAUUAAACUACAAAUUAAAGUGGAAUCAUUUACUAAACAACAAAUUAAAUUUGAAAUAUUUAAAUAGUCGUGCGUUAGACGAUUAGAGACUCUUAUUAAAGGCAAGUACAAAGUAGUGAAGAAUCGAAUAUUUCUAUUGUCUAGUCUUUUUUUAAAAAAAAUUUUCUUUUAUUAUUUUUCAGAAUAUGUUUUGGUGAUUACUAUUGGGUUAUUAUUCAGAGUUAUUGUUAUCUUCCGGGGCAGUUUCUGUUCAUCGAAUUCGUUAAUAAAAUUUUAAAACUCUUAUUGAAAGAAUGUUUUUCCGUUAUCUUUUUUAUAAUCUAAUUUUAAGUGUAAGAAGUAGUCAUUUUAGAAUUUGGGUCUUGAAUCGAAUUUCAAUGCAUGAAUUAAUAUUUAAAAAAAAUUUACUACAUGCAGUUUAGGUUACAAACUAUUUUUUGCAAAGUUGACUAUGAAAUUGGAGAAAUUAAGUAAUUUAUAAUGUUUGCAAAGAAAGAGACCAACAUACUUCCAAUUACACUAUAUCUCAAUUAUCAUAAUGUUAAGAUUAAACUAACUUAAAAUAAAAUUUAUUUAAAAAGUUUAUCAAACGCAGUCUAAUUUUAUUAACUUGAAGAGAUAAUAGUUAUAGAAAUUAUUAUUCUAACUUAAUUAGUAAAAGUGGUAUAAAGGUUAAGUGUGCACUAAAUCUAUUUAAAUUUUUUUCCAGUAUAACUAACAGAGGUCAUUACUAGAAUUAUAUUACUAGUCUAUUAGAUAGAAAAAAUUAUUUAUAUUGUUUUAUAUUUAUUAAAAAAAUUUAAAGUCAAUCUUUUUAAUUACUAUUUAAAGGAUAUUAUAAUUAAAAAAAUUUUAAUGUCUUCAUUAAAAAUUUAAAAUUUUAUAUGACCGUUAUCUAAAUAUUUAAAGUGUAACUGUCAUUUUCUCAUAUAUAUAUAUAAUUUCAUCAACCCCUUAUACUUUAUGUUAUUUAUAUUUUAUUCAUGAAUAUUAUAAAUUUUUUGAAAUAUAAAAUUUCGUUUAACCCUUUAUACUCAAUUUUAUUUUAUUAAAACCCUAGAGUAUGAAUUCGUCCCUAUAAUAUUAAAUUCUCAAAAUAACUUCCAUUUAAUUAAAAAAUAUAAUUAUUAUUAAAUGAAUUAUAAUUAUUAUUAUUAUGUUAUUAUAAUCAUAAAAAGCGAGAUCAUAUUCCACAAAAGCAUAAGUGACAAAACAACCAACUGGAUUCUUUUAUUAAUCAACAAAUUGUAUAGUCUUUUUCAAAUUGUUAUAAAUUGGUGGCCCCUACAAUCCUCAAUAAUUGUACCGAAAUUCACAAGUUGGUGGGCCCUACAAUUCUGUUCCGAUAAUUUAACUGUGCAAGUGCUCAUUCACAAUCUUCCAGGUCAUGCUCUUAACAAUUGUUUUUUCUUUUCUGCACGCCCUUUCAUGCUCUUAAUAAUUGAAGAGCAUACUUUUCAAAUGUGAAGCCGCAUCUAAUGUCGCUAAUUUAAUUUGGGAUUAAAUUACGGGACUAUUAUAUUGCAGUGUGCACUAAUUUUUAUGUUUAUCUAAACUCUUCAAAUUUAAAACAUAUUAUGGCAUAAAUAAGAAUGUAACAAUAACAAAAGAGUAAGAAAGUGUAGAGAAAAUCUUGCAGAAAUAUAAAUAAUAUUUAUUUUUAAAAUAAUAUUAAUAUUUAAAAUAAUUUUUAAUAUUUUAUGGUCCAUUAGAUAUAUUUUAUUAUAUUAAAAUAAAUUUUAUAAUAAAUAAAAACAUACUAUUAAAAUGAAUAUAUAUAGAAAAUUUAGAGUAUUUUAAGUAUUAUAUAAAAUAAUUUUAAUAAAAUAUGUGAGAUAUUCAUAUUUUAUUAAUUUAAGAUACCAUUUAACCUAAAGAUUUAUUUAUGAUAAAUUAAUAAUUAUAUUUUUGAAAUUACUUCAAAUAUUAAAAAAAUUAAUAUUACUAAUAUAUUAGAUAGAUUAAAUUAUAUAUAUUAUUUUUACUUAUUAAAAAAAUUUUAAAAUUAUUUUUAAUUACUAUUCAAAAAACGUAUUCAAAAAACAUAAUGAUAAAAAAAUCUUAACAUCUUUAUUAAAAAAUUAAAAACUUAUAUGAUAAAUUCUCUAAAUAUUUACGGUAUAUGUGAACCACGGUGGAUAAGCUUUAUUUAAUAUUAUUGAUUUAAAUAAUAUGUCAAUUAAAAAUGUACAGAGAAGAAAUUUCGGUGGGUAUUUUAGUCUUUUAAGCAAUUAUCAUGAUCAGAUCAGCCUUUAGCCUUCAAACGUCGGUCAGAAAAGUUUUAAAAUUAAUGCUAAAUUGUUUUUCACUUUUAACGUUGGUGGCCUUGAAAUUGCUUGUAUUUUAUUAAAAAUUAAUGCUAACAAGAAAAAGCUAGGUCAUAUUCCACAAAAUCAAAAGUGACAAAACAACCAGCUGGUUUCUUUUACUAAACUACAAAUUAAAAUAAAUUUUUUCGAUAAAUUACAAAUUAAAGUGGAUUCUUUUGAAUACAAAUGGGACAGACGAUUAGGCUCUUUUUAUUAGAGGCAAGUAAAAACUAGUCAAGAAUCGAACAGUCUUUUUCCAAUUCUUGUUUUAUUAUUUUUCAAAACUAGUUUUUGGUAAUUACAACCGGGUCAUUAAUCAUUAUUCAGAGUUAUCUUCCGGGGCAGUUUCUGUUCAUCGAAUUCGUUAAUAAAAUGUUAAAACUCUUAUUGAAAGAAUGUUUUUCCGUUAUCUUUUUUAUAAUCUAAUUUUAAGUGUAAGAAGUAGUCAUUUUAGAAUUUGGGUCUUGAAUCGAAUUUCAAUGCAUGAAUUAAUAUUUAAAAAAAAUUUACUACAUGCAGUUUAGGUUACAAACUAUUUUUUGCAAAGUUGACUAUGAAAUUGGAGAAAUUAAGUAAUUUAUAAUGUUUGCAAAGAAAGAGACCAACAUACUUCCAAUUACACUAUAUCUCAAUUAUCAUAAUGUUAAGAUUAAACUAACUUAAAAUAAAAUUUAUUUAAAAAGUUUAUCAAACGCAGUCUAAUUUUAUUAACUUGAAGAGAUAAUAGUUAUAGAAAUUAUUAUUCUAACUUAAUUAGUAAAAGUGGUAUAAAGGUUAAGUGUGCACUAAAUCUAUUUAAAUUUUUUUCCAGUAUAACUAACAGAGGUCAUUACUAGAAUUAUAUUACUAGUCUAUUAGAUAGAAAAAAUUAUUUAUAUUGUUUUAUAUUUAUUAAAAAAAUUUAAAGUCAAUCUUUUUAAUUACUAUUAAAGGAUAUUAUAAUUAAAAAAANNNNNNNNNNNNNNNNNNNNNNNNNNNNNNNNNNNNNNNNNNNNNNNNNNNNNNNNNNNNNNNNNNNNNNNNNNNNNNNNNNNNNNNNNNNNNNNNNNNNNNNNNNNNNNNNNNNNNNNNNNNNNNNNNNNNNNNNNNNNNNNNNNNNNNNNNNNNNNNNNNNNNNNNNNNNNNNNNNNNNNNNNNNNNNNNNNNNNNNNNNNNNNNNNNNNNNNNNNNNNNNNNNNNNNNNNNNNNNNNNNNNNNNNNNNNNNNNNNNNNNNNNNNNNNNNNNNNNNNNNNNNNNNNNNNNNNNNNNNNNNNNNNNNNNNNNNNNNNNNNNNNNNNNNNNNNNNNNNNNNNNNNNNNNNNNNNNNNNNNNNNNNNNNNNNNNNNNNNNNNNNNNNNNNNNNNNNNNNNNNNNNNNNNNNNNNNNNNNNNNNNNNNNNNNNNNNNNNNNNNNNNNNNNAUUGUGGGCACUCUUGUUCGUGCAUGUUUGCUAGAAGAGAUGGAAGAUGAUAAAGUAAAAAUGCAUGACGUUGUUCGUGAUAUGGCUUUAUGGAUAGCUUGUGAAAUUGAGAAGGAGAAGAGAAACUUUUUGGUUUGUGCAGGUGCUCGAUUAGAAGAGGCACCGGGUGUUAAAGAAUGGGAAAAUGUGAGAAGAUUGUCAUUGAUGCAAAACCAAAUUGAAACUGUGUCAGAGAUUCCCGCAUGCCCUCAUCUCCAUACUCUAUUUCUUGCCUCUAAUAGGAAUUUCAGGAUGAUCACGGAUGGCUUCUUUCAAUUUAUGCCUUCUCUCAAAGUUUUGAAGAUGUCACGCUGUGGGCAAUUCGAAGGUUUUCAAUUACCUGUUGGGAUGUCAGAGUUGGGUUCAUCACUAGAACUUCUUGAUAUUUCACAUACCACCAUAAGAGAGUUACCCGAAGAGUUAAAGUUGCUGGUAAAUCUGAAAUGUUUGAAUUUGAGGUGGACAGGUGCGUUAAUUAGAAUUCCACGGGGACUAAUAUCAAAAUUUUCAAGGUUACGUGUGUUGAGAAUGUUGGGUACUGGCGGGUUCAUUUUUUAUGAAGCACCAGAAGACAGCGUUUUAUUUGGUGGGGGUGAAGUUUUGAUACAGGAAUUGCUCGGUUUGAAAUAUUUAGAGGUAUUGGAGUUGACCUUGGGAAGUUAUCAUGCUCUCCAAAUUCUUUUGAGCUCAAAUAAGUUAAAAAGUUGUAUUCGAUCUCUUUACCUCUAUUUGACCGGAGAUAAAAAGUCGAUUAUUGAUGCUACGGCUUUCACAGACCUAAACCACCUCAAUGAAUUAUGGAUUGAUAAUGGAAUUGAGUUGGAAGAAUUGAAGAUUGAUUAUACGGAGAUAGUACGAAAAAGGCGGGAACCUUUUGUUUUCCACAGCCUUCACCUUGUUACGAUAUAUAGUUGCCAUAAAUUGAAAGAUUCGACAUUCCUCGCUUUUGCUCCAAACCUCAAGUCUCUUUCGCUAUUCAAAUGCCGUGCUAUGGAAGAAAUAAUCAGCGUCGGAAAAAUUGCUGAGAAUCCUGAGAUGAUGGGACAUAUAAGCCCUUUUGAAAAUCUCAAAAGUCUUGAUCUAUCAUAUUUGCCGGAGUUGAAGAGCAUUUUCUGGAAGCCAUUGCCUUUCACUCAUCUCAAAGAAAUGGGGGUAAGAGCAUGUGAUCAGCUUAGAAAGCUUCCACUCGAUUCCAACAGUGCAAAAGAGCGUAAAUUUGUAAUUCGUGGAGAAGAAGACUGGUGGAACCGACUUCAAUGGGAGGAUGAAGCCACUCAAAUUGCUUUUCGUUCCUGUUUCCAACCUGAUUCCUGAGCGGUGGUCGCAAAAUUUGAUUUCUGGUGAGUGCGUUUGUCUUUUAAAAGAAGAAUUUAAAAGAAAUUUAUUCUUGACGUUUUCUUCACUGUUUUUAUUUCAGUCUCUCUCUCUCUCUUUUUGUCUUCUGCUAAUCACAAUUAAAUGUUGAAUUAAUGGAAUUAAUGCUUCAUAAAUUUGCCGGCACUGCCAUUACUUUUUUUUUUUUUAAUACAAAUUGAUACUUUAUUUAUAUCUUCUUAGCGAUUUAAUUUCCUGUCAAUUGACGAACGAGAAGAACAUAUGACUUGAACCAAUGCUCGCAUAAACUUGCUGUAAAAAGAUAUAAUCUCACUGAAAUGCACACGCCUAGAAUGAAUAGAAUUAAAACAGGGAAAAUAUUAAGUAUAUUAGCCCUCUUUACCGAAAAUCAAAUGACAAUAAAUUUUUUGAAGUUUUGAUUUUCUAUGGUCAAUUCCACCUUUUGCAAUUUCUUCUGUUCUAACAAAAACCAAUUUCUUUGUUCAAGUAUUUUCGUUUGGGUAUUAAUAAUUCUCCACCGAAAGAGUGAACUCUUGCUCAAGGGAUCUCUAAUCAAUAGCCGGAAGGGCGCCGAGACCUGAUCGGACCUAGGCCCAAGUUUGGUCUUAAAGCCUGGGCUUGAGCCUGGCAAUUAAAUUAAAACAGUAAUUGAUUUCUUGAAUGAAUUGUCGUGUAAUUGAUUUAUGGGGGAUGACACAUCAACAUACUUGAAAAUACACUAAUCUCAGCAUCAUCCGUUAAUAACUUUUAGAUUUAUGGGCAAUCAAUAGUUAAAUUAGUUGUCAUUAAUACUAAAUAAUUUUUACUUUUUUUGUCUCUUCUAGAGGAUCUUCUAGAAAAAUGCAUCCACAAUUAAAUUUAAUACUUUACAUAAUAAAGAAAGCAUAAAUGUUAAAUUUAAGAAACUGCAUUGUAUUUCAGCUGAAGUUGACUUUAAUAUUUAGGGUAGAAAAAAAUUAAAUCCUUAAUGUGUUUAAUUUCUAUCACUUGUGUCAUUAAAAUUUUCUAGUCACCCUAACCAAUUACAUCUCAACCCACUUUUUUUUGGAUGAUUUUAUUUUUACACUAUUAUUUUCAACAUUUUUUUUUCCUUUUAACACCAACAUUAGUGUAUGUUACGUAACAUAAUCCAUAUUUGGAUAAUUUGAAAUUUGUUUGUGUUUUAUCUCAAAAUAGAGCUUCAAUCAAUUUGUACCUCAUAAAUUCACAAUAUCUGGCAUAUUGUCAAAUGUGCUUAUCCUUUUGCUUGACAUGUCAUUUUAAAAUUGUCAUUCAAUGUCAAAAAAUCACAUCAACUAAUGGCCGACUACUUUAAUUUGAAAGCAUGCGUGCGAUCGCCAAUAAUUAUAACUUAAUUGUUAUAUUGAAAUUUUUUUCUUUAUAAUUUAAGUUUAAUACUGCUACAUGUGUGGCACAUAAGUUGGAAAAUAUAACAUAAAAUUUGAAAAAUGUGUAGUUUUCGUUCCUUUUUUUUCUAAAAAAAUGGGAAAAAAGAAUGUAAUUUUGUUUAAAUUACUGUUGUCAUAACAAUUAUUAUUUUAUUGAUUAAUUGGCAGAGAAUCGUAAUGGUUUCGCAUGGUUGUUAAAACAUUGGAAAGUCCACUACAUCAUCGGUUAAUAACUUUCAGAUUUAUGGUUAAUUAAUAGCUGAGAUUUAUUAUCAUUAAUGCUAAAUAUUUUUUCUCUCUCCUGGAGGAUCAUCCACAGGCAGGUGCUUCCUGACGAUGACAAAAUUUUGGGCAGGCAGGUGCUUCCUGACUUUCACACGGUAAUUCUCAAAUUCUGAUUUCACCAUAUUUUAAUUACUGAUUAGCAUAUAUUCAAGUGCUCUCCAUUAUAAUGGAAGCCGCCGCCUCACUCGUAAUUCCAAACUUUAUCUUUUUUUCCUUUUUUAAAUUAAUGCAAGUAGCCGCUGUCCUUUCUAUUAAUUAAUUAAUUCGGCCGCCCACAUUUCUUUUCCUAAUGUCUUCUACUGUCGAGUUUAUUUUAUUUUCUCUUUAUUAUUAAAAUAUACUUAUAAUAAUAAAAAAAUAAAAAUUAACAUAUCAAAAUAUAAUUUAACAGAAAAUUAAGAUAAAAAAUUAAAAAUAAAUAAAUUAUGAGCAUAUCAAUCAAUAAAUGAAAAAUAAUAAUUUUUAUUUUUAUUAAAUAUAAAUUUUUCAGUAUUAAUCAAUUAUCUGAAUAAAUAAAAUCAUUUAAAAAUAAAUAAAUAAAUUAUUCUUAAAAAAAAAAAAAAAACUUUUUAUAACACUCACUAUGCUGGUUGUAGGGUUGACGCUUUGGGUACUGAAGCUAGUAACUUCUACAAGUAGUCUUAAGUUGACUGGCAACAACUAUAUUGGCAUUUAGAAAUAAUGUACUGCAACCAUAUUGGCAUGUUCAAAUGUUCUUAUUAUUGUAUUGGUGUGUCAAUAUUAUCUCUAACGGUUUUAUAAAUAAAAAAAUAAUCUAAAUUUAUAAUUUAACAUAAAAUAAAAUAAUUGGUAGAAAAACAAUUAUGGUUCAUUUACUUAUCAGUAAUCAGAAUAGACUGAAAUCGAAAUGAGUUGUAUUACUGUUGAUGUGUUUAUGUUGUACUCGAAUCGAAAUGAAUUAUUUUAAAUUACUAAAAUAUCCUUGGUCUGUUAUUCUAAUUAUUAUUAUUAUUUAAUAUUUAUUAUAAUAUUUUUCAUAUCAUUAAAAAAAAAUAAUAAUGAUGAUAAUAUUCUCAUUAUUGUUUGUUACAUUAUUAUUAUUCAAAAAAAUUAUUGUUAAUAACAAUAAUUACUUUAUUUCAAUAAUAAUAAUGAUAAAAUUAAUAAUAAUAAACAUGACAACAACAAUAAUUAUUUAUUAUGCCAAAAAAUAACAAUAAUAAUAAGAAUAAUAAUCAUCAUCAUUUUUUUGCCAAAGAAGCAUUAUCAUCAUCAUUUCAAAAAAAAAAUCAUCAUCAUCAUCAUCAUUUUUGUAGUGGCUACCUAUCGGCUGCUGCUUUCAUGUGAGAUUGACUUGCGACGCUUCAACGGCUAUUAUUUCUGACAAUGUCAGGUGUUGCUAUUUCAAUUUAGGAAGAAGUUGUUUCGGUGUGCUAGCGAUGGGAGAUGUUGUGGCUGCGAUUCGGGGAGCUACUAGUUUAUUGCACUAAUAACGGCAGGUGCUGUUGCUUGAUGCGAGGUCCAUGGCCAGUUGUCAGCAGUUCGACUUUGGUAUGGGUGCUGCUGGUUCGAUUUUAGGUGUUGUCCAAUUUCAUUUUCAGGAUUUUAAUUUUAUUUUUCUUUUAUAUUUUCAUUAAUUAAUCAGGGUAAAAUUGGAUUUUAGAAUUUAGAAUGAAGGUAAUUUUGUUAAUAAUGGAAAUGAGAUUCUGAUUGUCGAGAAUGAGCUUACACAAACAACUAUAAAUUAAGUGAAAACAAAACACUUUUUCUCUUUGUGUGAUUAAAACAUGAUAUGUACCAUAAAUAAAUAAGUAAAAAAUAAAUCAACACAAUCUAAAACAGUAAACAAAUUACAAGAGGCACAGAUUUUUAUGUGAAACACCGAAAAUGGAAAAAACCACAGCAUCUUAGUUUGAUAUAAUCUUCUACUAUAUUAAUGGGAUUAUAGCACAAAUUCUUUCCUAUAUAACACUAGAGAUUAACAACAUCAAGAAUCUCAAUAAUCUUGACUUACAAUACAGCCUAAUAUUUGUCUCUCUAAUAAGUAGAUAUCUAAAAUAACAGUCUCUAAUAAGUAUGUAUCUAAAAUAAUAGUCAACAAGAGGAUAAAACAAAAAUUAAGAUUAGUAGGAUGUGUAUAAGGUGAUGCUAUCAAUUUAUCUUCUAAAUUUGAGAAAAAUAGUUAAAUUCACUUUUUCGAUUGUCCGACCAAAAAUGGAAACCCUUGCCCCAAAACCAAAGGAAUCACCAUUAUGUUUUUCUCUCUCUCUCUCUCUAUCUCGUUCUUUUCUUCUUCUUUUCUUAAUGUUAGCCAUCACUUGCUUUUAUUCUUUAUAGCAUUCAAAAAGCUACUUUUAAUGGUAAAUUUCAUUUAAGUCUGCAACUUAGUGAUAAUUGCACACCAAACAAUCCUUACAUAGUGUUUUGGGCCCUCAAAUGAGAUGAAUACAACAAAUCUCCCCCUUUAAAUCAUGUGGGGGGCACCGCAAGCCCGCUAUUUGCAUAUAGCUUUUCAGCUUCUCCUUGAAUAAUGACUUUGUCAUCAUACAUAAUCCAUUCUUCGUUGUGUAAAUCUUCUCAAGCUGUAACUGUUCCUUCUCAAGCUGUAAUUAUUCCUUCUCAAGCACGUCUCGUAUCUAAUGAUACCUUACAUCAAUAUGCUUAGAUUUCGAAUAGUAUAACAGCACUCUGACUAUCGUAGUACAUAACAUAGCUGUCUUGUUUUACACCCAGCUCUUGUAGGAAAUUCUUCGUCCACAAUAUUUUUUUGCAACCUUCAAUAAUUGUAAUAUCAUUUGCUUUAGUGGUAGAAAAGGCAACUUAUUACUAAAGUUUAGAUUGCGAUGAGACUGUUCCCCCUGCAAAAGUGAGCAAACAUCCUAGUAGGAAUUUUUCGGAAUCAACAGCUCCUGCCAUAUCUACACACUUGUAACACAGGUUUGUCACCACCAAAAUAUAAACAUGCUCUGGAAAUGCAUCUAAGAUAUCUGAGAAUUUUUCACUGUUGUCCAGUGCUCUUUACCGAGGUUGAAGAGAAACCACUGACUACACUAACUGUAUAGGCAAUAUUUGGUCUUGUACAAAUUAUGGCGUACAAUAAACUGCCAACUGCUGAAGCAUAAGGAACUCCUCUCAUGGAGAAAUGGGUUUUACUCUUGAGAUUUUUGGGACCAUGAAGAAUAAAGAUGUAAUUUCUUAUACUGCCAUUGUUUCGGGAUAUAUAAAUAGAGAACAAGUCGAUAUAGCUCGACAGUGUUUUGAUCAGAUGCCAGAACGAGAUUAUGUCUUAUGGACUACCAUGAUUGAUGGGUACCUUCGAGUGAAUAGGUUCAGAGAGGCUUUGACACUUUUUCAGGAGAUACAAACUUCAAAUAUAAUGGGAGACGAGUUUACCAUUGUUAGCAUUCUUACAGCUCGUGCGAAUCUGGGGGCACUAGAACUGGGAGAAUGGAUAAAGACUUAUAUUGACAAAAACAAAGUCAAGAAUGAUAUAUUUGCGGGGAAUGCUUUGAUAGACAUGUACUGUAAAUGUACUGUAAAUGCGGAGAUGUUGAGAAAGCUCAAAAGGUAUUCAGGAAGAUGCUUUGAAAGGUCAAAUUCACAUGGACGACCAUGAUUGUUGGCCUUGCCAUCAGUGGAAAUGGUGAUAAAGCUCUUGAUAUGUUUUCCCAAAUGCUCAGGGCUUCGAUCAAACCAGAUGAGGUAGCUUAUGUUGGUGUUCUGUCUGCCCGUACUCACAAUGGUAACGAAACUUUUGUGAUAAAUAGUUGCAACUUAAGGUGAGAACUGGAGGAAGGGAAAUAGAUUGAAGUUGUUCAAUCAUCAGUAGUUGCUACUUGGUUUUAAGUUGUUCAAUCAUCGGUCGUCUCUAUUUGGUUUUCUCCAAUAUCUCAUCUUCAAUUUUGACUCAGAUUGUAUCUUACCACUAGUAAUUACAUAGACUUGCUGCCAAAGGUAAGAAUGGGAAUAAAUUAAAUAGAUUAUGUCGAAAACGAAAUAAAUUUACUAUUGUUCUGUUCAUUCUAUUUGUUUCCUACAAAAUAUUUCUCCUGCCUAAAAUUUUUUGAAUCAGUAAGUUUUUACCUUAUGGAUGAAUUGUGUUGAGAGUAAUUCCAUUUCUCAGUCUCUUUAUGUUUCAAUGAAGACGUAAAACUUGUGUUCUAGUGCACCAACGUUUAUGCUUCUUACAAUUUGACUUUAAUUUACUUUGUAAAAUUUUUGUCAAAAAGUACUAAAAAGUAGUGCACCAAACACCAACUUUAUUACAGAGAGGACUUUAGUUAAAUUUUAAGAAAACACUCAAAAGAAAGAGUUGUAAAUUAUUAUAAAAAUAUUUCACAUAAAUAAAAGCCAUCCCAUGCUGCAAAGAUCUUGCUAUAAUCACCAAAAACUAUCGGGAGCUUUUAGGGUUUCCAUAAAAAUGCCAUUUCGUUCCAUGUAUAUGAUUCUAUAGUCUCACUGGCAAGUAAACCACAGCCCAACAGCACUGACUGUCCAUGAUGAUUCACCCCAAUGAACGAAACCAGCGUUGCAUCAUAUCUUUCUGUCAAGCAUGUAAUAUCAAUUGAUUUGAGCUAUUAACAUCAUUUCCAAAUACUCCAUUGGCAUCUACAUUACCAUUUCCCUCGGCAUCAAUGAUAAGAGUUCGAAACAGUCUAAUCUUUUGAACUUCUUCAGCACCAUCUAAGAGCAAUGUUCUUUUGGUUCCAAUACCCAUGUGCUUAUGAUAUUUGUAAAAUAAUUAUUUGUAAAAUAAUUAGUUCAAUUUUGACAUAAUACGGAAUAAACACAACCUGCCAAUCUAAGUUACUAUCUUUUCCCGUCAUCAGGUACCUGUUUGAAAAAUAAUUAUAUACAAUUUUAUUUGCGUCGUCCCUCUAAAAAUUUGGGACUCAAAUGUUAUUUCUAAUUGCUAAAAGUACGAAAUUGCCCCCUUUCUCUUCAGCUAAAGGAGUGCAAAGUCAUCUGUAUAAUUGAAUCUGCAUCAUCAGUUUCUAUUGCUGGCUGGUGUUACUGCAUGCUUACAGUUGCUUGACAAAGUGAGCCAGUUUUUUGUUUAUUAAUUUUUUUUCUUGUCGAGACAGUCACAAAGUAUUACUUGUUCUAUUUGAGAAUGAUGUGAAUCAAUUUUUCAAUUAUGCAUUCUGUGGUAAUUAUUGUGAAUUUAGUUUCAUUUGUCUUGUCUCCUGCAAAUUUUGAAGAAAAUGCAGACAUACAAAUUUACAAUAUGUAUUUGCGUUAGUAUAAAAACAAUUGUUAGAUGAUUAAAGCGAUUUAUUUUUUUUUUUACAGCAUUUGAUUGUAUUAGUUAAAAUCAUUUUUUAAGGAUAAAAAUAAAUAGAAAAUUAUUCUCAUGUAGUGUGGAAAUCUUUUCUAAUUUCUUGUUGACUUGUACAUUUAUUUCAGAAUUUCCAUUCAUUAAUUCUACUGUUUUAAUCUUUGACUUAGCUACCGUAGUUGACUUUUUAUAUCAAAGGCUUAAACAGCAUGCAUUUUUGAAUUGACUGAGAAUAAUUUGGUGGACAAAUUACUAGUAAAGGACUUCAAAUGGUUGAAUUGACUGUGGGUUUUUCAUGCCCAAGUCACUCGUCACGUCGUUUCAUCGAAACAAAGUGCCCGGUGCAAAUGGUGUGAUGUAAAACACCUUUUUAAAUUGUCAUUUUUUUUCCUUUGCUUUUGCUUUAAUUUUCUAAAUGCUCAACGCCAUAAAUCCAUGUAUUCUUAAUUUUCGUUUGCUGUAUUGAUUCCCAACCCUCUAUGUCACAAGGUUUUGAAUGCCAGUAAUUAAGUUAAAUUAAACAUAUUUUAAGUCCUACUUUAAAUUAUUGAAAAAUGUAUUAUGGUUGAACUGAAUUUUAACUAAAAAAUAUAUACAAAAUAAAAGAUUAAUCAUAUCUUUUUAUGAGGAAGGUCAGUCAUCAUUCUGACCACAGACACUUAAAAUUAAUUGAGUGGAAUAUUGCAAAAUAUAUAUAAACCAUGCCAAAACUAGAUGUUUGAGUAAUGAAAACGAGAAUUCAUAUGACUCAGAAAUAUGGUCGCUUUCCUUUUUCUGAAAGGCAAAAAAAAAGGGGGAACCAAAAAGGACCAAAAUGAACAAAAAUGGAAGGCGAAGGUAAGCAGACAUGUUAUAUGUUUUACCUAAGAUGCCAAAUGCAACUCCCCAUUGAUGGUGAUCGAACAUUAUGGCCAUUUUCUUAGUAAACAAAAAAUGAAUUUUGAACACUCAACAACGAAACUUGAGCAGAAGAUCAAGCAAGGGCCUCGAUCUCAAAGAAGAUACUAUGAAACCCUACUUAAUGGUUAAAUAACUUUCAUUCAGCUUUGGACCCUAUUUCGUGAUACGGAAAGACAAACCUUUCUUGGCCGGCAGUGUCCCAGAUCUGGGCUUUGAUGAUCUAGAGGUUGAUGGUGACAGUUCUGGUUUGGAACUCGACGCCAAUGGUUUAUUUCGAUUCAAAGCAAAACUCAUUCUUGGUGAAUCUCGAAAGAAUCUGAGACUUGCCCACGGCCGAGUCACCGAUCACCACUACCUUGAAUACAUAGUCUAUUUUGUCAGGAAUCAUAUUCUCUCGUUGUUGAUGACGAUGAUCGGUGCCAUCACCACUCAUUUCUUCGUUCAUUCAUUCUAUGUCCAUUGAUCUUUUUGAAUUAUUGAAGACAAGUGGCUCACCGCUUUUAGUAUUGGUAAAAUUCAGAUAAUCUCUAUUCCGAAAUAAUAAUAUUAAAAAUAUCUCUUAAAUCAUUAUAAACUUCAAAUCUAUUUUAAUUUUAUUUAAAAGAUAAAAGAAAAAUAAGUUAUGUUGGUGAUUUUUUAUUAUCUUUUUAAUAAAAAUAGAAUAAAUUGAUGUUUAUAAUUAUUUAAAGUAUUUUAAAGAUUGCUAUUUUAUGAGAGAAUAAUAUUUCAUUUUUUUUUUCGUGUGAAAGACCGAAAAAGGACAAAGCAAGUUUCCCUAAUUUUUAUUUUAUGUGAAAUUGGUCAUCUCAUAUACUUUACCCUUCAACACUCUAAUUUUUUUGGUUAUAAUUUUAUUAUUUUUUCUCUUUUACACAUGCAUGUGAAUUACUUUUCUUUAAGCUCCUGAAUAUUUAAGACAAAUCAUGGAAGAGAUGAGAGUAUAACAAGAUGAUCAAAAUAUGUAACAAAAAAAUUUUAGAAGUGAAAAAUAUGUUAGAGUCGAAGUAAAACUCUGAGGUGAUGUUUGAUUUGAAGAAAAUGGAGGAGAGAAAAAGAGUGGAAUGGAGAGGAAAAGAGAGAAAAGGAGAGGAGAGGAGAGGAGAGUGAACUUUUUUUCUAAUGUUUGGUUUGUCACAUAAAUAUACAAAGAAAGGAAAUCUCCAAUUUUUUAUUUAGACAAUUUUAACCUUAAUAAGUAUUAAGCUUUCAAUAUUUAUCAUGUGUAUAAUUUAAAAAAAGUAAAUGGUAGAAAGCGGUUUCUGAUUCCGGCCACAUCGCCGGCAAUGGAAGGUACUUAUCAGAACAUCAAGAACCGGCCAUCAUUCCCUAGCCAUCACUGCUGUAGGAACACUGCUAAAAAGCUGCCGAUUGAACCGCGAAAAGUCGUGGAAAUCGUUGCCUCAAAUCGGUGAGUUUCGCCUUUUUCUGGUCAUGCCGUCGCCUUGGCUUUGUCCAUCAACGCUGCCACUUCCAUUUCAACCAUCCAUAGCCACUAUUAACCGCCAAAUCGCCGCCGAUCAGCGGGAUCUGUGGAAGUUAAAAAGUUUCUAAAAUUUUUUAAUUGGAUUUGAACAACAUACAACCAUUUUUUGAUCUCAAUAACGACAUAGUAAUGUUGAUCGUUGGUCGGCAAGUCGAAUGGUAGUGGCGGUGAGUAACACGCGCCAAUGACAUCGGCGGCGGCGGCGGCACUAUCCGGCUACUGUUAAAAUUAAUAUUUUAUAUUUGUAGAUUAAAUAAAUUUAUUUUAUUAAACUUUUUAAAUCAUUAUUUAAAUUUAAUUAAUUUAAAAUUAUCUAUGAUGUUGAAUUGAUAAAAUAAAUUUAUAAAUAAUAAUUAUGUGAUUACAUUAAAUAAGUUAAAAAGUUGAAGGGUUAUUUUUGGAAGAUUUAGUUUCCAACACAAAGGGAAUUUGAAUUCUUCACUUCUUAGUGUGGAAUUCAAAUUCUAUAUUGUAAUGGAUAUUAAAUUCCAAUAGAAAUUAAAUUCUUAUAAGUUAUGUCAAACCAAACAACGGAAAUAAAAAAAAAGAAUUUAAAUUACUUUCCUUUCCUCCACCCUCUCCUUCCAACCAAAUACAUCCUGAAAAUAGAGAUAUUGAUUAAUUUAGAAGAGAUGCAAGCAAAAGAUAUUCCACAAAAAAAAAAAAGCAAUAUGUCCCUUUGGAGGGCAAACUUGUCAGUUUUAAAAAAGUACAUGCUUUGGAUUGAUAGUUGUAGGAUAUUUGUUUUGUCACUAUGUGUUAGUUGGAGAAGUCAAGCCUUGUGAAGAAUGUUAUGAAAGAGCAAAGGAUAUUCCUGAUAGCUGAUAGAGCUCUAUUUGAUUAUGUAUCCAAUGAAUGGAUGUGUUGUUGGAAGAUAUUUGAGUGCAUUAGUUCAUAUGUGUCUAUCAAUGUGAUUUUAAUGAUUUUUCCACUUGUUUGUUGUAAAAGAUUAUUGUAAAUUGAAAUGAACUUGAUGUUGUAAUAUUUUCUCCUUAGUAGAAUUUCACCUAGUAUGUAUUUAGUUGUGUUGUCUAUAAUUUUGCAUUCGAAUAAGUUUCACCUAAAAUAUUAGCAUGAGUAGUGGCCCUUGAAACUUUGGUCAAAAUUAUUGUUAUUAUUUCCGACUAGAUGUAAAUUUUUUAUUAAAUCUCGCUAACACAAUUCUUAAUUAAAAGUAUAGGUUAGUGUUGGUGCAAGACUUGCCACACCAAAUUCUGCCUAACUGUCAAAAGUGCAAAAUAAAUGAAGAGAAAGCACAAAUACACGACUUGAAUAAGGAUACAACGAAACUUAAAUUCAAGAGAAAAUGAUAGCUAUAUCUCAAGAUUUGAAAAAACGGUCAUGUAGAUUUUUAAGAUUUCAAUAAGCGACUGAGAUUCAAAUAAUAUCCUUUAAUUCUAUUAACAAAAAACAAAGACUCAAAUAUUUUAUGAUAAAUAAAAAUAUAAUAUUAAAAUAUAUGUGAUAAUAUACACAUUUUAAAUACUUUCAAUCCAAAAAAAUAGUUAUGUUUUACAAUCUAUUAGACAUAUUUUAUUAAAUUAAUAUAAAUUUUCUAUAAAAUAAGAAUAUAAUAUUAAAAUAAAUUCACAAAAAUUUAAAGAAUUUUGAAUGUAAAAUAAUUUUAAUAUAUCAAUACGUGAGUUUUUUUAUUAAUAUAAAAUUUAUUUAACUUUAAGAUUUUUUAAAAUCUUUACAAUAAGUAUAACUAUAUUAUUUACAUUUAAAAAUAUUUAAAUAUUAUUAACCUACAAUUAUAUUUGCAUUUGUUAGAAAUUUUUUAAGUCAAAUAUUUUGCACUUCUAUAUUAUUAGAAUUAUUGCACAAAAAGAAAGAAACAUACACCUUUAGAAAUUGUUUUCUUUUAAAAUAGAGAUGAUGAUUAGUAUAAGGAUGAAAAAAAGGAUAAAGAAUAUUAAUGAUUAACGAAAUCUCUAUACAAAUUGAUUUUAGUAGGAAAAGAGUGAGAUGAAUGAUUUCUUUUACAGUUAGAAACAUAGAUGAUGAUUAUUAUAACGAAGAAAAAAAGAUAAAGAAUAUUAAUUAUUAAUGGAAUCUCUAUACAAAUUGAUUUUAGUAGGAAAAAAAUGAUUAAAUGAUUUAGAGUGCGUUUGGAAUUGAGAUUGGGCAGCCAUAGAUUUUAAGUUACAACACUGAAGUGUUUAGUAAAUACUAGUUGCUGCAGAUUGAAAGUUAUGUUGAUAUGAUUUUUCACAUGUAUCAUAGAAAAUAUAUUACAUCUUUAAUAUUUUUUAAAAAUUUAUAUUUGCUAUAUAUUAUUAAUUUUUUUUUAUAGUUAUAACUUUUUUUCCACAACAGUUGUAGCUUAAAAGUCACAGCACCUCAAUCUCAAACAAAUCCUUAGACAUUCAUAGUGUGUUUAUUUUUUGGAUUGGUGAAUCAAAAUUAUUGACAACGCUAACUUCAUCUUCACUGUUCGCAAUCCAACAGCAGCAAUUGUCGCCAAUAAUGAUAUCUCCAAUGAUGAUGACAAUUAUUAUUAUUAUUUUUAUUAUUAUUAUUAUUAUUAUUAUUAUUAUUAUUAAUUAAUUAAUUAAUUAAUUAAUUAAUUAAUUAAUAUAUUAAUGUUGAUAUUAUUAUUAUUAAGAUUAACAAUAAUUAUUAGUAAUACAAUUUUUUGAAUAAAAAUAAUCACAAUAAUUAAAAUACAAAUUAAUAAUUAUGACAAUAAUUAAUUAAUGUCUUUUUAGUAAUUUGUAAUAAUCUAACUCAUUUUGGUUCUGAUUAUUACAGCUUAAGUAAACAAAUUAUUAUGAUUCCUAUUCUCCUUUCCCAUUUUAACUCACUUUGAUUCCAGUCUAUUCCGAUUUCUAUUUAAUAAAUGCACCAUUAGUGCUAAAGUAAUAUUUCAUACAUAGAAAAAUAAAAACUACGCCUAAGGUUAAGGGAAAAGACUUCAAAAUUCUCUUUUGAUCAUAAUACAUUUUGUCCUAAUUAACUUAAAGAUUUUGAAUCUAAUAUUUUAUAAUAAAUAAAAAUAUAUUCCUAAAAUAAAUAUAAUAUCAAUAUUUAAAAUAUGUUUUAAUAUUUUACAAUCUAUCAUACACAUUUUAUUAUAUUAAAGUAGAUUUAUAAUAAAUAUAUAAAAAUUUAGAAUAUUUAGAAUAUUAUAUAAAAUAAUUUUAAUAUAAUGCGUGAUAUAUAUUUUAUUAAUUUAAAAUGUCAUUUUACCUAAAAAAUAUGAUAAAUUAAUAAUUACAUAUUUGAAGUUAUUUCAAAUAUUAAAAAAAUUUAAUAUUAUUAAUCUUUUAGAUAGAUUAAAUUAUUUUUUAUAAGAGAGAUUAAAUUAUUUUAAAAUGCCUUAAUUGUUUUUACUUUUAACGUUACGGGCCUUUCUUUUAUUUUAUUGCAAAUUAAUGCUAACUAGAAAAACAAAAACAAAAGUGACAAACACAACCAGCUGGAAUCUUUUAUAAAACUACAAAUUAAAAUGGAUUUUUUUUUUUUGUUGAUAAAUUACACAUGAAAGUGGAUUCUUUUGAAUAUAAGUGGGGUAGGCUCUUUUAUUUUUUUUUUAAUACCGUAUAACAGGACUGUAGACUCUUUUAUUAAGCACAAAUAUAGAGUUGUCGAGACAAUUAGGGUCUUUUAUUAAACUACAAAUUGUAUAGUCUUUUUUAAAUUGUUCAGAUAUUUAUAAAUUGGUGGCCCCUACAAUCCUCAAUAAUUGUACCGAUAUUCACAAGCUGGUGGCCCCUACAAUCCUUAAUAAUUGUUUUUUUUUUUUUCUGCAUUCCCUUUCAUGCUCUUAAUAAUUAAAGAGCAUACUUUUCAAAUGUGGAGCCGCGGCUAAUGUCGCUAAUUUAAUUUGGGAUUAAAUUAGGGGACUAUUAUAUUGCAGUGUGCACUAAUUUUUAUGUUUAUCUAAACUCCUUAAAUUUAAGAUAUAUUAUGGCAUAAAUAAGAAUAUAACAAUAGCAAAAGAGUUAGAAAGUGUAGAGAAGAUCUUGCAGAAAUAUAAAUAAUAUUUAUUUUAAAAUAAUAUCAAUAUUUAAAAUAAUUUUUAUUAUUUUAUGAUCCAUUAGAUAUAUUUUAUUAUAUUAAAGUAAAUUUUAUAAUAAAUAAAAACAUACUAUUAAAAUGAAUAUAUAGAAAAUUUAGAGUAUUUUAAGUAUUAUAUAAAAUAAUUUUAAUAAAAUAUGUGAGAUAUUCAUAUUUUAUUAAUUUAAAAUACCAUUUAACCUAAAGAUUUAUUUAUGAUAAAUUAAUAAUUAUAUUUUUGAAAUUACUUCAAAUAUUAAAAAAAUUAAUAUUACUAAUCUAUUAGAUAGAUUAAAUUAUAUAUAUUAUUUUCUAUUUAUUAAAAAAUUUCAAAUUAUUUUUAAUUACUAUUCAAAAAAUAUGAUGAUAAAAAAAUCUUAACAUCUUUAUUAAAAAAUUAAAAACUUACAUGAUCAAUUCUCUAAAUAUUUAGGGUAUAUGUGAACCACGGUGGACAGAGGUCAUUACUAAAAUUUCUCUUCCACAGGCAAUUACAGCAGCUCCAGUUUAUCAAACUCAACCAAUUUUCUUUCUUAACAAAAUUCCAAAGAUGUGUAGCUUUUUUCAGAUCACAUGCGAUGGUGCUUUUUUCAAUCGUUGCUUGGAUUGCUUUCUUGGAAAAGCAGCAUACAUACGUAACCUCCAAGAUAAUCUUGAUGCCUUGGACACUGAACUGGGAAGACUAAUCGCAGCAAAGAACGAUGUGAUGAUUAGGGUUGUCAAUGCUGAACGGCAAUAAAUGAGAAGGCUGGACGGAGUGCAAGUGUGGGUUUCGAGUGUGGAUGCUGUUAAAACUGGAGCCGAUGAACUUAUCACAGACGGCUCUGAAGAAAUUGGCAAAUUAUGUGUUGGAGGCUACUGUUCCAAGAACUGCAGGUCAAGCUACAAAUUCGGAAAACAAGUGGCUAGAAAGCUACGAGAUGUGGAGACUUUAAUCGCCGAAGGAGUUUUUGAGGCGGUGGCUACUGAGGUGGUGCCUGAGAGAGCUCCAGAGCCUGUAGCAGAUGAAAGACCUACCGAGCGAAAAGUAGUAGGCUUGCAAUCACAACUUGAACAAGUCUGGACGUGUCUUGUGGAAGAAUCAGCGGGAAUCAUUGGCCUAUACGGUAUGGGCGGUGUUGGUAAAACCACACUAUUGACCCAUAUCAACAAUAAAUUUCUCGAGAGUCCAACCAACUUUGAUUGUGUGAUUUGGGUAGUAGUUUCAAAAGACCUGCGACUUGAAAAACUUCAAGAAGAUAUUGGGAAAAAGAUAGGUUUGGUUGGUGAUUCAUGGAAGAGUAGAAGUGCAGAGGAGAAAGCUCUCGACAUCUUCCGGAGUCUAAGAGGGAAGAGAAUUGUAUUGUUGUUAGAUGAUAUAUGGGAGCGGGUUGAUUUAACAAAAGUGGGCGUUCCACUUCCUGGACCACAAAAUACUACCUCAAAAGUCGUAUUCACAACNNNNNNNNNNNNNNNNNNNNNNNNNNNNNNNNNNNNNNNNNNNNNNNNNNNNNNNNNNNNNNNNNNNNNNNNNNNNNNNNNNNNNNNNNNNNNNNNNNNNNNNNNNNNNNNNNNNNNNNNNNNNNNNNNNNNNNNNNNNNNNNNNNNNNNNNNNNNNNNNNNNNNNNNNNNNNNNNNNNNNNNNNNNNNNNNNNNNNNNNNNNNNNNNNNNNNNNNNNNNNNNNNNNNNNNNNNNNNNNNNNNNNNNNNNNNNNNNNNNNNNNNNNNNNNNNNNNNNNNNNNNNNNNNNNNNNNNNNNNNNNNNNNNNNNNNNNNNNNNNNNNNNNNNNNNNNNNNNNNNNNNNNNNNNNNNNNNNNNNNNNNNNNNNNNNNNNNNNNNNNNNNNNNNNNNNNNNNNNNNNNNNNNNNNNNNNNNNNNNNNNNNNNNNNNNNNNNNNNNNNNNNNNNNNNNNNNNNNNNNNNNNCAGGAAGUCCUAGUGCGUGCUAUCAGAAAAGAUGCUGGGAACUGUUUCGCGAAAAUGUUGGGGAAGAAACUCUUGAGAGUGAUCAUGAGAUCGUUGAGCUAGCCCAAACUGUGGCCAAAGAGUGUGGUGGUUUGCCACUCGCACUUAUUACUAUUGGUCGAGCUAUGGCCUACAGAAAGAAAGCGGAGCAGUGGAGACGUGCAAUUGAAGAGUUAAGAAGAUCAGCUUCAGAGUUUGCAGGUUUGGGAAAAGAGGUGUAUCCUCUUUUAAAGUUUAGCUAUGAUAGUUUGCAGAAUGAUACAAUUAGAUCUUGUUUCUUGUAUUGUUGUUUAUAUUCUGAAGAUUAUGGCAUUCUUAAAUGGGACUUGAUUGAUUGUUGGAUUGGUGAGGGAUUUUUGGGGGAAUCUGACAGGUUUGGUGCAGAAAACCAAGGAUAUGACAUUUUGGACACUCUUGUUCGUGCAUGUUUAUUAGAAGAGGUGGAAGAAGAUGAAGUAAAAAUGCAUGACGUUAUUCGUGAUAUGGCUAUAUGGAUAACCAGUGAAAUUGAGAAGGAGAAGAGAAACUUUUUGGUUUGUGCAGGUGCUGGAUUAGAAGAGGCACCGGAUGUUAAAGAAUGGGAAAAUGUGAGAAGAUUGUCAUUGAUGCAAAACCAAAUUGAAACUCUGUUUGGGGUUCCCACAUGCCCUCAUCUCAUCACUUUAUUUAUUGACUUUAAUAGGGAGUUGAAGACUAUCGCGGAUGGCUUCUUCCGAUGUGUGCCUUCUCUCAAAGUUUUGAAGAUGUCAAACUGUGGAAAGCCUUAGAAAGGUUUGGAAUUACCUUUGGGGAUGUCAAAGUUGGGUUCACUACAACUUCUUGAUAUUUCACACACCUGCAUACAAGAAUUACCACAAGAAUUAAAGUUGUUGGUAAAUCUGAAAUGUUUGAAUUUGAGGCGGACAAUUUGGUUAAAUAAAAUUUCAUGGCAACUAAUAUCAAAAUUUUCAAGGUUACGUGUGUUGAGAAUGUUCGCUACUGGCUGGUUCAGUUUUCAUGAAGCACCAGAAGACAGCGUUUUAUUUGGUGGGGGUGAAGUUUUGAUACAGGAAUUGCUCGGUUUGAAAUAUUUAGAGGUAUUGGAGUUGACCUUGGGAAGUUAUCAUGCUCUCCAAAUUCUUUUGAGCUCAAAUAAGUUAAAAAGUUGUAUUCGAUCUCUUUUCCUACAGUUGUUCAGAGAUACAACGUCGAUUAUUGAUGCUACGGCUUUCGCAGAUCUAAACCACCUCAAUCAAUUAUGUAUUAGUAACGGUUCUGAGUUGGAAGAAUUGAAGAUUGAUUAUACGGAGAUAGUACGAAAAAGGCGGGAACCUUUUGUUUUCCGCAGCCUUCAACGUGUUACCAUAGAGGAGUGCCAUAAAUUGAAAGAUUUGACAUUCCUCGUUUUUGCUCCAAACCUCAAGUCUCUUUCGCUAUACGAUUGCGGUGCUAUGGAAGAAAUAAUCAGCGUCGGAAAAUUUGCUGAGACUCCUGAGAUGAUGGGACAUAUAAGCCCUUUUGAAAAUCUCCAAAUGCUUUAUUUAAUGGCAUUGCCGGAGUUGAAGAGCGUCUACUGGAAGCCAUUGCCUUUCACUCAUCUGAAAGAAAUGGAGGUACUUGGGUGUGAUCAGCUUAAAAAGCUUCCACUCGAUUCCAACAGUGCAAAAGAGCGUAAAUUUGUAAUUCUUGGAGACACACAGUGGUGGAACCGUCUUCAAUGGGAGGAUGAAGCCACUCAAAUUGCUUUUCGUUCCUAUUUCCAAACCUGAUUCCUGAGCGGUGGUCGCAAAAUUUGAUUUCUGGUGAGUGCGUUUGUCUUUUAAAAGAAGAAUUUAAAAGAAAUUUAUUCUUGUCGUUUUCUUCUCUGUUUUUAUUUCAGUUUGUUUCUCUCUCUCUCUUUUUGUCUUCUGCAAAUCACAAUUAAAUGUUGAAUUAAUGGAAUUAAUGCUUCAUAAAUUUGCCGGCACUGCCAGUACUUUUUUUUUUUUUUAAUACGAAUUGAUGCUUUAUUUAUUUCUUCUUAGCGAUUUAAUUUCCUGUCAAAAGACGAGCGAGAAGAACAUAUGACUUAAACCAAUUGAUACUUUAUUUAUGUGCAUUGUAUGUAAUAAAAUUUUCUCUGUUUUUUUCAAAUUGAGGCUUUAUUUAUAUUUUCUUCGUGAAGAGUGAUUUAAUUUCCUGCCAAAAGACAAACGAGAAGAACAUUAGAGUCAAACUAAUGCUCACAUAAAUUUCCCGUAAGAAUAUAUAUAUAAUUAGACUGGAAUGCACACCUCUAGAUUGAACAGAAUUAAAGCUGAGAAAAUAUUGAGUAUAGUAGCCCUCUUUACAGAAAAUGACGCGAAAGUUAAUUUAGAAAGAUAUAUUCUUGAUUAAUCCAUUUUCUGAAGUUUUUUAUUUUGUAUGGUCAAUUAUACCUUCAUACUAAAAAAAAAAAAAAAAAAGAGAAAAUAUGUAAUCCAUGAAUGGUUAAUUUUGUUUGUUUGUUUUUUUUUCUUAAAUAUCAUUCUUUUUCGGCCACCCAAGGACAUUUUCACAAAUACCUUUUGUGUGCAGAAGUCUUCCAAACCAUCAAUGGAAAAAUAAAAAAUAAAAAAAACACGGUCCAGUAUACCUCAAAAUAUCAUUGAUGACUUUUCUGGUCUAAUGCUAUGUAAAUAGUAUGUUAAGUAAAACAUAAUCAGUUCAGUACCUCACAAAUAAUUCGCAAUAUCUACAAAAUACUAUAAUGGCUACAAAACAAAUCCUGCUUGCAAAUUGUCAAGGAUACCUAUCCGUUCGCUUGACAAGUCAUUUGAAUAAAUAUUGUUCACAUUCCUUACUCUGUCAAUUAUCCAAAGCACCAUCAACUUUAGUUUGAAUAGUAUACAUGCCAUCACCGUUACCAAGAAUCAAGCAUGGAAGGGUCAUUCUAUAGAGUGCAGAACAUGACUCUAUGCGGUAGUCAAUUUGACACACGACGAACACCAUAUGCUGCAUAACAUACAAAUUAAUUUCCCAUAUGUGAUGCAAUUUUCUCCUCAACAUAUGCGCAAUUCUUUCCAUUCCGGCAUUUACACUCAAAUUUUCCUUCCUUUCUCUUUGUGGUUGAAUCUUACACCACAACUCAUGUGAUGCAAUCUCCUCUCGCUGCCUAAAUUGCACUCUCAGCAAAGCAGCAUAUGUAAGCAAGCUUGAAGAUAAUCUUGCUGCUCUGCAGAAGAACGGCAAAAGUUAAUCGAAGCAAGGAAUGAUGUAUCAGAAAAUAUUUGGUGGAGAAUUCAGCACAAACAUAUUUCGGAUGAUCAGAAUCAAUAAAACCUGGUGGUUGUGCCAUAUAAACAUCUUUGGAAAGCUGACCUUGAAGAAAGGCGUUAUUGAUAUCCAAUUGAUGAAGAGGCCAGCCAUGACUAACAUCAAUACUAAGAACAAGCCGUACUGUGGUGGACUUAACAACUGGACUGAAAGUGUCAUAAUAGUCCACACCAGGCCAUUGAUUGAACCCUUUGGCAACAAGAUGAGCUUUAAACCUGUCAACAGAACCGUUGGAAUGUCUUUUAAUACAAAAAUCCAUUUGCAGCCAACAAUAUUGGAAGGGAUGGGAGGUGGAACAAGCUUCCAUGUCCCGUUACGAACAAGAGCAUCAUACUCUUCUGACAUAGCUGGACGCCAGUGAAGAUUUUUGAUAGCUUGCGUCACAGUUGUAGGUUCACAAUCAGAAGAAGGGCUAAAAUGAGCACGGAGGUUAAGUUUUUGUAACGGCUUGUGAAUCUUAUUUUUAGCUCGGGUAGUCAUAUCAUGAUGACUUGUGGGGCAAUGAUCUAGUGGAGUUUAGGAAGAUGAUUGAACAGGAAGUGAAGAAGUGCUUUGUGUAGAGGUAGAAGUAGGUUGGGAGGAUUGCUGCGGAGAUGUUACCGGUAGAGAAGAAGGAGCAGUACACGGUGGCAACUCCAGAGGGCCCACAAUAGAUGGAGUAGGUGCCGACAAUGGAGUACUAGGAAAUGAAACAGGAAGAAUUGGUGGAACACUUGCAUAAUUAGGAGUGGUAGAUGAGCUUGUAAUGAUUUGCAUGGAAAAACAAACUCUACAAAUUUAACGUGACGUGAAAUAAAAAUUUGAAAGGUGGAUGGGUCAAAACAUAAAUAAGCACUUUGAGAUAAAGGAAUAUCCUAGAAAAACACAAGGCUUAGAGGGUGGUUCGAGUUUAUGUGAUGAAACACAAACAUUCAAAAAAUUUUAAGUUUAUAUUAAUUAGGAGUGGUACCAAAAAUUAAUUAGCUAUGGGGUUGUUGGAUGUGUUUUGGAUAUUUACAGUUAAGUUUGAGUAUCUCAACUUAAAAUUUGUAGUUUUCACUUGAAAAAAUUCAGUUAAAUUUUGCAAUGCAGACUGAUUGAUUUAUCAGUUUAACGUGUGCCAGGAAUGAAGAACUGGAAUAUCACCGUCAAGCAAGCACCCUGUGGAGCAAUACCAAAGAAUGCACAAUCUGGCUUUGCUAGGUAACACUGGAGGCUUUUUGAAAAGUGCUUCACGCUCACUUGCACAGAUUGAGCAUCCCCUCUGGAUAUUGCCCUCUCUGAUCGAGUCUGAGCACUCAAAUUUUGGUCCUCAGAGGGAGCUACAGUUUUCUCUCCACUAACCAACAAUAUUCUAAACUCAGCACCUAGUGUGAUCAGAGUUGUUGAUAUUUGCAAAUGGAGAUCCCCAUAUUUGCAAAUGGAGACAUUUAACAAAUCACCAACAUGCUUCAUCCGGUCCACGAAAUUCUGCAACUGAUGCAAAUCUGGAACCUGAACCAGAGUCGGAGGUAUAUCUUGAGCCAUAUCUAAAGCAGUUUGAAGUUCAAGACCUUGAGCCCUUGACAAUGGUUUUGAAAUUGGAACAUCUUGGAUUACUGCAGACUUGUACCCCUUGGUUUCAAAGGUAAGGAAAGGCAUUGCUUGAGUACAAUUUGGAGGCAGCUUCUUCACCAAUUUUAUUUGGAGGCGAUUGGCAGCGGAUCCAGCUGCACCAAUUUCAGAGCAACUACUGACACUACUUCGAACAGCACACUGAAGAAGUGAUAUGUCUACGGCGAAGGCAAUGCAGUCCUCAUUUUGGCUUGAGACACAGUAAUCAUCGAAGAGAGUUUCCUUGUGAAACUGGGCAACACAUUGAAUCCCUUCGGCACUGAGAAGGUUGUGGAGGAAGUAAGCUUUCUCUCUAGUAAGGAAGAGGUGGCAUACAUUCCCCAUUUUGUCUAGGGCAGGUAGGAAUCUUUUUUCUAAGAGAUUUACUUCAUUCUCUGUGAGAAAUGCUUUGAACUUCAUCCCUCUGUCUCUAUCCUCACUUAUCAGUAAAAUAGUUGAAAGCGCUACAAGGAGAGAAAAGAAGAGUAUUAAGAUAUAUAUAUUAUAUAGACAAGAAAAACAUUAGAUGUCGAUCUUACAAGCUAAUACUUCAAACAAUAUCCUAGAAAGCUAAAAACUGCAAGAUGGCUUGAAAUUUGAAAAGAGCACGUGCUUUUCCUCCUUAACUUGAGAAAAUGUUUAAUAUAGUGCACCUUACAGAAGCAUUUAAGCAAUUAGAACUUUGCACAAAAACAUCAAGAAGACUAAACAAGUCAGAUGCAGUGUAUUUGUCCAAGCACAAAUUGCAUUUUGUCCUCAACUUUAAUAUUUAUUGAUGAGAAUCAAUACAGGUCCCUCAUUUGUUAUAGAAAGCUUUCUUGUAGUCUCACCAGUUAAUAUGGAUAUUAGAUAAGGAAACUUUAUUAGGUUGCGAGGGUAAAAAAGGAAAGAGAUAUCAUUAUUUUAUUAUCGAUAAUUAUUAAAUUUUUUUCCAAAAAAAAGAACAAGCAAGGAUAUUUUAUUGUCAAUUGCAACCUUUAAUUUUUUUAAAUGCUAUUAGAAACACAAGAUAACAAAAAUGUAGUGAGAUGGGAUCUCCUGCAUGCCACUCUGGUUUAGAACACAAAGAAUGUGUCUGCAUAAAUAUCCUCUGAAAUUGAACAACCCACAAACACAAAGCACCUCCAAGUCGGAGGCAUUGUACAAAACAUCAAAAGCCCUUGAAUCCUUCUCGUUGCCACCAACCUCGAAUUCUUCCUUCACUAUGUAUGUUAUAGGUCCAUCAGAACUAAUAUGUUUUGUGCUAUAGUAAGAGUACAUAGCCUCCACCUCCAUCUGAAACUUCCUUAACAUUUCAUUUGUGUACAGUUUUGAGAGUUGAAAUUCAUAGUAACAUCUUGGUUUCCGGAUACAACUUGAAUUUCUUGAAUCCAUAUCUGCCAAGGCUACCAGUUGAUAAUUCGCCUGCAGUGCUUGAUCAUACUUGUCUAAGAAUUCUUUCAAAGGAGUAUUCUUAUCAAGAUAUCCUUCAAAGUAUGAAGUAGAAACCUCAUUCUGCAGGAACGAAAACACUCCUGAUAAAAAAGCUUCCUUCAAAUAAAUAGGAGCCCACCUUUUAUGAUCUUCAUAUAAAGUUUGAAUCCAUCCGUGAUCCUUUAUUCCAUGACAUUGAAUCAUGUCUUCCCAAGCUGCUUCAAAUUUCUCAGGCCUGAGAGAGUGAUAAAUUGCUCUAUGUAAUGCAGCUUUAAUAGCUUCAUAUUCAAACAAUCCUUGGAGUUUCUCUGGAAUUUUUUUGCAUGAUGCAUGACAAUGAAAAGAAAUGAUAAGCUCUUGGGAAAACAUCACCAACAGCAAUUUGCAAGAUUCUACAUUGGUCAGUGAUGAUUGUUUGUGGAGAGCGCCCUAACAUACAUGUAAGCCACGCCGUAAACAACCAUGUAUAUGAUUCUAUGGUCUCACUGGCAAGUAAACCACAACCCAACAACACUGAUUGUCCAUGAUGAUUCACCCCAAUGAAUGAAACCAGUGGUACAUCAUAUCUUUCAGUCAGGCACGUAGUAUCAAUUAAGACCACAUCACCAAAGUACCUAUAUGCAACUCUUGACCUGGUAUCAGUCCAGAAUAGGUUUUUCAAGCAUCCCUUUUCAUUUAGAUCCACUACAUUAAAAAAGUUUGGAUCUGUCAACUGCAAAUGACAAAAGAAACUCUGGACAGCUUGUGCAUCUCCUGGUUUAAGCUUCAAUUGAUUUGAGCUAUUAACAUUAUUUCCAAAUACUCCAUUAACAUCUACCAUUUCCCUUGGUAUCAAUGAUAAGAGUUCGAAACAGUUUAAUUUUUUGAACUUCUUCAGCACUAUCUAAAUGCAAUGUUCUUUUGGUUCCAAUACCUAUGUGCUUAUGUGACUUGUAAAACUUUCCGCUUCUUGGGCUUAACAAGUGGUUAUGCUCAAGCUCGACUUCAAUGAUUCUCCACCUUUUGGUUUCCAUCAACCUAAACUUUAUCAUUGCUGGACAGCCAGUUCUUGUUUCUGGUCUUGGGCGGUUUGCCUCGCUUUUCUUCUUGAAGCCUGCACUACUACAGCUCAGCUUUCCUCUAUACUUUUCUCUACUCUUUCGGUACCAUGGAUUGCUAACUCUAACACCAAAACCCUGUUCCUUGGCAUAGCAAUUGUAAAAGUAAUAUACAUCAUCAUACAUCUCAAACUCCAUUCCAACAGUAGGAGGCAAGGGAUUUUGGAUUAUCCCAGUUUGUCCAACAUAUUCAGUCAUCGCACAAUCUCCUACAACCUCAAAAUCAUCAGUGUCAUCAUCACCUACUGGUUCGGUGUUGAGAGAAACUUCAUCCAUCUACAAUGGAUGUUCAAUGAAGUGAGCUUUAAGGAGAAAAAGCAAAAUCUGUUCAAGGAAUGAUAAUAUAAUCAUACAGUUACUUUCACAAAGCUUCAUAUUUCAUCACUGCUUUACCAACAUGCAACUGCCAGAGAACAAACAGACAUGUCAUAGACGCUUGAAUUAAGUAUUGGUACAAAUGAGCACACAUCAUGUGGGACAAAAUUUCAGUCACUAAACCCAAUACCACUUUUUACAUCAUACCAAGGAACAGAUUAAACCCGACACCUUCUUUUAAACCAUACCAAGGAACAGAUUAAAUCAUCAAUGAAAAAUUAAUCACAUAAUAACUUAACCAGACAAAUGAAGAGCCUGAAACAGCACAAAACUUGAAUCUGAUUAUGAUAAUUGUUGAGUCCUUGUAUCUACAGCUUUCCUUCAAUGAUAAGACAAUGAACAUAAACGAGACACAAAAAAAUUAUUUUAAACUGACAGCCCAUGAUAUAAAUCAAACAAAAUCAACUCCUUUUUUUACACAUUACAUCUCAUAUUCAUUUACAUUGAAACACAAAAAGGAAGCAGGAGUGGGAAAAAAACAACAGCAGAGGAACUUAUUUCCAUAAGGUUUACGAAAUAAGGAAUCUAUUAAAACCCAAAACUUGAGGUCACCACUAAGAAUUUGGUUCUCAUUAUUUUUUUCUUCAUUUUUCACCAAUUGAUGAACUUAAAAUACAAUCAUAAAUGAUAAAACCCCAUCUCCAUCUUUUUGAACUAGAGCUAAAGCAAAGCAUUUUAAGAUGUUUCAUCAUUUUUUUUUUUAAAAAAAACUCAAUAGUACAAUGUUUUUCAAUGCUAAAUGCACAAUUCAAUCUUCUCCUAAUUUACUCUAAUAAUCUCUUAAUUAAGGAAGAUUAAGCUUCAGUUGUAAGCUAAAACAAAUUUCUUAAAUCAAGCCCCAAUGCUUUAUGCUAUUCAACAAGGGCUCAUAAAUGAUAAAACUACUUCUAUAAAGAUACCCAUUUUCUAAAUUAAUUUCACAAACUGAAAUCAAACUCCUGAAACGUAACGAGCAUUAAUAUAAUCAAGCCCGAACAAGAAUUGAAAAAUGAUACAUAAACUCGUUUACACAUUUCGACAGACACUUUGCAAUCAAUGAGCAAAAAAUUAAUGGAGAAGAUAAAAUUCAAACGAAACAUGCCUUACAUUGAUAAAUUAGAAGGGCAAAAGAAAUUUUAGUACGAUAUGCGAUCAGGGUCUUGCCACGGUGAUGUUAUUUGUGAAGUUCGAGCGACUCAGCAGCCUUCGAGGUUGAAAAUUUGAUUGACCAAAAGCUUCCCGUUCGUUGAUUCUCUAAUAGUAGAAACGAGACUGGCAGUAUACACAAGAAGUUCGCCGAUUUUAAAUUCCGUUGUUUGAGAUGGAAAAUUUUUUGAAAAAAUUAAUGUGUUCGAUGAAAAUCAAAAUCUCAAAAACCUCUUGUUUUUCAUUUUUUUGGAAAAAACCAUUGAGAUCCUUACUAUUUUUUCUUAUAUCAUCUUCCUUAAUAAUUUGCAAAGUCUAUCGCAUAGCACCCAUGUAUGAUGUAUGCUGCGUUGUAAUUUACAAAAUUGCACAUGAAUAAAUCCAGCUAAAAUUUGUUAAAAGAAAAUAAUAAUAACAUGUUAAAACUUUAAAAUUUGAUUAUUCGAAGAAAUUUUAAUUUAGUUAAGUAGGUGACAUGAUAAUAAAUAGAUACGUAUAAUGUCCGAGAUUUUUUAUAAGAUUAAUAAAUAUGAUAAAUUUGGAUUAGUUCAAUUUUGACAUAAUUCAUAAUAAACACAGCUUGCUAAUCUAAAUUGCCACCGUUACUCAUCAUCAGGUACCUGUUUGAAAAAUAAUUACAAACAAUUUUAUUUGUGUUGUUUCUCUAAAAGUUUGAGACACAAAUGUUAUUUCAAAUUGAUAAAAGUACGAAAAUUCCCCCUUGCUCUUCAACUAAAAAUGAAACAUGCAAAUAUACACACUAAUUUAGAUGUGUGAAUAACAAAUAUGGAACGACACAUGCAAAGUCAUCUGUAUAAUUGAAACGCCAUGCACUAGUAGUAGGUAAGAGAAACCAAGGUUGAAGUUGCUCCAAUGGUUACUGUUAAUUUAUUUUUAUUUAUGAUUUUUUUUGUAAAAUGUAAGAAAUAUGUAGAAAUGUUGCCAGCAAUGAUUUUGGAACUUUGCAUAAAAUUUUUAUCAUUAUUGUUUUUGGUAUUAAGAAAUCCGAGGCGGUGAUUAGACGUAUGUUGCAACAAUUAAGAAAUUUCUUAUUGGAGAUAAUUUGGUAGGUUUGCAGCAAUUAGAGAAUAAUUUUCCUGCCAGUUAAUCAAUCAAUAAUAAAUUUCAAAUUGCAGAAAAUAAAAUAAUACAGCCUCACUUAGAAUCAUCUUUUCUAUCUCUUUCAAUUGUGGCAAUCAUUUGCAACAAAUAAAUCAAUUUGAUGCACAUCAUUUCCCCAAUUCAAAGUUCAAGUCACUGCUCAAUUACAGAGUAGUUAGUGGACAUGCAUGCAUGUUUAAUUAAGUACUGCAUUGUAGUAUCGAAAAUCAUAACAUCUCACCAAUAUCAGAUUAUUAACCAUGGAAAUCAUAUCACAAUAUCAUAUAGAAUUCACAAAUCUGAAAAUCAUCACCAAACAAGUACCCAGAGAAAUAAUCUCGUCAUAUCCAGACCUCAACGGACGGGCAAUGACGUACUAUUUGGGUAACGUCACACCCUGGAGCUACACGGAUAAAUAGGAAAAUACCAUCUCAUAUCUCAUCAUAUUUGUGCAUGCAUAAUCUAGUCCCCAAGGGACAAAAGCGCCCAAGCACACGGCCCAAAGCCUCUAUGUGUACUCAGACGGGCCCCAAAGGCCUGUAUCUCAUAUGUAUCAUAUGUAUCAUUUGUAUCUCAAUAUCUGUUUGUAUCUCAUUUCCGUAUAUCUAUAAUCAUCAUACCGCAUGCAUAUGCCCCCAAAAGACAAAAGCGCCCAAACACAUGGCCCAAAGCCUUUAUAUGUGUUUAGACGGGUCCCAAAAGCCUCUUAUCUCAUCUUAUCUGUAUCACUGUAUCUGGAGAGAAGGGUACUGUCUAAUGAUUUAAAAAACAAUCAUUAUACUCAUAUUUACAUACCUCUUAAUCAUAUUUGAAAUCAUAUCACAUUUGAAUCCACUUUUCUAAUCUUUAAAAUAUUAUCAUGCUUUAUUCAAAGUCGAUACGCAAAAUCAAUAACCAAACAUUUUAAAUCAAAUUAUUAACCAUGGAAAUCAUAUCACAAUAUCAUAUAGAAUUCACAAAUCUGAAAAUCAUCACCAAAUAAGUACCCAAAGAAAUAAUCUCGUCAUAUCCGGACCUCAACGGACGGGCAAUGACGUACUAUCUGGGUAACGUCACACCUUGGAGCUACACGGAUAAAUAGAGAAAUACCAUCUCAUAUCUCAUCAUAUCUGUGCAUGCAUAAUCUAGUCCCCAAGGGACAAAAGCGCCCAAGCACACAGCCCAAAGCCUCUAUGUGUACUCAGACGGGCUCCAAAGGCCUGUAUCUCAUAUGUAUCAUAUGUAUCAUUUGUAUCUCAAUAUCUGUCUGUAUCUCAUAUCCGUAUAUCUAUAAUCAUCAUACCGCAUGCAUAUGCCCCCAAAAGACAAAAGCGCCCAAACACAUGGCCCAAAGCCUUUAUAUGUGUUCAGACGGACCCCAAAAGCCUCUCAUCUCAUCUUAUCUGUAUCACUGUAUCUGGAGGGAAGGGUACUGUCUAAUGAUUUAAAAAAUAAUCAUUAUACUCAUAUUUACAUACCUCUUAUCAUAUUUGAAAUCAUAUCACAUUUGAAUCCACUUUUCUAAUCUUUAAAAUAUUAUCAUGCUUUAUUCAAAGUCGAUACGCAAAAUCAAUAACCAAACAUUUUAAUAAAAUACCAAUGCAUAAAUAAAAUUCAUUUCGAGAAAUCAUUAAAUCAGAACAUUUAAAAUACUUAUUUCGCAAACAUGCUUUACUAUCAUCGCUAACUAUGAAAAUAAGUUUUGUAUAUUCCACUUUCAGUGAUGGUGUUCACGGUCGGUUAUCGUCCAUAUCUGCAGACCGAUUCUCGCUCGCGAAUCCUCCUAAAUCAAGGAAACGACAUAAUUAUUUUUUGUAAAUCGGAAUUAUGACUAAAUUUUAUGCAAUAAACUCAAAACGAACAUCUAUUCAUAAUUGACAACUCCUAUAUCCAUAAAAUUACUAAAAUAUCCUUGAGUCCGUAGAUCAUUAACAUGCUCCGAAAUCGUAAAUCACUGAAUUACCCUCGGAAUCGUAAUUACACCCGAUCCUCAAUUAUAGGAAUUACUAACAGAUCCACAGGCUUAGAAAUUACAAAAUUGCCCUCGUAGUGUGAAAUUACCAAAAGCCGGAAGUUGGUCAACAAUGGCUAGGAAGCUCAAAUCGUAAAGUUCCAAUCACGCUGAGUUCAAUGGUACCGGCGGUGAGCUCCAACGCGCGACAACGAUGCCAGAAUCUAGCUCGGCAGCCGUGAAUUCCACCAAUCGACCGGCGGCACAACAGUGACUCUCGGUGCCUAUGGAUGGUCGAAAAUGGAAGAGGGAGCCGUGGGGAACAAAAUCCAACCGGUGGUGUCACCAAAACCGGUGAAAAUCCCGGCGGAGCAAAGUGAAACAGUCGCGGGUUUCAUGCUUCGAUCGCCGGUGUUCCGAUUGGUUUUUGGCGAGGAGGAUGGCAAGGGAACGACAGCCGGCUUCUAAGCUUCAGAUUGGUACCAAGCUCGGCCGAAACGAUGGCCGGAAAUGGGAGAUAUGACCGGGUCAAGGUCGCGGGUUCCGGGUCGGGUUUUUUGGUCUGUAGUUGGGUCGGUUUGGUAGCUUCUCUCUCACUCUCUGUUACACGUGCAUAUGUUUCCUCUGUUUCCAGCUUAUUCUUUUGCUUUUACUAACUUCUUAACCGCCUCAUACUUAUUCAUUUUUAAUUCACAUAUGUUACAAUAAUUCCCGAGUAUUAAAUAACCAGUGGUCAUAAUUUUUGUACAAGAUUCUUUUUUUUUUUUGGAGAUCGUUAAAAGUGGUUGACGAUCCAUUUCGUAAUAUCAUAGAGGGAUCAUCAAUUCCUUUUCUUUUCUGUGGCUAGGCAACACUUUUUGGCCAAAGUAAGGAAAUCUAUUUUAGGUAAUGUAAAAACCAGUUGUAGGAUGUAAUAGUUUAUUAUGCACUGACAAUAACUUUUUGUAUAAUUGUCAGUUUAAUGAAUGCAAGAGGAACUCUGUUGGCAAAUUCAUCCAAGAUAGAUGCUAAAAUUAUUUAUGCAUGCCAGUUGCCUUAACUAAGUUUUCUCAGCACUGGUUUUGAACAGGAAAAUGAAUAUGCAAUUUGUAUAUUGUGCCAUAGUGGAGAAUUUGGAUAUUCUUAUUUAAGUAACAAGGAGAUUAUUUGCCUCAUCUUUAAACAAUGAAUCUUUGAGAGAUGAGGAGUGGGUGAUUGGAUGUGUCUUCAUGUAAUUGUUCAUUUAUUUGUAUUUUGAACUGUUAUGAAAAUCUUUAUAUGCCAAAUUAGUAAUACAAGUAUUCAGAUGAUUUUUCCUAUUGAUCAUGCAUUUGUAUCUGCCCACAACCAUUGUAUAUCACUUUAUUCUGAUGCGCAAGCAUCUGUAAUUUAGAAGAAAAGAAAUAAUAAUCAUAUUUUAUUGCUUGGUUCAUGAUUAUUAACGAUUAUGGCUUUAAAAAUCUACAAAUUUCUUGUGUUCAUGUAUGAAUGUGCCAAGUUUGCUGUAUCUUAGAUUACCUUCUUCCAAGGUAACAAGUUCAUAUAUAUAUAUUUUUUAAAUCAUUUUCCAUUACAGUUGAAUUUCAAGUGUUAGUUUUGUUAUUAGUACCUGGUUUCCUGUUAUAAGGAUCUAAUAAACAGUGUACGGAUAUGUGCUCUACUUUUGGAGGGCUUCCACGUGAAAGAAAAUUACAACAAUUGAAUUCUUCCGGAGGAUAUGGUAAUUAAUUUAUUUUCUCAACUUCUUGUAAGACUAAUAUAUUUCCUUCAGUAGGCACAGCAUGGUGGGAAGGGUUUUUAUUGAAAGAAUUCUGAUAUUUCUUAGACUUUGUUUUGGAAGGGGGUGGAGGAAUUUCUCAUCCAUAUAUGGUUACUUGAUUAGCUUUUGACUGUAUUGUCUCUGUCGUGCAAAGGAAAAUCUAAAUACUAACGAUGGGGAAUUGCUUAGGCACCCAAAAGGCAGAAAUGAAUUACAGAAGGAAGUUUUUGCUGCUUUAUUUAGUGCUGCUGAGAAAUCUGAUGAAUUUCCUGAAAUUACGGUGAAGACCGAGUGGAGGUCCAAAGCAUUAGGAAAGGUGGUGAGUGAACUGCCGGAGGAAUUUGUACCAAAAUACAAGGCUAAUGUGGUGCACUUGCAGCAAGAUAACCAGACCGGUAUGUGCUCUUAUAUUAACUAUAUUGACUGGAUUUGUGAGUGUGUGCAUUUUUUUGUGUAUACUCACUUUUGUAUUUAUGCAUAUUAACAUGUGUAGGAUUCUUGAUUUCUGCCACUUACUGGAGAACUAGUGGAAAGCUUUAUAUUGAUAUAUCUGCAAUAACUAAUGGAAACUAUGAUAUGAAUAUUUUCUCUCACCUGGGGAGCUGUGUAACAGAUAUACUUUGUGGCUCUGGAAUGCUGAAGAUUCUGCAAUAACUAAUGGAAAAUAUGAUAUGAAUAUUUUGUCUCACCUGGAGAACUUUGUUACAGAUACCCUUUGUGGCUCUGGAAUGUCUAAAGAAUGCUUUAGUUAGAUCAAAUAUCUUUUAGUUAGAAAAGAUAAAAUUCUCUGAGUCUGAAAGACUGAAACAUUUUGCAUAUUUUGUGAAAGGGAAAUAUCUGUUGAUACUAGCUCAUGCAUUGAGGUAAUAUCGAUGUUAAAGAAAAACAGCAAUGAUUUAUGAUAUAGAAUUGGGUUCACUUGCUUCAAAUGCUGGUCUGAUCAACCAUAUCAACCUGUAAUGAUUCUGCAGAAAUAUAUAUACAUGGAGAAAGUAGCUAAAUUUUUCUUUCAUUUAUGGGUUCGGUCUUUUUUCCCCUUAUUUUUCAGCUUUCCUUCUCCUGAAGUAUGUUAACAAUUGCAGAUAAUGAUGAAGACGACAGCUUCCGGGCUCUCCUUAGAGCCGUGAUGGAAUAUAGGGGCACAAUGAAGGAAUAUUGUAAAGCUGUAGGUACUUUUUCUCCUUUCAUUUAUGUUUUCUCACACAUUUUGUAUAUGCCCUGAACAUGCACCUUUGUAUGUAUCAAUUGACUUUUAAAUUUUAAAAGCCAUAAAGUAAGAAUACGGUUCCUUGUCAGGCUACUGAUGACAUUCGCUCAGGGGGAUCAUGUUCGAGCAGGAAAAUUUCUAGAACAGGUAAGGUUUCCAUCUACAGCCAUCCAUUGACAGCAGAUACAUUUUCAUUCAGCAGACUCUGUUAGCAUUCAAGAUGCUGGCAGAUUCACUUGAUUCUUAUUAGCUUGUUUAGUGGCAAAGCCUAUAACCUGUAUUUCAAAGCCAAGUUGUGCUAUUGAUUAUGUUAACUUUUUUGUUAACAUAAAAUGAUAUGGAGGAAAUAAUCAGUGUUGGAAAAUUAGGUGAAAAGAUGAUGUCAAAUCUUGAACCUCUUACGAAACUCUAAGUUCUUUACUUGAAGAGGCUACGAAAUUUGAACAGCGUCUACUCGAAGGCCUUGCCAUUCCCUGAUGCAUGCAGAAUUUUUGUAUUUAAAUGCCCAGAGCUUAAGAAGCUGCCACUGGAUCUUGAAGGGGCAGACCAAGGUAAAAAUCUUAUCAAGGGAAAGGAAGAUUGGUGGAAACAACUUAAUGGGAGGAUCAAGUAACUCAGAAUGCAUUGCUUCCAUUUUUUAAAUUGACUGACAAGUGAUUGAACGGGGCAUCAUCAACAUCAUCAACAGGGAUGGAGAGAUACCGGAGCAGAUCAGCAGGGUUUGAAUAUGACCUUUGGCGGUUGCUUUUUUUUUGUGAUUUUUUUUUCAUUUUUUCCUUCCUGUCAUUUUAUCAUUUCUUUCUCUGUUUCUAUUGCGGGUGUUACUGCAUGCUUACUGUUGCUUGACAAAGUUUGCUAGCUUUUUGUUUGCAGUGUUGCUAUACACUCCGAGUCAAGCCUCGAAAAUUUAUUAAACGAAGCCGUUUCGACAGUAACAAUUCUUUUCUUUUCCCUUUGCAUGUCUCUUUCAUCUGCUGUUUCUCUAUCACUUUUCAUUUUUGAUUUCCUUGCUUCUCAGCUGCCCCUAAAUUGUUAUUCUAGCAAUAUACUUUCUCAUCUUUGAAUUUUCAUCCUUGAGUACUCCCACAGCCGUAAUUUCAUCAUCAUAGACUUCACUUGGAAUGCUGUAUUUUUUCGAUUCUUGAGCUACUUCAAUUACAUCUUAGUAUAGGAUCCUCAUCUUCCUUUAUUUCUUCAUCUUAUGAGGUAAUAAAUGGAUUUCACAACUCAUCUACUUUUAAGCAAUUACAUAUUAUACCUUGAAUGAUUCAACUGUUCUGACAGUUAAAGAUUUUAUGCUCAACCUGCAGUGCUACGAACAUUGUCCAUGAAAGAUGAGUUUCAGCAUAUAAAAUGAAAUAUAGAUGUUUAAUCUAAAAUAACCCUUCACUGCCAGAAACCUAGGUCACAAAAUUCACAGAUAAUGAUAAAGAGCUAAAAAAUUUGAAAAACUCUACAGAUCACACAUCAAGCAAGAUAUCAUGUUUUUUUCCCUCAUUCAGUGGUGAUUGAUUCGCUUUUUGAUGAUGGAUAUGGUAUAAAAGUGUUGACCCAAUUUCAAGCAAACACAAAUAGAAACACAAACACAAUCGGGACUAGAGUUGUGGGCGAUUAUCUUAGGUGUACAAGUGAAACGGUGGUGGCUGUCGAUGGUGGUAGUGGGGUGGUUGGGUAUGCGUGAUGGCUAGAUUUUAGGACAAUAAUGAUUGGAGUUGACCUCAAUCAACGAAGGAAAGUGACAACAAUUUUGACAUCAAACGGUGCAUUUUUUAGCUUAGUAAAAUGGAGCCGUUUCGAUUUUGGGGUUUAAUCCGGGGUUUGACUCGGUGCAAGUAUCAUUUUCCUUUUGUUUAUUAAAUUUUUUUAUGGUCACAAAGUAUCACUCGUUCUAUUUGAGAGUCAUGUGAAUCAAUUUUUCAAAUUUUCAAUUUUAAAUUUUGUGGUCAAUGUGAAUUCAAUUUCAUUUGUCUCCUGCAAUUAUGAAAAAAUUAAAUAGUCAUAAUAUGGAAAAAUACACCGGUAAAAACUUUGUAAAAGCUUCGGAGUGAUACGGGGAAUUCACUUACUACUAAGGACAAUUGGUGGCAAGCUAUUCCAUUCAUUUUAUGUCCAUCCAUCUAUUUAGUUAUUGAAGAUAAGUGGUCCAUUUGUAAAUUUCAGAUUGUCUCUCUCUCCCUCUUGAAAUAACAAUAUUUAAUAUAUCUCAUAAAUUAUUAUAAAUUUUAAUUUACUCUCGAUUUAAAAUGGAGCAUGUCGAUAAAUUUUUUUUCUUCUUAAUAAAAUUGACGUAAGUUGUGUUUACAGUAGUUUGAAGUUUGAAAUAUUUUAAAGAUUAUUAUUCUAUAAGGGAGUAAUAUGAAAUGAUAUUUACUUUUCAUGUGUGAAAUGAAAAAGGACGAAGCAAGUGUCCCUGCUUUUAUUUUAUUUCAAGGAGGAGUCAUCUCACAUACUUUAGCUCUUAACAUUACAUUUUUUCUGGUUACAUUUUUUAUUUAUUUAUUUUUUUUUUUUUACACAUGCGUGUGGGUUGCUUUUCUGUAAGCUCCUUAAUAUAUAUUUAAGACAAAUCAUGGAAGAGAUGGGAUUAUAUCAAGAUGAUCAAAGAAUGUUAAAAAAGAAAAAAGAAAAAAAAAAGAAGUAAGACACUGAAAAUGGAGAAGAGAUGGAAGCAAAAGAUAUUCCAAAACAAAGCAAUCUAUCCCCUUUCGAGGGCAGACUUAUCAGGUUUAAAAAAGUACACGCUUUGGAUUGGUAGUUGCAAUCAAGGGAAAAUAAAUAGGAUCCAAUGAAAUUUAAAUCUCGGAGAAAAUAAAUAAUCAUGCAGAUUUUCAAGAUUUUAAUAAGGGAUACUAAUAUCUUAUUUUGAUUAAUAAUAUCCUUUCAUUGUGUUAACUCAAAAAAUAUAUAUUUUAAUGUUUUGCAAUAAACAGAAACGUACUAUUAAAAUGAAUAUAUAAAGAAUUUAGAAAAUUUUGAAUGUUAUAUAAAAUAAUUUUAAGAUAAUGCGUGAGAUAUAUUUUAUUAAUUUAAAAUGUUAUUUUACCUAAAAAAUAUGAUAAAUUAAUAAUUACAUAUUUGAAGUUAUUUUAAAUAUUAAAAAAAUUUAAUAUUAUUAAUCUUUUAGAUAGAUUAAAUUAUUUUUUAUAAGAGAUAGAUUAAAUUAUUUUAAAAUACGUUAAUUGUUUUUACUUUUAACGUUACCGGCCUUUCUUUUAUUUUAUUGCAAAUUAAUGCUAACAAGAAAAAGCUAGAUCAUAUUCCACAAAAGCAAAAGUGACAAACACAACCAGCUGGAAUCUUUUAAUUACUAUUCAAUAAUUCGAGACGAUUAGGGUCUUUUAUUAAACUACAAAUUGUAUAGUCUUUUUAAAAUUGUUAUAAAUUGGUGGCACCUACAAUCCUCAAUAAUUGUACCGAUAUUCACAAGUUGGUGGCCCCUACAAUUCUGUUCGGAUAAUUUAACUGUGCAAGUGCUCAUUCACAAUAAUUGUUUUGUUUUUUUUUUCUGCAUUCCCUUUCAUGCUCUUAAUAAUUGAAGAGCAUACUUUUCAUUUUCAAAUGUGGAGCCGCAGCUAAUGUCGCUAAUUUAAUUUGGGAUUAAAUUAGGGGACCAUUAUAUUGCAGUGUGCACUAAUUUUUGUGUUUAUCUAAACUCCUUAAAUUUAAGACAUAUUAUGGCAUAAAUAAGAAUAUAACAAUAGCAAAAGAGUUAAAAAGUGUAGAGAAGAUCUUGCAGAAAUAUAAAUAAUAUCUAUUUUAAAAUAAUAUCAAUAUUUAAAAUAAUUUUUAAUAUUUUAUGAUUCAUUAGAUAUAUUUUAUUAUAUUAAAGUAAAUUUUAUAAUAAAUAAAAACAUACUAUUAAAAUGAAUAUAUAGAAAAUUUAGAGUAUUUUAAGUAUUAUAUAAAAUAAUUUUAAUAAAAUAUGUGAGAUAUUCAUAUUUUAUUAAUUUAAAAUACCAUUUAACCUAAAGAUUUAUUUAUGAUAAAUUAAUAAUUAUAUUUUUGAAGUUACUUCAAAUAUUAAAAAUAUUAAUAUUACUAAUCUAUUAGAUAGAUUAAAUUAUAUAUAUUAUUUUCUAUUUAUUAAAAAAUUUAAAAUUAUUUUUAAUUACUAUUCAAAAAAUAUAAUGAUAAAAAAGAAUCUUAACAUCUUUAUUAAAAAUUUAAAAAUUUACAUGAUCAAUUCUCUAAAUAUUUAGGGUUAUAUGUGAACAACGGUGGAGAAGCUUUAUUUAAUAUUAUUGAUUUAAAUAAUAUGUCAAUUAAAAAUGUACAGAGAAGGAAAUUUCGGUGGGUAUUUUAGUCUUUUCAGCAAUUAUCAUGAUCAGAUCAGCCUUUAGCCUUGAAUCGUCGGUCAGAAAAGUUUUAAAAUUAACGCUAACAAGAAAAAGCUAGGUCAUAUUCCACAAAAGCAAAACUGACAAAACAACCAGCUGGUUUCUUUUACUAAACUACAAAUUAAAAGUGGAUUCUUUUGAAUGCAAGUGGGACAGACGAUUAGGCUCUUUUUAUUAAAGGCAAGUAAAAACUAGUCGAAUAGUCUUUUUCAAAUUGUUGUUUUAUUAUUUUUCCUUCAAAAGUUAGUGUGGCUCAUGUUUGCAGGUGCGAAUGUGGGUCCCGAAUCAUUACUAAAAUUUCUAUUCCACAGCCCACCGCAGCUUCAGUUAAUCAAACUCAAAUCAAUUUUCUUUCUUAACAAAAUAUUCCAAAGAUGUGUAGCAUUUUUCAGAUCACAUGCGAUGGUGCUCUUUUCAAUCGUUGCUUGGAUUGCUUUCUUGGAAAAGCAGCAUACAUACGUAACCUCCAAGAUAAUGUUGAUACCUUGGGCACUGAAUUGGGAAAUCUGAUCGCUAGAAAGAACGAUCUGAUGAGGAGGGUUGUCGAUGCUGAACGGCAACAAAUGAGAAGGCUGGACGGAGUGCAAGUGUGGGUUUCGAGGGUGGAUUCUGUUAAAACUGAAGCUGAUCAAUUUAUAAGAGACGGCUCUCGAGAAAUUGAAAAAUUAUGUGUUGGAGGCUACUGUUCCAAGAAUUGCAUGUCAAGCUACAAGUUCGGGAAAAAAGUGGCUAAAAAGCUACGGGAUGUGCGGACUUUAAUCAGUGAAGGAGUUUUUGAGGUGGUGGCUGACAGAGCUCCAGAGUCUGUAGCAGAUGAAAGACCUACUGAGCGAACAGUAGUAGGCUUGCAAUCACAACUUGAACAAGUCUGGAGAUGUCUUGUAGAAGAAUCAGCGGGAAUCAUUGGCCUAUAUGGUAUGGGCGGUGUUGGUAAAACUACACUACUGACCCAUAUCAACAAUAAAUUUCUCGAGAGUCCAACCAACUUUGAUUGUGCGAUUUGGGUUGUAGUUUCAAAAGACCUGCGACUCGAAAAAAUUCAAGAAGAUAUUGGGAAAAAGAUAGGUUUGGUUGGUGAUUCAUGGAAGAGUAAAAGUGUAGAGGAGAAAGCUGUCGACAUCUUCCGGAGUUUAAGAGAGAAGAGAUUUGUAUUGUUGUUAGAUGAUAUAUGGGAGCGGGUUGAUUUAACAAAGGUGGGCAUUCCACUUCCCGGACCAAAAAAUACUACCUCAAAAGUCGUAUUCACAACCCGUUUCAUCGAUGUUUGUGGUAGCAUGGAAGUUGACAGGAAGUUUCAAGUAGCAUGCUUAUCAGAAAAGGAUGCUUGGGAACUGUUUCGAGAAAAAGUUGGGGAGGAAACUCUUCAGAGUCAUCAUGAUAUCGAUGAGCUAGCCCAAAUUGUGGUCAAAGAGUGUGGUGGUUUGCCACUCGCACUUAUUACUAUUGGUCGAGCUAUGGCCUACAGAAAGAAAGCGGAGCAGUGGAGACGUGCAAUUGAAGAGUUAAGGAGAUCAGCUUCAGAGUUUGCAGGUUUGGGAAAAGAGGUUUAUCCUCUUUUAAAAUUCAGCUAUGAUAGUUUGCAGAAUGAUACGGUUAGAUCUUGUUUCUUGUACUGUUGUUUAUAUCCUGAAGAUUAUGGCAUUCUUAAAUGGGACUUGAUUGAUUGUUGGUUUGGCGAGGGAUUUUUUGGGGAAUCUGACAGGUCUGGUGCAGAAAACCAAGGAUAUGACAUUUUGGACACUCUUGUUCGUGCGUGUUUAUUAGAAGAGGUGGAAGAUGAUGAAGUAAAAAUGCAUGACGUUAUUCGUGAUAUGGCUAUAUGGAUAACUUGUGAAAUUGAGAAGGAGAAGAGAAACUUUUUGGUUCGUGCAGGUGCUGGAUUAAAAGAUGCACCGGGUGUUAAAGGAUGGGAAAAUGUGAGAAGAUUGUCAUUGAUGCAAAACCAAAUUGAAACUCUGGCAGAGGUUCCCACAUGCCCUCAUCUCCAUACUCUAUUUCUUGACUUUAAUAGGGGGUUGGAUAUGAUCGCGGAUGGCUUCUUUCAAUUUAUGCCUUCUCUCAAAGUUUUGAAGAUGUCAAACUGUUCGAAUUUGAAAUUACCUGUUGGGAUGUCAGAGUUGGGUUCAUCACUAGAACUUCUUGAUAUUUCAGAAAACAGCACAAGAGAGUUACCGGAAGAGUUAAAGAAGUUGGUAAAUCUGAAAUGUUUGAAUUUGAGGUGGACAGAGCAUUUAAAUAAAAUUCCACGGCAACUAAUAUCAAAUUCUUCAAGGUUACGUGUGUUGAGAAUGUUCGCUACUGGCCGGUUCAAUUUUCAUGAAGCACCAGAAGACAGCGUUUUAUUUGGUGGGGGUGAAGUUUUGAUACAGGAAUUGCUCGGUUUGAAAUAUUUAGAGGUAUUGGAGUUGACCUUGGGAAGUUAUCAUGCUCUCCAAAUUCUUUUGAGCUCAAAUAAGUUAAAAAGUUGUAUUCGAUCUCUUUACCUCGAGUUGACCGGAGAUACAACGUCAAUUAUUGAUGCUACGGCUUUCGCAGAUCUAAACCACCUCAAUGAAUUACGGAUUGAUAAUGGUAUUGAGUUGGAAGAGUUGAAGAUUGAUUAUACGGAGAUAGUACGAAAAAGGCGGGAACCUUUUGUUUUCCGCAGCCUUCAACGUGUUACCAUAGCGGAGUGCCAUAAAUUGAAAGAUGUGACAUUCCUCGUUUUUGCUCCAAACCUCAAGUCUCUUCGGCUAUUCUAUUGCGGUGCUAUGGAAGAAAUAAUCAGCGUCGGAAAAUUUGCUGAGACUCCUGAGAUGAUGGGACAUAUAAGCCCUUUUGAAAAUCUCCAAAUGCUUGAUUUACAAGGUUUGCCACAUUUGAAGAGCAUCUUCUGGAAGCCAUUGCCUUUCACUCAUCUGAAAGAAAUGGAGGUACUUAGGUGCGAUCGGCUUGAAAAGCUUCCACUCGAUUCCAACAGUGCAAAGGAGCGCAAAUUUGUUAUUCGUGGAGAAGAAGACUGGUGGAACCGACUUCAAUGGGAGGAUGAAGCCACUCAAAUUGCUUUUCGUUCCUGUUUUAAAAGUGAUGCUUUAUUUAUAUCUUAUUCGUGAAAAGUGAUUUAAUUUCCUGCCAAAAGACGAACGAGAAGAACAAUAGAGUCAAACUAAUGCUCACAUAAAUUUCCCGUAAGAAUAUAUAAUUAGAUUGGAAUGCACACCUCUAGAUUGAACAGAAUUAAAGCUGAGAAAAUAUUGAGUAUAGUAGCCCUCUUUACAGAAAAUGACGUGAAAGUUAAUUUAGAAAGAUAUAUUCUUGAUUAAUCCAUUUUCUGAAGUUUUUAUUUUGUAUGGUCAAUUAUACCUUCAUACUAAAAAUUUCUGAAGUUAUAAAUUAGUGCAACUUGACAAUUUUUACUGAUGAUAUCUUCUAUUUUUCCCUUUUUUUUUUUUUCACUUUCAUAGACUGGCAGCGGAUCCUGCGGCACCAAUUUGAGAGAAUAUACUGACACUACUUCGAACAGCAAGCAGAAGAAGUAAUAUGUCUACGGCAAAGGCAAUGGAGUCCUCAUUUUGGCUCGAGAUGCAGUAAUCAUCGAAGAGAGUUUCCUUGUGAAACUGGGCAACACAUUGAAUCCCUUCACCACUGAGAAGGUUGUGGAGGAAGUAAGCUUUCUCUCCAGUGAGGAAGAGGUGGCAUAUACCUUCCCCAUUUUGUUGAGGGCAGGUAGGAAUCUUUUUUCUAAGAGAUUUACUUCGUUCUCUGUAAGAAAUGCUUUGAACUUCAUCCCUCUGUCUCUAUCCUCACUUAUCAGGAAAUAAGUUGAAAGCACUAUGAAGAGAGAGAGAGAGAGAGAGAGAGAGAGAGAGAGAGAGAAUUAAGAUAUAUAGACAAGAAAAAUAUUUGACGUUGAUCUUACAAACUAAUACUUCAAGCAGUAUCCUAGAAAGCUAAAAACUGCAAGAUGGCUUGAAAUUUGAAAAGAGCACAUGCUUUUCCUCCUUAACUUGAGAAAAUGUUUAAUAUAGUGCACCUUACAGAAGCAUUUAAGCAAUUAGAACUUUGCACAAAAACAUCAAGAAGACUAAACAAGUCAGAUGCAGUGUAUUUGUCCAAGCACAAAUUGCAUUUUUUCCUCAACUUUAAUAUUUAUUGAUGAGAAUCAAUACAGGUCCCUCAUUUGUUAUAGAAAGCUUUCUUUCUUGUAGUCUCACCAGUUAAUUCAGAGGUCUAUAAUCAUCUUGCAAAGUUAAGGGCAUUUCUUUUGAUCUAAAGUCUUUGCAUCACCACCUCAUCACACGCCAAGCCAAUAUUCCAUUUACCUCUACAACAAAAAGUUUUAAUUAAACAAUCCUAAUGCACGCAGCCAAAUAAAAUGCAGUAAGAAUAUUCAACUUAAAAAUCUGAAAGCCAACUUGGUGAAUUGCCUCCUUAGGUGAAGUUCCAUGCUUUACUAUAGUUGACAGAACUCAGCAAAAGCUUCCAUACAACAGAUUUUGAAAAUGAUGAUGCCAACAGAUACUCAUUCAAUGCAUUGAAACUCCAAAGGUUCAUUGUUCAUAGAAGUUUACAGAGUUUUGGUCAUCAAAUAGCUCAGACCUAAUCCCAAACAAAAAAUGAGUGAAAAUUAGAUCACGAGCAGCUAAUUGUAAAUUCUAACUUAACUCUUCAUCUCCUUUGUAAACAAGAAACAAAAUGGAGACACGCAAAAUGAAUAUGGAGAAAAUUUGAACUCAAAUGAAAUGAGGGCAUGAAAGCAAACAAAUGGCAUGCACCAAAAAACCAAGCCUCAAUCAAAAACUAAUUAACCAUUAAGAAAAAAAUUGGUCAGAGAAUGAACUCCAAAUUCAGGAGUCAAGCAAGAAGCUUUCAUUAUUAUCAAAGUCAAUUAUCUUUGUUAGUAUGCGAGUGUGACGACUAUAGGUUGUUCUUUUUCUAAUGUCAUAUGAUUCCAAUUUUAGGUACAGGGCAUCUCUCUCUCUCUCUCUCAUCGCUAAGUGGAUAUUUUUCUCUUUUGUCAUAUACUUUAGUUAUUCUUCAAUUUACUAACUAAAAUGAAGGCCGCUUUAUUAAGAAGUUAUAUCCAGUUAUAUAAUUUGUUGUAUUUAAUAUAUGUUUGGGCUCAUAAUUUUUUUUAAAAAUAUAUAUUUCAUUCUCCAUAAUUUUUUCCCAUCAUAGCUACGAAACGUCUUAGUUUCGACUAAAAUCCUAAAAUUGGUCCUUAAUUGAAUAUGCAUUGCAAUUUGCAAAUGUAAUAUUGUGAAUGGGACACUGGAGAUACCAAAAUGGUCAAAUGCGAAAUAAGUUAGGAUUGUACGAUGUAGUUUGUAUUCAUAUUCAAUGCCUUUUUUUUCAAAAAACAAAUUGAAAUGCCAUUACUAAACGAUUCUUGAUGAUGGGAGCCACCGUGCCAGCUUUGUCGCUGAUUUGGUAUUAUUCUUAACUUGCAGAUAGUUGUGGAUAUGAUAUGCAAAAAGGUAAGGACUAUAUCUUCUUGAUGGAGGCCUCUGAUUUUUUCCCUUCUAUGUAAUUUAGUAAAUCGCAUUUUCCCUUGUGAUUGAUAUAUCAUACCAAAGUCAAGUCUUAAAUACUGCUGUCAUAUGUUAAGGUUCAACUUCCAUUUUGAUUAACGUCCAUUUGCUGCUGCUUCCAAAAGUGAGAAUGAGAUACUUUGGUUAAUUUCAGUAGUUGAACCCAAUAGAGUACUUUAUUUAGAUCUUCAUGGUUCAAAGGCCUGAAAAAACUUGCCGGUAUUUGCAAAAUGACAUUCUGUGCUUUUAUUUAGGCUUAUUAUUUAAGUGAUAAAAACUCCCGUAACCUGCUGUCAAGAAAAUUUCAGAUUGUUAAAAGACAACAUUUUGUUUCAGCCAAAAAUGUUUGUUUCGAUUAAAGACUUGAACCAUUUUCAUUUAACCUUGAUUGUGAUGCUUUACAUUAUGCAUGUUCCUCUCAAUCAAUAAAAGUUGAGGUCAUGAUUUUAUAUUUCUAUUUUGUAACUUGAAAUAAUUGGUCUGCCUGUUUCUGUAGCUUGAUAACAUGAAUUUUUCCUUCUGAAGUUAAUUUGAUCAAUAAAGUAAUUCUUCGGAGAUGAUAUGCCCAUUCUAUAGUCAUUUUCUUAGGUAACAUGUUUUUUCUUCACUCUUCAGAGCAUGUCUAAACUAAUUGAUCGCUCAGCGGAGACUUUGGGUGAGAAGACAAAAUUUCUUGGUAAAUCCUCUAAAAAGGUAUGCAUAAUUCCCGAGUAUUAAAUAAUCAUUGGUCAUAAUUUUUGUACACAACUCUUUUUUUGGAGAUCGUUAAAAGUGGUUGAUGAUCUAUUUUGUAAUAUCAUAGAGGGAUCAUGAAUUCCUGUUCUUUUCUGUGGCUAGGCAACACUUUCGGGCCAAGCUAAGGAAAUCUAUUUUAGGUAAUGUGAAAACCAGUUGUAGGAUGUAAUAGUUUAUUAUGCCCUGACAAUAACUUUUUGUAUAAUUGUCAGUUUAAUGAAUACAAGAGGAACUCUGUUGGCAAAUUCAUCCAUGAUAGAUGCUAAAAGUAUUUAUGCAUACCAGUUGCCUUAACUAAUUUUUCUCAACACUGGUAUUGAACAGGAAAAUGAAUAUGCAAUUUGUAUAUUGUGCCAUUGUGGAGAAUUUGGAUAUUCUUAUUUAAGUAACAAGGAGAGUAUUUGCCUCAUCUUUAAACAAUGAAUCUUUGAGAAAUGAGGAGUGGGUGAUUGGCAGUGUCUUCAUGUAAAUGUUCAUUUAUUUGUAUUUUGAACUAUUAUGAGAAUCUUUGUAUGCCAAAUUAGUAAUACAAAUGUUCAGAUGAUUUUUCCUGUUGAUCAUGCGUGUGUAUCUGCACACAACCAUUGUGUCCCACUUUAUUCUGAUGCACAAAUAUCUGUAGUUUAGAAGAAAAGAAAUAAUAAUCAUAUAUUAUUGCUUGGUUCAUGAUUAUUAAACGAUUAUGGCUUUAGAAAAUCCACAAAUCCUUUGUGUUCAUAUAUGAAUGUGCGAAGUUUGCUAUCUCUUAGAUUACCUUCUUCCAAGAUAACAAGUUCAUAUAUUUUUUUUAAUCCUUUUUCAUCACAGUUGAAUUUCAAGUGUAAGUUUUGUUAUUAAUAGCUGGUUUCCUGUUAUUAUGAUUUCAUAAACAGUGAGAGGAUAUGUGCUCUACUUUUGGAGGGCCUCCACAUGAAAGAAAAUUGCAACAAUUGAAUUCUUCCGGAGGGUAUGGUAUUUAAUUUAUUUUCUCAGCUUGUUGUAAGACUAAUAUAUUUCCUUCAGUACCCAAAAGGACAGAAAUGAAUUACGGAAGGAAGUUUUUGCUGCUUUAUUUAGUGCUGCUGAGAAAUCUGAUGGAUUUCCUGAAAUUACGGUGAAGACGGAGUGGAGGUCCAACGCAUUAGGAAAGGUGGUGAGUGAACCGCCGGAGGAAUUAGUACCAGAAUACAAGGCUAAUGUGGUGCACUUGCAGCAAGAUGACCAGACCUGUAUGUGCUCUUAUAUUAACUAUAUUGGUUGGAUUUGUGAGUGUGUACAUUUUUGUGUGUAUACUCACAUUUGUAUUUAUGCAUAUUAACGUGUGUAGGAUUCUUGAUUUCUGCCACUUACUGGAGAACUAGUGGAAAGCUUUAUACUGAUAUAUGUGCUAUAACUAAUGGAAACUACAAUAUGAAUAUUUUCUCUCACCUGGAGAACUGUGUAACAGAUAUAAUUUGUGGCUCUGGAAUACUGAAGAUUCUGCAAUAACUAAUGGAAAAUAUGAUAUGAAUAUUUUUUCUCACCUGGAGAACUUUGUAACAGAUACAUUUUGUGGCUCUGGAAUGUCUAAAGAAUGCUUCAGUUUAGAUCAAAUAUCUUUUAGUUAGAAAAGAUAAAAUUCUCUGAAUCUGAAAGACUGAAACAUUUUGCAUAUUUUGUGAAAGGGAAGUAUCUGUAGAUACUAGCUCAUGCAUUGAGGUAAUAUCAAUGUUAAAGAAAAACAGCAAUAAUUUAUUAUACAGAAUUAGGUUCACUUGCUUUAAAUGCUGGUCUGAUCAACCAUAACAACCUGUAAUGGUCCUGCAGAAAUAUAUAUACGGGGAGAAACUAGCUAAAUUUUCCUUUCACUUAUGGGUUUGGUCUUUUUUUCCCCUAUUUUUCAGCUUUCCUUCUCCUGAAGUAUGUUAACAAUUGCAGAUAAUGACGAAGAGGACCGCUUCCAGGCUCUUUGUAGAGCUGUGAUGGAAUAUAGGGGCACAAUGAAAGAAUAUUGUAAGGUUGUAUGUACUUUCUCUCUUGUCAUUUAUGUUUUCUCACACAUUUUGUUUAUGCCCUGAACAUGCAGCUUUGUAUGUGUCAAUUGCCUUUUACGUUUUAAAAGCCAUAAAGUAAGAAUACAGUUCCUUGUCAGGCUAUUGAUGCGUUCGCUCAGAAGGGUCAUGUUCAAGCAGGAAAACUUCUAGAACAGGUAAGGUUUCCAUCUACAGCCAUCCAUUGACAGCAGAUAUAUUUUCAUUAAGCAGACACUGUUAGCAUUCAAGAUGCUGGCAGAUUCACUUGAUUCUUAUUAGUUUGUUUAGUGGCAAGGCAUAUAACCUGUAUUUCAAAGCCAAGUUGUGCUAUUGAUUAUGUUAACUUUAUUGUUAACAUAAAGUGAUAUGGAGGACAUAAUCAAUGUAGGAAAAUUAGGUGAAGAGAUGAUGUCAAAUCUUGAACCUCUUACAAAGCUCCAAGUUCUUUACUUGAAGAAGCUGCCAAAUUUGAAGAGCGUCUACUGGAAGGCAUUUCCAUUCCCAGAUGUAUGCAGAAUUUUUGUAUUAAUGCCCAGUUCUUAAGAACCUGCCACUGGAUUUUCAAGGGGUGGGCCAAGGUAAAAUUCUUAUCAAGGGAAAGGAAGAUUGGUGGAAAGAACUUCAAUGGGAGGAUCAAGCAACUCAGAAUGCAUUGCUUCCAUUUUUCAAAUCAACUGACAAGUGAUUGAAGGGGGCAUCAUCAACAUCAUCAACAGAGAUGGAGAGAUUCUGGAGCAGAUCAGCAGGGUUUGUAUAUGAUCUUUGGUGGUUGCUUUCUUUUGUGAUUUUUUUUUUCUUCCUGUCAUUUUAUCAUUUCUUUGUCUCUUUUUUUAUUGCUGAUGUUAGUGUAUGCUUACUGUUGCUUGACAAAGUUCGCUUGCUUCUUGUUUAUUAAAUUUUUUAUCGUCACAAAAUAUUACUUGUUCUAUUUGAGAGUGAUGUGAAUCAAUUUUCAAUUAUAUAUUUUGUGGUCAAUGUGAAUUCAAUUUCAUUUGUCUCCUGCAAUUAUGAGAAAACUGCAGAGUCAUAAUAUGGAAAAGUACACCAGCAAAAACUUUGUAAAAGCUUCGGAGUGAAACAGGGAAUUCACUUACUACUAAGAACAAUUGAUGGCGAGUUAUUCCAUUCAUUUUAUGUCCAUCUAUCUAUUUAAUUAUUAAAGAUAAAUGGUCCAUUUAUAAAUUUCAGAUUGUCUCUCUCUGAAAAUAACAAUAUUUAAAAUAUCUCUUAAAUUAUUAUAAAUUUUAAUACACUCUCGAUUUAAAAUGGAACAUGCUGAUGAAAUUGUUUUCUUCUUAAUAAAAUUGAAAUAAAUUGUGUUUGCAGUAGUUUGAAAUAUUUUAAAGAUUAUUAUUUUAUAAGGGAGUAAUAUGAAAUGAAAUUUACUUUUCAUGCGUGAAAUGUUGAAAAAGGACAAAGCAAGUGUCCCUGCUUUUAUUUUUAUUUUAAAGUGGAGUCAUCUCACAUACUUUAGCUCUAUCAUUACAAUUUUUCAGGUUACAUUUUUAUUAUUUAUUUAUUUUCUUUUUUACACAUGCAUGUGGGUUACUUUUCCGUAAGCUCCUCAAUAUAUAUUGAACCCAGCGAAGAAUGUUAUGGAAGAGCAAAUUAAUGAUAUUUCUGAUAGAGUCUAUUUGAUUAUGUAGCCUGAAUGGAUGUCUUGUUGAAAGAUAUCUCAGUGCAUUAGUUCAUCCUUGUCUGUCAAUGUGUUUUUAAUGGUUUUUCCAAUUGUUUAUUAUUAUAGAUUGAUUGUAAAUUGAUAUGAAAAUUUGAUAUGAAUUUAAUGUUGAAAUGUUUUCUCUUUAGUGGAAUGAAUUUAAAAGUGCAAAAGAUUAUUGCACACAGAGAAAUAAACAUAUAUGCUUUAUAACUUUAGCAAUCGAUUCUUUUACAGCUGGAAACAGAGAUGAUGAUUAUCAUAAGGAUGAAGAAAAGUAGUGCGUUAGACGAUUAGACUCUCUUAUUAAAGGCAAGUAUAAAGUAGUGAAGAAUCCAAUAUCUCUAUUGUCUAGUCUUUUGUUUAAUUCUUCUUUUAUUAUUUUUCAGAAUAAUUUUUGGUGAUUACAAUCGGGUUAUUAUUCAGAGUUAUUGUUAUCUUCUGGGGCAGUUUCUGUUCAUCGAAUUCAUUAAUUAAAAUUUUAGAACUCUUAUCAGAAGAAUAUUUUUCGGUUAUCUUUUUUAUGUUCUAAUUCCAAUUGUAAGAAGUAGCCAUUUUAGAAUUUGGGUCUUGAAUCGAAUUUCAAUGCAUGAAUUAAUAUUAAAAAAAAAAAAUUCACUACUCGCAGUUUAGGUUACAAAUUACUUUUUGGAAAGUUGACUUUGGAAUGUUUGCAAAGAAAGAGACUAACAUAUUUCCAAUUACACUAAAUCUCUAUUAUGAUAAUGUUAAGACUAAAUUAAUUUAAAUAAUUUUUAUUUGAAAAUUAUAUCAAACGCAGUCUAAUUUUAUUAAUUUUAAGAAAUAAUAAUUAUAAAAAUUAUUGUUCUGACUUAAUUAAUACAAGUGAUAUAAAAGUUAAGUGUGCACUAAAUCUGUUUUAAUUUUUUCCAGUAUAACUAACAGAGGUCAUUACUAGAAUUAUAUUACUAGUCUAUUAGAUAGAAAAAAUUACUUAUAUUGUUUUAUAUUUAUUAAAAAAUUUAAAGCCAAUUUUUUUAAUUACUAUUUAAAGAAUAUUAUAAUUUGAAAAAUUUUAAUAUCUUUAUUAAAAAUUUAGAAAUUUACAGUCCUCUAAAUAUUUAAGGCGUAACUGUCAUUUUCUCAAGAAGCUUUAUUUAAUAUUAUUGAUUUAAAUAAUAUCUUAUUAAAAAUGUACUGAGGAGAAAUUUUGGUGGGUAUUUUAGUCUUUUCAGCAAUCAUCAUGAUUAACCUUUGGUUGGCCUUGAAACGUCGGUCAGAAAAGUUUUAAAAUGCUUAAUUGUUUUUCACUGUUAACGUUAGUGGCCUUGAAAUUGCUUAUAUUUUAUUAAAAAUUAAUGCUAACAAGAAAAAACUAGAUCGUAUUCCACCCCCAAAGCAAAAGUGAUAAAACAACCGGCUGUAUUCUUUUAUUAAACUACAAAUUAAAAUGGAUUUCUUUAAUUAAAGUGGAUAUCAUUUAAUUAAUGUUUGAACAUUAAAGUUCUGAUAUAUAACCACUAUGCCGACCACCUAAUUGCUGCUAUUUAAUUUCGUUCCAGUUCUCUCUCUCUCUCUUUUUCUUUUUUUUUUGGGCCAAGCAAUAAAUAGUAAAAAUUCAAUAAAAGCAAUAUUAAUGCUGCAAGUGAGUCAUGUUAUUUAUUGUCAAUUAGGAAAUGUGAACCUAAUUUGAUUGCAUCCCUUUAAUCAUUUAAUAAUUAUGUAAGCACCAUCCCUUUAAUUAUUUAAUAACUAGAAAAUAGAACACUGCGUUUCACGCGGCUUUGAAAAAAGAAUUUAGUAUUAUCUUUUUUUCUUACUUUACACUUGAUGAAACUGAUAAAAAAUAUGAAUUGAUUUUUUUUAAAGAUGAGGCAGCCUUAUAAAAAAUAAAAAAAGCUAUUAGCCAGCAAUACAAAUAAAGAAGGAAUGCAAGAUAAAGAAUAAAAUGAGAGAAUAUAUUAUAGAGUGAUCUUAUUCAUUCUAAUUGUGUGUGUACAAAACAAAAAGAUGAGCUCUCCUUUUAUAACUACAUAAUUACUUCAUGAAAUUAAUGAAAAAUUAUGAAUCAUAAUUUCUUGUGAGAUAGUGGGAGUUAUUGGGAAGCUAAAAGUUGCUAAUGGGAGAUAGUGGGGAGACUAAGAGAUAUAUAUUAUGAACAUCUACAUUUAUUUUAAUAAAUUCAUAACACUCCCCCUUAAAUGUUCAUUACAAAGAAUAUGCCUCAUUAAAAUCUUUACAUAAUUGUUAUUGUGUAAUAACAAUCAAAUUAAUUAUAAGAAGAUGAAAAGCCAAAUCUAACAGAAAAUUUCUCUAUUUAUUAGAUAAUAGAGAAUAUAGCAAGAUGAGAAAUGGUAAUGCCACAUCAUCUCCUCACGUCCCAACUUUAUAUAUAUAUAUAUAGAUAAUAUAUAUUAUUCCUGUCCUACAUUCACAUAUUUAAUUGUCCUUUUGAAAAUAUUCAUGAGUUAGGCCAAGUAAAGUCAAAGAAAUUGGGAAAAAGGAACAAAAGGACAAACCUAAAUUAAUUGAACCUAAUUCAUGAAAAUGCACACUUUUGUGUUGCGGACGGCGGACCCUAAAGCUUCGUUGUUUGCAGCUGCAAUUAAUUCUUUUCCUUCAAAAGUUAGAGGCUCGUGUUUACAGUGGGUCCCGAAUCGGACGUACCUAAUAAAUCUUUUAAAAAAAUUUGCCGUAUAAAGGACAGAGGUCAUUACUGAAAUUUCUCUUCCACGGGCAAUUACAGCAGCUUCAGUUAAUCAAACUCAAAUCAAUUUUCUUUCUUAACAAAAUAUUCCAAAGAUGUGUAGCAUUUUUCAGAUCACAUGCGAUGGUGCUUUUUUCAAUCGUUGCUUGGAUUGCUUUCUUGGAAAAGCAGCAUACAUACGUAACCUCCAAGAUAAUCUUGUAGCCUUGGACACUGAAUUGGGAAAUCUGAUCGCUAAAAAGAACGAUGUGAUGAGGAGGGUUGUCGAUGCUGAACGGCAACAAAUGAGAAGGCUGGACGGAGUGCAAGUGUGGGUUUCGAGGCUCGAUGCUGUUAAAACUGAAGCCGAUGAACUUAUCACAGACGGCUCUCGAGAAAUUGAAAAAUUAUGUGUUGGAGGCUACUGUUCCAAGAACUGCAGGUCAAGCUACAAAUUCGGAAAACAAGUGGCAAGAAAGCUACGAGAUGUGGAGACUUUAAUCGCCGAGGGAGUUUUUGAGUCGGUGGCUGAGAGAGCUCCGGAACCUGUGGCAGAUAAAAGACCCACUGAGCCAACAAUAGUAGGCUUGCAAUCACAGCUUGAACAAGUUUGGAGAUGUCUUCUUGUAGAAGAAUCAGCGGGAAUCAUUGGCCUAUAUGGUAUGGGCGGUGUUGGUAAAACCACACUGUUGACCCAUAUCAACAAUAAAUUUCUUGAGAGUCCCACCAACUUUGAUUGUGUGAUUUGGGUCGUAGUUUCAAAAGACCUGCGACUUGAAAAAAUUCAAGAAGAUAUUGGGAAGAAGAUAGGUCUGUUUGAUGGUUCGUGGAAGAAUAAAAGUGUUGAGGAGAAAGCCGUAGACAUCUUGCGGAGAUUAGGAGAGAAGAGGUUUGUAUUGUUGUUAGAUGAUUUAUGGGAGCGGGUUGAUUUAACAGAAGUGGGCGUUCCACUUCCCAGCCCACAAAAAUACUACAUCAAAGUCGUAUUCACGACCCGUUUCAUUGAUGUGUGUGGUAGCAUGGAAAGUCACAGGAAGUUUAAAGUGGCAUGCUUAUCAGAAGAGGAUGCUUGGGAGCUGUUUCGAGGAAAAGUAAGGCAAGAAACUCUUGAGAGUCAUCAUGAUAUCGUUGAGCUAGCCCAAACUGUGGCCAGAGAGUGUGGCGGUUUGCCACUCGCGCUUAAAACUAUAGGUCGAUCUAUGGCCUACAGAAAGACAGCUAAGGAGUGGAGACAUGCAAUUGAAAUGUUAAGGAGAUCAGCUUCAGAGUUUGCAGGUUUGGGAGAAAAGGUGUAUCGUCUUUUAAAGUUUAGCUAUGAUAGUUUGCAGAAUGAUACGAUUAGAUCUUGUUUCUUAUAUUGUUGUUUGUAUCCUGAAGAUUAUGGCAUUCUUAAAUGGGAUUUGAUUGAUUGUUGGAUUGGUGAGGGAUUCUUAGAGGAAUCUGACAGGUUUAGUGCAGAAAACCAAGGAUACUACAUUGUGGGCACUCUUGUUCAUGCAUGUUUAUUAGAAGAGGUGGAAGAUGAUAAAGUAAAAAUGCAUGACGUUGUUCGUGAUAUGGCUAUAUGGAUAACCGGUGAAAUUGAGAAGGAGAAGCGAAACUUUUUGGUUUGUGCAGGUGCUGGAUUAAAAGAGGCACCGGAUGUUGAAGUAUGGGAAAAUGUGAGAAGAUUGUCAUUGAUGCAAAACCAAAUUGAAACUCUGUCAGAGGUUCCCACAUGCCCUCAUCUUCUCACUUUAUUUCUUGACUUUAAUAGGGAGUUGAAGACUAUUGCGGAUGGCUUCUUCCGAUGUAUGCCUUCUCUCAAAGUUUUGAAGAUGUCAAACUCUGGAAAGCCUUGGAAAGGUUUGGAAUUAAAUUUGGGGAUGCCAAAGUUGGGUUCACUACAGCUUCUUGAUAUUUCACACACCUGCAUACAAGAUUUACCGCAAGAAUUAAAGUUGUUGGUAAAUCUGAAAUGUUUGAAUUUGAGGCGGACAAUUUGGUUAAAUAAAAUUUCAUGGCAACUAAUAUCAAAUUUUUCAAGGUUACGUGUGUUGAGAAUGUUCGCUACUGGCUGGUUCAAUUUUCAUGAAGCACCAGAAGACAGCGUUUUAUUUGGUGGGGGUGAAGUUUUGAUACAGGAAUUGCUCGGUUUGAAAUAUUUAGAGGUAUUGGAGUUGACCUUGGGAAGUUAUCAUGCUCUCCAAAUUCUUUUCAGCUCAAAUAAGCUAAAAAGUUGUAUUCGAUCUCUUUACCUCCAGUUGACCGGAGAUACAGCGUUAAUUAUUGAUGCUACGGCUUUCGCAGAUCUAAAACACCUCAAUGAAUUACGCAUUGAGUCGGCUACAAAGCUGAAAGAAUUGACGGCUGAUUAUACAGAGAUAGUUCGAAAAAGGCGGGAACCUUUUGUUUUCCGCAGCCUUCACCAUGUUACUAUACAAAGCUGCCAGAAGUUGAAAGAUUCGACAUUCCUCGUUUUUGCUCCAAACCUCAAGUCUCUUUCGAUAGUCAAAUGCAAUGCUAUGGAAGAAAUAAUCAGCGUCGGAAAAUUUGCUGAGACUCCUGAGAUGAUGGGACAUAUAAGUCCUUUUGAAAAUCUCCAAAUGAUUGAUUUACUAGGUUUGCCACAUUUGAAGAGCAUCUUCUGGAAGCCAUUGCCUUUCACUCAUCUGAAAGAAAUAUCUGUGCGUUAUUGCCCUAAUCUUAAAAAGCUUCCACUCGAUUCCAACAGUGCAAAGGAGCGUAAAUUUGUUAUUCGUGGAGAAGAAGACUGGUGGAACCCACUUCAAUGGGAGGAUGAAGCCACUCAAAUUGCUUUUCGUUCCUGUUUCCAACCCUUGUUCCUGAACAGUGGUCGCAAAAUUUGAUUUCUGGUGAGUGCGUUUGUCUUUUAAAAAGAAUAAUUUAAAAGAAAUUUAUUCUUGUCGGUUUCUUCACUGUUUUUAUUUCAGUUUCUCUCUCUCUCUCUCUCUCUCUCUCUUUUUGUCUUCUGCAAAUCACAAUUACAUUUUUAUUCUUGUCGUUUUCUUCACUGUUUUUAUUUCAGUUUCUCUCUCUCUCUCUCUCUCUCUUUUUGUCUUCUGCAAAUCACAAUCAAAUGUUGAAUUAAUGGAAUUAAUGCUUCAUAAAUUUGCCGGCACUGCCAUUACUUUUUUUUGGGGGAUCGAAUUGAUACUUUAUUUAUAUCUUCUUAGCGAUUUAAUUUCCUGUCAAAAGACGAACGAGAAGAACAUAUGACUUAAACCAAUGCUCGCAUAAACUUGCUGUAAAAAGAUAUAAUCUCACUGAAAUGCACACGCCUAGAAUGAAUAGAAUUAAAACAGGGAAAAUAUUAAGUAUAUUAGCCCUCUUUACUGAAAAUCAAAUGACAGUAAAUUUUUUGAAGUUUUGAUUUUCUAUGGUCAAUUCCACCUUUUGCAAUUUCUUCUGUUCUAACAAAAACCAAUUUCUUUGUUCAAGUAUUUUCGUUUGGAUAUUAAUAAUUCUCCACCGAAAGAGUGAACUCUUGCUCAAAGGGAUCUCUAAUAAUACAUAACAUGAUUAUUUUCGUUUGAAUAAUUGAUUUCUUGAUUGAAUUGUCGUGUAAUUGAUUUAUGGGGGAUGACACAUCAACAUACUUGAAAAUACACUAAUCUCAGCAUCAUCGGUUAAUAACUUUUAGAUUUAUGGGUAAUCAAUAGUUAAGAUUAGUUGUCAUUAAUACUAAAUAAUUUUUACUUUUUUUGUCUCUUCUAGAGGAUCUUCUAGAAAAAUGCAUCCACAAUUAAAUUUAAUACUUUACAUAAUAAACAAAGCCUAAAUGUUAAAUUUAAGAAACUGCAUUGUAUUUCAGUUGAAGUUGACUUUAAUAUUUAGGGUAGAAAAACAAUUAAUUUUAUUUUUUGAAAUGUCCAUAUUCAGAGCACAUUUCAAAAAGACUCAAUAAUUUCUCAUAAAUUUCAAUUAAAAAUAUUCAAUUUGUUGUUUCAGUUCUUUUAUUUUUUAUUUUUUCCGACAUGAAAGCGACUUAAUGUUACUAAAUUGGGUGGUCUUUGGAUUUUCAUGACCCAAUAAUUGGAACAAAACAAUUUUCUCAAGCGCUCUCCCGCAACAUUUUAUAAUUGAAGCCGCUGCCCCGCCCGUGGUUUCAAACUUUUUUCUUUCUCCUUGUUUAAAUUAAUGGGAGCAGCCUCCGUCCUUGACUAGUUGACUGCUUGUCUUCUUUUUUUUAUUAAUUAAUUAAUUCAGCCGCCCCCCUUUCUUGUCCCAAUAUCUUCUACUUUCGGUUUCCUUUUAUUAUCUCUUUAUUUUUAAAAAAUGCUUAUAAUAAUAAUAAAAUAUAAAAUAUAAAAAUAAAAAUAUAAUUUAUCAGAAAAUUAAGAUAAAGAAAUAUUAUAAGCACAUCAAUCAACAAGUGAAAAAAAAACAAUUUUAAUUUACAUUAAAUAUAAACUUUCAGUGUUAAUCAACUUUUCUAAAUAACUAAAUUAAAAAAUUAAUUGAUUUAAUUGUGGUGUAAUUGAUUUGUAGGGGAUGAAUCAGCAGCAUCAUCGGUUAACGCUUUCAGAUUUAUAGUUAAUCAAUAGUUGAGAGUUGUUAUCACUAACGCCGUGUAUUUUUUAAUGUUUUUUCUCUCUCCUACAGCAUCUUCUAGGAAAGUGCAUCCGUUGCUAAAAUUUAGUAUCGUAAAUAAUAAACCAAGAAUAAAUAUUAAAUCUAAGAAACUGUAUUGCAUUUAAUAUUUAAGGGAGAAAAAUAAUUAUAGUGUCUUUAUUAAUCAGUAAAAAAAAAAAUUAGAAUCAUAAUAAAUUGUAUUGUUAUUGAUGUAUUUAUUUUAUUUUAUACUCAAAAUAAAUUAUUUUAAAUUAUUAAAAUAAUUUAAAAUUAGUAUUUUAUUUUAUACUCAAAAUAAAUAAUUUAAAAUUUUCAUUUCUUGUUUAUUUCGCAAGUUGUUAUUGCCUAAUGCUAUGUCAACUCGAACAUUAGCAUUUUUUUUUUUGGUCCUCUUUUAACGCAAAAUUAGUGUAGGUUAAGUAACAUAAUCAAUAUUAGGACAAUUUGAAAUCCCUAUGGGUGCGUUUGGUACACUGUAUUGUAUUAUACUGUAUUGCAUUAUUUUAAUGCUGAUGUAUUGUAUUAUGUUGUAUUGCAUUAGCACUGUAUUAUAACAAUGCUAUACAAUAUUUGGUGUUACAUUGUACUGUAUUAGAUUUUAAUUAUAUUAUAUUUAGUGUUACAAUUGUUGUAACAUAAACACGACCAAAAUAAAUUGUACUAAAUAAUCUAAGUAAGAGUUCUGUAGUAUAUGUAAUAAUACUAUUUAUAUUAUUAUUAUUAAUAAUUCUAAAUUAAUAUUAUUUAAUUUUAUUCAUAUUUAAAUAUGUAUUAUUAGUUUAUUAAAUUAUUUAAAAUAAUUAAUUUAUAUAUAUUAAUUAUUGUAACUUAAUUAAAUAAUGUAAUGCUAUAUUAUAUUUUUAUAUACUAUUUAAGUAUUUAUUAUUAAUUAUAUUUAAUUAUAAAUUUAUUAAUAAAUUAUAAUAUAAAAAUAAAAAAUAAAAAUUAAUAUUGUAUAAUAUUAUAUUAAAUUAAAGUUUUAUUUUUAUUACUAUUAUUAUAAAGUAAAAAAAAAAAAAAGGGAAGCUACUGACUUUUGAAACACAAAAGUCAGUAAUACAACCUAAUCACGAGGGGGGGCGCGGGUUUUGAUAAUGCGGCAAAAGCUGCAUUGUAAUGCUGCUCAAUGCAAUCCAUUUGAUCACCAAACACAGGUAUAUUUUAACUAAUGCUGGGCCCACAAAAUAAUACAAUGCAAUUCCGCAUGCCAAACAUACCCUAUGGGUGCGUUUGGUACACUGUAUUGUAUUAUACUGUAUUGUAUUAUUUUAAUGCUGGUGUAUUGUAUUAUGCUGUAUUGCGUUAGCAUUGUAUUAUAAUAAUGUUGUACAAUGUUUGGUGUUACACUGUACUGUAUUAAUUUUUAAUUAAACUAUAUUUGGUGUUAUAUUGUAUUGUAUUAAUUUUUAUAAUUAAUUAAAUUAAAUAAUUAAAAAAUAAUAUUUAUUAAUACUUAGAAAAAUAAUAAAUAUAGAAAUCUUAAUUGUAGAAAUUUAACAAAUUUUUUAGUAAAUAUUAAAAAUUAAUGAUUAAAUUUCUAAAAUUUGUAUUAUAAUUAUGAUAAAAUAAAUUUAUAAAAUUUAAUAUUAUAUGUAAAUAAUAAAUUUAGAUUAUAAUUAAUAUUAUAAUUGUUAAUAUAAAUUAAUAAAUUAUUAUUCAAUAAUAUUCAAUUAUAUUUUAAUUUACAAUAUAUUAUUAUUUUUACAUUUUAAUAUAUUAAUAAAUUUAUAAUUUAACAUAAAUAAUUAUAAAUUUAAAUAAUAUUAAUUUUAAAAUUAAUAUUAAUGUAAAUAAUAUUAUAAUAUUAAUAUAUUAUUUUUAUAUGAAUCAUUAAUAAAUAAAAUAAUAUUAUCAUAUAAUUUAUUUUUAUAUUUUAUUCAUUAUAUUAAUAUUUAAUAAUAAAAUAAUUUAUUUUUAUAAUAUUUUAAUAAAAUAAAUUUGCCUCAAUUGAGGCAUUAACUGUUGCCUCAAUUGAGGCAAAAAGCUUCCGCAUCCCUCGGGUUUGCGUAAUGCGGCCCCAUGCCUCAUUAUGCUGCAUUAUAAUGCAGCAUAAUGAGGUGUCAAAUUUUGCCAAACAUGUUCUUGGUAAUAAACUAAUGUGAAUAGUAGUAUAAUACCACAUAAUCUCAUGCACCAAACACGCCCUAUGUGUAUUAUUCACGGUAUCUAUGAGGGCUUAUCCUUUUGCUAGAACAAACUCUAGCAAAUUGUCAAAUGUGCUUAUCCUUUCCCUUGACGACUCAUUUUAAAAUUGUCACUCAUUUUAAAAUUGUCUUUCAAUGCACAAACACAGACAUAACCGCCGACAUCGAGCACCAAGUUUGGAAUUUAAUUGAUAAGCAUACAUUUGAUAAAUUAAUGAAAAGUUUGGAGAGUAGUUUUGAUCACCCUUGAUUAGGACGGUAUUACAAAAAAGAUCAAAAAGAAAACAUCGUCUCUCUUCACAAAAAUAAAUAUUUUCCGUUAGAAUUUAAUACAAUAAUAUUUUUUUUGAUUAAAAUUUAAUUAAAUACACAAAUAAAUUAUAUAUUUUUUAAAAAAAUUUACACCCAGUCACAAGGCUGGCUAUUAAACUUAAAGGGUGGAAGCUUCGGAGACUAAAGUUGGUAACUUCUCCAAGUGGUCUUAAGUUGACCGGAACUACCCAGACUUUAUGUUUGGUAGCCUAGACCUGAUCGGACCUAGGCCCAAGUUUGGUCUUAAAGUCCACAAUUAAAUUAAAAAAAAAUUAUUUGAUUUGUAAUUGAUUUAUGGGGAAUGAAUCCGCAGCCCUAAAAUUACACCAAUCUUGACAUAAUGACAUCAUCGGUUAAAAACGUUCAGAUUUAUGGUUAAUCAAUGGUUUGAGAUUUGUUAUCAUUAAUGCUAGAUAUUUUUUAACAUUUUUUUCUAUCUCUCUUCUCCUGAAGGAUUUUCUAGGAAAAUGCAUCCACAACAAAAAUUUUAAAUUGUAAACAAUAAACAGAGUAUAAACGUUAAAUCUAAGGAACAUCGCUGCAUUUCAGCUGAAGCGAACUUUAAUAUUUUACGGAGAAAAAUAAUUAAGUCUUUAAUGUGAUUUAUUGAUUAAUAUAUAUGACUAAUUUUUUAAAAGAAGAUGAAGGAUGAAGCUUAAAAAUAUAAAUUAUAGAAUUAAUUUAUCUCUUCAAUAAAUCUAAAGUUUAUUUUUUUUAUUACAUGCUUCUAUUUUAUUUUUAUUCCAUGUUAAUGAAUGGAGAUUUAAAUCCAUUUUGGAUUUAUAAAGAUGUUUAGAUAUUUAAAUCCACGUGUGAUUCCAAACUUGAACCUUUUUUUUUUUUUUUUCUAAUUAAUGCAAACAGCCGCCUCUUUGACUGCUUUUCUUCUUUGUUUAUUAAUUAAUUAAUUCAGCUGCCCACCUUUCUUUUCCUAAUGUUUUCUACUCCCAAAUUUUUUUAAGGACAAGGCUACGUUGCAGACGCUGUACCUAACAGCUGCACCUUCGCCAGCUUAAAAAAGGGUGCAUUUGGUAAGCAACUUUUCUUUCGUGUGCAUAUGUGUCCUGCCACCAUUGGGUGUGUACGUAACAGAUAAUGUACCGUAACAAGCUCCUAUUUUUAAAUUUGUUUAUAAUGAUAAAAUAUAAAAAUUAAGAUUAAAAUGUAAUGUAAUGUAAAAUUAAAGGUGGAAGAGUAUUAAAAUAAGGCUAAACCUAUGUUACGUUUAACGUAACAUACAUUUAAAUAUAUAAAAUAUCAAUGGAAACCCUCAAAUUUUAUGGAAACUAUAUUAAUAAAAUUAAAAGAAAUAUUUUUAAAUCUGAAAGAAGAAAUAAAAGAUAUAAAGCAAGAGAUAGGAAAACUAAAAAUAGAAAUAUCUGUAAAAGAAAAAGGAAAAGAAAAAUUAGAAAUAAAAGAAACAACUCCAACUGAAUCGAAUUCAGACUAAUGGAAGAUGUAUUAGAAACUUUAACUGAAAAAUUCAGUGACAUAAAUCUUAGUGAUUUAGAAGACUUUGAAAAAGAAUAUUAGAUAAAAAUGAAUACUGCUGGAGGACCAGAAAUGAAACCUAAUGUAGCAUAACCAAGUCAUAGAUAUGGUAUAAAUAAAAUGAAAAAUAAACCUUUUUACGAGUAUAUACCUCCUAUUAAAAAUACUCCUUGGAAAAAAGAAUACAAACCAAAUCAAGAUACAUUAACCCCAAUAAAUAAUGCUGGAACAUUUUUAAAUCUAGAUUGUAAGAUAGACAUUCGAAAGGCGUUAGCAGAAUGGGUGUUACAAAUGAAAUUAUUUUUUAUAUUUAACGGGUCAAAGGAUGACUAGAAUGUAGAGACUGAAGAAGAAAAAAUAGAUAUAUUUGUUGAAAUCUUAAUAGCCAGUUUUUCAGGAAAUGUGUUUAAUUGGUGGAGAGGAUUAAGCGAUGAUACACAAAACUUAAUAAAAGAUUCAACCAAAUAGCAUUUAGAAAAAAUAAAGCCUUAGGAAUGGAAAGGAUAACUGAAUACAUAGCUAGUGAAUUUUUAGGAGAAGAUUGGCUAGAAAAAUCGGGCAUAUAUGAAAAUUUAAAAAUUUAUGAUAAAAAGAUCUUAGUGUUUUUAUUAAAAAAUUAAAAUUUACAUGACUAUUUCUUUAAAUAUUUAGGGCAUAUAUGAACCACGGAGGAGAAAAGCUUUAUUUAAUAUUUUAGAAUAGUUUUUGAUCAGUACAAUUGGGUCCUUAUUCAGAAUUAUUGUUCUCUUCCGCAACAGUUUUUGUUUAUCAAAGUCGUCAAUUAAAAUUUUAGAAUUCUUAUCAGAAGAAGUAGUCGUUUUAGAAGUUGGGUCUUGGAUCAAAUUUCUACGAGUGCAUGAAUUAACAAUAAAAAAAUUUCAUUACACACGGUUUAAGCUACAAACUACUAUUUGCACAGUUGACUAUAAAACUUACCUCCAAUUACACUAAACCUCUCUAUUUGGUAACGUUGAGACUAAAUUAAUUUUAUUAGCAUGAAAAGAUGAUAGAAAUAUAAUUAUAAAUAUUAUUGUUGUUAAUCAAUUAGUACAUGUGAUAUAAAGGUUAAAUGUGCACUAUAUUUAAUAAUUAAUUAGUGGAGCAUGUUAAACAAAAUGUUAAUGUAUAUUUAUAUAGUGUUAGGAAUAUGCAAAGUCAAGUCCUCAAUUUGCAUUAUCCUGUAUAGAAUAUUACUCUAAAAAUGUUUUACUAUAAUUGGCUUAGAACAUUUGUAAAGAAAAAUAAUAAUAAAAUAAUAAAUAACAUACACCGUCACAUAGCACCUAGACAAUGAUAGAAAAUUAUUAAAGAGAGUGCAAACAAUUAAUUAGAGAUUUUUAUGAUGACUUUUAAUAUUCAUGAUAAUAACAAAUAAAUACAUGUAUCACUUUUUUAAAAUAUUAAAUUUGACUGCUCCAUUAAUAAAUUAUUAUUGUAAUUCAGACUCUAUCUAUAUAUCCUUGCACUAAGAAUAAUUAAGGUAACGUUUGUUUUUUAACUUAAUGACUUAAAGUGACUUAACUUAAUUAAUUAAGUUAAUUAGAGGUGUUUGUUUUAUAACUUAAUGAGACUUUUUAGAUAAUUUUGACUUAAUAAAAUAAGCUAAUUUUUUUUGGCUUUUUACUUAAUGGAGAAAUCUGAAUUAAGUCAAUUACUUGCUAAUGUCAAAAAUAUCCUUGUUUUAUAAUUUAUUUUUCAUGUCUAUCCCAAAACUCGCCCGUAGAUAUUUACCCCACAUAAAAAUAUCCCUGUUUUUUUCUUUCUUAUAUUAUAUACGAUAAAAUUUGAAAUUUAUAGUAUUUUAUAUAUUAAAAUUCUAAAAUAAUUAUGUAUUCACUUGAAUAUAGUUUUACUUAUAAAUGUUAAAAUAUGAUGGUAUUUAAUAUAUUAUUUAUUUGACAUUCAAAUUUAAUAAGGAUACAAAUGUAAAAGUACAUAUUUUCAGCUUUUUAAAUUGAAAAAAAAUAACUUAAUAUUUAUUUUCUGAGAUUCAGACGAAAAAAUAAACAUAUUAUUCAGAUUCAUACAUUCAGAUCUAUUCAGAAUUCAAACUAAUUCAAGUCUAUUCAAAUUUUAGACAAAAAAAUAAACGCCACCUAAGUCAUAAUAAAAAUUUUCGUAACUACAUCUCGUUUCUUCCUCAUAAUAAUAAUUAGAUUGGUUCGAAUAUUAUAACUAUAUAGAUUUAGUGUAUAGCCACAUCCAAUUUAAAUAUUGACCCAAUUGGGAUGGUCCCCAAAAAAAAAGAUUCGUUAAAGGAUAAUUCUAAUUAUUUUUACUUCUCAAACGUUAGUGGGACGUUUCUAUUAGCGCACUCGUAAGCCAAGUUGUCAAAUAUUUAUACUAAACUACAAUUGCUAACAAGAAAAAUCAAGAUCGUGUUAAGCAAGUGGGUCCCGAAUAGGACGUGCAAAUCUCUCGUAAGUCAAGUUGUCAAAUGUUUAUAUAAAACUAACAAUUACUGACAAGAAAAAUCAAGAUCGUAUUAAAAAUGGGUCCCGAAUAGGAUUAUCUUUUUAAGAAUAUUAUUAUUUUAUUAUUAAAAUUUUAUUAAUAUAACAGUAUUAAAAUUUAUUAAAAAAUAUAUUUUAUUAUUAAAAUUUUAUACCGUUAUCAAUUUAUUAUUAUUUUAUUAAAAAAAUUAAUAUUUAACAAAAAUUGAGAUAAAAAUUAAUUUUUGUUCUCUGUCUUUAUUUAUUUAUUUAUUUUUUUGGGUCUUCUGCAAAUCACAAUCAAAUGUUGAAUUAUAAAUUUGCCGGCAUUGCUUUUUUUUUUUUUUUUGGGCCGGGGGGUGGUGUUGAAUUGAUGCUCUGGGUUUUUGACUUUUGUUGUCAAAUUUUACUCUGUUUUUCCCAAAUUGAUGCUANNNNNNNNNNNNNNNNNNNNNNNNNNNNNNNNNNNNNNNNNNNNNNNNNNNNNNNNNNNNNNNNNNNNNNNNNNNNNNNNNNNNNNNNNNNNNNNNNNNNNNNNNNNNNNNNNNNNNNNNNNNNNNNNNNNNNNNNNNNNNNNNNNNNNNNNNNNNNNNNNNNNNNNNNNNNNNNNNNNNNNNNNNNNNNNNNNNNNNNNNNNNNNNNNNNNNNNNNNNNNNNNNNNNNNNNNNNNNNNNNNNNNNNNNNNNNNNNNNNNNNNNNNNNNNNNNNNNNNNNNNNNNNNNNNNNNNNNNNNNNNNNNNNNNNNNNNNNNNNNNNNNNNNNNNNNNNNNNNNNNNNNNNNNNNNNNNNNNNNNNNNNNNNNNNNNNNNNNNNNNNNNNNNNNNNNNNNNNNNNNNNNNNNNNNNNNNNNNNNNNNNNNNNNNNNNNNNNNNNNNNNNNNNNNNNNNNNNNNNNNNNNNNNNNNNNNNNNNNNNNNNNNNNNNNNNNNNNNNNNNNNNNNNNNNNNNNNNNNNNNNNNNNNNNNNNNNNNNNNNNNNNNNNNNNNNNNNNNNNNNNNNNNNNNNNNNNNNNNNNNNNNNNNNNNNNNNNNNNNNNNNNNNNNNNNNNNNNNNNNNNNNNNNNNNNNNNNNNNNNNNNNNNNNNNNNNNNNNNNNNNNNNNNNNNNNNNNNNNNNNNNNNNNNNNNNNNNNNNNNNNNNNNNNNNNNNNNNNNNNNNNNNNNNNNNNNNNNNNNNNNNNNNNNNNNNNNNNNNNNNNNNNNNNNNNNNNNNNNNNNNNNNNNNNNNNNNNNNNNNNNNNNNNNNNNNNNNNNNNNNNNNNNNNNNNNNNNNNNNNNNNNNNNNNNNNNNNNNNNNNNNNNNNNNNNNNNNNNNNNNNNNNNNNNNNNNNNNNNNNNNNNNNNNNNNNNNNNNNNNNNNNNNNNNNNNNNNNNNNNNNNNNNNNNNNNNNNNNNNNNNNNNNNNNNNNNNNNNNNNNNNNNNNNNNNNNNNNNNNNNNNNNNNNNNNNNNNNNNNNNNNNNNNNNNNNNNNNNNNNNNNNNNNNNNNNNNNNNNNNNNNNNNNNNNNNNNNNNNNNNNNNNNNNNNNNNNNNNNNNNNNNNNNNNNNNNNNNNNNNNNNNNNNNNNNNNNNNNNNNNNNNNNNNNNNNNNNNNNNNNNNNNNNNNNNNNNNNNNNNNNNNNNNNNNNNNNNNNNNNNNNNNNNNNNNNNNNNNNNNNNNNNNNNNNNNNNNNNNNNNNNNNNNNNNNNNNNNNNNNNNNNNNNNNNNNNNNNNNNNNNNNNNNNNNGAAGGGUCUCUAAUCAAUAGCUGGAAGCAAUUGAGAAGGCGGUUGCUACAGUGAAUUCAAAUGUAAAAUGUUUGCUAUUCUUCGAUUUGGUUAAUGAUUUCGUAUGAAUAUUGUUGUUCCGUUGAGUUGCAUGCGAAUUCAAAUGCAAAAUAUUCUUCGAUUUUCAAUUUUGAAAUCAAAUUUUUUUUUCCUUCUCAAGCAUGUUAUGCAGAAACGAUUGUCAUGUUAUGCAGAAACGAUUUUUACUAAAUCAUUUUUAACAAACUAUUGAAAUUAAACCACUGGAAUAAGAAUUGUAAGGAUUUAUCGUAAGCUUACUAAUACGAUAAUUCUGAAACUAUCACCUUUUUUUUUUUAUUUGUUGCAGGGAAACCCAAAUUUUGUAUUUUGUCAAUUUCAUCUGAUAUGGAAUUUAUUUCCUCCCUAAAGAUUUAUCAAACUGCUUCUCUUCCCUGCUUCAAUAUCUUUAUGCAAUUACGAUCUCAUAGGAAAAGAGAGUUUGGGUUGUAUAUCUUAUAGUAUUUAUUUAUUUUUUGUUAAAAGAAAUUUAUUUUAAAAUAGUUUAUAGCAACAGUUUUUAUUUAACAAUAAUGAGGAAGGAUUAUUAUAGGUUCAAAUAGUUGUUAGAACAUUAUAAAAAAGUCCAUUUACUAUCAAAUGUUUUAAAUUGGUGCAACGUGAUAAUUGUCUCAUAUAAUUUUUUAAGGGUAAAAACUCGUUUCAUUCCCAUAUUUUAAGAUUAUUACUCAUUUAGUCUUUAUAUUUUUAAAAAUGUUUCAAAACAUUCAUACCCUUAAAUUAUUAACAUCUCUGCUGUUACUUUUUAUUUUUUUUUGACUUGUUUUUACAAUAUUGCCCUCUUACAAUAAUGUUUCUUUUUAUAAAAUUAAUAAAAAGAAAAAAAAUUAAAUUAUCAAUUUAACCCCAAAAAUAAAAUAAAAAUAAAAAGAAUAAAUAUUAAUUUUUGUGAAAGUUUACAUGUGUCCAAAAUAAAUUUUAUUGUAAAAAUAAUUAAAUUGCCUUUUUUUUGGACAUUAGUAAUAAAAAAAUUAAUAUAUUAAUUCCUCAGCAGUGUGUUACAAAAAAGUAAAAUAUAUUAAUUUUGUUUUUAUUUUAGACAAUGAGAUAGAGAAAAGUACAAGAUAAAGGAAAGGACUUCAAAACUCACUGUUCAUCAUAAUGCCCUUUGCCUUUAAAAAAAAAUCAUUCUAAUAUUUUAUAACACAUAAAAUAUAAUCCUAAGAUAAAUAUAAUAAUACAUAUUUUAAACUAAUCUCGAUAUUUAAAAUAUGUUUUAAUAUUUUAUAAUCUAUCAGACAUAUUUUAUUAUAUUAAUGUAAAAUUUAUAAUAAAUACAAACAUAUUAUUAAAAUAAAUAUAUAAAAAAUAUUUAUUUUUUAUAUGUUUACACUGAGGACUCUCUUUAAUUCAUUUAUUUUCUCUCUCUCCAAACAGGUACUGUCUUCAGUUAGCAAUGCUAUGAUAGUAAUCCAAUUCUCUUCUCCCCCACCUGAGCGAGAUUUGAAUUUGAAUCCCUUGUUUUUCACCCACUCUGUUUUUUUUCACGCAAGAUUUGACAAUUUGAGUUAAAAAAUAUGGUCCAAAACUUGAACACGUAUCUUUUAAUUGUAAUAAAAGUUCUUUAAGCUUUGGAGAUGGCAUAUAUAUGGCUGGAAGUGUCCUUUUCUUUGACCUAGAGGCAGCACCAAGCUAUCCAGCAUCAUCAUUUUUCAAGUGGGUCUUAAAUGCCUAGAAACGUUGGUGUUUCUUGAUUUAAAGAUGACACAUGCUAUAAGUGUGAAUGGUUUGGCUAAGCCUAAAUUUAAAGUCUACUCAAGUCGCAUUCAGGAUCAUGGAAAUUGGAAAGGGAGAGAUGAUAGCAAGAUUUAUAAUAAACAAUUAACUUGGGUCCUCAGUGUACAAAGCAAAUGCCACGCAAGCGAUAGCCGGCCCAGCCCAGAAAACCCAGUGGCGAUCCCAGAGAUGGCCUCCUCUAACGAGUGCUGGGCCCAAAAAUCUUUGCGGGUUGAGCCCAGCUCCGGCAUAGCCCUUUUGAGCAGUAACAGUUGUCGAGACAAAAACCAGAAGACCCAACACUGUUCCAAUGACAAUGCAUACGGUAAACUCUGCCAAGAGCCUUGGCUUGUCUGGAGUCAAAAGCCAUCCACACAGAAGCAAAAAGGAACACAAACGAGCAAAUUAUCUCAAGCCAAAGGGCCUGCCUAGUCCCCAAGCCGAUCUCAACAGGCCCAUCUGGCCCAGGUACGACAACAUUCAGGGUGCAGCCUCCAAGUUGUCAAAUAUUUAUAUUAAACUACAAUUGCUGACUAGAAAAAUCAAGAUCGUAUUACAAGUGGGUCCCGAAUUGGACGUGCCUAAAUCUUUUUAUAAUUUUCCCAGUGUAGCGGACAGAGGUCAUUACUAAAUUUCUCUUCCACACGCCACAGCAGCUUCGGUUAAUCAAACUCAAUCAAUUUUCUUGGCUUCUCCGCUUAUCAAUAUUACAAGGUAUGGGUAGCAUUUUUCAAAUCACAUGCGAUGGUACUAUUUUCAAUCGUUGCUUAGAUUGCUUUCUUGGAAAAGCAGCAUACAUAAGUAACCUCCAAGAUAAUCUUGUUGCCUUGGAGACUGAACUAAGGAAACUAAUCGCAGCAAAGAACGAUGUGAUGACGGCGGUUGUCAAUGCUGAACGGCAACAAAUGAGAAGGCUGGACCAAGUGCAAGUGUGGGUUUCGAGGGCGGAUGCUGUUAAAAAUGAAGCUGAUGAACUUAUCAGAGGCGGCUCUCAAGAAAUUGAAAAAUUAUGUCUUAGAGGGUUCUGUUCCAGGAACUGCACGUCAAGCUACAAGUUCGGAAAACAAGUGGCUAAAAAGCUACGAGCUGUGGAGACUUUAAUCGCCGAAGGAGUUUUUGAGGCGGUGGCUGCCGAGGUGGUGCCUGAGAGAGCUCCAGAGCCUGUAGCAGAUGAAAGACCUACCGAGCGAACAGUAGUAGGCUUGCAAUCACAACUUGAACAAGUCUGGAGAUGUCUUGCAGAAGAAUCAGCGGGAAUCAUUGGCCUAUAUGGUAUGGGCGGUGUUGGUAAAACUACACUAUUGACCUAUAUCAACAAUAAAUUUCUCGAGAGUCCAACCAACUUUGAUUGUGUGAUUUGGGUAGUAGUUUCAAAAGACCUGCGACUUGAAAAACUUCAAGAAAAUAUUGGGAAAAAGAUAGGUUUGGUUGAUGAUUCAUGGAAGAGUAAAAGUGUAGAGGAGAAAGCUCUCGACAUCUUCCGGAGUUUAAGAGAGAAGAGAAUUGUAUUGCUGUUAGAUGAUAUAUGGGAGCGGGUUGAUUUAACAAAAGUGGGCGUUCCACUUCCAGGACCACAAAAUACUACCUCAAAAGUCGUAUUCACAACCCGUUUGAUCGAUGUUUGUGGUAGCAUGGAAGCUGACAGGAAGUUCAAAGUAGCAUGCUUAUCAGAAAAGGAUGCUUGGGAACUGUUUCGAAAAAAAGUUGGGGAAGAAACUCUUGGAAGUCAUCAUGAUAUCGUUGAGCUAGCCCAAACUGUGGCCAAAGAGUGUGGUGGUUUGCCACUCGCACUUAUUACUAUCGGUCGAGCUAUGGCCUACAAAAAGACAGCCGAAGAGUGGAGACACGCAGUUGAAGUUCUAAGAAGAUCAGCUUCGGAAUUUGCAGGUUUGGGAAAAGAGGUGUAUCCUCUUUUAAAGUUUAGCUAUGAUAGUUUGCAGAAUAAGACGAUUAGAUCUUGUUUCUUAUAUUGUUGUUUAUAUCCUGAAGAUUAUGGCAUUCUUAAAUGGGACUUGAUUGACUGUUGGAUUGGUGAGGGAUUCUUAGAGGAAUCUGACAGGUUUGGUGCAGAAAACCAAGGAUACUACAUUGUGGGCACUCUUGUUCAUGCGUGUUUACUAGAAGAGAUAGAAGAUGAUAAAGUAAAAAUGCAUGACGUUGUUCGUGAUAUGGCUCUAUGGAUAGCUUGUGAAAUUGAGAAGGAGAAGAGAAACUUUUUGGUUUGUGCAGGUGCGGGACUAAAGGAGGCACCUGAUGUUAAAAGAUGGGAAAAUGUGAGAAGAUUGUCAUUGAUGCAAAACCAAAUUGAAACUUUGUCAGAGGUUCCUGCAUGCCCUCAUCUCCAUACUCUAUUUCUUGCCUCUAAUAAUAGUUUGCAGAGGAUCACCGAUGGCUUCUUCCAAUUUAUGCCUUCUCUCAAAGUUUUCAAGAUGUCAAACUGCGGGAAUUUAAUUUUGGAAUUACCUUUUGGGAUGUCAAAGUUGGGUUCAUUGGAACUUCUCGAUAUUUCACAUACCUACAUACAAGAGUUACCACAAGAGUUAAAGUUGUUGGUAAAUCUGAAAUGUUUGAAUUUGAGGUGGACAAGCGAGUUAAAUAAAAUUCCACGGCAGCUAAUAUCAAAUUCUUCAAGGUUACGUGUGUUGAGAAUGUUGGGUACUGGCUGGUUCAAUUUUCAUGAAGCAUCAGAAGACAGCGUUUUAUUUGGCGGGGGUGAAGUUUUAGUACGGGAAUUGCUCGGUUUGAAAUAUUUAGAGGUAUUGGAGUUGACCUUGCGAAGUUAUCAUGCUCUCCAAAUUGUUUUGAGCUCAAAUAAGUUAAAAAGUUGUAUUCGAUCUCUUUACCUCCAGUUGACCGGAGAUAGAAAGUCGAUUAUUGAUGCUACGGCUUUCGCAGAUCUAAACCACCUCAAUGAAUGAUUGAUUUUUAAAGGUUUUGAGUUGGAAGAAUUGAAGAUUGAUUAUACAGAGAUAGUACGAAAAAGGCGGGAACCUUUUGUUUUCCGCAGCCUUCACCGUGUUACCAUAGAUUCGUGCCUUAAAUUGAAAGAUUUGACAUUCCUCGUUUUUGCUCCAAACCUCAAGUCUCUUUCGCUAUUCAAUUGCCGUGCUAUGGAAGAAAUAAUCAGCGUUGGAAAAUUUGCUGAGGUUCCUGAGAUGAUGGGACAUAUAAGCCCUUUUGAAAAUCUCCGAAGUCUUCGUUUGUCACAUUUGCCAAAUUUGAAGAGCAUCUACUGGAAGCCAUUGCCUUUCACUCAUCUGAAAGAAAUGGUGGUACAUGGGUGUGAUCAGCUUAAAAAGCUUCCACUCGAUUCCAACAGUGCAAAAGAGCGUAAAUUUGUUAUUCGUGGACAAGCAGACUGGUGGGACCGACUUCAAUGGGAGGAUGAAGCCACUCAAAUUGCUUUUAGUUCCUGUUUCCAACCUUAACUUGAUUUCUGGUUAGUGCUGUUUCCUUAACUUUUACAUAUAUUCUCGUCGUUUGCUUCGUGCAAAAUACUAGGUCUUUUGUUCUCUGUUUUUAUUUCGCCCAUUUUUUUUUUUUUUUUUUGUCUUCUGCAAAUGACAGACAAAUGUUGAACUAAAAGGAAUUAAUGCUUUAUAACUUUGCCGGCAUUGCUUUUUUCUUUUUCUUUUUUGAUUUUUUGGGGCGAGGGGGGAUCGAAUAGAUGCUCUGGUUUUUGACUUUUUGUUGUCAAAUUUUACUCUGUUUUUUUCAAAUUGAUGCUUGAAUAUUUGAAUCAAAUUAAUGCUCACGUAAAUUUGUUCAGUUGCCGUAAAAGGAUAUAAUUACACUGAAAUACACAAACUCUAGAAUGAAUAGAAUUAAACAGAGAAAAUCUUGAGUAUAUUAGCCGUCUUCACAUAAAAUCAUAUGAAAAUUAAAUUUUGAAGUUUUUAUUUUCUAUUUUUAAUCAUACCCUUUAUAAUUUCUUCUGUUCUAACUACAAUAAAAUUUUUGGUUCAAGGAUUUUUAUGAGGGGUAUUAAUAAUAGUCCACCAAAAGAGUGAACAGUUGGAUGCUGCCCUAAGGGUCUCUAAUCAAUAGCUGGAAGCAAUUGAGAAGGCGGUCGUUACUGUGUACAAAGCCAUGCAGUAUUUGCUAUUCAUCUUAGUAAUUAUGAAGCUUUGGUAAAAUUUUCAAACAAAGUUGACAUGUUAUUUUGAGAUUUGGUUCAUGAUUUUGUAUGAAUAUCGUUGUUCCAUUGAGUUGUAUAUGAAUUCAAAUGUAAAAUAUUCUUUGGUUUUCAAUUUUGAAUUCAAUUUCUUUUCUUAAGCAUGUUGUGCAGAAAUGAUUUCUACUAAAUCAUUUUUGAUAAACUACUUAAAUUAAACAACUGCAAUAAGAACUGUUAAGGAUUUAUCGUAAGCAGACUAAUAUGAUAAUUCUGAAACUAUCAUUUUUUUUUUCAAUUUGUUGCAGGGAAAGCCAAAUUUUGUAUUUUUCAGUUUUAUCUGAUAUGGAAUUUAUUUCCUCUACACUAGCUACCUAAAGAUUUAUCAAAUUGCUUCUCUUCCCUGCUUCAAAUUAAUAUCUUUAUGCAACUACAAUCUCAUAGGAAAAGACAGUUUGGGUUGUAUUUAUUAUAGUUUUUUUUUUCGUUAAGAGCAAUUUAUUUUAAAAUCGUUUAGUAGUAACAGUUUUUAUUGAAUAAUAAUGGGGUAGGAUUAUUAUAGGUUCAACUAGUUGUUAGAACAUUAUAAAAAGUCCAUUUACUAUCAAAUGCUUUAAAUUGGUGCAACAUGAUAAUUGUCCCACAUAAUUUUUAAUAAUAUAUAUGGCCCAUAAAUUUAAUAUGAAUAAAUGAGUUUCGAUAGUUAAAUUUGAUACGAUUAUUAAAUAAGUUAUAUCCAUGUCAAUUCGACUUAAAAUCUGGUAAAUUUAGAUUUAGAGUUUAUAACAUGAUAACUUGUUUUAUGACAUGAUUUACUAAUCAAUUAAUAUUAAAUUAUAUUUUAGCCAAUCAGAUAUGUGGUACAUUUGUCAAAUUUUAAAAAUUAUUUAUUUAUAUAUGAAAUAAAUUUGACUAGACUGUGUGUAGGUAAUAGUGCAUAAUUUCUAAAAAAAUGUAAUAAUAACACGUUAAAAUGUUAUUUUUAUGAAGAAAAAUUGAAAUUUUAUUAAAUAGGCGACACAAUAAUAAAUGGGUUGAGAUUAUUUACAUUUUAAGAAUUACUCUGAACAUUAUUUUAUUUUAUAAAUUUUAUAUUACAAAAACACCCAUAGUUUAAUUUACCAUUAAGAACAAUUUUGUGCGAUUAAAUAAAAUACAUUACUCUUUACCCUUUCACUACAUCGACAUAAAUCCUAAUUGUUAUGUUUCUAAUUUCUUUGAUAUGCUUAUUGAAGUCCACAUUAUAAUCAAUUUUAAACUAUUAUACCACUUAAAUACAUUUUAGAAUGAGAAGUUUGGUUUUCUUCAUGGGCUGCCUUGCUGAUGCUGUUAUUGAAACUAUCGAACUUAAUAAUUUUAUGGCCAAAAUGAUAUAUGUUGAACCAGCUUUUACAUCGAAUUCUACCACCAUAAAAAAUCGUACUUGUAACAUCUCAAGGUUCCAAUUUAUCAAAAGUUAAUCAUUCAUAUUUGUUAGUUCCUAACAGUCACAAGAGCGUACAAGCCAAUUUUUGUAGCUCCUUUUUCUGCAGUAGAUUCAAGUAUAUUAUUAUCAAGCAUUUUUGUUACACCCUUAAUUCCUUAUCAUCAUCCCUUCAUUCAGAGCAACUAAACAGAGGUCAAUGUCAUUAUGUUAGAGUUACGAGGAAGAGUACUGCCAAAAAAGUUCUUUGUAUGGGAUUUAAUUUUCUGGGUUUGUAGUGAUGAACAAAUUGAGGGUUGUUUUGGUAUUUUCAAGAGUGUAUUGAGUGAAAAUUAUUUUUAAAAAAUUUAACAAAUGAGUGUAAUGAGUAAAAAAGUGUUUAAAGUAUUUUUUAGAGUACAAAUAGCUCCACCUUAAUAAAUGAGUUCUUGUAAAAAUUGAGAUUAUUGAUAUAAUUAUUAAAUAGGUUGGAUUGAAGUUAGUUUAAUUUUGACAAGAUAAUAAGACGACGCGACACAAAUACAACCAACCAGUCAACCCAAAUUGCAACCUUUUACUAAUAAAAGAUACCUGUUUGAAAAGUAAUUAUAAGCUAUCUUCUUUGUGUUAUUUCUCUAAAAAUUUGCGGCACAAAUAUUAUUUCCAUGGAGAAAAGUACGAAAUACCCGCUUUCACUUCAGCAGAAGCAAAGCAAAGCUAUGAGCCAUCUCUGUAUAAUUGAAACGCCAUUGCUAAACGGUUCUUGAUGAUGGGUGCCACCGUGCCAGCGUUGUCGCUGAUUUGCAUGAUUUAUUAGUUGUUCAGAUGGCGGAUUUUGUACUGUCACUUUCAUUUCAUUCUUGAGAGCCACGUACAAUACUAGGUGGCAUUGAAGUUGCCCCAGUGGUUAGUUUUCUGAUUUUUUUUAAUUCAAAUUUUUAUGUUUUAGAAAAAUGUAAGAAAUAUGUAGAAAUGUUGACAGCUACAAUUUUGAAACUUUGCCUAAAAUUAUUAUCGUUGCUUAUUGUUUCUUAGCUAAAGAGAAAUCCUAGAAACAUGAAAUUAUUAUUCUAUGCUUGUUUUAAUAUUAUACAUUAGCAGGUUAAUUAAAAAUUAGACGUGAAUACAACAAGAGAUAAGUGGAGAGAAUUUGGUAGUCGACCGCAUUUAGAAUUUAAUUUUUCUUUUAGCUGCCGAUCAUUAAAUUUUAUAUUUCAGAAAAUUAUACCUAGAAUAUUUCAAGGAUAUACUACGAAGAUUAUGAAGGUUUGAUUACAUGUCACUAUCAAUUGCCUCAAUCAUUUGUAGUAAAUUAAUUAAUCAUUUUGCUGCAAAUGAUUUCCUAUUAAAAAAUUCAAGUCAGAGCUGAAUUGCACAGUAGUUAGUCGUGCUUGCAAUUCAAAUCAAGUAUUGUAUUUUCUGCCUGAUUUGGUUGAUUCAACUAUGUGCAUUUGCAUAAUGGAGAUGCUUAUGAACGUUGUAGUAUAGAAAUCGAAACGUCUUGUCUUUUGCUAAGCCCAGAAGCAAAGUUCUUUGUAUUAUACUCAUCAGUUUUCUUCGUUCUCUUCGUUGAAAUUUUAUCCAAACAGCGGUUUCUUCGAAUUUUUGCCCUCUCUUACAUUUUUAAAUCUAUCAAAGAACGGUUACCUGAGAAGAUUGCCAUCAGGUAUUUCGAAAUUGAUUUCACUACAAUACCUUAAUCUAUCAGAUUUUAAUCUAUCAGAUGCUCCCGUCACUCAGUUGCCAAAAGUGACAAAAGCCUUAGUAAAUUUUUAGAGUAAAAACUCAUUUAUUCCUUAUAUUUUAAGAUUAGUAUCUAUUUAGUCCUUAUAUUUUGAAAAAUACCUUGAAACAUCACUGCCAUUAAAGUAUUGAUACCCUUACCGUUACUUUUUAUUUAUUUUGGCUUAUUUUUACAAUAUUACCCUUUAAUAAUAAUUUUUUUGUUUAGACAUUAAUAAAAAUAAAAUAAUUAAAUUACCAAUUUAAUCCUAAAAAAUAAAAAUAAAAAUUUAUAUUAAUUUUUAAUUGUAAAAAAUUGUAUGCAAACUACCAAAUGUGCAAACGGUGCUUGCAAAAAAAUUAAUAUAAAUUUUUUAUUUUUAGGGUUAAAUUAGUAAUUUAAUUAUUUUAUUUUUAUUAAUGUCCAAAAAAUUAGUAAUUUAAUUAUUUUCUUUUUAUUAAUGUCCAAAAAUUAUUAUAAAAGGGUAAUAUUAUAAAAGUAAGCUAAAAGAAAUGAAAAGUAACGGUAGGGGUAUCAAUACUUUAACGGUAGGGAUGUUUCGAGGUAUUUUUAAAAAUAUAAAGAGUAAAUGGACACUAAUAUUAAAAUACAGGGACUAAAUAAGUUUUUAUCCUAAAUCUUUAAGUGUUUGAAUUGGAGUACAUAAAUUAUCUCUCUACAAUUCAAAAACAACAGAUUUGUUACUUUUCAACGCUACAGGUUCCGCGAAUAUUCAGUUGUGGUUAUCUUGUUGAAACACCAGAAAAUAGCGUUCUAUUUGGUGGUAAUGAAUUCUUGGUUGGGGAGUUACUUAGUUUAAAACAUUUAAAUGUAUUAAGCAUCGCCUUAAAAGGUUUUUCUACCGUCCAAAAAUUUAUGAGCUCCCAAAAGUUUCAAAGUUGUACAAAAUGUUUGGAGCUUAUAGACAGUGAUGAUUCAAAGUCGUUUGCCAUGGCAGAGUUGAAGCAUCUUGAAAAACUAGGUAUUUCAAAUUGUGGAAAUUUGGAAGAGUUUAAGUUCUGCUGUGUCGAAGUUGGAAAAACUUGAGAAGAUUUUUGUUUGAACAGCCUUCACCAAGUUAAGAGAAAGGCUUGUCAUAAAUUGAGGGAAGUGACAUGGCUUGUGUUUGUACCAAAUCUUAAGGUUAUUCAGAUAGAAAAAUGUAUGGAGAUGGAGGUUGUUGGGAAAGAGACUACCACAAGCAGCUAAAAAUUAAGCGAAUACAAAAUUCUUUCUCUCUUUGUGUGAUUAAAAUAGGAUGUGCACCACAAACAAAUAAGCAGAAAAAUAAACCAAUAAAUGCAAAGCAAAAACCAACCACAAGAGACACCGAUUUUUAAGUAGAAAAUUUAAAUUGGGAAAAAUCACAGGAUAGUAGUCUGAUAUAAACUUCUACUAUAUUAAUGAGAUUACAACACAAAUUCUUCUCCAGAUAAUACUAGAUGCUAACAAUAUUAAAAUUCUCAACAAUCUUAGUUUAUAAUAAUAGAUCUAAAAUCUAUUUCUUCAAUAAGUGAGUAUCUCAAAUAAUAGCUACUGAGAGAAUAAAAUACAGAUCAACACCAGUAGAAAUAUAGAGGGCAAUGUCAGGAACUUACCCUCCAAAUUUAGGACUAAUCAGAGCUAAAAUAACCUUUUGAUUGUUGAAUCAAAGAUUGAAAACCAAAAAAAAAAAAAAUAUCUCUUUCUCUCGCAGUGUCUUCUCACUUUCGCAAAAUGUCUACAGCUCUCGCGAUUCUUUACUUAUUUCCUUAGUUAAUUUCAUCCAAGUCCAAAAUUUUACAAUAAUUACACAUCAAGCAAAUUAUUUUGGACUUUGAACUUUUUGGUCCACUGAAGUGAAAUGGACCUUACAAAUCUCCCCCUCCAUCUCAUCUAAGGGGCACCACCAAGCCCGCUCUCUACUUACAGCUUUCCAGCUUCUCCUUGGGUAAUGACUUUAUCAUCAUAUCUGAUGCAUUCUUCGUUGUGUGAAUUUCUCCAAGCUGCAACUGUUUCUACUCAAGCACGUCUUGUAUCCAAUGAUACUUCAUAUCAAUAUGCUUCGAUUUCAAAUGAUAUGUUGAAUUCUUUGCCAAGUGGAUGACACUUUAACUGUCACAGUACACAACAUAACUAUCUUGAUUAACACCUAGUUCUUGUAGAAAAUUCUUCAUCCACAAGGUUUCUUUGUAACUUUCAGUGAUUGUAAUAUACUCUACUUCUGUAGUAGACAAAGCAACACACUACUAAAGUCUAGACUGCCAUGAAACUGCUCCUCCUACAUAGGUGAGCAAAUAUCUUGAUAGAGACUUUCUAGAAUCAACAUCUCCUGCCAUAUAUGCAUCCGUAUCUACUUGUAAUAUAGGUUUGUCACCACCAAAACAUAAACAUGCCUUGGAAGUGCCUCUGAGAUAUAUGACAAUCUACUUUACUGCUGUCCAGUGUUUUUUACCCAGAUUAGAGGAAAACCAGUUGACUACCAACUGUUGAAGCGUACCUCAAACUACCAACUGUUGAAGCAUAAAAAACUCUUUUUAUCUCUUGCUUCUCUUUCUCACUUAUGGGACAAUGCUUGAAACUAAGCUUGAAAUGACCUGCAAGUGGAAAAUAAACAUAUUUUGCUUUGUCCAUAUUAUAUCUUUUAAGAACUUUUUCAACAUAUGCUUCCUGAGAUAACCAUAAAUUCCCAGUUUUUCUGUCACGAGAAAUCUUCAUGCCAAGAAUUUGUUUCGCCGAUCCCAAGUCCUUCAUUACAAAAGACUUGCUAAGCUCUCUCUUCAAAUUGUCAAUCUUACUAGUAUCCUUGCCAACAAUCAACAUGUCAUCCACAAAAAGUAAAAGAAUAAUAAAAUCAUUAUCACUAAACUUUUUCACAAACAUACAAUGAUCACACAUUGUCUUGCAAAAGCCAUGAUUCUCCAUAAAAGAAUCAAACUUCUUAUACCACUGUCUUGGUGCAUGUUUCAGCCCAUAUAAAGUUUUUUUCAAUUUGUACACAAGUUCUUCUUUACCUUUGACACUGAACUCUUCAGGUUGUUAUAUGUAUAUUUCCUCCUUUAAGUCAUCGUGUAAGAAAGCAGUCUUUACAUUGAAUUGUUCAAUUUCCAAAUCCAAGCUAGCUACUAAUCCCAGAGGUGCUUGCUCAAUUGGUUCUGCUGGACCAUUAUUAUUAUCCUCUCCAGCUCCCCUAUGAUCAUCAUGAACAACAUGUGGAGAAACCGAAGUUGGAAUAAUAAGAAUCUCUGGAGAUGGCUGAGACUUAUCAUUUUUUUUUCAUCACCAACUAUCUAAUUUUUAAGAAACACAACAUCUCUAAUUCUGAUUACUUUUCUUGUCACUGGAUCCCAUAAUCUGUACCCAAAUUCUUCAUGUCCAUAGCUUAAGAAAAUACAUUUCUUGGCUUUAUCAUCAAGUUUUGAUCUCUCAUCUUUAGGGAUAUGAACAUACACUCUGCACUUAAACACCCUCAAGUGUUUAUAAGAAACAUCUUUCCCAAUCCAAACUCUUUUAGGUACAUCGUCAUCUAAUGGAGCUUAAGGAGAAAGAUUAAUCAAAUCAACUACAGUACGCAUAGCCUCCGCUCAGAAGGAUUUAUAAAGCUUGGCAUCAGAAAACAUACAUCUGACUAUCUUUUCAAUUGUUCUGUUCAUUAUUUCUGCAACACCACUCUGCUGAGGGGAUUUUGGUACAGUUUUCUUAAGUUUGAUUCCAUGAGAUCUGCAAUACUGCUCAAAUGGUCCUCUGUACCCACCAUCAUUUUCUGCCCUGACACAUUUCAAUUUUUUUCUUGUCCCUCUCUCAACAUAAGCACGAAAGAAUUUAAACAUAGUAAGCACGAAAGAAUUUAAACAUAUCAAGCACUUAAUCUUUAGAUUUUAAAGCAAAAGUCCAUACUUUUCUAGAACAAUCAUUAAUAAAAGUCAUAAAAUAAAGUGCACCUCCUAUUGAUCUAUUUUGCAUCAUGCAAAUAUCAAUGUGAAUCAAAUCAAGGAUUUGUGACUUUCUAGAUGGAGAAAAGCUUUUAAAAGUUACUUUAUGUGCCUUUCCAGCUAAACACUAAACACAAGUCUUGAGGGACGUACCUACAAAGCUUGGUAGAAAUCCUUUUUUGGCAAGAGUUCCUAACCCUUUCUCACCAAUGUGACCAAGCCUUUUAUGCCAUGUCUCAAUGUCAGAAUUGUUUACAGCCAUAUUCAUAUAUUCUUUCUUGAUUUUGGCUUCUAUUACGUAGAGGGUGUUCAUUUUCUUUCCUUUAGCCAACACUAGAGAGCCUUUGGUGAGCUUUCAUUUUCCUUCACCAAAUUAGUUAGUAUAACUAUCAUCAUCAAUUUUUCUUGUGGAGAUCAAAUUAAGACGAAUAUCUAGUACAUGCAAGCUUUUUUGUGGAGAUCAAAUUAAGGCGAAUAUCUAGUACAUGUCUGACAUCUUUAAGGAGUAGCUUAUAGCCAACACUGGUUUGAAGCAAAUAUCUCCUAUGCCCACAAUCUUGGAUGCCCCCUCAUUUCCCAUCCGAACAUGGUCAUAAUUACCAUUAACAUAGGAUGUGAAGUAAUCAUGAUGUGCAGUUGUUGUGCAAAUUUUAAUGUACUCGCAAGCGCACGAAUCUAUUGUAGUAUAGAUCAAUGGUGACGAGUGUCGAUCCCACGAGGAGGUGGAUUUUAAUUGUGUAUAGAAUUAAUUUUGCAAAUGGUUGAUUGGAUUUGUGGUGGAAAUGAUUUGGAAUAUGCUAAAACUUAAAUUAAAAUGGCGAGAAUAAAUUCUAAAAUUGGAAUUGAAAUUGCGAGAAUAAAGUUGAAGAGAAUUCUAUUGAAAUGACGUACUUGGGUAUCUGGAUCCGUAUCAACAUGCAUCAUGGGCUAAAUAAUGCGUAUUAAUGCCAAUUAAAUCAUGAGGGGGGAAUCCACACCUCAUGAACCACGCUCUAAUCAAUAUGGUGCUAAGGGCUUAUCGUGCCAAAUAAUAAUAACCUUGUACUAGAGAGCCGGUGUAACCAAGGCGGUACUAGACAAGAUUAGUAUUAUUUGUCGACGAGAAGUCAAAACAUCCACAAAAACUAGAGGGGAAGAGAAAAUAAAUUUACCAAAUAAAGCCCAUGACACAUGUUGAGACUUCACCUUCAACCCAAGCUUAAAAGAAAAUUAGCUACUCAUAAUUGAACUAAGGGCAAAAUGGGAAUUUAUUAAAAUACGAAGAAAAUACAAGAUAGAGAGGGAAUUACAGAAAAUGGAUCCCAAAAAUGGAUUCAGAGAUAUCAAAUUAGGGGGGGAGGCCCCCUUUUUAUAGAUACAUGGAGUAAAUCAUGGCAAUCGGAUUAAAAACAGUUUGGACGCUCAGGAUUGCGCCACGUCAUCAGUCAACAGUCCACGGUUUGACCACGCGGAUGAACAGUAAUACGGUUUGACCCAUAUGAACAGUACGCGGUUUGACCCGGAUGAACAGUAACGCGGUUUGGUUGAAAAUAAUCCUGUGUGAUGCAUGCACCGUACGCGAGAUUUUUUGUCCACUGAUAUGCUGCCACGUCACCAUCAACAGUACAUAAGAAUUUUAGUCCAACAGGAUCGUGACACCUCAUCAGUCAAUGCCACAUCAUCGAUCCGUCUAUGUGAGCAGUGCCGUGAACAGUAACAUAUACAGUACCGUAUACGUGAAUAGUACCGUACAUGUGAAUAGUGCUAUUUUUCCUUUUAUGCUCCUCCUAAGGUUUUCGACCGUCCUGAGUUCAAAAGUGAUGUCCGUUUUACCGUCUGAUCUCUCCUUUAUUGUGAAAUCACUAUAAUACCACUAAAAUACAUAAAAUACUUAAUUAAAAUAAAACACAUGUAAUUAAAUCACAAGAAGGUUAAAUACAUAAAAGUAAGGGUUGUUAGUAAGACUUGAAAUGUAAAAUGAUGGUUUUCUCCUUUAUAAAUAUGCAUUUUCUAACACUCAACAGCAGUAACCACGAUGUGCAGUAACAUCAAACGAAGCACCCGAAUCAAUCACCCAAUUACUGGUAUGGCAAGUAAGAUUUAUAGAGCUAUCAUUAUAAGCAAUGCCCAUAUCACCAUUAAUUACGGCUGUAACAUUCUCUUUGUCAUUUUUCUGACCAUCGCCUUUUUCUUUCGCAUGUUCUCUUUUCCACAAUUUACACUACCUUUUUACAUGGCCCAUUUUCUGACAAUGAAAGCACUUAGCUUCUCCUAUGGGACUUAGAUCUUCCUCCAGGGUUAUCAUUAUUCUGAUGACGGAAAUUUCUGCUUCGACUUCUCCCCCGUCUUUUUUGGUUUUCUGAAACAAGUGUAGCUGACUCAGAGGGAACUACUUCAGCAUUCUUUCUUCGAGAUUCUUCAUUCCGCAGUCUAUCUGUAACCAUAUCCAAGUUUAAUUUACCAUUCGGUGCCGAAUUAUUCACUGACACCACUAAUGUCUCCCAACUAUCAGGUAAAGAACUAAGCAACAACAAUGCUUGUAACUCGUCAUCUAGAAUAAUCUUCAUAGUAGUCAACUGAUCAACCAAACCCUGAAACUCACUAGUGUGUUCAGUAAUACUGUGGCCUUUUUUAUAUUUCAAGUUAACAAGCCUUUUCAUUAGAUUGACUUUAUUUUGUGCUGUUGGCUGCUCAUAAAUUAUUUCUAAUUUUCUCCAAAGAACAUCAGCCUUGGAUUCCUUCGCGACAUGAUGGUACACACUCUGAUCAAUCCAUGACCUAAUAGUGCCCACGGCUUUCUGGUUCAAUUGAGCCCAUUUCUUAUCAUCUAUAUCAACAAGUUUAACUUCAUCACCUUCAAUAGGUUCAUGUAAGUCUUUCAUGUAGAGCAAAUCUUUCAUUCUAGACUUCCAAAUAUCAUAAUUCCACGACUCAAUUUAAUCAUGAACGCCAAAGACUCCUCUAUUUCAACCACAUAAGUAAUAAAAACACACAACCUGGCUCUGAUACCACUCUAUUGGGAAAACGACUACCACAAACAGCUACAAAUUAAGCGAAAAUAAAAUUCUUUUCCUCUUUGUGUGAUUAAAAUAGGAUGUGCACCAUAAACAAAUAAGCAGAAAAAUUAAUCAAUAAAUUCAAAGCAAAAAUCAACCACAAGAGACACCGAUUUUAACGUGGAAAAUUCAAAUCGGGAAAAACCAUGGGACAAUAGUCCGAUAUAAAUUUCCACUAUAUUAAUGGGAUUACAGUACAAAUUCUUCUCCAGAUAACACUAGAGGUUAACAACAUCAAGAUUUUCAACAAUCUUGGCUUACAAUAAUAGAUCUAAAAUCUAUUUCUUCAAUAAGUGAGUAUCUCCAAUAACAGCUAAUGAGAGAAUAAAAUAUAGAUCAACACGAGUAGAAAUGUAAAGGGCGAUGUCAGGAACUUAUCCUCCAAAUUUGGGAGAAAUCAAAGCUAAAAUUAUUUUUCGAUCGUUGAAUCAAAGAUUGAAAACCCAAAGAAAAAAAAUAUCUUUUUCUCUCGCAACGUCUUCUCACUUGCGCGAAAUGGCUACAUCUCUCGCGAUUAUUCACUUAUUUCCUUUAUAUUUUUUUUGGUUAAUUUCAUCCAAGUCUAAAAUUUUACAAUAAUUACACAUCAAGCAAAUUAUUUUGGACUUUGGGCUUUUGGUCCACUGAAGUGAGAUGGACCCUACAGAAGCAAUAAUCAGUGCAAGAAAAUUAAGUGAAGUUCCAGAGAUGAUGGCAGAUCUAAACCCUUUUGUAAAACUCCAAUAUCUUGGCCUCCGAAUUCUACCAAAAUUAAAAAAGCGUCUAUUGGAAUGUGUUGCCCUCUCCACAUGUCAGGGAAAUUUUUGUAUCUGAAUGCCCAAUUCUCAUUAGAGGAGAGGAACACUGGUGGAAUAAGUUGCAAUGGGAGGAUGAAGCAACCUAUAAUGCUUUUCUUCCUUGUUUUGGAUCCAUUUGAUGGGCAUCAACAUGGAUUAAUAUUUUGCAGCGAACCAAUUUGAAUAAAACUUACGGUAAGUGCUUUUCCAUUUAUUGCAUAUUUAUAUCUAAUUUUUGUUUUCCUUUAUGGUUAAAUUUUGCCCUGUAUAUGUUGUUGUACGGUGACAUUCUUGAAUCAAUUAUUAAUUUUUUUAAUUCUCGUCUCACAACCACCCUUUUGAUCAUGAGGAUAUGCCGAUAUCAAAGAGUCAUAAUUUGGGAUACAAAUGUAAGAAUUAGGCAGAUGACAUGUUGUUUCAAAGCUUUCGAAGAAGGACUAAAUAUGUCAUUGAAAGCCUCCAAUUUUGCGACUGAUUUUUUUUUAAUUUGUUAUUUUUAUAGGUGGCAAAAAUACCCGUCUGAUUUGGACUCGGCUGAUUUGGGCCGGGUACGGAGUAUGAAGCCGGGUUGGUCCUGGGCAUCACUUGAAACUCGGAACCUGGAUUUUAUUAAAAAAUAUUAUAAAUAUAUAUUAUUUUAAAUAUCUAUAUUUAUUAGACUCAUCUAUUACAUAUAUCUAAUUUCAUUGAAAUAAAUUUAAAAAUUAUAAAAUUACCAAUAUAUAUAUAUAUAUAUAAUAUUAAAAAAGUAUAAAAUCUGAGUCCUCAGAUUAAAACCCAGUUCAAGUGUCUAAAAAAUACAUGUGGACCGAGUUUGAACAUUGCGAUACCCAGACCCAAACUUGGGUUUUGCCAACCCUAGUCUUUUAAAUUGCUUGAUUGUAAUGUUUUAGUAUAGAAAAAUGAUAGCCAAGACAACAAUAAGAGGGCACAUUGUGCAUGCACAAUAGUGGAUAAUUUCGGCAUUCCAAAUCCAAUUAGGGUGGAUAACCUUUUAUUAGUAUUAACCUUCUCUCGUAUUCAAGUAAUGUAAAAUAUGCUUAGAAGCUGUGGAUCCCCCUUUAUAAGUGUUGGGCUUAUGCCAAACUCGAUUGAUGUGGGAUGCCUUUAUAGGCAUCAAGUUUUCUCCCAUACACUUUAUGUUAAAAAUAAUAAUGAUAAAAUAAAUCCAUUUUAAAAUAGACUUCUUUUUCUUUUCUAUAUAAACAAACUCAUUCUUCAAAUCAGUUGUGGGUGGAAGGAGUGAGUAGAGAAGAACUGGGCCCCUUUCGUUCCUCUAAAAACCUCACCAAACCUCUCUUGUAAGCUUCUCAGUGUCCCUCUCAAUAUUUCUUAUGAUCUCGUUUUUUAUUGAAUCACUUCUUUUGUGUGCUGCAUUUUUGUGUGUCGUAUUUGGGUUUAUCUUAUCUGGAAUCCUGUUAUGAUUGAUGGAACAAGUAAUCGAUUUUUGGUUUAUUUGGAAUGGAAUUAUGGUUUAUUUGGAAUGGAAUUAUCUGGGUGUAACGGAUUAAAUUAUGACAUUGGGGAGAAGGCACUAAGGGGUUUGCUUGACACAUUUGGUUCUGUGUUUACUCUGAAAGAAAUAGCUUUUGCUUAUCGUAAUGCAAGGCGAAAUCCCGAUUUGGGUGGUGAAUUUCUCUAUCCCAAUUGGGCUGGUGAAUUUCUCUGUGACAAAUAGGCAAACAGCUCAACCUCUUUUAUCUAUCUUCUACUAGUGAGGCAAGGGAUAAAAAGUCUUCAAAAUCAUCAAAUAGUAACAUCUUCGAGAAUUCAUUUUAUGCAAAUGGAAAAUCUAGACCUUCUAAGACAAAAUGGCGUCCAGUAUCAAGAGGUACCGUUUCAAGUUUUCUUGGUAAAAAUUAUGUAAACUUGCACAGCCAGCUAAUGGCACUUUUCUAGUUUUCUGGCAUCAAAGCCAUUGAAGUCGUAUCCAAAGGAGUUUCCCAUGUCUGCACUUUGUGGAGAAGGAACUAAACAAAAACAAUCAAAGGAUGACCAUUUGCAGAAGGAUGUGGAAGAUUUUCUGUUUAAAUUGCUAGGAGAAGUGUUCCAGCUGAAUAGGGAUGUGAUUCGGGAAGUUCCAGUAAUGUCUUAAAUAUGUUGAUGCCAAUUUAAUAUAUAUUGUCAUUUUCAAUGUUCUUUCUUUCUUUCUUUAUCUUCUUUUCUUCUACUUCUUCUUCUUUUUCUUUUCGUGUGCAUGUGAUCACUAAUUUGUUAUUAUACUUAACUUGCAGGUAGUUGUGGAUAUGAUAUGCAAAAGGUAAGGACUAUAUCUUCCUGAUAGAGGCCUCUGCUUUUUCCCUUUUAUGUAAUUUAGUAAAUCUCAUCUCCCUUUGUGAUUGUUAUAUCAUAUCAAAGUCAAGUCUUAAAUACUGCUGUCAUAUGUUAAGGUUCAACUUGCAUUUUGACUAACAUCCAUUUGUUGUCGCUUCCAAAAGUGAGAAUGAGAUACUUCGGUUAAUUUCAGUAGUUGAACCCAAUCGAGUACUUUAUCUAGAUCUUCAUGGUUCAAAGGCCUGAAACUUGCCCGUGAUUGUAAAAUGAUAUUAUGUGCUUUUAAUGCAAUAGGGGGAACAAGGUGUCAAAGGAAUUAGCAGAUUCUAUGGCAGAUUCUAUGCCUGUACAACUGUAACAAUUAUCCUUAUGAUUGUAAAUCUUAUAUGUUUUCCUUAUUUAGGAUAUACUAGCUGUAGGCUAUUUUAGAUAGUUAUGUAUAUGAUAGUUUAGCUAUGUUUAGGGCUAAACAUAAGCUUGUAUUCAUAGUAUAUAAAGGGAAUUCUCUUCUAAGAGAAAGCAUAACUUUUGCUCAAAAUUCUCUGAGUUUAUCAUGGUAUCAGAGCCUCAGUUCUGAAUUCUCUUCUUCCUAGUUCAUUCCCUUGUUCUUAGUUAUUCUUUUUUUUAUCAAGUUAUCUCAGCCUCAUGUCUUCAGACAAGUAUGAUGCUUUUUUGAUCCGUUUUAAUGGCACAAACUACUCAGCCUGGGCAUUUCAUUUCGAGAUAUUUGUCAAAGGCAAAGAUCUAUGGGGACAAGUUGAUGGCAGGAAACCUGCCCCUGAUAAAGAGAUAGACCAGGAUGGGUACGCCAAGUGGGAAGUCAAGGAUGCUCAAAUCAUGGCAUGGAUUCUAGGAUCUGUGGAAUCCAACUUCAUCUUGAAUCUUCGACCCUUCAAGACUGCAGCAGGAAUGUGGAAUCAUCUAAAGAAACUCUACAGUCACACCAACACUGCUCGUUGAUUUCAGCUUGAACAUGAGCUAGCCAAUCUCCAACAAGGCAGUCUCUCUAUUUCUGAUUUUUAUUCUAUCUUUAUGAUUAUUUGGGCUGAAUAUACUGAUAUAAUCUAUGCUACCUUACCUCCGAAGGUCUUAGUUUUGUUCAAUCUGUACAUGAAACUACUAAGAGAGAUCAAUUUAUGAUAAAACUGAUAUAUGAAUUUGAAAGCACUAGGUCCAAUCUUAUGAAUUGAGAAUCUGUCCCUUCCUUGGAUACAUGCCUCAAUGACUUAUUUCAUGAGGAGCAACGACUUCUUACUCAAAAUACCAUGAAACAAAAAAAAUCUACUUCUGUUCCUAUGGCUUAUGCAGCUCAAGGCAAGCCAAAAGGUAAGGACAUCAGUAUAGUUCAAUGUUUUUGUUGCAAAGGAUUUGGACAUUACGCUUCAAAUUGUUCAAAAAAAUUAUGCAACUAUUGCAAAAAAGAUGGACAUAUCAUUAAGGAAUGCCUUACUCGACCCCCCAAGAAAUCUGAAACAACAUAUGCUACCUCAGUUGGUUCUUCUAGUGAUGGUAGUUCUGUGGAUACAGCACAUUUGACCCAAAGUGCUCCUGUUCCUGUUCAAUCUGUGACCCCAUAAAUGAUUCAACAAAUGAUCAUUAUUGUAUUCUCCUCAUUAGGACUCUCAGGUAAAUCACCCACUAGAUCUCCUUGGUACUUUGAUUCUGGGGCUUCCCAUCACAUGACAAACAAUGCUAAAUUCUUCACCAAUGUAAGUAAAUACCUUAGAAAUCUAAAAAUUCAUACAGCUGAUGGCAACUCUUUACCUAUCACAGCCACUAGUGAUGUUUCUUUUUCUAUAACCAAUGUCUUUGUCUCUCCUGGUCUUCCUACUAAUCUUGUUUCAAUCGGUCAGUUAGUUGACAAUAAUUGUAAAGUAGAAUUCUCUAAAUCUAGUUGUGUUGUGCAGGAUCAGCAGUCAGGGAAGAUGAUUGCCAGGGGGCCUAAAAUAUGACGUCUUUUCCCUCUCCAAUUUGCUAAGUCUCCAUGUUUCUCUUUGCCUAUCAUCACUUGCAAUUUUACUAAGGUUAAUUAUCGAGCAUGGCAUAAACGUCUAGGACACCUAAACUCUAAUGUAUUUUAUGCUUUGCUAAAUUCUGGUUUACUUGGGAAUAAAAGAUCACCAUCCCUUAGUGUUGUUCAAUUUGAUUGCAAUUCUUGCAAGCUUGGAAAAAGUAAAAUUCUGCCAUUUCCCACUCACACACCGAAUGUUGUCCAGCCUUUUGAUUUGAUACAUAGUGAUGUGUGGGGUAUGGCGCCUGUUACAUCUCAUGCUAAUUACAAGUACUUUGUCACUUUUAUUGAUGACUAUAGUCGCUUCACAUGGAUUUAUUUUCUACAUUCUAAAGAUGAAGUGUUCUCUGUUUUCAAGCUUUUUCAUGCAUAUAUUCAGACCCAAUUUUCUACUAAUAUCAAAAUUCUUUGCUUUGAUAAUGGGGGUGAGUAUAUGUCUCAUUUAUUUUAAGAAUUUUUGCACACCAAUGGUAUAAUUUCUCAAAGAUCUUGUCCUUCAACCCCUCAACAAAAUGGGGUGGCUGAAAGAAAGAACUAUCACCUUCUCGAUGUUGUCUUCAUUUGUACCCUCUCGUUUUUGGUGUGAAGCUUUCUCCACUGUUGUCUAUCUCAUCAACAGAUUGUCCUCUCAUUCCUUGAACCAUGUCUCCCAUUUCUUUCAGUUAUUUGGCCAUACACUAAGUUACUCUCAUCUCCAUACCUUCAGUUGUGUGUGCUAUGUUCAUCUUCCUCCAUAUGAGCGUACAAAACUCACAGCCCAAGCUGUGAAAUGUGCUUUUCUAGGAUAUUUUAUGCACUAAAAAUGUUUUCUUUGUUAUGAUCCAAAUUUGCAUCAUAUAAGGGUUUCUCGAAAUGUGAUUUUCUUUGAAAAUCAGUAUUUCUUUUCCGCAUACCACGACGAUUCUUCGCCUUCAUUUUCUGUUUUGCCAAAGUUUACUAACCCUUCUGCAGAUUCUGCACCUUCUAAACCUAUCAUAGUCUAUCAGCGACGCAAGAAUUUAGUACCUCUCGGGCCCCCUCCAGCAACUUCCCUGAAUGUUGAUCCAGUUCCAGCAACUGCACCUGAACCUUUCAGACAUAGUACUCGGGUUCGUAGACCACCAGAUAGGUAUGGUUUCACCUCUCCAUUAUUUUUGACAGCCACUUUGUCUUCUAUUCUUAUUCCUUCAUCAUAUAAACAGGCAAUAGAGCAUGAAUUUUGGUGAAAAUCUAUUGAAUCAGAACUUCUUGCACUUGAAGAAAACCAAACUUGGGAUAUUGUUUCAUGUCCUCCAUCCGUGAAACCCCUUAGUAGUAAGCUAGUGUUUUCUAUCAAGCUGCGUUUUAAUGAAUCCAUAGAUCGUUACAAGGCUCGGUUGGUGGUUCUUGGCAACAAGCAAGAAUAUGGCCUAGACUACGAUGAGACCUUCGCGCCGGUAGCCAAAAUGACCACUGUUCGAACAAUAUUAGCCCUUGCUGCAUCACAAUCAUGUUCUUUACAUUAAAUGGAUGUAAAGAACGCUUUCCUACAUAGUGAUCUCAAGGAGGAAAUUUACAUGAAACUUCCCCACGGUAUGACUACUUCCUCUCCUAAUGAUGUUUGCAAACUAAAAUGUUCGUUGUAUGGGUUGAAGCAAGCACCGCGAGUAUGGUUUGAGAAGUUUCGAUCAACUCUUUUCAGUUUUUCAUUCACUCAAAGUCAGUAUGACUCCUCCUUUUUUUUUUCCAACAGACAUCUAAGGGCAUCAUUGUUCUCCUUAUUUAUGUGGAUGACAUCGUUAUCACUGGUUCUGAUAUGGAGGCAAUUUCUAAACUUCAGAAUUUGUUGCACUCUAUUUUUCACAUGAAAGACCUCGGUCAACUCACCUAUUUUUUGGGGUUAGAGGUGCAUUAUCUGCCUCAAGGUAUCUUCUUGAAUCAACACAAGUAUAUUCAGGAUUUAAUUUAAUUAGCUGGACUUAUGGACAAAAAUUCUGUUGACACCCCAGUGGAACUUAAUGUGAAAUAUCGACAAGACGAAAGGGAACUACUUCAAGAUCCUACUUAUCUAUCUAACUAUCACCCGCCCAGACAUCUCUUAUGCUGUCCACACCGUUAGCAAGUUCAUGCAAGCCCUUCGACAUCUCCACGUAUCCACAGUCCGCCGCAUCAUUAGAUAUAUUCUUGGCACUCUUAACUGCAGUUUAUUCUUCCCUACUGGUUCUUCACUCCAACUACAAGCCUACAAUGACGCAGAUUGGGCUAGCUGCCCGGACACGAGAAAAUCUACUUUGGGAUGGUGCAUGUUUCUUGGUGAUGCCCUUAGCUCUUGGAAAUGCAAAAAGCAAGACUCAGUCUCCAAAUAAUCCACUGAGGCAGAAUACCGCGCCAUGUCUGUAGCCUGCUCCAAGAUCAUUUGGUCGCGUGGUCUCUUAACAGAGCUUGGUUUCUCACAACAUCAACCUACUCCCCUACAUGCUGACAACACAAGUGCCAUCCAAAUUGUAGCCAACCCUGUCUACCAUGAGCGCAUGAAACACAUAGAGGUUGACUGCCACUCUAUUCGAGAGGCCUAUGACCACCAAGUUAUCACCCUCCUGCAUAUCUCCACUACUCUACUGAUUACGAAUAUCUUCACCAAAUCCAUGACAUGUCAGCGACAUAACGUUCUUGUUAGCAAAUUGAUGCUUGUAGAUUUACCAGCAUCAAUUUGAGGGGGGAUGUCAAAGGAAUUAGUAGAUCUUAUGGCAAAUUCUAUGCCUGUACAGCUGUAACAAUUAUCUUUAUGGUUGUAAAUCUUAUAUUUUUUCCUUAUUUAAGAUAUACUAGCUGUAGGCUAUUUUAGAUAGUUAUGUAUAUGGUAGUUUAGCCAUGUUUAUGGCUAAACAUAAGCUCGUAUUCAUAGUAUAUAAAGGGAAUUCUCCUCCAAGAGAAAGCAUAUGAAAGAAACUUAGUUCUAUAUUGUUUGGUAGGCUAGAAAAUGAAAGAAAAUAAAAGAAAAGCUUUGCAAAGAAAACUGUUAGAUCCUUUUAUUAUACCAAACUUACAGUUUAAUGACUAAAAAUUGAUAUUUAUAUUGAGCUACAAACUCUUCACACACACACACGAGAUUGUUGCAACACAUAACCAAUUGCUGUAUAACUAACUUGACACAUCAGCUCAACCAGCUAACUAACUUUGACAGGUCAGCUUAAUGAUUUGAUCUGAUACAACCAGCUACACAGCAACAUCAUGCUCUGCUCCAGCUUCAUCUAAUUCACUAACAACUUUUGCUCAAAAUUCUCUUAGUUUAUCACAGGGAAGUAUAGCUUUGGAAAAGGCCGGAUCAAUAACUAUGGAGAGAUUUAUAAGUGAUAAAAAUUCCCGUAACCCGCUGUCAAGAAAAUUUCACAUAGUUAAAGACGCCAUUUUGUUUCAGCCAAAAAUGUUUGUUUAAUCUGCCAAAAAUGUUUGUUUCGAUUAAAGACUUGAACCGUUUUCAUUUAACCUGAUUGUGAUGCUUUAUGUUAUGUAUGUUCCUCUCAAUCAAGAAAAGUUGAGGUUCAUGAUUUUAUAUUUCUAUCUUGUAACUUGCAAUAAUAACUGGUCUUCUUGUUUUUGUAGCUUGAUAACAUGAAUUUUCCUUCUCAAGUUAAUUUGAUCAAUAAAGUAAUUCUUCAAAGAAAAUAUGCCCAUUCUAUAAUCAUUUUCUUAGCUAAUAUGUUUUUUUUUUGUUUACUCUUCAGAGUGUGUCGAAACUAAUUGAUUGCUCGGCAGAGACUUUGGGUGACAAGUCAAAAUUUCAUGGUAAAUCCUCUGAAAAGGUAUGCAUAAUUCCUGAAUAUUAAAUAACCAAUGGUCAUAGUUUUUGUACACGACUCUUUUUGUGGAGAUCGUUAAAAGUGGUUGAUGAUCCAUUUGUAAUUUCAUAGAGGGAUCAUCAAUUCCUUUUCUUUUCUGUGGCUAGGCAUCACUUUCGUGCCAAAGUAAGGAAAUCUAUUUUAGGUAAUGUAAAAAACAAUGGUAGGAUGUAAUAGCUUAUUAUGCACUGACAAUAACUUUUUGUAUAAUUGUCAGUUUAAGGAAUACAAGAGGAACUCUGUUGACAAAUUCAUCCAAGAUAGAUGCUAAAAUUAUUUAUGCAUGCCAGUUGCCUUAACUAAUUUUUCUUAACACUUGUAUUGAACAGGAAAUGAGUAUGCAAUUUGUGUACGUGCCAUUGUGGAGAAUUUGGAUAUUCUUAUUUAAGUAAGAAGAAGAGUAUUUGCCUCAUCUUUAAACAAUGAAUCUUUGAGAAAUGAGGAGUGGGUGAUUGGAAGUGUCUUCAUGUAAAUGUUCAUUUACUUGUAUUUUGAACUAUUAUGAGAAUCUUUUAUAUGCCAAAUUAGUAAUACAAAUGUUCAGAUGAUUUUUCCUGUUGAUCACGCGUUUGUGUCUGCAGACAACCAUUGUAUAUCACUUUAUUCUGAUGUGCAAUUAUGUAUAGAUUAGAAGAAAAGAAAUAAUAGUCUUAUAUUAUUGUUUGGUUCAUGAUUAUUAAACGAUUAUGGCUUCAAAAAAUCUACAAAUUCCUUCUGUUCAUAUAUGAAUGUGCCAAGUUUGCUAUAUCUUAGAUUGCCUUCUUCCAAGAUAACAAGUUCAUAUGUUUUUUAAUCCUCUUCAAUCACAGUUGAAUUUUAAGUGUUAAGAUUUGUUAUUAAUACCUGGUUCCCUGUUAUUAUGAUUUUUAUUAUGAUUUCAUAAACAGUGUACGGACAUGUGCUCUACUUUUAAAGGGCCUCCACGUGAAAGAAAAUUGCAACAAUUGAAUUCUUCCGGAGGGUAUGGCAUUUAAUUUAUUUUCUCAACUUCUUGUAAGACUAAUAUAUUUCCUUCAGUAGGCAGGGCAUGUUGGGAAGGGCUUUUAUUGAAAGAAUUCUGAUAUUUCUUAGACUUUGUUUUGGAAGGGAGGUGGAGGGAUUUCUCAUCCAUAUAUGGUUACUUGAUUAGCUUUUGACUGUAUUGCCUCAGUCGUGCAAAGGAAGAUCCAAAUACUAAUGAAUGAGAAUUGGUUAGAGACCCAAAAGACAGAAAUGAACUACAGAAGGAAGUUUUUGCUGCUUUAUUUAGUGUUCCUGAGAACUCUGAUGAAGAUGGAGUGGAGGUCCAAAGCAUUAAGAAAGGUGGUGAGUGAACCGCCAGAGGAAUUGGUACCAGAAUACAAAGCUAAUGUGGUGCAUUUGCAGCAAGAUAACCAGACUAGUAUGUGCUCUUGUAUUAACUAUAUUGACUGGAUUUGUGAGCAUGUUCAUUUUUGUGUGUAUAAUCACUUUUGUAUUUAUGCAUAUUAAUGUUAGUAGGAUUCUUGAUUUCCUCCACUUACUGGAGAACUAGUGGAAAGCUUUAUAGUGAAAUAUCUGCAAUAACUAAUGGAAACCAUGAUUUGAAUAUUUUCUCUCACCUGGAGAGCUUUGUAACAGAUGUACUUUGUGGCUAUGGAAUACUAGAGAUUCUGCAAUAACUAAUGGAAACUCUGAUAUGAAUAUUUUCUCUCACCUGCAGAACUUUGUAACAGAUACACUUUGUGGCUCUGGAAUGUCUAAAGAUUUUGUCUGCUUCAGUUAGAUCAAAUAUCUUUUAGUUACCUACAUUAUGGAAAAGAUAGAGUUCUCUGAAUCUGAAAGACUGAAACAUUUUGCAUAUUUCGUGAAAGGAAAAUAUCUGUAGAUACUAGUUCAUGCAUUGAGGUAACAUCAAUGUUAAAGAAAAACAGCAAUAACUUAUUAUAUAGAAUUAGGUUCACUUGCUUUAAAUGCUGGUCUGGUCAACCAUAUGAACCUGUAAGUGUAUCUGCAGAAAUAUAUAUGGGGGGACAAACUAGCUAAAUUUUCCUCUCAUUUCUGGCUUUGGUCAUUUUUUCCCCUUAUUUUUCAGCUUUCCUUCUCCUGAAGUAUGUUAACAAUUGCAGAUAAUGACGAAGAGGACAGCUUGCAGGCUCUUCGUGGAGCUGUGAUGGAAUAUAGGGGCACAAUGAAAGAACAUUUUAAAGCUGUAGGUUCUUUUUCUCCUGUCAUUUAUAUUUGCUCACACAUUUUUCAUAUGCUCCAAGCAUGCAAGUUUGUAUGUGUCUUUGCCUUUUAAGUUUUAAAAACCAUAAGGUAAGAAUACAGUUCCUCGUCAGGUUAUUGAUGCAUUCACUCCGGAGGAUCAUGUUCGAGCAGGAAAACUUCUAGAACAGGCAAGGUUUUCCAUCUACAGCCAUCUAUUGACAACAGAUACAUUUUCAUUCAGCAGACACUGUUAGCAUUCAAGAUGCUGGCAGAUUCACUUGAUUCUUAUUAGUUUGUUUAGUGGUAAAGCAUAUAACCUGUUUUUCAAAGCCAAGUUGUGCUAUUGAUUAUGUUAACUUUAUUGUUCACAUAAAGUGAUAUGGAGGAAAUAAUCAUUGUAGGAAAAUUAGGUGAAGAGGUGAUGUCAAAUCUUGAACCUGUUACAAAACUCCAAGUUCUUUACUUGAAGAAGCUACCAAAUUUGAACAGGGUCCACUGGAAGGCCUUGCCAUUCCCUGAUGCCUGCAGAAUUUUUGUAUUUAAAUGCCCAGAGCUUAAGAAGCUGCCACCGGAUCUUGAAAGGGCAGGCCAAGGUAAAAUUCUUAUCAAGGGAAAGGAAGAUUGGUGGAAACAACUUCAAUCGGAGGAUCAAGUAACUCAGAAUGCAUUGCUUCUAUUUUUAAAAUCAACUGACAAGUGAUUGAAGGGGGCAUCAUCAACAUCAUCAACAUGGAUGGAGAGAUUCAGGAGCAGAUCCGCAGGGUUUAUUACGACCUGUGGUGGUUGCUUUUUUGUGACUUGUUCCCUUUCAUUUUUUCACUUCCUGUCAUAUUAUCAUUUCUUUGUCUCUGUUUCUAUUGCUGAUGUUGCUGCAUGCUUGCAGCCCUUGACAAAGUUAGCAAUGCAAUAUAGAUUUUGAAAUUAAAUUUUGUAUGUUCGGGACAGUCACAAAGUACUACUUGUUCUAUAUGGGGGUGAUGUGAAUCAACUUUUCAAUUAUAUAUUCUGUGGUAAUUGUGAAUUCAAUUUCAUUUGUCUCCUGCAAAUUAUGAAGAAAGUGCAGAGUUAGAAUAUCGAAAAGUUCACUGGCAAAUACUUUGUAAAAGCUUCGGAGUGAAACAGGGAAUGCACUUGCAACUAAGGACAAAUUGGUGGCCAGCUAAUGCAUUCAUUUUAUGUACAUUCAUCUUUUUAAUUAUUGAAGAUAAGUGGUUCGUUGCUUUUGUUGUAGAAAAAAUUCAGACGACCUCAAUUGUGAGAUGAAAAUAUUUAAAAUAUCUCUUAAAUUAUUAUAAACUUUAAUUUAUCUUAAUUUUAUUUAAAAGAUAAAAGAAAAAUGUGGUAUAUGGGUAAAAAUUUUUUUAUCUUGUUAAUAAAAUGAAAUAAAUUAAAAUUUACAAUAAUUUAAAGUAUUUUAAAAUUAUUAUUUCAUAAGAGAUUAAUAUGAAAUUAAUCCUUUUUACUUUUUGAAUGUGAAAGGACAAGAAAAGAGAAAGCUAGUGUCACUGCUUUUUAUUUUAUUUGAAAUCGGAGUUAUCCCAUAUACUUUACUACUUUAGCUCUAACAUUACAAUGUUUUUAGGCUACACUUUUAUUUUUCUUUUUCCCCCUUUUUUUAUACAUGCAUGUGGAUUACUUUUCUCUAAGCUCCUUAAUAUUUAAGACAAAUCAUAAAAGCAAUUGAAGCAUAACAAGAUGAUCAAAACAUUUAACCGAAAAAAAAAGAAAUAAAACAUUGAAAAUGGAGAUGUUGAUUAAUUUAGAAGAGAUGCAAGCAAAAAAUAUUCCCAAAAAAAAAAAAAAAAAAAGCAACGUUAGUUCAUCCAUGUCUGUCAAUGCGUUUUUUAUGGUUUUUUUUUUCCAGUUGUUUGUUGUAAUAGAUUAAUUGUAAAUUGAUAUAAACUUGAUGUUGUAAUAUGUUCGCUUUUGUGGAAAUAAAUUUCAAUAUUCAAGAUUAUUCAAGUCUUAUCUAGUAUGUGUUCGGUUGUGUUGUCGAUAAUUUUACAUUCUAAUAAGUUUUCACCUAAAAUAUUAGCAUGAGUAGUAGUCCUUAAACCUUUGGUCAAAAUUAUUGUUAUUGUUUCUUUUAGAGGAAAUUUUUUUAUUAAAGCCUCGUUAACACUAUUCCUUAUUAAGAUUAUAAGUUAGUGUCGGUGCAGGAUUUGCAGCGACAAAUCUUGUCUAGCCACGUGUCAAAAUACAAAUAAAUCAAGGGAAAGCACAUGACAUGGAUUAGGAUCCAAUAAAAUUUAAAUCCCAAGGAAAAGGACAACUGUAUCCUAAAGUUUCAAUAAGAGAUACUGGGAUAUCUUUUGACUAAUGUUAUUUUUUGGCUUUAUUAAUAAAAAGAUCCAAUAGUUUAUAACAAAUAAAAAUAUAGUAUUAAGCUAAAUGUGAUAAUUUACACAUUUUACAUAAUUUCAAUAAAAAUUUUUUUAAUGUUUUACAAUCUAUCAGACAUAUUUUAUUAAAUUAAUAAGAAUUUUCUUAUAAAUAGCAACAUAAUAUUAAAAUAAAUUUAUAAAAAUUUAAAUGUAAAAUAAUUUUAGUAUAAUUAAUACGCGGGAUAUAUUUUGUAAAUUAUAAAAUUACUUAACCCAAUGAUUUUUAAAAAUCUUUAAAAUAAAUAAAAAUAAAUUAUUCACAUUUUGAUGUAAAUAUUUAAAACAUUUUUAUACAUUAGUCCACAAUUAUUUAUGUUAUAUUUGUAUUUAUUAGAAAUUUUGAAAGUCAAAUGUUUUUUACCUCUAUGUUAUUAGAAUUAUUGCACACAGAGAAAGAGCCAUAUAUGCUUUAUAACUUUAAAAUCGAUUUGUUUUAUAGCUGGGAAUAGAGAUGAUCAUUAUUAUAAGGAUUUUUUAAAAAAAGAUAAAGAAUAUUAAUGAUUAGCGAAAUCUCUAUGGAAAUUGAAUUUAGUAAGAAAAAAUUGAGCUGAUUUUAGUGGUAUAGUAAUAUUUUAUAUAGAGAAAAGUAAAAGCUGCACCCAAGGUUAAGGGAAAUGGUCAAAAUUCUUUUUUAAUCAUAAUACCCUUUUUCCUAGAUAAUUUAAAAAUUUUACUCUAAUAGUUUAUAAUAAAUAAAAACAUAUAAUCCUAAAAUAAAUAAAAUGAUAUAUAUUUUAAAAUAAUCUCAAUAUUUAAAAUAUAUUUUAACAUUUUAUAAUCUAUUAGAUAUAUUUUAUUAUAUUAAAGUAAAUUUUAUAAUAAAUACAAAACAUACUAUUAAAAUAGAUAUAAAAAUUUUAAAGUAUUUUGAAUAUUAUAUAAAAUAACUUUAAUAUUGUUAAUGCAUGAGAUGCAUUUUAUUAAUUAAAAAUUCUAUGUAACCCAAAGAUUUAUUUAUAAUAAAUUAAUAAUCAUAUUUUUGAAAUUAUUUUAAAUAUUAAAAAAUAUUUUAAUAUUACUAACUAUUAGAUAGACUAAACUAUUUAUUUUAUUUUCUAUUUAUUAUAAAAUUUCAAAGUUAAUCUUUUUAACUACUAUUCAAAAGAUGUUAUGAUAAAAACAGAAUUUUUGUGUUUUUAUUGAAAAUUUGGAGUUUACAUCUAUUUUUUCAAAUAUUCAGGGUGUAACUGUUUUUUCCCUUUUAUAUAUACGAACGGUGGUGAGAAAGUUUGAUUUAACGUUAUUUAUUUAAAUAAAAUCUCAGUUAAAAAUGUACAGAGAAGAAAUUUCGGUUGGUAUUUUAGUCUUGGUAAUCUCUAUAUUAUAUGCAUAUAAGAUACAUCAUUCUCACAUGAAUAGUAUAUGUGUGAGAUCCAUAUAUUAUUCAUGUGAGGGAGAUGUAUCUUAAUAAGAUAGAGGGAUCCGUUAGUCUUUUACCAAUCAUCACGAUUAGGCCUUGGCCUUGAAACAUUAAUUGUUUCACUUUUAGCGCUAGUGGCGUUGAAAGUUGUCAAGAAAAAGCAAGACCAUAUUCCACAAAAGCAAAAGUAACGUAGGCUCUUUUAUUAAAGGCAAAGUAUAAAGUAGUCAAGAAUCGAAUAUCCUGUCGUCUACUCUUUUUUAAAUUCUUCUUUUAUUAUCGUUUAGAAUAGUUUUUGGUAAUUACAAUCAUUAUUCAGAGUUAUUGUUAUCUUCCGGGGCAGUCUCUGUUCAUCGAAGUCGUUACCUUUUUUUUAAUGGAUCAGUUCCAGUGGUAAGCAGUAAUUUUCUUAGAACUCGGAUCUUUAAUUCGAGUUUCUGUGUGAAUUAAUAAUAAAAAAUUUUCAUUACACGCAAUUUAAGCUACGAAUUACUUUUUGCAAAGUUGAAUAUGGAAUUGGAGAAAUUAAGUAAUUUAGAAUGUUGGUAAAAAUUGACGAACAUAUCUCCAAUUACAGUAAAACCUCUCUACAGUCAUAACAUUAUAACAAAAUUAAUUUUAUUACUAUGUUGAGGUAAUAUAGGUUUAGUUACAAAAUUAUUGUUUUAAUAUGGUUAGUGUCAAGUGAUAUAAAGGUUAAGUAUGCAGUACAUUAAUAAUUAAAUAAUGAAGUGUCAAAUCUAAUGUAUAUAUAUUAAUGAUAUAGAUAGACAUAGUUUUAAAAAACUAAUUAAUGUAUAUUUAUGUAGUGUUAUGAAUAUGGAAAGUCAAGCCUACACUUUACAUUAUCCUUAAUUUUUUCUCUCAGUUAAAUUCUACAAAUAUUGUACAAUGGUUGGGCAAGAACUCUAAAUUAAGAAUAAAUUAUUGUCACAAAUAAUUUUAGAAAAUAUUUUAUUUCGUCUUAAACCUUUAAUAUAAAUAAACAUAUAUAUAUAUAUAUAUAUAUAUAUAUAUAUAUAUAUGUGUGUGUGUGUGUGUGUGUGUGUGUGUGUGUGUGUGUGUGUGUGUGUGUGUGUGCAUAUUUUGCAACGUAUAGAUAAUUGUUAGUAUAUGGAGACAAGUCUUUUAAGGUAGGACCUAGGAAAAUUUAUAACUUACUACACUGUGGAGUUUUUAUUCCUUUUUAUAAUUGGCUCAUAUUGAUACAUUCUUACACAAAAUAUUACCAUUGACAUAUUUUACUACAAUUAGUUUAGAACAUUUGUUAGGAAAAAAAAGAAAAGAAAAGAAAACAUCCCUUGGAUGUAGCUCUCCUGACUAUUUAAAUCUUUUAAGGAAAAAAAGAAAAAAGAAAAACUGGCACAUUCAAAUCUUGAAGCAAUUACAUUAAAAUCUCUCCAUAAUGAUAGGAAUAAUCUCCAUUUAGUAAUAAAAAAUUUUGUUCGCAAUUUAGGCAGAGUUAUAAAUAAGAAUAAAAUCCUCAUUGUAAUAAGUUAUAUUUAUUAUGGAUCCCAUCCUAAGGAAUUCGUCUCUAUAUAGUAAUAAUUAUUUGCAUAUUAUAAAUAUAUAUGUUGCAUUAGAUUAAAUGAACUUGUCUCCACAUACUACUUAGACAACGAGAGAAAAUUAUUAAAGAGAACACAAAUAUUUAGAUAUUUUUAAGAUUACUUUGCAUAUUUAUAACAAUAAUACAUUGAUAUAUGUAUUAGUUUUUUGAUAUAUUAGAUUUAACAUGCUCUAUUAAUAAAUUAUUAAUACGAUGCAUAUUCAUCUCUAUAUCCUUGCAAUAAAAGUAACUAAGUUAUAACAAUAAUUAUUAAUAAAUUAUUAAUACGUUGCGUACUUCAUCUCUAUAUCCUUACAAUAAAAAUAACUAAGUUAUAAUGAUAAUUUUUGUAACUACAUACUUAUUAGGUUUUAACUACUUCAUAAUAAUAAAUUAGUUUCGUCCUAAUAUUAUAAUUAUGUAGAGUUGUAGUGUAUAGACACACCCAAUUUAAAUAGUAUAUCAAAUAAAAUUGUCCCCACGAAAAAGAAAAAAGGGGUAAAGGAUUCUCAUUUCUUCAAACAUUAGGAUCACGUUUGUACAAGUGCGAUGCCUUUCUUUUGAAGGCAACGUCAGUGGGUACCCAAUAGGACGUGUGUAAAUCUUUCCAAAAUUUCUCUGGUAUAACGGACAGAGAUCAUUACUUUUCUCUUCCAUAUACCACAGCAGCUUCAGUUAAUCAGACUCAAUCAAUUUUCUUGGUUUCUUCGCUUAUCAAAAUUCCAAAAUAUGGGUAGCAUAUUUCAAAUCACAUGCGAUGGUGCUUUUUUCAAUCGUUGCUUGGAUUGCUUUCUUGGAAAAGUAGCAAACACAAGUAAGCUCCAAGAUAACCUUGUUGCCUUGGAGACUGAAUUGGGAAAACUAAUCGCAGCAAAGAACGAUGUGAUGAUGAGGGUUGUCAAUGCUGAACGGCAACACCUGAGAACGCUGGACCAAGUGCAAGUGUGGCUUUCGAGGGUGGAAGCUGUUGAAACUGAAGCUGAUGAAUUGAAAAGACACGGCUCUCAAGAAAUUGACAAAUUAUGUGUUGGAGGCUACUGUUCCAAGAACUGCGCGUCAAGCUACAAGUUCGGGAAACAAGUGGCUAAAAAGCUACGGGAUGUGCAGACUUUAAUCGACGAAGGAGUUUUUGCGGCGGUGGCUACCGAGGUGGUGCCUGAGAGAGCUCCAGAACCUGUAGCAGAUGAAAGACCCACUGAGCCAACAAUAGUAGGCUUGCAAUCACAACUUGAACAAGUUUGGAGAUGUCUUGUAGAAGAAUCAGUGGGAAUCAUUGGCCUAUAUGGUAUGGGCGGUGUUGGUAAAACUACACUAUUGACCCAUAUCAACAAUAAAUUUCUUGAGAGUCCAACCAGUUUUGAUUGUGUGAUUUGGGCCGUAGUUUCAAAGGACUUGCGACUCGAAAAAAUUCAAGAAGAUAUUGGGAAAAAGAUCGGUUUGGUUGAUGAUUCAUGGAAGAGUAAAAGUGUAGAGGAGAAAGCUCUCGACAUCUUCCGGAGUUUAAGAGAGAAGAGAAUUGUAUUGCUGUUAGAUGAUAUAUGGGAGCGGGUUGAUUUAACAAAAGUGGGCAUUCCACUUUCCGGACCAAAAAAUACUACAUCAAAAGUCGUAUUCACAACCCGUUUCGUCGAUGUUUGUGGUAGCAUGGAAGCUGACAAGAAGUUCCAGGUGGCAUGCUUAUCAGAAGAGCAUGCUUGGGAACUGUUUCGAAAAAAAGUUGGGGAAGAAACUCUUGAGAGUGAUCAUGAUAUCGUUGAGCUAGCCCAAACUGUGGCCAAAGAGUGUGGUGGUUUGCCACUCGCACUUAUUACUAUUGGUCGAGCUAUGGCCUUCAAAAAGACAGCCGAGGAGUGGAGUCAUGCAAUUGAUGUGCUAAGAACAUCAGCUUCUGAGUUUGCAGGUUUGGGAGAAAAGGUUUAUCGUCUUUUAAAGUUUAGCUAUGAUAGUUUGCAGAAUGAGACGAUUAGAUCUUGUUUCUUAUAUUGUUGUUUAUAUCCCGAGGAUUAUAGCAUUCUUAAAUGGGACUUGAUUGAUUGUUGGAUUGGUGAGGGAUUCUUAGAGGAAUCUGACAGGUUCAGUGCAGAAAACCAAGGAUACUACAUUGUGGGCACUCUUGUUCAUGCAUGUUUAUUGGAAGAGUUAGAAGAUGAUAAAGUAAAAAUGCAUGACGUUGUUCGUGAUAUGGCUCGAUGGAUAGCUUGUGAAAUUGAGAAGGAGAAGAGAAAAUUUUUGGUUUGUGCAGGUGCUGGAGUAGGAGCGGUGUCAGAUGUUGAAGGAUGGGAAAAUGUGGGAAGAUUGUCAUUGAUGCAAAACCAAAUUGAAAUUCUGUCAGAGGUUCCCACAUGCCCUCAUCUCCUCACUUUAUUUCUUGACUUUAAUUAUAAAUUGGAGAUGAUCACCGAUGGCUUCUUCCAAUGUAUGCCUUCUCUCAAAGUUUUGAAGAUGUCAAACUGUGGGCAUGUCAAAGUUUUGAAAUUACCUUUUGGGAUGUCAAAGCUGGGUUCACUACAACUUCUUGAUAUUUCACAUACCGGCAUAAGAGAGUUACCAGAAGAGUUAAAGUUGUUGGUAAAUCUGAAAUGUUUGAAUUUGAGGUGGACACAUAUGUUAAAUAAAAUUCCACGGCAGCUAAUAUCAAAUUCUUCAUGGUUACGUGUGUUGAGAAUGUUCGCUAUUGGCUUUGAAAAUUCUAAAGAACCAUCAGAAGACAGCGUUUUAAUUGGUGGGGGUGAAGUUUUAGUACAUGAAUUGCUCGGUUUGAAAUAUUUAGAGGUAUUGGAGUUGACCUUGCGAAGUUAUGAUGCUCUCCAAUUUUUUUUGAGCUCAAAUAAGUUAAAAAGUUGUAUUCGAUCUCUUUUCCUCAAUAAGCUGGGAGAUACAAAGUCGAUUCAUGCUACGGCUUUCGCAGAUCUAAAGCAUCUCAAUGAACUAUGCAUUCGUUCGGCAGUGGAGUUGGAAGAAUUGAAGGUUGAUUAUACAGAGAUUGCGCCAAAAAGGUCGGAACCUUUUGUUUUCCGCAGCCUUCACCGUGUUACUAUGGAGCGGUGCCAUAAAUUGAAAGAUUUGACAUUCCUCGUUUUUGCUCCAAGCCUCAAGUCUCUUUCGCUAUACGGUUGCAAUGCUAUAGAAGAAAUAAUCAGCGUUGGAAAAUUUGCUGAGACUCCUGAGGUGAUGGGACAUAUAAGCCCUUUUGGAAAUCUCCAAACGCUUUAUUUAACUGAUUUGCCAGAGUUGAAAAGCAUCUACUGGAAGCCAUUGCCUUUCACUCAUCUCAAAGAAAUGACGGUACAUGGGUGUAAUCAGCUUAAAAAGCUUCCAUUCGAUUCCAACAGUGCAACAGAGCGUAAAUUUGUUAUUCGUGGAUACACACUCUGGUGGAACCGUCUUCAAUGGGAGGAUGAAGCCACUCAAAUUGCUUUUCGUUCCUGUUUCCAAUCUCAUGAAAUAUAAAUUCCUGAGCGGUGGUUGCAAAAUUUGAUUUCUAGUGAGUGCUUUUUUCUUAAACUCUUACAUAUAUUCUCGUCGUUUGCUUCGUGCAACGGACUAGGUUUUUAUUUCAGAUUCGUUUUUUGUCUCCUGCAAAUCACAAUUAAAUGUUGAAUUAUAUGGAGUCAAUGCUUUAUAAAAUUUUCAAGGCACUGCCAUUUCCUUUUUCUUUUUCUUUUUUUUUUUGGGUCGAAUUGAUGCUCUGGCUUUUUACUUUUUGUUGUCACAUUUUGCUCUGUUUUUUCAAGUUGAUGCUUGAAUAGUUGAAUUCAAUUGAUGCUCACAUAAAUUUGUUUAGUUGCCGCAAAAGGAUAUAAUUAGACUGAAGUACACACUUCUAGAAUGAAUACAAAAUGUUAAGUAUACUAGCCCUCUUUACAGAAAAUCAAAUGAAAAUCAAUUUUUUGGGGCUUUGAUUUUCUAUGGUCUAUUAUAUACUCUUUUUAAUAUCUUCUGUUCUAACUAUAACCAAAUCCUUUGUUCAAGGAUUUUUAUUUGGGGUAUUGAUAACUGUCCACCAAAAGAGUGAACACUUGGAUGCUGCUCAAGGAUCUCUAAUCAAUAGCUGGAAGCAACUGAGAAGGCGGUCGCUACUGUUUACAAAGCGAUGCAGUAUUUGCCAUUCAUCUUAAUAAUUAUGAAGCUUUGGUAAAAUUUUCAAACAAAGUUGAACACAUGUUGUUUUGAGAUUUGGUUCAUGAUUUUGGAUGAAUAUCGUUGUUCCGUUUGAGUUGGAUGUGAAUUCAAAAUCUAUAUAUUCUUUGGUUUUCAAUUCUGAACUCAAUUUCUUUUUCUCAAGCAUGUUAUGCAGAAAUGAUUUUUUACUAAAUCAUUUUUGAUGAAUUGUUUAAAUUAAACAAUUGGAAUAAGAAUUGAAAAGGUUUAUCAUAAGCAUGCUAAUAUGAUAAGUUGUUUUAUGAACGAUUAAUUAAUUAAUCAAUUAAUAUUAAAUUAUCUAUUAGUCAAUUAGAUAUGCGUUACAUGUCAUGUUUAAAAAUUAUUUAUUUAUAUUUCAAACAAAUUUGACUGGAUGUUGUGUAGGUAAUACUACAUAAUUUCAAAACAAAAAAAGUAAUAAAAACACGUUAAAUUUUGUUUUUAUGAAGAAAAAUUUAAAAUUUUAUUAAAUAGGUGAAAAUAAUAAAUGGAUUCGUGUAUGGUUUGAGAUUCUUGACAUAAUUAUGAAAUAAGCCGGAUUCGACUUAGUUCAAUUUUGACGCGAUAAGAAGACGACACCACACAAACACACGAUAAGAACCGUUACCUGAGAAGAUUGCCAUCAGGAAUUUUGAAAUUGAUUUCACUACAAUACCUUAAUCUUUCAGAUACUACCAUCACUGAGCUGCCAGAAGAGCUAAAAGCCUUGGUAAAUCUUAAGUGUUUGAACUGUACACAAAUUAUCUCUCUACAAUUCAAAAACAACUAAUUUGUUACUUUUUCAAUGCUACAUGUUCUGCGAAUAUUGAGUUGUGGUUAUCUUGUUGAAAUAUCAGACAAUAGAGUUCUAUUUGGUGGUAGUGAAUUGUUGGUUGGGGAGUUGCCUAGUUUAAAACGUUUAAAUGUAUUAAGCAUCACCUUACAAGGUUUUUCUGCUGUCCAAAAACUUAUGAGCUCUCAAAAGUUUCAAAGCUGUACAAAAUGUUUGGAGCUUAUAGACUGUGAUGAUUCAAAGUCUUUUGCCUUGGCAGAGUUGAAGCAUCUCGAAAAACUAGUUUUUUGAAUUGUGGAAGAGUUUAAGUUCUGCUUUGUUGAAGUUGGAAAAGCUCAAGAAUGUUUUCGUUUGAACAGUUUUCACCGAGUUAAUAUAAAGGCUUGUCAUAAAUUGAGGGACGUGACAUGGCUUGUAUUUGCUCCAAAUCUUACAGUUAUUCAAAUAGAAAAAUGUAUGCAGAUGGAAGUAAUAGUCAGUGCAAGGAAAUUGGGUGAAGUUCCAGAGAUGAUGGCAGAUCUAAACCCUUUUGCAAAUAUCUUUGCCAGCGAGUUCUACCAAAAUUAAAAAGCGUCUAUUGGAAUGAGUCACCCUUUCCACAUGUCAGGGAAAUUAUUGUAUCUGAAUGCCCAAUUCUCAAGAAGCUUUCACUCGGUUUUAACAAUGCAAAGGAAUCUAAAAUUGUCAUUAGGGGAGAGGAACACUGGUGGAGUGAGCUGCAAAGGGAGGAUGAAGCGACCGUUAAUGCUUUUCUUCCUUGUUUCGGUUCCAUUUGAUAGGCAUCAACAUGGAUUUAUAUUUUGCGGUGGACAACUUGUGGUAAGUGCUUUUCCAUUUAUUACAUGUUUAUAUCUAACUUUUGUUUUCCUUUAUGGUUAAAUUUUACUGUAUAUAUGUUGUUAUACGGUGACAUUCUCGCAUCAAUUAUUAGCUUUUUAAUUCUCUUCUGGCAUUAAUUGCCCUUCUGAUCAUGUAGGAUAUGCCGAUGUCAAAGAGUAGUAAAUUGGGAUACAAAUGUAAGAAUUAGCCAGAUGACAUGUUGUUUUGAAGCUCUCUCGAAGGACUAGUUAUGUCAUUCAAAGCAUCCAAUUUCGCUACUUUUUUUUUCAUUUGUUGCUUUUUAUAUUUCUAGAUAGCUUGAUAUUCGGCCAAGACAUCGAUAGGAGGGCACAUUGUGCAUGCACACUAGUGGAUGAUUUGGGCAUGCCGAAUCCAAUUAGCGUGGAUGACCCUUUAUAAGCAUCAGGCUUCUCUCAUACCAGAGCAAUGUAGAAUAUGUUUAUAAACUGUGGAUUACCCUUUAUAAGUUUAGACUUCUUCUAUACUCGAGCGAUGUGGAAUACCUGUAUAAGCAUUAAGCUUCUCUCAUACACUUUAUGUUAAAAAUAAUAAUAAUAAUAAUAAAAUAAAUCCAUUUUAAAAUAGGCUCUUUUUUUCUUUUUUUAUAUAAACAAAAUGCAUUCUUCAAAUCAAUAGUGGGUGGAAGAAGUGAGUAGAGAAGGACUAGGCCCCUUCAUUCCGCCUAAAACCUCACCGAAACCUCUCUUGUGAACUUCUCAGAUUCUCUCUCAAUAUUUCUUAUGAUCUCGUUUUUGAUAGAAUCACUUCUAUUGCAUGCUGCAUUUUGUGCGUCGUUUUUGGGUAAUAUCUUAUCUGGAAUGCUGUUAUGAUCAAUAGAACAAGUAAUCAAUUUUUGGUUUGACGGAAGUCGAUUUAUUUAUUUACUAUUGUUUUUUAUUUGAAAUUUUGACAGUUGUGUUUCAUUCAUUUCUUUCCUUCUUUUUUUAUUUUAUAUUUAUUAUGUAUAAUUGUGUUUCAUUUGAUAUUGAUCAUACUGUAGAUAACUAUGUGAUUGUAGCUGGGGAUUUUAAGUUUUGUGAAUUCAAGAAACUGUCAAAAUGCUAGUGAAAUUGGGACCUUUAUUCAUAAGCUUGUGGUUUUCAAAAGUAGCCGGGUUCAACUGAUGAAGUUCCUUUUUGGGAUUCUUUUUUUUCUAGGCUGCAAUUCGGAUAUGUACCUGAUAGACAAUCUUUUGUGAGUUUAGCAUAUCUUCUCCGAUUUUGUCUUUUAUUCCCCAACUUUACAGCUACACACCAUGAAUGCUGGGUGAUUGUACAGAAAAUUUGUGUUAGAACAAAAGCAUUGUGAAGGAGUUUCUGUGCUAUAAGUUAUUGGCUUCAGCUUUAUUGGCAUUAAUUGGGUAGAUUAUGUGUUACAGUGAUUCAAUUUGUGAUCCACACUUUAAUUUUCUCUUUUCCCCAAUUAUUUAUGUCAAAUUCAAAUCCAGAAGCAUGCGCUGAUUUUUUUUUUUUUUUGUGAUAAUCUGUGAAGUUUAUUUGGAAAGGACGUAUCUGGGUUUAAUGGAUUAAAUUAUGACAUUGAGGGAAAGGCACUAAAGGUUUUGCUUGACACAUUUGGUCUGUGUUUACUCUGCAAUAAAUAGCUUCGCUUAUCAGAAAUCCCUAUUUGGCUGGUGAAUUUCUCUGUGACAGACAGGCAAACACCUAAACCGCUUCUAUCCAUUUUUCUGCUGGUGAGGUAAGGGGUAAAAAGUCUUCAAAAUCAUCAAAUAGUAACAUCUCUGAGAAUUGGUUUUAGAAAAAUGGAAAAUCUAGACCUACUAGGACAAAAUGGCGUCCGGUAUCAGGAGGUACCGUUUCAAGUUUUCUUGGUAAAGAAUAUAUUAAACCUGCGCAACCAGCUAAUGGCACUUUUCUGGCAUCAAAGCCAUUGAAGUUGGAUCUAAAGGAGUUUUCCCAUGCCUGCAUUGUGCAGAGAAGAAACUAAACAAAAACAAUCAAAGAAUGACCAUUUGCAGAAGGAUACGGAAGAUUUUCUAUUUAAAUUGUUAGGAGAAGGGUCCCAGCUGAACAGGGAUGUGAUUCAGGAGGUUCUCGGUAAUGUCUUAAAUAUACUGAUGCCAAUUUAAUACAUAUUGUCCUUUUCAAUGUUCUUUCUUUCUUUCUUUUUUUUUUCCUUCUUCUUCUUUUUCUUUUCGUGUGCAUGUGAUCACUGAUUUGGUAUUAUGCUUAAGUUGCAGAUAGCUGUGGAUUUGAUAUGCAAAAGGUAAGGACUAUAUCUUCCUGAUGUAGGCCUCUGCUUUUUCCCCUUCUAUGUAAUUUAGUAAUUCACAUCUUCCUUUGUGAUUGUUAUAUCAUAUCGAAGUCAAGUCUUAAAUACUGCUGUCAUAUGUGAAGGUUCAACUUGCAUUUUGAUUAAGAUCCAUUUGCUGCUGCUUCCAAAAGUGAGAAUGAGAUACUUUGGUUAAUUUCAGUGGUUGAACCCAAUAGAGAACUUUAUUUAGAUCUUCAUGGUUCAAAGGCCUGAAAAAACUUGCCCGUAAUUGUAAAAUGACAUUCUGUGCUUUUUAUGCAAUAGGGAACAGGGAAGUAGAGCUUUGGAAAAGCCUGGAUUGAUAACUAUGGAGAGACUUAUUAUUUAAGUGAUGAAAAAUUCCCAUCGCCCGCAGUCAAGAAAAUUUCAGAUAGUUAAAGACUCCAUUUUGCUUCAGCCAAAAAUGUUUGUUUCAAUUAAAGACUUGAACCAUUUUCAUUGAACCUGAUUGUGAUCCUUUACGUUAUGCAUGUUCCUCUCAAUCAAGAAAAGUUGAGGUCAUGAUUCUAUAUUUCUAUAUUGUAACUUGAAAUAAUAAUUGGUCUACUUGUUUCUGUAUCUUGAUAAUAUGAAUUUUCCUUCUCAAGUUAAUUUGUUCAAUAAAGUAAUUCUUCAAAGAAAAUAUGCCCAUUCUAUAAUCAUUUUCUUAGCUCAGAUGUUUUUUCUUCACUCUUCAGAGCAUGUCAAAACUAAUUGAUCGCUUGGCAGAUACUUUGGGUAAGAAGACAAAAUUUCUUGGUAAAUCCUCGGAAAAGGUAUGCAUAAUUCCCGAGUAUUAAAUAACCAAUAGUCAUAAUUUUUGUACAUGACUCUUUUUUCUCUUUUUUGUGGAGAUCAUUAAAAUUGGUUGAUGAUCCAUUUUGUAACAUCAUAGAGGGAUCAUCAAUUCCUUCUCUUUUCUGUGGCUAGGCAACACUUUCAGGCCAAAGUAAGAAAAUCUAUUUUAGGUAAUGUGAAAACCAACGGUAGGAUGUAAUAGUUUAUUAUGCACUGACAAUAACUUUUUGUAUGGUUGGCAGUUUAAUGAAUACAAGAGGAACUUUGUUGACAAAUUCAUCCAAGAUAGAUGCUAAAAUUAUUUAUGCAUGCCAGUUGCCUUAACUAAUUUUUCUUAACACUUGUAUUGAACAGGAAAAUGAAUAAGCAAUCUGUAUAUUGUGCCAUUGUGGAGUAUUUGGAUAUUCUGAUUUAAAUAACAAGGAGAAUACUUGCCUCAUCUUUAAAUGAGGAGUGGGGGAUUGGAAGUGUCUUCAUGUAAAUGUUCAUUUAUUUGUAUUUUGAACUAUUAUGAGAAUCUUAUAUGCCAAAUCAGUAAUACAAAUCUUCAGAUGAUUUUUGCUGUUGAUCAUGGGUUUGUGUCUGCACACAACCAUUGUAUAUCACUUUAUUCUGAUGUGCAGGUAUGUGUAGCUUAGAAGAAAUGGAAUAAUAAUCAUCUAUUAUUGCUUGGUUCAUGAUUAUUAAACGAUUAUGGCUUUAAAAAGUCUACAAAUUCCUUCUGUUCAUAUAUGAAUGUGCCAAGUUUGCUAUAUCUUAGAUUAUCUUCUUCCAAGAUAACAAGUUCAUAUUCUUUUUAAUCUUUUUCCCUCACAGUUGACUUUUAGGUGUUAAGAUUUGUUAUUAGUCCCCUGUUAUUAUGAUUUCAUAAACAGUGUACGGAUAUGUGCUCUAACUUUGGAGGACCUCCACAUGAAAGAAAAUUGCAACAAUUGAAUUCUUCCGGAGGGUAUGGUCUUUAAUUUAUUUUCUCAACUUCUCGUAAGAUUAAUAUAUUUCAUUCAGUAGGCACAGCAUGGGGGGAAGGGUUUUUAUUGAAAGAAUUCUGAUAUUUCUUAGACUUUGUUUUGGAAGGGGGGUGGAGGGAUUUCUCAUCCAUGUAUGGUUACUUGAUUAGCUUUUGACUGUAUUUCCUCAGUCAUGUAAAGGAAGAUCCAAAUACCAACGAAGGAAUAUUGCCUAGACACCCGAAAGACAGAAAUGAGCUACAGAAGCAAGUUUUACUACUUUAUUUAGUGCUCCUGAGAAAUCUGAUGGAGACCGAAUGGAGGUCCAAAGCAUUGGAAAAGGUAGUGAGUGAACCGCCGGAGGAGUUGGCACCAGAAUGCAAGGCUAAUGUGGUGCACUUGCAGCAAGAUAACCAAACCGGUAUGUGCUCUUAUAUUAACUAGACUGACUGGAUUUGUGAGUGUGUGCAUUUUUUUGUGUAUACUCUUGUAUUUAUGCAUAUUAAUGUGUGUAGGAAUUUCUGCCACUUACUGGAGAACUAGUGGAAAGCUUUAUAUCGAUAUAUCUGCAAUAACUAAUUGGAAACUAUGAUAUUAAUAUUUUCUCUCACCUGAGGAACUGUGUAACAGAUAUACUUUGUGGCUCUGGAGUACUAGAAAUUCUGCAAUAACUAAUGGAAACUAUGAUAUGAAUAUUUUAUCUCAACUGGAGAACUUUGUAACUUGUAGCUCUGGAAUGUCUAAGGAAUUUUGUCUGCUUCAGUUAGAUCAAAUAUCUUUUAGUUGCAUACAUUAUAGAAAAAGAUAAAGUUCUCUGAAUCUGAAAGACUGAAACAUUUUGUAUAUUUUGUGAAAGGGAAAUAUCUGUAGAUACUAGUUCAUGCAUUGAGGUAACAUCAAUGUUAAAGAAAAACAGCAAUAAGUUAUUAUGUGGAACUAGGUUCACUUGCUUUAAAUGCUGGUCUGGUCAACCAUAUGAACCUGUAAGUUCUGCAGAAAUAUAUAUACGGGGAGAAACUAGCUAAAUUUUCCGUUCAUUGAUGGCUUUGGUCAUUUUUUUCCCCUUAUUUUUCAGCUGUCCUUCUCCUGAAGUAUGUUAACAACUGCAGAUAAUGAUGAAGAGGACAGCUUGCAGGCUCUUCUUAGAGCCAUGAUGGAAUAUAGGGGCACAAUGAAGGAACAUUGCAAAGCUGUAGGUUCUUUUUCUCCUGUCAUUUAUGUUUUCUCACACAUUUUUUAUAUGCUCCAAGCAUGCAAUUUUGUAUGUGUCAACUGCUUUCUAAGUUUUAAAAACCAUAAUGUAAGAAUACAGUUUCUUGUCAGGCUAUUGAUGCAUUUGCUCAGGGGGAUCAUGUUCGAGCAGGAAAACUUCUAGAACAGACAAGGUUUUCCAUCUACAGCCAUCUAUUGACAACAGAUAUAUUUUCAUUCAGCAAACACUGUUAGCAUUCAAGAUACUGGCAGAUUCACUUGAUUCUUAUUAGUAAUGUUUAGUAGCAAAGGAUAUAACCUGUAUUUCAAAGCCAAGUUGUGCUAUUGAUUAUGUUAGCUUUAUUGUUCACAUAAAGUGAUAUGGAGGAAAUAAUGUGAAGUGAUAUGGAGGAAAUAAUCAAUGUAGGAAAAUUAGGUGAAGAAAUGAUGUCAAAUCUUGAACCUCUUACAAAACUCCAAGCUCUUUACUUGAAUAAGCUACUAAAUUUGAACAGGGUCCACUGGAAGGCCUUGCCAUUCUCUGAUGCAUGCAGAAUUUUUGCAUUUAAAUGCCCAGAGCUUAAGAAGCUGCCACUGGAUCUUGAAAGGGCAGGCCAAGGUAAAAUUCUUAUCAAGGGAAAGGAAGAUUGGUGGAAACAACUUCAAUGGGAGGAUCAAGUAACUCAGAAUGCAUUGCUUCCAUUUUUAAAACAACCAGCAAGUGAUUGAAGGGGGCAUCAUCAACGUCAUCAACAUGGAUGGAGAGAUUCAGGAGCAGAUCAGCAGGAUUUAGUACGACCUGUGGUGGUUUCUUUUUUGUGACUUUUUUCCCUUUCAUUUUUUCACUUCCUGUCAUAUUAUCAUUUCUUUGUCUCUGUUUCUAUUGCUGGUGUUGCUGCAUGCUUGCUGUCCUUGACAAAGUUAGCUAGUUUUUUUUUUUUUAAUUAAAUUUUGUAUGUUCGGUCGGGACAGUCACAAAGUACUACUUGUUCUAUAUGGGGGUGAUGUGAAUCAACUUUUCAAUUAUAUAUUCUGUGGUAAUUGCGAAUUCAAUUUCAUUUGUCUCCAGCAAAUUAUGAAGAAAGUGCAGAGUUACAAUAUGGAGAAGUUCACUGGCAAAUACUUUGUAAAAGCUUCGGAGUGAAACAGGAAAUGCACUUGCAGCUAAGGACAAAUUGGUGGCCAGCUAAUGCCUUCAUUUUAUGUACAUUCAUCUUUUUAAUUAUUGAAGAUAAGUGGUUCGUUGCUUUUGUUAAGAUUAUAAGUUAGCGUCGGUGCAGGAUUUGCAGCAACAAAUCUUGACUAGCCACGUGUCAAAAGCACAAAUAAAUCAAGGGAAAGCACAUGACAUGGAUUAGGAUCUAAUAAAAUUUAAAUCCCAAGGAAAAUGACAACUGCAUUAUGAAGUUUCAAUAAGGGAUACUGACUAAUGAUAUUUUUUGGCUUUAUUAAUAAAAAAAGAAUAUUUUAUAACAAAUUAAAACAUAAUAUUAAGCUAAAUGUGAUAAUUAUAUACAUUUUAAAUAAUUUCAAUAAAAAAACAUUUUAAUGUUUUACGAUCUAUCAUACAUAUUUUAUUAAAUUAAUAUGAAUUUUUUUUUAUAAAUAGCAACAUAAUAUUACAACAAAUUUAUAAGGAUUUAAAUGUAAAAUAAUUUUAGUAUAAAUAAUACGUGGGAUAUAUUUUGUAAAUUAUAAAAUUAUUUAACACAAAGUUUUUUAAAAAAUAUUUAAAAUAAAUAAAAAUAAAUUAUUCACAUCUUGAUUUAAAUAUUUAAAAUAUUUUUAUAUAUUAGUCUACAAUUAUUUAUGUUAUAUUUUUAUUUAUUAGAAAUUUUGAAAGUCAAAUGUUUUCACCUCUAAGAGAAAGACACAUAUGCUUUAUAGCUUUAAAAUCGGUCUGUUUUAUAUCUGGAAACAAAUAUAUCAUUAUUGGUAAGGAUUAAAAAAAGGGAUAAAGAAUAUUAAUGAUUAAUGAAAUCUCUAUGGAAAUUGAAUUUAGUAGGAAAAAAUUGAGCUAAAUGAUUUAGACAUUUAGUGGUAUAGUAAUAUUUUAUAUAUAGAAAUGUAAAAGCUGCACCCGAGGUUAAGGGAAAUGUUCAAAACUCUUUUUUACUCAUAAUACCCUUUGUCCUAACUAACUUACAAAUUCGACUCUAAUAUUUUAUAAUAAAUAAAAAUGUAAUCCUAAAAUAAAUAAAAUAAGAUAUAUUUUAAAAUAAUCUCAAUAUUUAAAAUAUACUUUAAUAUUUUAUAGUCUAUCAGACAUAUUUAAUUAUAUUAAAGUAAAUUUUGUAAUAAAUACAAACAUACUAUUAAAAUAGAUAUAUAAAAAAUUUAAAGUAUUUUGGAUAUUAUAUAAAAGAACUUUAAUAUUGUUAAUACGUGAGAUAUAUUUUAUUAAUUAAAAAUUCUAUUUAACCCAAAGAUUUAUUUAAGAUAAAUUAACAAUCAUAUUUGUGAAAUUAUUUCAAAUAUUAAAAAAUAUUUUAAUAUUACUAACUAUUAGAUAGACUAAACUAUUUAUAUUAUUUUCUAUUUAUUAUAAAAUUUCAAAAUUAAUCUUUUUAACUACUAUUCAAAAGAUAUUAUGAUAAAAAUAAUUUUUUUGUGUUUUUAUUAAAAAUUUGGAAUUUGCAUAACUCUUUUUUUAAAUAUUGGGGUAUAGCUGUCUUUUCCCUUUUAUAUAUACAAACCACAGUGGUGAAAAAGCUUGAUUUAAUGUUAUUUAUUUAAACAACACCGAUAUUCACACCACAUUGAGCACCAUAGUUUUUUUUUUUUUUUUGAAAAGAAAGUACACCUUUCAUUGAAUUAAGAGAAAAGAAACAAAACAUCCUCUGGAAAUUCAUCCAGCCAAAUACAAGGGUCUGACUUUUUGAAAGCCAACUUUGCCAAAUCAUGCGCUAAAAAGUUACACAUCCUAAGGACGUGCUGAGCUUUAAAAUUCUGAAAGAUUUUCUUAGCUUCUAUAAUAUCAAAAAUCACCCAAAAGGUGUCUGUCAAAGUGCUUCUCUUGUUAUUGAUUAGCUCUAUCACCCCUUUAGAAUCAGACUCUAAGAUAACUGAAGUUGCCCCUGCCUUGGCAGCUGCCUGCAUUCCCCACAAAACAGCUUUUGCCUCACUCAACUCCACAUCUCCUGAGCUCUUAAAAGUGCUAACAGCUGCAGCAACUGUUUCUCCCUUAUGGUUUUUAACUACUGCUCCCAGCCCAGCAAGAUAAUUCACCCUAUCCAUAGCAUCAUCAACAUUUACCUUAAGCCAUCCUUCUUCGGGUGGACUCCAUUGGCUUUGCUGAACAUUGUUUUGUUCUGCUAAGAAAUCCUCUUCUGACAUUGAGCACCAUAGUUAAGUACAAAACGGUGCGUUUUGUUCACGCAUGUUAGUAAACACCCACGCAACUUACACACAUACGCGCGGCUCACAACACGCGCUCUCCUCGCCCUAAAUCUCACCUGAUUGAAGCCACAAAUUUGGCCACGUUCUCCCACAGCUCUCUCCGUUCUGACCGUUUACUCUUCCUCUAGCCCCAUCGAUUACAUCUCUCAUAGCACCUCAUUCAACCGACGUAAUUGCCAGAAAACAACCUACCUGGUAAUAAAAGUCGAUUCUCUUACAAUUUUGGCCCAAAAAAAAAAAUUGCACAACUGAAAAAUCAAAAUGCCACUCUUUAAAACCAAAAAUCAAUUUUGGGCCCCCUUCAUCACCGCCUUCACUCUAGAUUUUUUCAAUCCACUUUGUCGUCAAAACCGUGGUGUUCUUAAACCAUUAUUAUAUUCACCAUCCCCUUAAUCACAUCCAACCAUCCCCAUUAUUCGUUUGUCAAACACGCUGUUCUCUUCCCAAAUUAAUUAAUUAAUUAAUGACAGACAGGAACAAAAGUACUUUAAAUCUCUGCCAAAUCGUAUUGUUAUUACUUCUUCCGAGUCGAGGCCACGUCGUUCUCGAUGGAAACCAUUGCUUUUUAUUACCACUCUUGAGGAGUUCGAAGCAUUCUCGACGGAGACCCGCGCAAGCUGUGGAAAGAGAGAGAGUCAACGGUGAAAAGAGAGCAUGGUGAGAUGUGUGAGCGACGGGGGGAGAGAGAGAGAGAAAGAAAGCCGACGGAGAGAGCACAUAGAGCUGAGAUGCGUGAGUUGGGUGAAGAUUUGGUGAGCGUUGUGUCAGUUGCCCGUGUGUUGUGUGAGCUCUGUGCCAUGUGAUAUGCGUGCUACUUUGAGAAUUUAUAGAUAGCACAAAACUCAAUCUAUAUCCAAUUCAUACCUAGAUAGAUGCGGAUUUGACUCAAUUUAUAUCCAAUUCGUCAUUUGCGAACUAAAAAUUUUUAAUUCUCUCAAAUUCACAAACUAACUAAAUAAAUAAAAAUUUAAUAUAAAAAUAACUGUACUACCGAUCAAAUUUAAAAUUAAAUAAUAUUUAAAUAAAUUAAUUGUUUAAAUAAAGUUAGAAAAUACAUUCAAAAUUUUAAAAUAUAACACAGUAAAAAGAAAAAAUCUCAUUUGUUUAGACCUAUGUAUGAAAAUUAAUUGUUUAGGAAUCUAUAUUUAUUUAUUUUUAUAUUAUUAUCGGAUAAGAUAUAAUAUGGUGUUAAUGUAACUAUAUUUUAACUUAUUUAUUUAUAAGACCAAUGCUAUAUGUACAAGUUUAAUUUUUUAAUUAAAUAAAUAUUUUUUUUUGCGGAAUUGUGGAUUUUUGCGGAUUUACAAAAGUAAAUCUAUAUCCAAUCCACCGACUAUGGAUUUUCAAAUUUUCAAAAUUUCAAAUUUUCAAAUUUUCAAAAUUUCAAAUUUUCAAAUUUUCAAUCCAAUCCAAUCCACCAAUUCACAAAUUCGGAUUUUUACGGAUUAGAUUUCUACAGAUUAAACGAAUUGAGCAGACCAUAUUUGAUUUUGAACAUUGCUAAUUUGUAUGUUAAGUAUAACAUAAUCAAUUAUUUGGAUAAUCCCUUGUGUUUUAUCUCUAAUUAGAGCAUCAAUCUUCACAAUAUCUACAAAGCUACAAUGGCUACAAAACAAACCUGCUUGCAAAUUGUCAAGGAUACUUAUCCUUUCUCUUGACAAGUCAUUUGGAAAAAUACUGUCCCUUGGCGGCUCCAUGACUUCUCUGCUCCUCCUUUUGGUCUUAAUGUACGGUUGCAUAAUGAUAGUUUAGGCCCUUUAGGGACUACUUUCCCUGGGGUUGUUAAGUCUUAGCUUGUGCUAGGCUCGUUUUUCUUACCAAAAAAAAAGGGAAUACUUCUCCUAUAAGAAAUAAUCUCUAUAUAUAGGGUGGUUGGAUUCACUUGUUUACAUAACAGAUCAAUUAGUUCUCUGUAAAUAGAGAGUUUCUAGUAUAAGAGAAACGGUAGAUCUAUUGAGAGAUUAUGUGUUAUUAAAAUUUUAGUUGCGAAGAAAAGUACUAGAGUGAUUGUAUUAAUUUUUUACAUAGUAGAUUUUUCUAUCGUCAUCUUUAUGGCUGUGAUUUUUCUUCCAUAUAGAAGUUUCUCACGUAAAUUUUUAUGUUGUGUGAUUAGUUUUAUUCUCUAUCUAUUUUUUGUUUAAUAUUUUAUUUGUAAGAUGCUGGAUGGGAUUAAAAUUUCUUAACAAAUAACGGAUUAAAAAUCAUGAAGAAAAAGCUCAAGAGAUCUUCAAGAUUUGAAGUGUGCAAAAGUUCAUAUUACUGCUAGAUGAUAUAUGGGAGCGGGUUGAUUUAGUAAAAAUGGGUGUCCCUCUUCCUAGAUCAGAAAACAGCACAUCCAAAGUGAUAUUUACAAACCCGUUCUGAGGAAGUUUGCGGCUUAAUGGAAGUUCGUAGGAGUUUUAAAGUGGCGUGCUUAUCAAAUAAAAAUGCUUGGGAAUUGUUUCUAUACAAAGUUGGGGAAGUGAAAGAAAACAGAGAUGUACUGUUUGGUUGAAUAGAAAAUUACAGAGAAAAUUCUCAAUACUUGUAUUUGAUAAGAUUCAAUUCUUAAGAGCUUUUACAAAUCAGUACAAGUAUUUAUAUUAUUCCUUACACGUGAGAAUUGCUAGUAACUCACUAACUAACUAACUUUCUUUGAGCUGGAUCACUAACACUUGACUAAUCACACUGAGCUGUUAUUCUUCACUAACAACCUUCUGCUGACGUGGCUUCACCAAGCUACUUGAAUAAUGAGCAGCCUUGACAGCCCCCCUCAAACUCAAGGGACAAGACAUGACGUUGAGUUUGGCCCUAAGAUAGUUAAAAUGGAUGAAUGAGAGUGGCUUGGUCAUGAUGUCAGCUACCUGCUCCUCACUUGGUAUAUAUUGAAUGUUUAGUUCUCCAGCAAGAACUUUGUUUCUAACAUAAUGAAUAUCAAUCUCAAUAUGCUUUGUUCUUGAGUGGAAAACUGGAUUGUGAGCUAACUCUGUUGCACUGAGAUUGUCACACCAAAUAACAGGUUUCUCUAUGCAUUGUAAUUUCAACUCAGAAAACAGUGAUUGCAGCCAGCUUAUCUCGGCACUUGCUGAGGCUAGGGACCUAUACUCACUCUCUGCACUGGACCUAGCAAUAACAGGCUGCUUCUUAGACGACCAAGAUAUCAGAUUAUGACCAAGAUAGAUGCAAUAGGCUCCAAUCGAUUUUCUGUCAUCCAGAUCCCCUGCCCAGUCUGCAUCUGUGAAUCCUGUUAGUUUCAGAUCACCAUCCUUAAUAAUUUUGAGUCCAUAGUUCUGUGUAGCCUUUAGAUAUCUGAGCACUCUUUUGCAAGCCAUAAGGUGCUGCAGUGUUGGUGCAGAAACGUAUUGACUCAGCUUGUGAACACUAAAGGCAAUUUCUGGUCUUGUUAAUACCAAAUAUUGCAUCCCACCAACAAUGCUUCUGUAAUGUGUUACAUCUUCAACAUAACAACCAAGAUUACCUUGAGCUUCCUUCUGUAGCUUCAUUCCUGUACUCAUAGGAGUAUCAAUAUCUUUGCAAUUUAUCAUCUCAACUCUUGACAGCAGAUCCCUUAUGUAUUUCCUUUGAGAUAAGAAAAUACAAUCUUUAUCAUACAGUACUUCAAUGCCUAAGAAAUAAGAGAGAACUCCAAGAUCCUUCAAAGCAAACUUUGUACUGAAUUCUGUAAUGAAUUUUUCCAGCUCAAAGCUAUUUGGUCCUGUUAUUAAAAUGUCAUCAACAUAUAUAAGAACUAGAAUCAUAGAUGACUUAUUUAUUUUCAAGAAUAAGGAGGUAUCUGAGCUGGAAUUUGUGAAUCCCCACUGCAACAAACAGCCUUUCAACUUAUCAUACCAAGCUCUUGGAGCUUGUUUAAGUCCAUAAAGAGACUUGUGAAGCUUGCAUACAAAGUCUGGUUUCUCAAAGCUGAUAAAUCCCUCUGGUUGAUCCAUGAACACUUCCUCUGUUAAGUCUCCAUUAAGAAAGGCAUUAUUCACAUCAACUUGCCUUAUCUUCCACUGAUUCAUCACAGCUAAACUCAAGACUACUCUUACAGUUGCUGGUUUUAUGACAGGACUGAAAGUUUCAAAAUAAUUCACUCCUAUAAUUUGUUGAAAUCCCUUUGCAACUAACCUAGCUUUGUAUUUAGCUACACUUCCAUCAGUGUUGUAUUUAACCCUAUACACUCAUUUGUUUCCAACAACUCUUUGAUCAUUUGUUUUUGGCACUAAGGACCAUGUACCACUCUGCAUCAAAGCUGCAUAUUCUUCUUUCAUGGCUGUAAACCAUUUUGGGUUUUGCAUAGCCUCAUAUACAGAAUCAGGUUAUUUGUGAACAAGGGUUGCUGUAUAAAGCUUUGGUUUGAAGAUACCAGUUUUGCUUCUGGUAGUCAUUGGAUGUGUAUUAGGUUGGACUGGAAAAGAUAUAUCAGGUGUAGGUUGAGCUAAUAAGGAUAUGUCAGGUGCAGGUUGUGGUGAAUUUUGAGGCUCUGUAGAUGGUUCAAUAAAUGUGGUAUGUGUUUGUGAAUAGGAAUGUUGAUUGUCAGUAUGAAAUGGAUUAUCUGAAUGUUGUGAACUGCUGCUGGUAGAAAUUGCAGAUAGAGGAUUGCAUGAGCUAUUUCCAUCUGAUACUGGUGUUGUAGAUAAUAUGGUCAGAUGAAACACUGGUUGGGGUGUAAGGGAUUGACUCGAAUAAGAUGAUGAUUCAUUAGAAUGAAAAACUGAGUCUGUAGAAUAAGGAAAUGUUGACUCAUAAAAAACAACAUGUCUGGCUAUGUACAUCUUGCCUGAUGAAUGCAAGCAUUUGUAACCUUUGUGAACUGGACUGUAGCCAAGGAAAAUGCAUUUGCUUGAGUGAUAAUCAAAUUUGUGUUUGUUGUAAUCCCUUAGAUAAGGAUAACAUGUGCAACCGAAACACUUGAGCAUGCUGUAAUCAGGUUUAAGUUUAAAAAUUGUCUCAUAUGGGGUAAGAAGUUUCAGAGCUGUUGAGGGUAAUCUGUUUAUAUGGUAAACAGCUGUAAGAAAAGCAUCCCACCAAAAUUUAAAUGGUAGCUUAGCUUGUGCUAAUAGGGUUAGUCCUAGCUCAACAAUGUGUCUAUGUUUUCUUUCUACCACCCCAUUUUGGUGAUGUGUAUAAGGACAAGAAUGUCUGAAAAUGAUUCCACAUUGGUUUAAGAAUUGAGUAAAUGAUCUGUAUUCUCCCCCCCAAUCAGAUUGCAGGUUUUUAAUGGGGCUGUCAAAUUGGUUUUCAACCUGCAAUUUGAAUAGUUUGAAUACAUCUAAUGCCUCAGAUUUCAACUUAAGAGGAUAAAUCCAAGUGUAUCGGCUAAAAUCAUCAACAAAACUUAUGUAAUAGACAUAGCUAUCUCUAGAAGGUGUAGGUGAGGGUCCCCAUAGGUCUGUAUGUAUAAGCUCAAGGGGUUUUGUUGUUUUGGUUUCUGUGCUGGGAAAAUGCAGCCUAUGGGAUUUGCCCAUUUGACAUGCUUCACAGAUAUGCUCAAGUGUUUGUUUUAUGUUAUUUCUUGAGAGAUUAACUGAAGUAAUUCCUUUUAGCAAAUGCAUUAGAAUUUGAGAAUUAGGAUGGCCAAAACGUUUGUGAAGAAGAAGAAUUUUAUUAUUCAAUGCAUCACAAGAUGAAAUGUAGCUGGAAAAUUUAUUUAUUGAUGCAUUACAAACUGUGACACAACUGGAAUCAUUAUUCUGAGUGUUUUUAAGAACACUUGAAUCAAAAGAACAUGCAGAUAACAUUGACAAAGGUUGAGUGGAUGAAGGUUGACCCAUGUAAGAACAAGGAAGAGACUCAGAUGGUCUUAGAAGUAGCUUAUACAAUCCUUUCUCAGCAAUUCCUGUCAGAAGCACUUGCCUCUUCAGAGAAUCCUUCACAUAGCAAACAUUAUCAACAAAUUCAAUAGAGAUAUUGUUAUCAGCAGUUAAUUUUGAUAUGCUGAGCAGGUUCUUUGUGAUAUCAGGUACUAAUAACAUGUCAUUCAGUAAGAUAUGUGUUGGUUUAUAUGCAGCAUUUGAUCCUUUAUAAGUAAAACAUGGAUUACCAACAUGAGUUAUAGGCAAACCUUGGCCAUUGCCGAUGACAAGUUGAUUAGAUCCUCUGAAUUCCUCUCUGACAUUCAUGUUGGCCAUACUGUUAGUCAAGUGAUGUGUGGCACCAUUGUCAAGGUGCCAUCCUUCAUCAGCAGGCCCUUCAUAGUUGGUAAGAUAGGCUUCAGGAAUUACUGUGUCUGUUGAUGGAUAAGAGGAGAAGGAUAAAGGAUUGUAGCUUGAGUAGGGUGCAGCAUACUGUUCUUCAGUUGAAGGAGCAGCAUAGGUUAGAGAUGGAUCAAAGUUAGCUGUGUAUGCAGCCUUAGAUUCAAAAGAUCUGCCCCUUCCAAAAUGCCUAGGUAAUGGUUGAGGAUUGUCAUCAUAUCUAUGCCAGCAUUCAUCUGCUGCAUGUCCUGUUUUGUGGCAUAUCUGACAUAUGGUUGGUAAUUCAUCAGCAUGCAUGUUAGCUGAAGGAUGAAAGUUUGGCUUCAUAGGUGGCCUAAAAGGUUGCAUCAUCUGGCCCCUGCCAUAACCCCCAACAUUACCAACACCAGGUGAAAAACCUCUGGGAUGUGGAUUGUGAAACAUGCCUCUUCCAACAUUAAAUCCUCUAGUCAUAGGUCGACCAUAAUUUCCAUUUCCAACAACACCUCUUCUAAAAUUUCCUCUCAUAUAAGGAUGAUUCACAUUCAUUGUGCUAUAGUUUGCAUUAAACACAGUUUUGGCACUUUGAUUUUGUUCAAGUCUAGCUUCAUGAGUCAGUAAUAAUGCAUAAGCAUCAUCAUAGCUCAUCUUAUUAGCUGUGAUUAUGGAAGCUAGAUCUAGAUAACCUGAACCUAAGCCAUUCAAAACUCUCAUUAACAGAUCCUUUUCAGUGAUUACAUCACCAGCACAAGCAAGUUUGUUGGCGAGUAAUUUCAUUUUAGCACAAUAUUCCUCAACAUUCAUUGAAUCUUUUCUUAAGAUAUUCAUUUCAUAUCUGAGUUGCAUAAUCUUAGCCUCAGAUUGAACUCCAAACUGUUUUUCAAUAGAUCUCCACACAUCAAAUGAAGUGUCAUAGCUAAGAACAGAACUAAGAAUACCUUCACUUAUAGUUGAGAGCAGCCAGCCAAGGAGUAUUUGAUCUUGUGCUCUCCAGUUGCUGUAGGCUGGAUUUUCAAUGCUCUCACCAGAUCCUUCGAUCAUUGAAUCAACUAGAUACUGUUCUGGAAUAAUUUGCGGCUCUAGAAUGAAUCUUUCAAGGCGAUUUCCUCUGAUUGAAGUUACCACUUGUUUGCGCCAAAGCAAGAAAUUUGAUCGAUCAAGUUUCACAGUUGCAGCAAAAGUAAAUGAUGUUUGUGUAUGUUGAUUUGAGUUUAUGAUUGUUUGAUUUGAGAUUGUAUUGCUUGAGCUGGCCAUUUGUGGCUCUGAUACCAUGAAAGAAAACAGAGAUGUACUAUUUGGUUGAAUAGAAAAUUACAGAGAAAAUUCUCAAUACUUGUAUUUGAUAAGAUUCAAUUCUUAAGAGCUUUUACAAAUCAGUACAAGUAUUUAUAUUAUUCCUUACACGUGAGAAUUACUAGUAACUCACUAACUAACUAACUAACUUUCUUUGAGCUGGAUCACUAACACUUGACUAAUCACGCUGAGCUGUUAUUCUUCACUAACAACCUUCUGCUGACGUGGCUUCACCAAACUGCUUGAAUAAUGAGCAGCCUUGACAGGAAGAAACUUUGAACAAUCAUCCUGAUAUCCUUCAGAAAGCACAAUAGUUGUUAAGGAGUGUGGUGGUUUGCCACUUGCACAUUUUACCAUCGGUCGAUUUAUGGCAUGCAAGAAGACACAGCCGAAGAAUGGAGAUAUGCUAUUCAAGUGUUCAAUUCGUCCGCUUCCCGUUUCCAGGUCUGGAAGAAUGGAUAUAUACUCUUGUAAAAUUCAGUUAUGAUAGUUUACCCAAUGACACAAUUACACCUUGUCUGUUAUAUUGUAGUUUAUAUCCAGAAGAUUGUUGCAUUUCUAAAGAGAAUUUGGUAGAUUGUUAGAUCAGUGAAGGAUUUUUUAAUGAGAGUGAUUGGUUUGGAGAAAAAAUCAAGGAUACUUCAUUUUGGGCAUUCUUCUUCACGUUUUUUUUUGGAAAAGGGAGGAGAUUGUGAAAUGAAAAAUGCAUGCAUGACGUUAUUCGUGAUAUGGCUUUGUGGAUCGCAUGCGACUAUGAGAAGGAGAAGGAGAACUUUUUGGUUUACGCUGGUGUUGGUUUAACUAAGGUACCGGAUAUUAGAGAUUGGGAAAAGGUAAGGAGAUUGUCAUUGAUGAAAAAUAAAAUUGAGAAUCUAUCCGAGGCUCAUACAUGCCCUCAUCUCCUCACUUUCUUUCUUGACGAUAAUGAGUUUCGGAAGAUCCCCGGUGAUUUCUUCCAGUUUAUGCCUUCUCUCACUGUUUUAAACUUGUCAUGUAUUAAACUAAAGUCAGUUCCUUUAGGGACUUCAAGGUUGGUUCCACUACAACAACUCGAUCAUUCAUAUUCAAGCAUAAAAGAGUUGCAAGAAGAGUUAAAUGCCCUGAUUAAAGUUAAAUGCUUGAAUAUAGAUCAUGUAGAGGAGCUAAUUACAGUUCCACAACAACGGAUAUUUAAUUUUUAAGGUUAUAUGUGUUGAGAAUGUUCGAUACUAUUAGUUUAAAUUUUCAAGAAGCAUUAAAUAAAGACAGCAUUUUAUUUGGUGGGGAGGAAGUUUAAGCAGAGGAGUUGCUCGGUUUGGAAUAUUUGGAGGUAUUGAGCUUCACUUGAGAGGUGUUCGUGCUCUCCAAUUUAUUUUGAGCUCACAUAAGCUACGAAGUUGUACUCAAGCGCUGUUCCUCCAAUCCUUCAAUAAUUCGAUAUGGCUUGAUAUUUCACUUUUGGCAGAGUUAAAAGCACCACUGCAGAUUUAAGUAUUUUUGGCUGUAGAAAAUUGGAGGACUUGAAGAUGGAAUAUACAGGGGGAGCGAAAAACAAGCGGCAACCUUGUGUUUUCUAAGGCCUACAUACAGUUCACAUAGAGGUUUGUUCUAAAUUGAAGGACUUAACAUUCCUUGUUUCUGCUCCAAAUCUCAAGAACUUGGAAAUACAAAAUUGCCCUGCUGUGGAAGCAAUCAUCAGUGUGGGAGAAUUUGCGGAAGCUCUAGAGGUGGUGGAAAAUCUAAACCCAUUUGCAAAACUCCAGUAUCUUGGACUAGAAAAUCUGCCAAAUGUGGAGAGCAUCUAUUGCAAGCCUCUGCCCUUUCCAUGUUUGAAAAGAAAUGACUGUGGAUAGUUGCGGUUGUCUUAAAAAGCUUCCACUCUACUCCAACAGUGUAAAAGAGUGUACAAUUGUUAUUUCAUCAUUCGGAGAGUUAAUGGUGCAAUGAGAUUUGGCAGUUAACUCUCGUGGGAAGAGCUUGAAUGGGAAGACGAAGCCACUCGAAUUGCUUUUCAUUCAUGUUUCAAAUCUCUGAUUGGAUUGGAGAUUGCAUUUCGCCUCAGGUUCGUACUUUUCUUGAAUUUUUCUUGUUAACUUCAUUUGUUCAUUUAUCCAUUUUUUUUUAAAGGAAUCAGAAGGGUUAAUAAUUUUGGUUGUGUUAGGUCGACUUCUAAUCACGAGGCAGAAGGAGUUGAGAUGAAGUUUAAUUUUGGUGGAGAAAUUGUUUGAUUUAAAAAAUUUAAAUGAGUUGACCAUCAUUCUUUAGCAUAUUUGUAUGAACAGGAGUGUGUAAAUAUGCAAACUGUCCAGCUGUAUGUGUAUAGCGUAAUAAUUUUGAGGAGUUAAAACAUUGAAGAAUAUUGAUGUUUCCAUUGUCAAACCAAAUAUACUUAAUUACUUGAGGAUAAUGAUUACUGCUAAUACAUUUGCUAAUACAUUUGCAAAGAAAAAAACAUGCCUAUUGAAAAACUCAUCUUAUUAGCAACAGCAUUAUAAGUAGUAUCCAAUCAUAGUUUCAUGCAAGAUUUUGAGAUUUUUCAAAUGCUGAUUCCGGGAAUGGAGAUUAAUAGAUAAUGGAGACAGGUUGACUGCAAUGGCUAAUUGCAAGAGGGAAUUUUAGUCGUAAAAACAGACCAACUAGCAAAGCAAAUUCCAAAUCUUGGAAUGAAGUGGCAAAAAAACGAAACAAACAAAUGGCAAGAGGAAGUGACUAUACAAUAAUAACAUCGACUUGCAAUUCAACAUUUAUACAGUUUUACUCACCAAGAAAAGAGAAAAUUACAAUAGCAAUUUGGCUACUAGAAGAUGUUCAUUCAUGCUUAUGCCUGUCAUAUGGAUUUGAAACAAGGAGUAAAAGCAUUUAGAGUGGCUUCAUCCUUCCACUGCAGCUCAUUCCACCAGUGUUGCUCUCCCCUAAUAACAAGUUUGCGUUCCUUGGCGCUGUUGUAAUCGAGUGGAAGCUUCUUGAGGUUCGGGCAUCCAGAUACAAACAAUUCUAAGAGAUUUGGAAAGUGCACUUAAAUUCUUAUGAAUUGCUUAAGUAUGCAAGCAGCAGAGCAGAAAACAAACAACCUUUUCAUAUAUUAUAAUAACAUGAAUAAUCAGAUAUACACAUCCUUCACAUAUUUAUACUAAACGUGAAAAAUGGUAGCUUGCUCAAAGGGAAAACAGAAAUGAAUAAAACAAAAGAUUACAGCUGCACUAGCCAAUCAUUGGAAACAUUCUAGAAACUCCAGCUUGCAGUAUUCACGUGUAAAUAUUCUCCUGCAUAACAGUUUUGCCAGCUCAUUGAAUACACCUCAACUUCUUCAUCAGCUGGUUGCUGGAUAUGGCUGCUCAGGUGGCAUGCCAGCAUGGCCUUUGGGUCAAUUGUUGACUCAUCUUCAUAAUCUGAAUUCUCAACACCCUCUCUCAAACUUAAGGUCUUGUCGAAGACAUUAAGUUUGCUUCUAAAUUGACUGAACUUGUAAUAAGGCAAUGGCUUGGUUAAUAUGUCUGCAACUUGAUCUCUGCUGGCUACAAAACUGAUUUCCAGCUCUCCUUGAGUGACUUUGUCUCUAAUGAAAUGAAGGUCUAUCUCAAAAUGCUUUGUCUUUGAGUGAUACACUGGAUUUGUGGCUAUUGCUGCUGCACUUGUGCUAUCACUUAAGAUCAUUGGAACUCUUUGCAUCUUGAUUUCCAAUUCACCAAACAGAGAAUUUAUCCAAGUGAUUUCAGUAGUACACAAAGCUAUGGCCCUGUACUCGGACUCAGCUGUCGAUCUUGCUACCAUGCCUUGCUUUAUUGAGCUCCAAGCUACUAAAUUGUCUCCCAAAAACACACAAUAUCCACUUACUGAUCUUCUGUCAUCUGGAUCACUAGCCCAGUCAGCAUCAAUAUAGGCUAUCAAAUCUAGAUGUUCUGACUUCUGGAACUUUAAGCACAUGUUUGCAGUGCUCUUUAGGUACCUCAACACUCGUUUGCAAGCUGUCCAGUGAGAUUGUCUUGGGUCAGACAGGUAUUGGCUAAGCUUGUUCACAGAAUAUGCAAGCUCUGGUCUUGUUAGAACAGCAUAAUGUAGACUUCCUACAACACUCCUAUAAAAUGAAGGAUUGUCAAGUUUGGUGCCUUCACCCUUCUUUAGUUUCUCUGCUGUGCUGAAAGGUGACUCUAUUCCCUUGCAAUUCUCCAUCUCUGUUUUAGCUAAUAGGUCUUGAACAUAUUUAGCUUGAGAGAGCAAAAUGGAGUUCUGAUUUCUUAUAACAUGUAUCCCAAGGAAGUAGCUUAAAUUUCCAAGAUCUUUCCACUUAACUUUCCUAUCACUUCCUCAAUACCCUUGCUGUUAUUUCCAGUCACAAUUAUGUCAUCUACAUACACAAGCACAAUGAUUAUUUCAGCACUGCUUCUUUUGAAGAAUAGAGAAAUAUCACACUUGGAGUUGUUGAAUCCCCAAGAGCACAGAGCAUUCUUUAAUUUGUCAAACCAUGCUCUGGGUGCUUGUCUCAGUCCAUAAAGAGCUUUCUUGAGCUUGCAUAUGUGGUUUGGUCUUCUCCUAUCCUCAAAUCCCUCAGGUUGUGGCAUGUACACUGUCUCUGUCAAAUCUCCAUUCAGAAAUGCAUUAUUUAUGUCAACCUGCCUCAACAGCCAAUCAUUACUUACAGCCAAAGUUAAAAUGAUUCUGAUUGUUGCAGCUUUGACCACAGGGCUGAAAGUCUCAUUAAAGUCAAGUCCUGGUGUCUGCAGAAACCCCUUCAAGACAAGUCUAGCUUUGUAUCUAUUUAUGGUGCCAUCUGGAUUUUCCUUUACUUUGUACACCCAUUUGUUGCCAAUGAGUUUGUAGUUCUGGUCAUGUGGAAUUAAGGUCCAGGUUUGGUUUUUGACAAGAGCAUUAUAUUCAUCCUCCAUUGCUCUUCUCCAUUUAGGAUCUUUCAGUGCCACAGUGGAGUCAGGGGGUAAGGAAGUUUGAGAUUGAGUGGAUAUUUGAUAAACCUUUGGCUUGCAAAUCCCUGCUUUUGACCUUGUGAUCAUGGGAUGUAAGGAGGCUUGAGUGUUUGGUUAUGUUAUGAGAGGCAAGGUGCAAUUUUCUACUGAGGUGUUUGGUGAGAGUUCAACAGGUGAGUGGUUGUCUGAUAUAGAGUUGAAGCUCAAAUUCUAACAAGCUCCAUCUUAACUAAAACUUGGGAGCUGUUCUGAGUUUCCAGCAGUGGCCUGAGAUUAACUAUGAGCUGCAUUUUGCUGUGUUGACUCAGGGGGAACAGUAGUGGAGAAAGAUACAACUUGAAAUUUUUCUAGAACUGUGGGGGAAUCAUUUUGGUCAGUGAGCCUUUGCUUGCAGAAAUUUGAGUCAUUUUGAAAAGGGAAUGAAUGAUCAUUAAAUUGACACUGGCUGAAAUGUAGAUCCUCCCAGAAUGAUGCAUGCAAAUGUAACCUUUGUGACUGAUGCUAAUGCCUAGUAGUGUGCACUUGAAAGUGUGAAAAUCAAACUUAUGCUUGUUGUAGGGUCUUAAGUAUGGAUAGCAUUCACAACCGAAAACUUUAAUUUGGGAAUAAUCUGGUUUGGUGAGAUAUAACAGCUCAAAUGGAGUUUUAUUUUCAAGAAUAGGUGAGGUUAAUCUGUUUAUGAUGUAGGUGGCAUAGCUGAAAGCUUCUUGCCAAUAUCUCAAAGGCAUUUUUGCUUGGGCUAGUAAUGUUAGGCCAGUUUCCACAAUGUGUCUGUGCUUUCUCUCCACCUUUCCAUUUUGUUCAUGUAAAUAAGGGCAUGAGUGUCUUAAGGCUAUUCCUUCUUUCUUGAGAAAGGGUUCGAAAGUUUUAAACUCCCCACCCAUGUCUGUUUGUAAAGCCUUGAUUCUUAAAUUUAGCUGAUUUUCUACUUGGUUUUUAAACACAAUGAAUGUGUCAAGGGCCUGUGAUUUUGUUGUUAAGGGAAACAACCAUGUGUAUCUUGUCUUGUCAUCCACAAAUGAUAUGUAAUAUCUGUGUCCAUGGGUAGAUGGAAUAGGUGCUGGUCCCCAGAGAUCACUAUGUAUUUGUUCUAAGGCUGUGCUGGUCUUGGUUUCAAUGCUUUUAAAGUUUAGUUUUGAUUGCUUUCCAUACUGACAAGCAUUACAGAAUGAGGGAAAUAUAUUUUUAUUUAAGUUGAGCUGAUUACAAGAUAAUAGAGUAUUUUUCAGAACUGACUCAUUUGGAUGCCUCAGCCUAUGGUGCCAGAGAUCUAUUUCAUUUGUUCUAAGAUCCCUACUGCUUGUAUCAGCUCUACUGGACUCGACAACACUGGCACCAACACUGGCACCUAAAGACUCAUUACUACUGAAAUUGAAACAUGCCAUUGACAUUGGAUUGCUAAUGCAACUUAUUGACUUGGGUAUUGGAAAUGAAGAUAACUCAGCAGCAUAAGUAACCUUGUUGCCACUCAAAUGAGUUGGCAUGCAUAGCAGCUCAUAUAGUCCAUCUCUAGCCACUCCUUUCACCAGAAUUCUCCCUUGGCUCUUGUCCUUGAUGAAGCAAACAGAUUUUUGAAACUCAACAUCAAUAUCAUUAUCAUGAAGCAAUUUGGAAACACUAAUGAGAUUUUUGGUAAUAUCAGGUACAAACAAAAUAUGAUUUAAUUUGAUGUGUUUGUGUGGACUGUAAGUGGGCAAUAUAGAAUAACCAAUGUGAGAGAUAUGAAGUUUGUUACCAUUACCAACAGUGAGCUUGUCAUUACCUUGGUACUCUGAGUUCAGGUUCAUGUUUCCAAUAGCAUUGGUCACAUGAUUUGUGGCACCACUGUCAAGGUACCAGGCAUUGCUGUUUUGUCCUUCUGUUGUGGCCAUGUAGGCUCCUCUCCUCCUAUUUAGCUGUGGCACAUAAUUUUUCUUAAACCUAUGCCAGCAUUCAACAGCUGUGUGCCCCAUUUUGAAGCAGAUUUGGCAUGGACCCUUUGAUUCAGAACCUUCACCUUCUGCAGCAGCUUUGCCUUUGCCUUUGUCUUGAAUAUUUUGAUUUCCCUGACCAUGACCACCAUUGCCACCAUUUCCAGUGCCACCACCAGGAUUUCUGAAGACUAUCCCAGGUUGUUGCUGACUGCCAAAUCUUUCACCAUUGCCCCAGUUCCUCCUGCCAUUUCUCAUCUGUGUGAAGUUAGCCUCAAGAAUCCCUGGGCUGAGAUUUUGCUCAGUCCUGGUUUCUUGGCUGAGGAGCAUGCUGUAGACCUCUGACAAUGAAGGAGUUUCUGGCAUAGAGUUAAUGUUAGUGACAACAGAGUCAUAUUCAGAUCAUACUCCAGCUAAGACACACAUAAUAAAGUCCUCAUCACUCAUGUUAUUUCCAGCUGCUCUGAGUGUAUUUAGGAUAGUUUUCAUCAUGGAGUAAUAAUCAUGGAUUGUAAGAGAGCCCUUUUUAGUGGUUUGAAUCUGUGUCCUCAAAUAUAGGAUUCUAGCUCUUGUUCUUGCACCAUACUGAUUGGUAAGAGUUGUCCAAACUUCAUGUGAAGUAGAACAAUCCACCACAGUGCCGAGGACACCCUCACUGAGAGAUGAGAGCAACCAGCUCAAAAGAAUGUGGUCCUGUUUCUUCCAGAUUUGAUAUUCUGGAUUUUGGUGGGUAACGGUAGCUUGGUUAGGUCCAGGACUGGUGAAAUAUCUGGGGGGACAGGUAUAGCUUCCAUUUAUGAAGCCUUCAAGCUCAUUUGCUCGUAUGCUGGAGACCACUUGUGAUCUCCAGAGCAUGAAAUUGUUCUGUGUUAACUUGAUGGGAGUGGUGAACACAUAUGUGUUGCUGGUGAUAUGUUGGGUAGGAGAUGGGUUCAUUAUGGUCACAUUUCUUGUGUUAUUAUCUGGAUUCUGAUUGUCGAUAUUUUCAGGUUGGUUUUGAUUCAAAUCAUUUGGUUGAUCAUCUGGAUUUUCCAGAGUUUGAUUCAUGUUUGUUUGUGAAUUUCUGCUGCUUUCCAUAGCUCAAAAGUUGCUCUGAUACCAACUUAAAUUCUUAUGAAUUGCUUAAGUAUGCAAGCAGAAGAGCAGAAAAAAAAUAACCUUUUCAUAUAUUAUAAUAACAUGAAUAAUCAGAUAUACACAUCCUUCACAUAUUUAUACUAAACGUGAAAAAUGGUAGCUUGCUCAAAGGGAAAACAGAAAUGAAUAAAACAAAAGAUUACAGCUGCACUAGCCAAUCAUUGGAAACAUUCUAGAAACUCCAGCUUGCAGUAUUCACGUGUAAAUAUUCUCCUGCAUAACAGUUUUGCCAGCUCAUUGAAUACACCUCAACUUCUUCAUCAGCUGGCUGCUGGAUAUGGCUGCUCAGGUGGCAUGCCAACAUGGCCUUGGGGUCAAUUGUUGACUCAUCUUCAUAAUCUGAAUUCUCAACAAUGCAUUCAAACAGAUCUUCUUCAAAUUUCUUAGAACUUGCAACCGAAGAUAUUGGAGUUUCGCAAAAGGUUUUAGCCCUGUAACUUCUUCCACUUUCCAAACACUGAUUAUUUCUUCCAUCUCAUAACAACGUUCUACAUGGACCAUCUUCAGAUUUGGGGCAAAAACAAGCCAUGUCAUCUCCCUCAAUUUACUGCAAUAGUCUAUGGUAACACUUUGAAGGCUGUUGAAACCAUAAGUUCUCUUGUUGUUUGAACUUCUGCAUAGUCAACCUUUAGCUCUUCCAAACUUGUACAAUACACAAAAUCUAGUUUGUCAAGAUACUUGAGAUCUGCUAUGGACAAAAUAUUCCAUGACCUUGAAUCCUCACAGCGUCGAAGCUCUAAAGCAUAUUUACAACUCUUGUACUGUUGGCAGCUCAAAAGUCUUCGUAGAGCAUAAAAACUUCUUAACGUGACGCUUAAUACAUUUAAAUGUUCCAAAGUAAUCAACUCCUCUACCAAAAUUUCACUACCACCAAAUAGAACGCUAUCUUCUGGUACUGUAUUAGCAGAGCCACAAUCUAGCAUCCUCAACACCUUUAACCCAGAAAAAUUACAAAGCAGUUGCCGUGGAAUCGUAUGGAGAUAACGCAUGUACUCCAAGUUCAAACACUUUAGAUUUUUCAAGGCUUUUAAUUCAUGUGGUAACUCUUUGAUGAAAGUUUCUGAAAGAUUAAGAUAUUGUAGUGAAACCAAUUUUGAAAUUCCUGAAGGCAAUUGACUCAAGGAGCGAUUCUUUGAUAGGUUUAAAACUUUAAGAGAAGGCAUAAAAUCGAAGAAAUCACUAGGGAUAGUAUCUAACAUAUUAAUGCCGAGGAACAAAGUUAUAAGAUGAGGGCAUAUUGGAGUUAUUGGUAAAAUCACAAUUUUAUUUCUCAUCAACGAUAUCCUUCUCUUAUCUUCCCAUUGUUUAACCUCGGGUGGUUCAGUUAAUUCAAUACCGGCAGAAACCAAAAAGUUUUCAUUCUCCACUUCACAGGCUAUCCACAAGGUCAUAUCACGAAUCACAUCAUGCAAUUUUACAUAAUCUGAUCCUGCUUCUUCCAAUAGGCAUGCAUGAACAAGAACACCAAUAAUGUAGUAUCCUUGGUUAUGUACUCCAUUAAUUCCUUCAUAUUCCUUCAGAAAACCCUCACCAAUCCAACACCCUAUCAAUUCAAUUUUGCUAAUUUGAUAAUCCUCAGGAAAUAAACUACAGUAUAACAGACAAGAUCUAAGGACGUCACUAGACAAACUAUCAUAACUGAAUUUUAAAAGACGAAACACCUCUUUCUCCAUACCUGGAAAUUCAUAAGCUGAUCUCCUUAACAUCUGAAUUGCAUAGCUCCAUUCUUCGGGUGUCUUCUUGCUGCUCAUGGCACGACCGGUGGUAAUAAGUGCAAGUGGCAAACCACUACACUCCUUUGCCACAGUUUUGGCUAACUCCGGAAUAUCGGGAUGACUUUCAAGAGUCUCUUCUCCGACCUUCUUUAGGAACAAUUCCCAAGCAUCUUGAUCUGCCAAACACUCCACCUUGAACUUUUUUUGAGCUUCCAUGAGGCCACAGACGUCCACAAGACGAGUCGUAAAUGUUGAAAGUCAUGGCUGGCGCCGGCCAUCUAGAUGGCCGGUGCCAACCAUUCAACAUUCAACACGGCCCGCCAUUAUUGGUGGUGCCGUGUUGAAUGACUCCAUAAAAAAAAAAAAAAAAAAAAAGAGCCAAAAUUUUGGCUAUAUAAAGAGGGCUUCCCACCCUCAUUUAUAAUCCAAUCUUGAGAGAGCAAUUUAGGGAGUUGAGAGAGAGUUUAAGAGCUUGCAUUUAUAAGCUCUUAUUUUAGUGAUUUGAGAGUUUGGGUGUAUUGGGGUUUUGGGUAGUGAGCUAAAAUACUACAAUACUUGUAACUCCUUUUCACUAGUAAAAUAUUUCCUUCUGUCUUUGCCCAUGGACGUAGGCUAAAAGCCGAACCACGUAAUUUCUGGUGUCCUCUAUUGUGCUUGUUCUUUAUUUUAUUUCCAAUUUCAUUUUAGCUGCGGUCCUGCUUCACCCACCAAUUUCCUAACAGUGGUAUCAGAGCUAUUGGUUGUAUUUUUGGAGUCGGGAACUGUUCACGUAAGGGGUACUAUUCACGUAUACGACACUAUUCACGUAUACUGUACUGUUCACGUAUACGGGUUUGUUCACAUAUACGGUACUGUUCACGUAUACGAUACUAUUCACGUAUACGGUACUAUUCACGUGAAACGGGGAAGCGAUCCAAGAAUUUUCCGGUGCAAAGCAGGGAAUAGUAGUGUGAGAAAAGCAACUGUGGUUUUGUACAUGUCUAGGAAAGUUCUGUCACAAAGGCGAUAAGAGCUUAAGGAGUCUGGGUUUUAAGUGGGACCAUUGUGACCCCUCCAGUCUUUCCUGGGAACUUUCCUGGUGUGCAUUCUCACACAUACUCACAACUAUUCAAGGUGGUAUACUAGCUUGUGUGCAGUAUUUAUCAACAAAAUGGCGGCAAAGUAUGAAAUUGAGAAGUUGAACGGAAAUAAUUUUUCGUUGUGGAAAAUGAAGAUGAAAGCUGUAUUGAGGAAAAAUAAUUGUUUGGCAGCAAUUGGAGAAAGGCCCAUGGAGAUAACUGAUGACAAGUGGAACGAGGUAGACGGUAACGCCAUUUCUGAUCUACACUUGGCACUUGCGGAUGGUGUAUUAUCUAGUGUGGCAGAGAAAAAUACGGCGAAGGAAAUAUGGGAUACUCUCACAAAAUUGUACGAGGCCAAGUCACUACACAACAAAAUCUUCUUGAAGAGAAAACUAUAUACUCUUCGAAUGGCGGAAUCUACAAUGGUGACCGACCACAUCAACACUUUGAAGACUCUAUUUUCACAACUCACAACGUUGGGUCAUAAUAUAGAGGAGAAUGAACGUGCAGAGCUUCUACUUCAAAGUCUACCAGAUUCGUAUGAUCAACUCAUCAUCAACCUGAUGAACAACAAUCCAGUGGAAAGUCUAGUUUUCGACAAUGUUGCAGCCUCCGUAUUAAAUGAGGAGAGCAGACGGAAAAAUAAGGAAAACAGACAAGCAAGUUCGCAGCAAGCAGAGGCGCUAUCGGUGACGAGAGGGAGAUCAACGGAACGUGGCCCCAGUGGGAGUCAAAGUUAUGGUAGAUCAAAAUCCAGAAGUAAGAAAAAUGUUAAAUGCUACAACUGUGGCAAGAAAGGGCACGUCAAGAAAGAGUGUUGGAGUAACCAGAAGAGAAGAGAGGGUAAAGAACCUGAGUCAUCAAAUGCUCAGGGGUGUGUAGCAAGUACCUCGGAUGAUGGCGAAAUUCUCUACAGUGAGGCAACAACUGUUUCAGAAGGCAGAAAACGACUUUCUGAUGUCUGGCUUAUAGACUCAGGAGCUACCUGGCACAUGACCUCUAGGAGAGAAUGGUUCUACACAUAUGAACCUAUCUCAGGAGGAUCUGUAUAUAUGGGUAACGAUCAUGCCUUGGAGAUCGCUGGUAUUGGUACUAUCAAAAUAAAAAUGUUUGAUGGUACAAUUCGCACAAUUGGGGAGGUACGACAUGUCAACGGCCUAAAGAAAAAUCUAUUGUCUUUAGGACAAAUGGAUAGUCAUGGGUACAAAACUCAUGUGGAGAAUGGAAUUAUGAAGAUCGUUAAAGGCGCGCUUGUAUUAAUGAAGGCAGAAAAGAUCAGUGCUAAUCUAUUCAUGCUUAAAGGAGAAACACUACAGGAGGCUGAUGCGUGUGUCGCGUCAAAUGGAGAAGAAUCAACGAUGAUGUGGCAUCUCAAACUCGGCCACAUGUCAGAACAAGGCUUGAAGAUUCUCUCUGAGCGAAAAUUGCUUCCGGGGCUCAAAUCAGUAAGUUUACCAUUUUGCGAGCAUUGUGUUAUAAGUAAGCAGUAUAGAUUAAAAUUCAGUAGAUCUAUUGCUAGAAGUAAAUGCAUUCUAGACUUGAUUCAUUCUGAUGUUUGGGAAUCACCGGAUAUAUCCAUGGGAGGUGCAAAGUACAUGGUGACUUUCAUUGAUGAUUAUUCCAGAAGAUGUUGGGUGUAUCCAAUUAAGAAAAAGUCAGAUGUAUUUCCUGUGUUUAAAGAAUACAAAGCGCGGGUGGAACUUGAAUCUGGUAAAAAGAUCAAGUGCUUAAGGACAGAUAAUGGUGGAGAAUAUACAUACGACGAGUUUCUUGCUUUCUGUAAGCAAGAAGGUAUUCAGAGGCAAUUCACGGUGGCAUACACUCCUCAACAAAACGGAGUAGCAGAGCGGAUGAACAGAACUCUUACAGAAAGAAUAAGAGCUAUGUUGAGGACUGCUGGUUUACCCAAUUCAUUCUGGGCAGAAGCAGCCAAAACCGCCUGUUAUAUAGUAAAUCGGUCGCCAUCUACAGCUAUUGGGUUGAAGACAGCGAUGGAGAUGUGGACUGGAAAGCCAGCUGAUUAUUCCUACCUACAUGCAUUUGGAUGUCCUGUGUACGUGAUGUACAAUGCCCAAGAAAGAACAAAGCUGGAUGCAAAAUCUAGAAGAUGUAUCUUCUUGGGGUAUGCUGAUGGAGUAAAGGGGUAUCGUCUGUGGGACCCCACUGCCCAUAAGAUCGUCAUCAGCAGAGAUGUUAUCUUUGUAGAAGAUCAACUACAAAGAAAAGAUGGAGAUGAUGGCACUGUAAAAGAAAAGUCAGAGACUGUACCAGUAUAUGUCGAAAAUAAUCUAGAAGAUUCAGAUUCUUCUGAAGCAGCACCAGAGCACGAGGAACAAGAACCAGUCGAGUCUGAGGCUCCAGAAGUUCGUCGGUCAACUCGUGAGAGACGACCACCGGCGUGGCACUCGGAGUAUGUCACAGAGAUCAACGUUGCAUACUGUCUUCUAACAGAGGAUGGAGAGCCUUCAACUUUCCAUGAAGCUUUAAACAACUUAGAUGUUGCUUUGUGGAUGACAGCAAUGCAGGAAGAAAUUGAAGCUCUACACAAGAACAAGACAUGGGAACUUGUACCACUACCACACGGAAGAAAAGCCAUUGGAAACAAAUGGGUCUACAAGAUCAAACGUGAUGGCAAUGACCAAGUGGACCGGUAUCGUGCAAGAUUGGUGGUGAAAGGAUAUGCUCAGAAAGAAGGUAUUGACUUCAACGAGAUAUUUUCUCCGGUGGUUCGACUCACAACAGUCAGAAUAGUCUUGGAGAUGUGUGCUACAUUUGAUCUACAUCUUGAGCAGUUAGAUGUUAAAACUGCAUUUCUUCAUGGAGAACUUGAAGAAGAAAUAUAUAUGCUCCAACCAGAAGGUUUUGCAGAAACAGGAAAGGAGAACUUGGUUUGCAGGUUGAACAAAUCUCUAUACGGUCUCAAACAGGCGCCGAGGUGUUGGUAUAAGAGAUUUGAUUCCUUCAUCAUGAGCCUUGGAUACAACAGACUCAGUUCAGACCAUUGUGCAUAUUACAAGAGGUUUGAAGAUAAUGAUUUCAUCAUUUUACUGUUGUACGUGGAUGACAUGUUGGUAGCAGGCCCCAACAAAGAUCAAGUCCAAGAAUUGAAGGCACAAUUGGCUAAGGAGUUUGAAAUGAAGGACUUGGGACCAGCAAACAAGAUUCUAGGGAUGCAAAUUCACCGAGACAAAAAUAACAGGAAGAUUUGGCUUUCACAGAAGAAUUACUUGAAGAAAAUCUUGCGGCGCUUCAACAUGUAAGAUUGUAAGUCAAUUUCUACCCCACUUCCUGUUAAUUUCAAAUUAUCCUCAAGUAUGUGUCCUAGCAAUGAAGUGGAGAGGAAGGAGAUGUCUCGAGUACCGUAUGCAUCAGCAGUGGGAAGUUUAAUGUUCGCUAUGAUAUGUACUAGACCAGACAUUGCACAAGCAGUGGGAGCAGUCAGUCGAUACAUGGCGAAUCCUGGUGGAGAGCAUUGGAUAGCUGUAAAGAGGAUUCUGAGAUACAUCAGAGGAACCUCAGAUGUUGCAUUAUGUUACGGAGGAUCAGAGUUUACUAUCAGGGGCUAUGUGGAUUCAGAUUUUGCAGGAGAUCUUGAUAAAAGAAAAUCCACUACUGGUUAUGUGUUUACACUUGCAGGAGCAGCUGUAAGCUGGGUUUCGAAACUGCAGAUCGUUGUGGCUUUANNNNNNNNNNNNNNNNNNNNNNNNNNNNNNNNNNNNNNNNNNNNNNNNNNNNNNNNNNNNNNNNNNNNNNNNNNNNNNNNNNNNNNNNNNNNNNNNNNNNAUAUUCUUGAUUAAUCCAUUUUCUGAAAUUUUUUAUUUUGUAUGGUCAAUUAUACCUUCAUACUAAAAAUUUCUGAUGUUAUGGGGUUGUUGGAUGUGUUUUGGAUAUUUGCAGCUAAGUUUGAGUUUAUAUCUCAACUUAAAAUUUGUAGUUUUCACUUGAAAAAAUUCAGUUAAAAAUUGAUUGGUAGAAUUGUGAAGAAGUUUAAAUUUUUAGUUCAACCCGAUUGCAUAUUUAAGAACAUCUCAAAUGAAUUGCUUACUGCUAUCAUCAUCAUAAUUGUCAGAGAUGGUUAAUUGAUAGACUAUGUGCCUGGGUCGAGCACUGGAAGCCUGCAAUGCAGACUGAUUGAUUUAUCAGUUUAACGUGUGCCAGGAAUGAAGAACUGGAAUAUCACCGUCAAGCAAGCACCCUGUGGAGCAAUACCAAAGAAUGCACAAUCCGGCUUUGCAAGGUGACACUGGAGGCUUUUUGAAAAGUGCUUCACGCUCACUUGCACAGAUUGAGCAUCCCCUCUGGAUAUUGCCCUCUCUGAUCGAGUCUGAGCACUCAAAUUUUGGUCCUCAGAGGGAGCUACAGUUUUCUCUCCAAUAACCAACAAUUUUCUAAACUCAGCACCUAGUGUGAUCAGAGUUGUUGAUAUUUAUAAAUGGAGAUCCCCAUAUUUGCAAGUGGAGACAUUUAACAAUUCACCAACAUGCUUCAUCCGGUGUACAAAAUUCUGCAGCUGAUUCAAAUCCGGAACCUGAACCAGAGUCGGAGGUAUAUCUUGAGCCAUAUCUAAAGUAGUUUGAAGUUCAAGACCUUGAGCCCUUGACAAUGGUUUUGAAAUUGGAACAUCUUGGAUUACUGCAGACUUGUACCCCUUGGUUUCAAAGGUAAGGAAAGGCAUUGCUUGAGUACAAUUUGGAGGCAGCUUCUUCACCAAUUUUAUUUGGAGGCGAUUGGCAGCGGAUCCAGCAGCACCAAUUUCAGAGCAAAUACUGACACUACUUCGAACAGCACACUGAAGAAGUGAUAUGUCUACGGCAAAGGCAAUGCAGUCCUCAUUUUGGCUUGAGAUGCAGUAAUCAUCGAAGAGAGUUUCCUUGUGAAACUGGGCAACACAUUGAAUCCCUUCGCCACUGAGAAGGUUGUGGAGGAAGUAAGCUUUCUCUCUAGUGAGGCAGAGGUGGCAUACCUUCCCCAUUUUGUCGAGGGCAGGUAGGAAUCUUUUUUCUAAGAGAUUUACUUCAUUCUCUGUGAGAAAUGCUUUGAACUUCAUCCCUCUGUCUCUAUCCUCACUUAUCAGGAAAUAAGUUGAAAGCACUACGAAGAGAGAGAGAGAGAGAGAGAGAGAAUUAAGAUAUAUAGACAAGAAAAAUAUUAGACGUUGAUCUUACAAACUAAUACUUCAAGCAGUAUCCUGGAAAGCUAAAAACUGCAAGAUGGCUUGAAAUUUGAAAAGAGCACGUGCUUUUCCUCCUUAACUUGAGAAAAUGUUUAAUAUAGUGCACCUUAUGGAAGCAUUUAAGCAAUUAGAACUUUGCACAAAAACAUCAAGAAGACUAAACAAGUCAGAUGCAGUGUAUUUGUCCAAGCACAAAUUGCAUUUUGUCCUCAACUUUAAUAUUUAUUGAUGAGAAUCAAUACAGGUCCCUCAUUUGUUAUAGAAAGCUUUCUUUCUUGUAGUCUCACCAGUUAAUUCACAGGUCUAUAAUCAUCUUGCAAAGUUAAGGGCAUUUCUUUUGAUCUAAAGUCUUUGCAUCACCACCUCAUCACACGCCAAGCCAAUAUUCCAUUUACCUCUACAACAAAAAGUUUUAAUUAAACAAUCCUAAUGCACGCAGCCAAAUAAAAUGCAGUAAGAAUAUUCAACUUAAAAAUCUGAAAGCCAACUUGGUGAAUUGCCUCCUUAGGUGAAGUUCCAUGCUUUACUAUAGUUGACAGAACUCAGCAAAAGCUUCCAUACAACAGAUUUUGAAAAUGAUGAUGCCAACAGAUACUCAUUCAAUCCAUUGAAACUCCAAAGGUUCAUUGUUCAUAGAAGUUUACAAAGUUUUGGUCAUCAAAUAGCUCAGACCUAAUCCCAAACAAAAAAAGAGUGAAAAUUAGAUCACGAGCAGCUAAUUGUAAAUUCUAACUUAACUCUUCAUCUCCUUUGUAAACAAGAAACAAAAUGGAGACACGCAAAAUGAAUAUGGAGAAAAUUUGAACUCAAAUGAAAUGAGGGCACGAAAGCAAACAAAUGGCAUGCACAAAAAAACCAAGCCUCAAUCAAAAACUAAUUAACCAUUAAGAAAAAAAUUGGUCAGACAAUGAACUCCAAAUUCAGGAGUCAAGCAAGAAGCUUUCAUUAUUUCAGAAGCUCCUGUACAAAUUAAUAAGUUAUGCUCUUUGGAAGCAAAACCAAAUUCCAAGAGAAACAGAACCCAAAAAAUUUGCAAUUAUUCGCAAAGGAAGUGAAGCACAGGAUUCUAUCACACAUAGGAAUUUUAUAACAAGAGAUCGAUAUAUCGAAUUAGAAAACUCAAUUCGAAUUUGUGUGAAAAAUCAAAAUUAGAAGAUUUCACAUUUCGAGAGGAACAAGCAACAGAUGAGUUUAAUUUCAGCCAUAACAUGCUAAAAAUGCUACACUUAACGGUUCCUUGUCAGCUAUUGAUGCGUUCGCUCANNNNNNNNNNNNNNNNNNNNNNNNNNNNNNNNNNNNNNNNNNNNNNNNNNNNNNNNNNNNNNNNNNNNNNNNNNNNNNNNNNNNNNNNNNNNNNNNNNNNAAGGGUCAUGUUCAAGCAGGAAAACUUCUAGAACAGGUAAGGAUUCCAUCUACAGACAUCCAUUGACAGCAGAUAUAUUUCAUUAAGCAGACACUGUUAGCAUUCAAGAUGCUGGCAGAUUCACUUGAUUCUUAUUAGUUUGUUUAGUGGCAAGGCAUAUAACCUGUAUUUCAAAGCCAAGUUGUGCUAUUGAUUAUGUUAACUUUAUUGUUAACAUUAAGUGAUUUGGAGGACAUAAUCAAUGUAGGAAAAUUAGGUGAAGAGAUGAUGUCAAAUCUUGAACCUCUUACAAAGCUCCAAGUUCUUUACUUGAAGAAGCUGCCAAAUUUGAAGAGCGUCUACUGGAAGGCAUUUCCAUUCCCAGAUGUAUGCAGAAUUUUUGUAUUAAUGCCCAGUUCUUAAGAAGCUGCCACUGGAUUUUCAUGGGGCGGGCCAAGGUAAAAUUCUUAUCAAGGGAAAGGAAGAUUGGUGGAAAGAACUUCAAUGGGAGGAUCAAGCAACUCAGAAUGCAUUGCUUCCAUUUUUCAAAUCAACUGACAAGUGAUUGAAGGGGGCAUCAUCAACAGAGAUGGAGAGAUUCUGGAGCAGAUCAGCAGGGUUUGUAUAUGAUCUUUGGUGGUUGCUUUCUUUUGUGAUUUUUUUUUUCUCAUUUUUUUACCUUCCUGUCAUUUUAUCAUUUCUUUGUCUCUUUUUCUAUUGCUGAUGUUAGUGUAUGCUUACUGUUGCUUGACAAAGUUUGCUUGCUUCUUGUUUAUUAAAUUUUUUAUGGUCACAAAAUAUUACUUGUUCUAUUUGAGAGUGAUGUGAAUCAAUUUUCAAUUAUAUAUUUUUUGGUCAAUGUGAAUUCAAUUUCAUUUGUCUCCUGCAAUUAUUAAAAAAAUGCAGUCUCAUAAUAUGGAAAAGUCGACCGGCAAAAAUUUUGUGAAAGCUUCGGAGUGAAACAGGGAAUUCACUUACUACUAAGGACAAUUGGUGGCGAGCUAUUCCAUUCAUUUUAUGUCCCUACAUCUAUUUAAUUAUUAAAGAUAAGUGGUCCAUUUGUAAAUUUCAGAUUGUGUCUCUCUGAAAAUAACAAUAUUUAAAAUGUCUCUUAAAUUAUUAUAAAUUUUAAUUCACUCUCGAUUUAAAAUGGAACAUGCUGAUGAAAAUUUUUUUCUUCUCAAUAUUCAAUAAAAUUGAAAUAAAUUGUGUUUGCAGUAUUUUGAAAUAUUUUAAAGAUUAUUAUUUUAUAAGAGAGUAAUAUGAAAUGAAAUUUACUCUUCAUGCGUGAAAUGUUGAAAAGGACAAAGGAAAGUGUCACUGCUUUUAUUUUAUUUCAAAGUGGAGUCAUCUCACAUACUUUACCUCUAUCAUUACAAUUUUUCACGUUACAUUUUGAUUUAUUUAUUUCUUUUAACACAUGCAUGUGGGUUACUUUUCCGUAAGCUCCUUAAUAUAUGUUUAACACAAAUCAUGGAAGAGAUGGGAGUAUAUCAAGAUGAUCAAAGCAUGAGACAAAAAUAUUUAAGAAGUAAAACACUGAAAAUAGAGGAGAGAUGCAAGCAAAAGAUAUUCCAAAGAAAAGCAAUCUAUCCCCUUUCGAGGGCAAACUUAAUCAGGUUUAAGAAAAGUACAUGUUUUGGAUUGGUAGUUGCAGCCUUGCAGGAUAAUUGUUUUUGCCAUUAUAUUAGUUGGAGGAGUUGAACCCAGCGAAGAAUGUUAUGGAAGAGCAAAUUAAUGAUAUUUCUGAUAGAGUCUAUUUGAUUAUGUAGCCUGAAUGGAUGUCUUGUUGAAAGAUAUCUCAGUGCAUUAGUUCAUCCUUGUCUGUCAAUGUGUUUUUAAUGGUUUUUCCAAUUGUUUAUUAUUAUAGAUUGAUUGUAAAUUUAUAUGAAAAUUUGAUAUGAAUUUAAUGUUGAAAUGUUUUCUCUUUAGUGGAAUGAAUUUAAAUUGAUUGAUUGUAAAUUGAUAUGAAUUUAAUGUUGCAAUGUUUUCUCUUUAGUGAAAUGAACUUAAAAGUGUAAAAGAUUAUUGCACACAUAGAAAUAAACAUAUAUGCUUUAUAGUAUAACUUUAGCAAUCGAUUCUUUUACGGCUGGAAACAGAGAUGAUGAUUAUCAUAGGGGUGAAGAAAAGGACAAAAAAUAUUAAUAAAUGAUCUUAAUGUUCCACAAAAGCAAAUCGUAAUAUUCCACAAGAAAAAGCAAGAUCUUAAUGUUCCACAAAAGCGUUAUUUAUUUUUUUUGGUGAGCCACGUGGAGCUCAAUUAUCAUUGUCUUUACUUUAAAAACGUUAUUUUAUUUUAUUUUCUUACAAAUUAAUGCUAACAAGAAAAAGCAAGAUAUAAUAUUCCACAAAAGCAAAUCGUAAUAUUCCACAGAGGAAUAAGAUCCACAAAAGCAAACAACUAGCUGGAUUCUUUUAUUAAACUACAAAUUAAAGUGGAAUCGUUUACUAAACAACAAAUUAAAGUUCAAAUAUUUAAAUAGUAGUGCGUUAGACGAUUAGGCUCUUUUAUUAAAGUCAAGUAUAAAGUAGUCCAGAAUCGAACAUCUCUAUUGUCUAGUCUUUUUUUUUUUUAAUUCUUCUUUUAUUAUUUUUCAGAAUAUGUUUUGGUGAUUACUAUUGGGUUAUUAUUCAGAGUUAUUGUUAUCUUCCGGGGCAGUUUCUGUUCAUCGAAAUCGUUAAUUAAAAUUUUAAAACUCUUAUCGGAAGAAUGUUUUUCCGUUAUUUUUUUAUAUUCUAAUUUCAAUUGUAAGAAGUAGUCAUUUUAGAAUUUGGGUCUUGAAUCGAAUUUCAAUGCAUGAAUUAAUAUUUUAAAAAAAUUUACUACAUGCAGUUUAGGUUACAAACUAUUUUUUGCAAAGUUGACUAUGAAAUUGGAGAAAUUAAGUAAUUUAUAAUGUUUGCAAAGAAAGAGACCAACAUACUUCCAAUUACACUAUAUCUCAAUUAUCAUAAUGUUAAGAUUAAACUAACUUAAAAUAAAAUUUAUUUAAAAAGUUUAUCAAACGCAGUCUAAUUUUAUUAACUUGAAGAGAUAAUAGUUAUAGAAAUUAUUAUUCUAACUUAAUUAGUAAAAGUGGUAUAAAGGUUAAGUGUGCACUAAAUCUAUUUAAAUUUUUUUCCAGUAUAACUAACAGAGGUCAUUACUAGAAUUAUAUUACUAGUCUAUUAGAUAGAAAAAAUUAUUUAUAUUGUUUUAUAUUUAUUAAAAAAAUUUAAAGUCAAUCUUUUUAAUUACUAUUUAAAGGAUAUUAUAAUUAAAAAAAUUUUAAUGUCUUCAUUAAAAAUUUAAAAUUUUAUAUGACCGUUAUCUAAAUAUUUAAAGUGUAACUGUCAUUUUCUCAUAUAUAUAUAUAAUUUCAUCAACCCCUUAUACUUUAUGUUAUUUAUAUUUUAUUCAUGAAUAUUAUAAAUUUUUUGAAAUAUAAAAUUUCGUUUAACCCUUUAUACUCAAUUUUAUUUUAUUAAAACCCUAGAGUAUGAAUUCGUCCCUAUAAUAUUAAAUUCUCAAAAUAACUUCCAUUUAAUUAAAAAAUAUAAUUAUUAUUAAAUGAAUUAUAAUUAUUAUUAUUAUGUUAUUAUAAUCAUAAAAAGCGAGAUCAUAUUCCACAAAAGCAUAAGUGACAAAACAACCAACUGGAUUCUUUUAUUAAUCAACAAAUUGUAUAGUCUUUUUCAAAUUGUUAUAAAUUGGUGGCCCCUACAAUCCUCAAUAAUUGUACCGAAAUUCACAAGUUGGUGGGCCCUACAAUUCUGUUCCGAUAAUUUAACUGUGCAAGUGCUCAUUCACAAUCUUCCAGGUCAUGCUCUUAACAAUUGUUUUUUCUUUUCUGCACGCCCUUUCAUGCUCUUAAUAAUUGAAGAGCAUACUUUUCAAAUGUGAAGCCGCAUCUAAUGUCGCUAAUUUAAUUUGGGAUUAAAUUACGGGACUAUUAUAUUGCAGUGUGCACUAAUUUUUAUGUUUAUCUAAACUCUUCAAAUUUAAAACAUAUUAUGGCAUAAAUAAGAAUGUAACAAUAACAAAAGAGUAAGAAAGUGUAGAGAAAAUCUUGCAGAAAUAUAAAUAAUAUUUAUUUUUAAAAUAAUAUUAAUAUUUAAAAUAAUUUUUAAUAUUUUAUGGUCCAUUAGAUAUAUUUUAUUAUAUUAAAAUAAAUUUUAUAAUAAAUAAAAACAUACUAUUAAAAUGAAUAUAUAUAGAAAAUUUAGAGUAUUUUAAGUAUUAUAUAAAAUAAUUUUAAUAAAAUAUGUGAGAUAUUCAUAUUUUAUUAAUUUAAGAUACCAUUUAACCUAAAGAUUUAUUUAUGAUAAAUUAAUAAUUAUAUUUUUGAAAUUACUUCAAAUAUUAAAAAAAUUAAUAUUACUAAUAUAUUAGAUAGAUUAAAUUAUAUAUAUUAUUUUUACUUAUUAAAAAAAUUUUAAAAUUAUUUUUAAUUACUAUUCAAAAAACGUAUUCAAAAAACAUAAUGAUAAAAAAAUCUUAACAUCUUUAUUAAAAAAUUAAAAACUUAUAUGAUAAAUUCUCUAAAUAUUUACGGUAUAUGUGAACCACGGUGGAUAAGCUUUAUUUAAUAUUAUUGAUUUAAAUAAUAUGUCAAUUAAAAAUGUACAGAGAAGAAAUUUCGGUGGGUAUUUUAGUCUUUUAAGCAAUUAUCAUGAUCAGAUCAGCCUUUAGCCUUCAAACGUCGGUCAGAAAAGUUUUAAAAUUAAUGCUAAAUUGUUUUUCACUUUUAACGUUGGUGGCCUUGAAAUUGCUUGUAUUUUAUUAAAAAUUAAUGCUAACAAGAAAAAGCUAGGUCAUAUUCCACAAAAUCAAAAGUGACAAAACAACCAGCUGGUUUCUUUUACUAAACUACAAAUUAAAAUAAAUUUUUUCGAUAAAUUACAAAUUAAAGUGGAUUCUUUUGAAUACAAAUGGGACAGACGAUUAGGCUCUUUUUAUUAGAGGCAAGUAAAAACUAGUCAAGAAUCGAACAGUCUUUUUCCAAUUCUUGUUUUAUUAUUUUUCAAAACUAGUUUUUGGUAAUUACAACCGGGUCAUUAAUCAUUAUUCAGAGUUACUGUUAUCUUCGGGGGCAGUGGGUAAAAGAUAAUUACUAACUGUUUUUCCUUCAAAAGUUAGCGGCUCAUGUUUGCAAGUGUGAAUGUGCGAUGCUCUUUUCUUAAAGGCCAUUACAGUGGGGCCCGAAUCAGACGUGCCUAAAUCUUUUUAAAAUUUUUGCCGUAUAACGAACAGAGGUCAUUACUAAAAUUUCUCUUCCACAGCCUACAGCAGCUUCAGUUUAUCAAACUCCAUCAAUUUUCUUUCUUAACAAAAUUCCAAAGAUGUGUAGCAUUUUUCAGAUCACAUGCGAUGGUGCUCUUUUCAAUCGUUGCUUGGAUUGCUUUCUUGGAAAAGCAGCAUACAUACGUAACCUCCAAGAUAAUCUUGAUGCCUUGGACACUGAACUGGGAAGACUAAUCGCUAAAAAGAACGAUGUGAUGAGGAGGGUUGUCGACGCUGAACGACAACAAAUGAGAAGGCUGGACGGAGUGCAAGUGUGGGUUUCGAGGGUGGAUGCUGUUAAAACUGGAGCCGAUGAACUUAUCACAGACGGCUCUGAAGAAAUUGGCAAAUUAUGUGUUGGAGGCUACUGUUCCAAGAACUGCAGGUCAAGCUACAAGUUCGGAAAACAAGUGGCUAAAAAGCUACAAGAUGUGAAGACUUUAAUCGCCGAGGGAGUUUUUGAGGCGGUGGCUACUGAGGUGGUGCCCGAGAGAGCUCCGGAACCUGUAGCAGAUAAAAGACCCAUUGAGCCAACAAUAGUAGGCUUGCAAUCACAGCUUGAACAAGUUUGGAGAUGUCUUGUAGAAGAAUCAGUGGGAAUCAUUGGCCUAUAUGGUAUGGGCGGUGUUGGUAAAACCACACUAUUGACCCGUAUCAACAAUAAAUUUCUUGAGAGUCAAAACAACUUUGAUUGUGUGAUUUGGGUCGUAGUUUCAAAAGACCUGCGGCUUGAAAAAAUUCAAGACGAUAUUGGGAAGAAGAUAGGUCUGUCUGAUGAUUCAUGGAAGAAUAAAAGUUUUGAAGAGAAAGCUGUGGACAUCCUGCGGAGAUUAGGAGAGAAGAGAUUUGUAUUGUUGUUAGAUGAUUUAUGGGAGCGGGUUGAUUUAACAAAAGUGGGCGUUCCACUUCCCAGCGCACAAAAUACUACCUCAAAAGUCGUAUUCACAACCCGUUCCAUUGGUGUUUGUGGCAGCAUGAGAGCUAGGCCGGUUAAAGUGGCAUGCCUAUCAGAAAAGCAAGCUUGGGAACUGUUCCGCGAAAAUGUUGGGGAAGAAACUCUUGAGAGUGAUCAUGAGAUCGUUGAGCUAGCCCAAACUGUGGCCAAAGAGUGUGGUGGUUUGCCACUCGCACUUAUUACUAUUGGUCGAGCUAUGGCCUUCAAAAAGACAGCCGAGGAGUGGAGUCAUGCAAUUGAUGUGCUAAGAACAUCAGCUUCUGAGUUUGCAGGUUUGGGAGAGAAGGUGUAUCGUCUUUUAAAGUUUAGCUAUGAUAGUUUGCAGAAUGAGACCAUUAGAUCUUGUUUCUUAUAUUGUUGUUUAUAUCCCGAGGAUUAUGGCAUUCUUAAAUGGGACUUGAUUGAUUGUUGGAUUGGUGAGGGAUUCUUGGAGGAAUCUGACAGGUUUAGUGCAGAAAACCAAGGAUACUACAUUGUGGGCACUCUUGUUCAUGCGUGUUUGCUAGAAGAGAUGGAAGAUGAUAAAGUAAAAAUGCAUGACGUUGUUCGUGAUAUGGCUCUAUGGAUAGCUUGUGAAAUUGAGAAGGAGAAGAGAAACUUUUUGGUUUGUGCAGGUGCUGGAUUAAAAGAGGCACCGGAUGUUAAAGGAUGGGAAAAUGUGAGAAGAUUGUCAUUGAUGCAAAACCAAAUUAAAACUCUGUCAGAGGUUCCCACAUGCCCUCAUCUCCAUACUUUAUUUCUUGCCUCUAAUAUGGAGUUGGAGAUGAUCGCGGAUGGCUUCUUCCAAUUUAUGCCUUCUCUCAAAGUUUUGAAGAUGUCACGCUGCUGGAAUUUUCAAUUACCUGUUGGGAUGUCAGAUUUGGGUUCAUCACUAGAACUUCUUGAUAUUUCACAUACCACCAUAAGAGAGUUACCCGAAGAGUUAAAGUUGCUGGUAAAUCUGAAAUGUUUGAAUUUGAGGUGGACAGGUGCGUUAAUUAGAAUUCCACGGGGACUAAUAUCAAAAUUUUCAAGGUUACGUGUGUUGAGAAUGUUGGGUACUGGCGGGUUCAUUUUUUAUGAAGCACCAGAAGACAGCGUUUUAUUUGGUGGGGGUGAAGUUUUGAUACAGGAAUUGCUCGGUUUGAAAUAUUUAGAGGUAUUGGAGUUGACCUUGGGAAGUUAUCAUGCUCUCCAAAUUCUUUUGAGCUCAAAUAAGUUAAAAAGUUGUAUUCGAUCUCUUUACCUCUAUUUGACCGGAGAUAAAAAGUCGAUUAUUGAUGCUACGGCUUUCACAGACCUAAACCACCUCAAUGAAUUAUGGAUUGAUAAUGGAAUUGAGUUGGAAGAAUUGAAGAUUGAUUAUACGGAGAUAGUACGAAAAAGGCGGGAACCUUUUGUUUUCCACAGCCUUCACCUUGUUACGAUAUAUAGUUGCCAUAAAUUGAAAGAUUCGACAUUCCUCGCUUUUGCUCCAAACCUCAAGUCUCUUUCGCUAUUCAAAUGCCGUGCUAUGGAAGAAAUAAUCAGCGUCGGAAAAAUUGCUGAGAAUCCUGAGAUGAUGGGACAUANNNNNNNNNNNNNNNNNNNNNNNNNNNNNNNNNNNNNNNNNNNNNNNNNNNNNNNNNNNNNNNNNNNNNNNNNNNNNNNNNNNNNNNNNNNNNNNNNNNNNNNNNNNNNNNNNNNNNNNNNNNNNNNNNNNNNNNNNNNNNNNNNNNNNNNNNNNNNNNNNNNNNNNNNNNNNNNNNNNNNNNNNNNNNNNNNNNNNNNNNNNNNNNNNNNNNNNNNNNNNNNNNNNNNNNNNNNNNNNNNNNNNNNNNNNNNNNNNNNNNNNNNNNNNNNNNNNNNNNNNNNNNNNNNNNNNNNNNNNNNNNNNNNNNNNNNNNNNNNNNNNNNNNNNNNNNNNNNNNNNNNNNNNNNNNNCACUGUUUUUAUUUCAGUCUCUCUCUCUCUCUUUGUCUCUGCUAAUCACAAUUAAAUGUGAAUUAAUGGAAUUAAUGCUUCAUAAAUUUGCCGGCACUGCCAUUACUUUUUUUUUUUUAAUACAAAUUGAUACUUUAUUUAUAUCUUCUUAGCGAUUUAAUUUCCUGUCAAUUGACGAACGAGAAGAACAUAUGACUUGAACCAAUGCUCGCAUAAACUUGCUGUAAAAAGAUAUAAUCUCACUGAAAUGCACACGCCUAGAAUGAAUAGAAUUAAAACAGGGAAAAUAUUAAGUAUAUUAGCCCUCUUUACCGAAAAUCAAAUGACAAUAAAUUUUUUGAAGUUUUGAUUUUCUAUGGUCAAUUCCACCUUUUGCAAUUUCUUCUGUUCUAACAAAAACCAAUUUCUUUGUUCAAGUAUUUUCGUUUGGGUAUUAAUAAUUCUCCACCGAAAGAGUGAACUCUUGCUCAAGGGAUCUCUAAUCAAUAGCCGGAAGGGCGCCGAGACCUGAUCGGACCUAGGCCCAAGUUUGGUCUUAAAGCCUGGGCUUGAGCCUGGCAAUUAAAUUAAAACAGUAAUUGAUUUCUUGAAUGAAUUGUCGUGUAAUUGAUUUAUGGGGGAUGACACAUCAACAUACUUGAAAAUACACUAAUCUCAGCAUCAUCCGUUAAUAACUUUUAGAUUUAUGGGCAAUCAAUAGUUAAAUUAGUUGUCAUUAAUACUAAAUAAUUUUUACUUUUUUUGUCUCUUCUAGAGGAUCUUCUAGAAAAAUGCAUCCACAAUUAAAUUUAAUACUUUACAUAAUAAAGAAAGCAUAAAUGUUAAAUUUAAGAAACUGCAUUGUAUUUCAGCUGAAGUUGACUUUAAUAUUUAGGGUAGAAAAAAAUUAAAUCCUUAAUGUGUUUAAUUUAUAUCACUUGUGUCAUUAAAAUUUUCUAGUCACCCUAACCAAUUACAUCUCAACCCACUUUUUUUUGGAUGAUUUUAUUUUUAUACUAUUAUUUUCAACAUUUUUUUUUCCUUUUAACACCAACAUUAGUGUAUGUUACGUAACAUAAUCCAUAUUUGGAUAAUUUGAAAUUUGUUUGUGUUUUAUCUCAAAAUAGAGCUUCAAUCAAUUUGUACCUCAUAAAUUCACAAUAUCUGGCAGGGCUAAUAAGACCAAACUCUGGCAUAUUAUCAAAUGUGCUUAUCCUUUUGCUUGACAUGUCAUUUUAAAAUUGUCAUUCAAUGCCAAAAAAAUCACAUCAACUGAUGGCCGACUACUUUAAUUUGAAAGCAUGCAUGCGAUCGCCACCAAUAAUUAUAACUUAAUUGUUAUAUUGAAAUUUUUUUCUUUAUAAUUUUUAAGUUUAAUACUGCUACAUGUGCGGCACAUAAGUUGGAAAAUAUAACAUAAAAUUUGAAAAAUGUGUAGUUUUCGUUCCUUUUUUUUCUUAAAAAUGGGGAAAAAGAAUGUAAUUUUGUUUAAAUUACUGUUGUGAUAACAAUUAUUAUUUUAUUGAUUAAUUGGCAGAGAAUCGUUAUGGUUUCGCAUGGUUGUUAAAACAUUGGAAAAUCCACUACAUCAUCCGAUAAUAACUUUCAGAUUUAUGGUUAAUCAAUAGUUGAGAUUUGUUAUCAUUAAUGUUAAAUAUUUUUUUAAUAUUUUUUCUCUCUCCUAGAGGAUCAUCCACAGUUAAAAUUUAAUAUUAUAAAUAGUAAACAAAGUAUAAACGUUAAAUCGAAGAAACUGCAUUGCAUUUCAGCUGAAGCUAACUUUAAUAUUUAACAGAGAAAAGUAAUUAAGUCCUUAAUGUGCUUUAUUUACCCAUAUAUAUGGCUAAUUUUUUAAGAUAAAGGGGAAGGAUGAUGCUCAAAAAUAUAAAUUAUAGAAUUAAUUGAGCUCUCAAGUAAGUUUAAAGUUCAUUAUUUUUAAUUACAUGUUUAUAAUUUAUUUUUAUUUCGUAUUAAUCUAUAGAUCUAAAUCCACUUUGGAUUCAUAUACAUAUAUAGACAUAAUGUGUAUGUUAAUCUAUAGGUCUAAAUUCACUUUAGGUCUAUAUAGGUAUUUUGACAAAUGUACUCCAAUCAUAUUGGCAAGUUCUAACUACUAUAUUGGUAUGUCAAUAUUAUCUCUAAUUGCCCUAUACAUUCAGAAAUAAUCUAGAUAUACAAAUUAACAUAAAAUAAAAAUAAUUGGUAGAAAAUAUAAAUUAUAAACAUGUAAUUGAAAACGAUAAACUUUAAAUUUACUUAAGAGAGUAAUUAAUUUCAUAGUUAAAAUCUUUAAAUUUUACCCCUCAUCUUAACUUAAGAAAAUUAAUCACUUAUUUUAUUUAACAAAGAAGAGAUUUUUUUCCCCUAUAUUUCCCAAUUAUUUCUCUCCCUCUCGCUCCCGUAAGUUAUACAACUUGAAGUGAAAUAUGAGUGGUCUGAUUCUAGCUUAAAUAAUUUAUUGUGACAUGCUAUCUAAGGACAAUACAUUACCUAGCUCUACAUAUUUUAUUUAACCUCCGGCUCACCCUGUGCAAACUUGCCUUCCCCUACAAGACAAGAUUAAUCAAUCUAUCAAGUCUCAAAUUCAAUUUGGAAUAUGACCAUCGUACGUUCUUGUUCUUCCCUCUUUACGAGUGCAUUCCCCCCAACCUCAAGCUCCCUCUCUCGUCUUCAAUGUCACUGCCUAUAUCCUUGUGUUGUUCUAGUUUGAAAUAGUGGCUUCCACAAUUUCAGGGCCCCCAAAAAUCCAGAAACAUAGUAUUCAUCACGAUGACAAAUUUUUUGGCAGGCAGGUGCUUCCUGACUUUCACACGGUAAUUCUCAAAUUCUGAUUUCACCAUAUUUUAAUUACUGAUUAGCAUAUAUUCAAGUGCUCUCCAUUAUAAUAGAAGCCGCCGCCUCACUCGUGAUUCCAAACUUUAUCUUUUUUCCUUUUUUAAAUUAAUGCAAGUAGCCGCUGUCCUUUUUAUUAAUUAAUUAAUUAAUUCGGCCGCCCACAUUUCUUUUCCUAAUGUCUUCUACUGUCGAUUUUCUUUUAUUUUCUUUUUAUUCUUAAAAUAUGCUUAUAAUAAUAAAAUAUAAAAAUUAAAAUUAACAUAUCAAAAUAUAAUUUAACAGAAAAUUAAGAUAAAAAUAAAAAAAAUAAAUUAUGAGCAUAUCAAUCAAUAAAUGAAAAAUAAUAAUUUUUAUUUUUAUUAAAUAUAUAUUUUUCAGUAUUAAUCAAUUAUUUGAAUAAAUAAAAUCAUUUAAAAAUAAAUAAAUAAAUUAUUCUUAAAAAAAAAGAAACUUUUUAUAACACUCACUAUGCUGGUUGUAGGGUAGACGCUUUGGGAACUGAAGCCGGUAACUUCUACAAGUAGUCUGAAGUUGACUGGCAACAACUAUAUUGACAUUUAGACAUAAUGUACUCCAACCGUAUUGGUAUGUUUAAAUGUUCUUACUAUUGUAUUGGUGUGUCAAUAUUAUCUCUAACUGCCCUAUAGAUAAAAAAAUAAUCUAAAUUUAUAAUUUAACAUAAAAUAAAAUAAUUGGUAGAAAAAUAAUUAUGGUUCAUUUACUUAUCAGUAAUCAGAAUAGACUAAAAUCGAAAUGAGUUGUAUUACCGUUGAUGUGUUUAUGUUGUCCUGGAAUCGGAAUGAAUUAUUUUAAGUUACUAAAAUAUCCUUGGUUUGUUAUUCUAAUUAUUAUUUAAUAUUUAUUAUAAUAUUUGUCAUAUCAUUAAAAAGAAAUAAUAAUGAUGAUAAUAUUAUCAUUAUUGUUUGUUACAUUAUUAUUAUUCAAAAAAAUUAUUGUUAAUAAUAAUAAUUUUUUUAUUUCAAUAAUAAUAAUGAUAAAAUUAAUAAUAAAAAACAUGACAACAACAAUAAUUAUUUAUUAUGCCAAAAAAUAACAAUAAUAAUAAGAAUAAUAAUCAUCAUCAUUUUUUUGCCAAAGAAAUCAUCAAACCAGACAAGAAAUCAUCAAAAAUUGCUAUUUCAAUUUAGGAAGAAGUUCUUUCGGUGUGCUAGCGAUGGGAGAUGUUGUGGCUGCGAUUCGGGGAGCUAAUAGUUUAUUGCACUAAUAACGGCAGGUGCUGCUGCUUGAUGCGAGGUCCAUGGCCAGUUGUCAGCAGUUCGACUUUGGCAUGGGCGCUGCUGGUUCGAUUUUAGGUGUUGUCUAAUUUCAUUUUCAGGAUUUUAAUUUUAUUUUUUUCUUUUAUAUUUUCAUUAAUUAAUCAGGGCAAAGUUUGAUUUUAGAAUUUGGAAUGAAGGUAAUUUUGUUAAUCAUGGAAAUGAGAUUUUGAUUGUCGAGAAUGAACUUACACAAGCAACUGCAAAUUAAGUGAAAACAAAACGCUUUUUCUCUUUGUGUGAUUAAAACAUGAAAUAUACCAUAAAUAAAUAGGUAAAAAUUAAAUCAACACAAUCCAAAACAGUAAACCAAUUAUAAGAGGCACAAAUUUUUAUGUGAAAUACCGAAAACGGAAAAAACCACAACAUGUUAGUAUGAUAUAAUCUUCUACUAUAUUAAUGGGAUUAUAACACAAAUUCUUCCCUAUAUUACACUAGAGAUUAACAACAUCAAGAAUCUCAAUAAUCUUAACUUACAAUACAACCUAAUAUAUGUCUCUCUAAUAAAUAGAUAUCUAAAAUAACAAUCUCUAAUAAGUAAGUAUCUCAAAUAACAGUCUCUAAUAAGUAGGUAUCUCAAAUAAUAGUUAAUAAGAGGAUAAAACAAAAAUUAAGAUUAGUAGGAUGUGUAUAAGGCGAUGCUAUCAACUUAUCUUCUAAAUUUGAGAAAAAUAGUUAAAUUCACUUUUUUGAUUGUCCGACCAAAGAUGGAAACCUUGCCCCAAAACCAAAGGAGUCACCAUUGUGUUUCUCUCUCUCUCUCUCUCUCUCGUUCUUUUCUUCUACUUUUCUUAAUGUUAGCCGCCACUUGCUUUUAUUCUUUAUAGCAUUUAAAAAGUUACUUUUAAUGGUAAAUUUCAUCUAAGUCCAAAACUUAGUGAUAAUUGCACACUAAACAAUCCUUUUUGGACUAUAGACUUUUGGACCUCCAAAUGAGACGAAUACAACAAAUCUCCCCUUUUAGAUCAUGUAGGAGGCACCACAAGCCCACUCUCUGCAUAUAGCUUUUUAACUUCUCCUUGAAUAAUGACUUUGUCAUCAUACAUAACUCAUUCUCCGUUGUGUAAAUCUUCUCAAGCUAUAACCGUUCUUUCUCAAACACGUCUCGUAUCUAAUAAUACUUCACAUCAAUUUGCUUAGAUUUCGAAUGAUAUAUCAAAUUCUUUGAACGACACUCUGAUUUUCGCAGUACAUAAUAUAGUUGUCUCAUUUUAUACCUAGCUCUUGUAGGAAAUUCUUCGUCCACAGUAUUUUUUUGCAACCUUCAAUAAUUGUAAUAUCAUUUGCUUUAGUAGUAGAAAAGACAACUUAUUACUAAAGUUUAGAUUACGAUGAGACUGCUCCUCCUGCAAAAGUGAGCAAACAUUCUAGUAGGAAUUUUUCGGAAUCAACAUCUCCUACCAUAUCUAUACACUUGUAACACAGGUUUGUCACCACCAAAAUAUAAACAUGCUCUGGAAAUGCCUCUAAGAUAUCUGAGAAUUUUUCACUAUUGUCCAGUGCUCUUUACCGGGAUUGAAGAGAAACCACUAACUACACUAGUUGUAUAAGUAAUAUCUGGUCUUGUACAAAUUAUGGCGCACACCAAACUGCCAACUGCUGAAGCAUAAGGAACUCCUCUCAUGGAGAAAUGGGUUUUGCUCUUGAGAUUUUUGGGAACAUGAAGAAUAAAUAUGUAAUUUCUUGGACUGCCAUUGUUUCGAGGUAUAUAAACAGAGGACAAGUCUAUAUAGGUCGACAGUGGUUUGCUCAGAUGCCAGAACGAGAUUAUGUCUUAUGGACUGCCAUGAUUGAUGGGUACCUUCGAGUGAAUAGGUUCAAAGAGGCUUUGACGCUUUUUCAGGAGAUGCAAACUUCAAAUAUAAUGGGAGACGAGUUUACCAUUGUUAGCAUUCUUACAGCUCGUGCGAAUCUGGAAGCACUAGAUCUGGGAGAAUGGAUAAAGACUUAUGUUGAGUGUUAGAAAAUGCAUAUUUAUAAAGGAGAAAACCAUCAUUUUACAUUUCAAGUCUUACUAACAACCCUUACUUUUAUGUAUUUAACCUUCUUGUGAUUUAAUUACAUGUGUUUUAUUUUAAUUAAGUAUUUUAUGUAUUUUAGGGACAUUAUAGUCAUUUCACAAUAAAGGAGAGAUCAGACGGCAAAACAGACAUCACUUUUGAACUCAGGACGGUCAAAAACCUUAGGAGGAGCAUAAAAGGAAAAAUGGCACUAUUCACAUGUACGGUACUAUUCACGUGUACGGUACUGUCCACGUUACUGUUCACGAUACUGUUCACAUAGACAGAUCGAUGACGUGGCAUUGACUGAUGAGGUGUCACGAUCCUGUUGGGCUAAAAUUCUUAUGUACUGUUGAUGGUGACGUGGCAGCAUAUCAAUGGACGAAAAAUCUCGCAUACAGUACAUGCAUCACACAGGAUUAUUGUCAACCAAAUCGCGUUACUGUUCAUCCGGGUCAAACCGUGUUACUGUUCAUCCACGUAGUCAAACCGCGUACUGUUGACUGAUGACGUGGCGCAAUCCUGAGCGUCCAAACUGUUUUUAAUCCGAUGGCCAUGAUUUACUCCAUGUAUCUAUAAAAAGGGGGCCUCCCCCCCUAAUUUGACAACUCUGAAUCUAUUUUGGGAUCCAUUUUCUAUAAUUCCCUCUCCAUCUUGUAUUUUCUACGUAUUUUAAUAAAUUUCCAUUUUACCCUUAGUUCAAUUAUGAGUGGCUAAUUUCCUUUCAAGCUUGGGUUGAAGGUGAAGUCUCAACAUGUGUCAUGGGCUUUAUUUGGUAAAUUUAUUUUCUUUUCCCCUCUAGUUUUUGUGGAUGAUUUGACUUUUCGUCGACAAAUAAUAUUGAUCUUGUCUAGAUACCACCUUGGUUACACCGGCUCUCUAGUACAAGGUUAUUAUUAUUUGGCACGAUAAGCCCUUAGCACCAUAUUGAUUAGAGCGUGGUUCAUGAGGUGUGGAUUCCCCCCUCAUGAUUUAAUUGGCAUUAAUAAGGAUUAUAUAGCCCAUGAUGCAUGUUGAUACGGAUCUGGAUACCCAAGUGCUUCAUUUCAAUAGAUCUAUCUUCAAUUUCUUCUCGCCAUUUUAAUUUAAGUUUUAGAAUAUUCCAAAUCAUUUCCACCACAAAUCCAAUCCCCGAUUCACAAAAUUAAUUCUAUACACAAUUAAAAUCCACAUCCUCGUGGGAUCGACACUCGUCACCAUUAGUCUAUACUACAAUAGAUUCGUGCGCUUGCGAGUACAUUAAAAUUUACACAACAACUUAUAUUGACAAAAACAAAGUCAAGAAUGAUGUAUUUGCGGGGAAUGCUUUGAUAGACAUGUACUGUAAAUGCCGAGAUGUUGAGAAAGCUCAAAAGGUAUUCAGGAAGAUGCUUUGAAAGGACAAAUUCUCAUGGACGACCAUGAUUGUUGGCCUUGCCAUCAGUGGCAAUGGUGAUAAAGCUCUUGAUAUGUUUUCCCAAAUGCUUAGGGCUUCGAUCAAACCGGAUGAGGUAGCUUAUGUUGGUGUUCUGUCUGCCUGUACUAACAAUGGUAACGAAACUUUUGUGAUAAAUAGUUGCAACUUAAGGUGAGAAUUGGAGGAAAGGAAAUAGACUGAAGUUGUUCAAUCAUCGGUCGUCUCUAUUUGGUUUUCUCCGAUAUCUCAUCUUCAGUUUUGACUCAGAUUCUAUCUUACCACUUAGGGGUGGGCAAAAUCGGGUUCGGGUCAACCCGAUCGGGUUUCGGGUUGUUCGGGUUAGACAAGGAACAAUCCGAACAUAACCCGAAUUAAUGACCCGACCCGAACUUAGUUCGGGUCGGGUCAUUAAUUCGGGUUAUGUUCGGGUUGGAUUUAAAAUGGGUAGGAUUGAGUUCGGGUCAAUUUGGGUUAGUUCGGGUCAAUUCGGGUCAGUUCGGGUCAAUUCGGGUCAAUUCGGGUCGGUUGAAAUCGGGUCAGUUCGGGUCAAUUCAGGUCAGUUCGGGUCGGUUGAAAUCAGGUCAAUUCAAGUCAGUACGUUUUUUUUUUUUAAGAACCCGAUCGGGUAUUCGGGUCGGGUCGGGUUUGACCCGAACCGAUCACAACCCGAUCGGGUUUGUAAAUUUCAAACCGAUCGGGUUUCGAUCCCGACCCGAUCCGACCCGAACCCGAAAUUUAUCGGGUCGGGUCGGGUCGGGUAAAAUGCCCACCCCUAUUAAUACCACUAGUAAUUACAUAGACUUGCUGCCAAAGGUAAGAAUGAGAAUAAAUUAAAUAGAUUAUGUCGAAAACGAAAUAAAUUUACCAUUGUUCUGUUCAUUCUAUUUGUUUCCUACAGAAUAUUUCUCCAGCCUAAAAUUUUUUGAAUUAGUAAGUUUUUAUCUUAUGCAAGAAUUGUGCUGAGAGUAAUUCCAUUUCUCAGUCUCUUUAUGUUUCAAUGAAGACGUAAAACUUGUGUUCUAGUGCACCAAUGUUUAUGCUUCUUACAAUUUGACUUUAAUUUAGUUUGUAAAACUUUUGUCAAAAAGUACUAAAAAGUAGUGCACCAAACACAAACUUUAUUACAGAGAGGACUUCAGUUAAAUUUUAAGAAAACACUCAAAAGAACGAGUUAUAAAUUAUUAUCGAAAUAUUUCACAUAAAUAAAAGCCAUCCCAUGCUGCAAAGAUCUUGCUAUAAUCACCAAAAACUAUCGGGAGCUUUUAGGGUUUCCAUAAAAAUGUCAUUUCGUUCCAAAAGUCAAUGGUGGGUAGAAAGUGGUGCAAAUGAGACUCAUUGUUAAUGGUAUAAGUUUUUGCUUAAUUAUGUCUUCCCCAAAAUGAUGAUUUAAUUUCCAUUCUCAAUUAAUUUUCAAGUUUCAACACUUUUCUAUGUAGCAUGACAUUGGAAAGAUCUUGUACAGUUGUACUACUAAAAGCUAGCACCACACGUUAGUUAUUGUUAAGUUCUUUUUCAACGUGAAAUAAAGGAAGUAGUCCUUCGUUAAAACCAUUAUAGCCAAAUUUCACGUAAUUGGACAUUUACAGACUUUUAUUUCAAGUUGGAUUUUGGUCCAACAUUUCAAAGUUGGCCCAAUUAUUUUUGUCUGGUCAAGUCCUUCGCAGCUAAGCCCCUCAAUGAAUGAGGGUGAGAUUGCUAAAAAUUACGACAGGUGAUAUUUUAUUAUUAUUAUUUGUUUGAGGGAAAAAAUAGGAAAAGCAAUAGAGCGCCACGUGUCAACCAAUGGAAUGAUUCCUGCACAAUCUAAGGUACCCCACACAAUCCGAGGUACCCCAUAUAAUAUGAGGUACCCCACACAAAUAGGGGUACCCCGCGUAAUAGGAGGUACCCCAUGUAACUCGAGGUACUCGGCAAAGCGGAUGCAAGAGAAUCCUCCGAAAAUAUCCGCCAUGAGAAACGUCUCCGCCUCCUAAAAGAUAUUAUUCAAUUUUGUCAGAAUUAUGAAUAAAAAACGACGCCCUAAAAGGAGGGACAGUCGCCUGCGACCUCUGCCAAAAGUGAAGGACACUGUCCCAAGGACAGUGGUCCCCAACGCCUACCCGACAGCUACUGCAAAGGUACCCUGGACCACUCUCCAGCGCGCGCCACGUUUCCAAAAGAUGAGAUACGCCGCGAACGUGCAGAUAACUGCCCAAAAAUUAUAAAGAGGUAAAAGGACGUUAGUAAAAAAGGGUAUGCCAUGUGGCAGCUGAGGUACUCCAUAUAUAAAGGCGCCUAGGUUUCAUUCUCCAUCAUGUUCUCACUCACCAUUAACACUCGCACUCCAAAAAAUAGGUUUUCUUCAACCUUAAACCCUAAUUUACAGAGGGUUAGUCAGCUCUCUUUACCAUAAAAGCUUGAGUUUGCUAACUUGAGCGUCGAAGUGUGAACGCCGGGGUACCCCGGCUUCACCUCUAACCUCUAUUUCACUGUUUUGCAGGCGUGAAGCUCAUUUGGAAGGACACAUCUCUUAGUUCUAAACCUUUCACCAUUGUUACCACUCUCUCUCCCUUUCUCACCUCCCCUGGAUUUCAGAUACACCACACCGCACACAAUAAACUAGUGAGGUACCCCGUCUCCCAUAAAAAUACAAAUUCAUUGUUCUAGAUAGAUUUGGCUUUUUUUACCCCAAAAUCUGUUGAAAACACUAUUUUUAAUUUUGGGGGAUAAAUCCUCACCAAAGUGAGGAGAUUUUAUCAAAAUCAAAAUAAAAAUAUAACAAGAACUGAAAGUCGGGCAGCCUAAAAGCUAGAUGAACUAAAAGUCAGGCGCCUAAAAACAACCUUAUGCAAAAGAGAAGCAACAUGAGACCGAUCAAGUAAAAGAAUCCACCGCAACACCUAAAUUGGCCAAAUUAUCUGUUGGUAUUACAAGUUUCUUGUUAUAAAAGUGUAGAAUGAAGUAGGUGACAGUAGUUUUAAGUUACAGCUGCAUGCCUAAUCGCAAUAUCAAAUAAUGAUUAAAUAUCAAAUAAUGCUUAAAGUAGUUGCCUAGGCCCGCCACAAUUUAUAUUAACUCUUAAAUUUAUAAAUAAUUAAAUUUUUAAAAGUUUGGAUUUAUAUUAAAAAAUCUUCAUAUAAAUAAAUAAUAUAUGCACUUUUACAACACAGUCUUUAAAUUUAAAUUUUUCUAGAAAAAUCUUCUGUAUAUCUUUUCUAUUAAAAAAUUUCCAUAUAAAUAAAUAAUAUACCUAAUUUAAUUGGACCCAGCACAUCGCAUAUGCAUAGAACACAUUCCACAAAGCCAUGCUAUUCGGAAAUUGACGAAUGAAAAGUGAGGAGGCAGCAGUCAAUGCUAUUUGGGCUUGGCCCAAAAUUGAUUUAUCAGGUUGACGUUUGCCAGGAAUGAAGAACUGGAAUAUCACCGUCAAGCAAGCAACCUGUGGAGCAAUACCAUAGAAUGCACAAUCCAGCUUUGCAAGGUGACACUGGAGGCUUUUUGAAAAGUGCUUCACGCUCACUUGCACAGAUUGAGCAUCCCCUCUGGAUAUUGCCCUCUCUGAUCGAGUCUGAGCACUCAAAUUUCGGUCCUCAGAUGGAGCUACAGCUUUCUCUCCAAUAACCAACAAUUUUCUAAACUCAGCACCUAGUGUGAUCAGAGUUGUUGAUAUUUGUAAAUGGAGAUCCCUGUAUUUGCAAAUGGAGACAUUUACCAAAUCACCAACAUGCUUCAUCCAGUCUACGAAAUUCUGCAGCUGAUUCAAAUCCGGAACCUGAACCAGAGUCGGAGGUAAAUCUUGAGCCAUGUCUAAAGCAGUCUGAAGUUCAAGUACUUGAGCCCUUGACAAAGGUUUUGAAAUUGGAACAUCUUGGAUUACUGCAGACUUGUACCCCUUGGUUUCAAAGGUAAGGAAAGGCAUUGCUUGAGUACAAUUUGGAGGCAGCUUCUUCACCAAUUUUAUUUGGAGGCAAUUGGCAGCGGAUCCAGCUGCACCAAUUUCAGAGCAAAUACUGACACUACUUCAAACAGCACGCUGAAGAAGAGAUAUGUCUAUGGCAAAGGCAAUGCAGUCCUCAAUUUGACUUGAGAUGCGGUAAUCACCAAAGAGAGUUUCCUUAUGAAACUGGGCAACACAUUGAAUCCCUUCACCACUGAGAAGGUUGGGGAGGAAGUAAGCUUUCUCUCUCGUAAGGAAGAGGUGGCAUACCUUCCCCAUUUUGUCUAGGACAGGUAGGAAUCUUUUUUCUAAGAGAUUUACUCCAUUCUCUGUGAGAAAUGCUUUGAACUUCAUCCCUCUGUCUCUAGCCUCACUUAUCAGUAAAAUAGUUGAAAGCGCUACAAGGAGAGAAAAGAAGAGUAUUAAGAUAUAUAUAGACAAGAAAAACAUUAGAUGUCGAUCUUACAAGCUAAUACUUCAAACAGUAUCCUAGAAAGCUAAAAACUGCAAAAUGGCUUGAAAUUUGAAAAGAACACAUGCUUUUCCUCCUUAACUUGAGAAAAUGUUUAAUAUAGUGCACCUUACAGAAACAUUUAAACAAUUAGAACUUUGCACAAAAACAUUCAAGAAGACUAAACAAAUCAGAUGCAGUGUAUUUCUCCAAGCACAAAUGGCAUUGCAUUUUUUCCUCAACUGUAAUAUUUAUUGAUGAAAAUCAGUACAGGUCCCUCAUUUGUUAUGGAAAGCUUUCUUGUAGUCUGACCGGUUAAUUCACGGGUCUAUAAUCAUCUUGCAAAGUUACAGGCAUUUCUUUCGAUUUAAAGUCUUUGCAUCACCACCUCAUCACACACCAAGCCAAUAUUCCGUCUACCUCUACAACAAAAAGUUUUAAGUAAACGAUCCUAAUGCAUGCAGCCAAAUAAAAUGCAGUAAGAAUAUUCAACUUAAAACUCUGAAAGCCAUCUUGGUGAAUUGCCUCCUUAGGGGAAGUUCCAUGCUUUACUAUACUUGACAGGACUGAGCAAAAGCUUACAUACAACAGAUUUUGAAAAUGAUGAUGCCAAUAGAUACUCAUACAAUCCAUUGAAACUCCUAAGGUCCAUUGUUCACAGAGGUUUACAGAGUUUUGGUCAUCAAAUAGCUCAGACCUUAAUCCCAAACAAAAAACGAGUGAAAAUUAGAUCACCAGCAGCUAAUUGUAAAUUCUAACUUAACUCUUCAUCUCCUUUGUAAACAGGAGACAAAAUGGAGACACGCAAAAUGAAUAAGGAGAACAUUUGAACUCAAAUGAAAUGAGGGCACGAAAGCAAACAAAUGGCAUGCGCAAACAAACCAAGCCUCAAUCAAAAACUAAUUAACCAUUAAAAAAAAAAAAGUGGUCAGAGAAUGAACUCCAAAUUCGGGAGUGAAGCAAGAAGCUUUCAUUAUUUCAGAAGCUCCUGUACAAAUUAAUAAGUUAUGCUCUUUGGAAACAAACCUAAAUUCCAAGAGAAAGAGAACUCAAAAAAUUUGCAAUUAUACGCAAAGGAAGUGAAGCACAGCAUUCUAUCACACGUACAAAUUGUAUAACAAGAGAUCGACACAUCGAAUCAGAAGAACUCAAUUCAAAUUUGUCUCAAAAAUCAAAAUUAGAAGAUUUCACAUUUCGAGAGGAACAAGCGACAGGUCAGAUGCAAAAUUUUCAGCCACAACAUGCCACAAUUAACAGUUUAUUUCCAUGGAUUUAGAGAGCUGACUGACCUUUUGGCUUUUGGAAUUGAGAAGAUCGCGGGCCAAAAUGGAAGAGGGAAAGCGAAAGUGCGGGUUUUAAUAGGGUAUUGGAUUAGCAAAUUUAAUUAGUUUGCGAGGGUAAAAUAGGAAAGAGAUAUCACUAUUAACUUUUUUUUUUAUAAGAAAAAAGAAUAAUAAAGAAUAUUUUAUUGUCAUUUGCAGCCUGCAAAUGACAAUAAAUCAAAUACGUCAUACAGAAGCUUAAAGCUGAAUCUAAAAAAUCUAGAGCUCUCAACUACAAAAAUUACACUUGAUGAUCCUCUACAAGAUGAAGCUUGUUCAAUAUCUUAUCCAAAGUUUAUAAAGUAACCUUGUAACGAUCUUGAGAUUGCCUGCCUUCCUCGACGACCUGCACGAUGCGUUUGUACAAAUCAUCAUACCUGUGCACCGGAUUUUUAAUAUCAACGCCACUGCAGCUGUGAUCAAGAACAUAAGAGCGUUUAACAUCUUUUCUCCAUCGAGAAAGAAUGUAGUGAGAUGGGAUCUCCUGCAUGCCACUCUGGUUUAGAACACAAAGAAUGUGUCUGGAUAAAUAUCCUCUGAAAUUGAACAACCCACAAACACAAAGCACCUCCAAGUCGGAGGCAUUGUACAAAACAUCGAAAGCCCUUGAAUCUUUCUCGUUGCUACCAACCUCAAAUUCUUCCUUCACUAUGUAUGUUAUAGGUCCAUCAGCACUGACAUGUUUUGUGCUAUAGCAAGAGUACAUAGCCUCCACCUCCGUCUGAAACUUCCUUCACAUUUCAUUUGUGUACAGUUUUGAGAGUUGAAAUUCAUAGUCACAUCUUGGUUUCUGGAUACAACUUGAAUUUCUUGAAUCCAUAUCUGCCAAGGCUUCCGGUUGAUAAUUCGCCUGCAGUGCUUGAUCAUACUUGUGUAAGAAUUCUUUCAAAGGAGUACGCUUAUCAAGAUAUCCUUCAAAGUAUGAAGUAGAAACCUCAUUCUGCAGGAAUGAAAACACUCCUGAUAAAAAUGCUUCCUUCAAAUAAACAGGAGCCCACCUUUUACGAUCUUCAUAUAAAGUUUGAAUCCAUCCGUGAUCCUUUAUUCCAUGACGUUGAAUCAUGUCUUCCCAAGCUGCUUCAAAUUCCUCAGGCCUGAGAGAGUGAUAAAUUGCUCUAUGUAAUGCACCUCUAAUAGCUUCAUAUUCAAACAAUCCUUGGAGUUUCUCUGGAAUUUUUUGCAAGAUGCAUGACAAUGAAAAGCAAUGAUAAGCUCUUGGGAAAACAUCGCCAACAGCAAUUUGCAAGAUUCUACAUUGGUCAGUGAUGAUUGUUUGUGGAGAGCGUCCUAACAUACAUGUAAGCCACACCCUAAACAACCAUGUAUAUGAUUCUAUGGUCUCCCUGGCAAGUAAACCACAACCCAACAACACUGAUUGUCCAUGAUGAUUCACCCCAAUGAAUGAAACCAGUGGUACAUCAUAUCUUUCAGUCAAGCACGUAGUAUCAAUUAAGACUACAUCACCAAAGUACCUAUAUGCAACUCUUGACCUGGUAUCAGUCCAGAACAGGUUUCUCAAGCAUCCCUUUUCAUUUAGAUCCACUACAUUAAAAAAGUUUGGAUCUGUCAACUGCAAACGACAAAAGAAACUCUGGACAGCUUGUGCAUCUCCUGGUUUAAGCUUCAAUUGAUUUGAGCUAUUAACAUUAUUUCCAAAUACUCCAUUAACAUCUACAUUACCAUUUCCCUCGGUAUCGAUGAUAAGAGUUCGAAACAGUCUAAUUUUUUGAACGUCUUCAGCACUAUCUAAUUGCAAUGUUCUUUUGGUUCCAAUACCUAUGUGCUUAUGUGACUUGUAAAACUUUCCGCUUCUUGGGCUUAACAAGUGGUUAUGCUCAAGCUCGACUUCAAUGAUUCUCCACCUUUUGGUUUCCAUCAACCUAAACUUUAUCAUUGCUGGACAGCCAGUUCUUGUUUCUGGUCUUGGGCGGUUUGCCUCGCUUUUCUUCUUGAAGCCUGCACUACUACAGCUCAGCUUUCCUCUAUACUUUUCUCUACUCUUUCGGUACCAUGUAUUGCUAACUCUAACACCAAAACCCUGUUCCUUGGCAUAGCAAUUGUAAAAGUAAUAAACAUCAUCAUACGUCUCAAACUCCAUUCCAACAGCAGGAGCCAAUGGAUUUUGGAUUAUCCCAGUUUGUCCAACAUAUUCAGUCAUUGCACAAUCUCCUACGACCUCAAAAUCAUCAGCAUCAUCAUCACCUACUGGUUCAGUAUUCAGAGAAACUUCAUCCAUCUACAAUAGAUGUUUAAUGAAGUGAACUUUAAGGAGAAAAAGCAAAAUCAGUUCAAGGAAUGAUAAUAUAACCAUACAGUUACUUUCACAAAGCUGCGUAUUUCAUCAAUACCUUAACAACAUACAACUGCCUGAGAACGUAUAGACAUGUCAUAGACGCUUGAAUUAAGUAUUGGUACAAAUUCAUGUGGGACACAAUUUCAGUCACUAAACCCAAUGCCUUUUUUUUUCACAUCAUACCAAGGAACGGAUUAAACCCAAUACCUUCUUUUACGCCAUACCAAAGAACAGAUUAAAUCAUCAAUGAAAAAUUAAUCACAUAAUAAUUUAACUAGACAAAUAAAGAGCUCGAAACAGCACAAAACUUGAAUAUGAUUAUGAUAAUUGUUGAGUCAUUGUAUCUACAGCUUUCCUUCAACAAGAAGAUUAUGAACAUAAACUACACACAAAAAAUUUAUUUUAAACUGACAUAAAUUUAUUCAGUUACAUUGAAACCCAAAAAAGGAAGCAGGAGCUGGAGAAAAACAACAGCAGAGAAACUUAUUUCCAGAAGGUUUACGAAAUAAGGAAUUUAUUAAGACACAAAAUUUGAGGUCAACAAUAAGAAUUUGGUUCUCAUUCUCUUUUUCUUCAUUUUUCACUUAUUGAUGGAGUUACCAUACAAUCCUAAAUGAUAAAACCCCAUCUCCAUCUUUUUGAAAUAGAGUUAAAGCAAAGCUUUUUAAGAUGUUUUUCCCUAAAAGACUCAAUAGUACAAUGUUUUUCAAUAUUAAAUACACAACUCAAUCUUCCCCUAAUUUACUCUAAUAAUCUCUUAACUAAGGAAGAUUAAGCUCCACUUGUAAGCUAAAACAAGUUUCUUAAAUCAAGCCCCAAUGCUCUAUGCUAUUCAACAAGGCCUCAUAAAUGAUAAAACUACCUCUACAAAGAUACCCAUUUUAAUUUCGCAAACUAAAAUCGAACUCCUGAAACGUAACGAGCAUUAAAACAAACAAGUCCGAACAAGAACUGAAAAAUGAUACGUAAACCCGUUUCGACAAACAGUUUCCAAUCAAUGAGCAAAAAAGUUAAUGGAAAACAUGAAAUUCAAACGAAACAUACCUUAGGUUGAUAAAUUAGUAGCGCAAAAGAAAUUUUAGCGAGAUAUGGGAUCAGGGAUUUUGCCACGGUGAUGUUAAUUGCGACAUUCGGGUGACUCAGCAGCCUUCGAGGCUGAAACUUUGAUUGACCAAAAGCUUCCCGUUCGUUGAUUCUCUAAUUGCAGAAACGAAACUGGCAGUGUACAGAAGACGUACGCUGAUUUGAUAAUUCUGUGAAAAUCAUUGUUUUUUUUCAGAUUUUUAAUGUGUUCGAUAAAAUAUCAAAAUCUCAAAAACUUUUGUCUUUCAUUUUGGGGGGGAAAAACCCAUUGAGAUCCUUAUGUUUUUUCUUAUAUAAUCUGGCUUAAUAAUUUGCAAAGUCUAUUACUUAGCACCCAUGCAUGCUGCGUUCCAAUUUACAAAAUUGUACGUGAGUGCAUCCAGCUAAAAUUUGUAAAAAGAAAAUAGCAAUAACAUGUUAAAAAUGUGAUUAUUAUGAAGAAAUUUUAAUUUAGUUAAAUAGGUGACGAUGGAUAGGUAUAAAAUCUGAGAUCUUUUAUAAGGUUAAUAAAUAUGUUGAGUUUGGAUUAGUUCAAUUUUGAAAUAAUAAUAUUCAAAAUAUCUCUUAAAUCAUUAUAAACCUCAAAUCUAUUUUAAUUUUAUUUAAAAGAUAAAAGAAAAAUAGGUUAUGUUGGUGAUUUUUUAUUAUCUUUUUAAUAAAAAUGAAAUAAAUUGAUGUUUAUAAUUAUUUAAAGUAUUUUAAAGACUGCCAUUUUAUGAGAGAAAAAUAUUUCACUUUUUUUUAGUGUGAAAGGCCGAAAAAGGACAAAGCAAGUUUCCCUAGUUUUUAUUUAUUUGAAAUUGGUCAUCUCAUAUACUUCACCCUUCAACACUAUAAUUUUUUUGGUUAUAAUUUUAUUAUUUUUUCUCUUUUACACAUGCAUGUGAAUUACUUUUCUUUAAGCUCCUGAAUAUUUAAGAUAAAUCAUGGAAGAGAUGAGAGUAUAACAAGAUGACCAAAAUAUGUAACAAAAAAAUUUUAUAAGUGAAAAAUAUGUUAGAGACUUACAGUGGAAGUAAAACUCUGAGGUGAUGUUUGAUUUGAAGAAAAUGGAGGAAAUGAAAAGACUGGAAUGUAGAGGAAAAGAGAGAAAAGGAGAGGAGAGGAGAGUGAAAUUUUUUUCUAAUGUUUGGUUUGUCACAUAAUUAUACAAAGAAAGGAAAUCUCUAAUUUUUUAUUUAGACAAUUUUAACCUUAAUAAGUAUUAAGUUUUCAAUAUUUAUCAUGUGUAUAAUUAAAAAAAAAAGAAGUAAAUGGUAGAAAGCGGUUUCUGAUUCCGGCCACAUCGCCCGCAAUGGAAGGUACUUAUCAGAACAUCAAGAGCCAGCCAUCAUUCCCUAGCCAUCACUGCUGUCGGAACACUGCCGGAAAGCUGCCGAUUGAACCGCGAAAAGUCGUGGAAAUCGCUGCCUCAAAUCGGUGAGUUUCGCCCUUUUCUGGUCACGCCGUCGCCAUGGCUUUGUCCAUCAAGCCUGCCACUUCCAUUUUCAACCAUCCAUAGCCACUAUUAAUUGCCAAAUCACCGCCGAUCAGCGGGAUCUGUGGAAGUUAAAAAGUUUCUAAAUUUUUUUAACUGGAUUUGAACAACAUACGACCAUUUUUUUAUCUCGAUAACGACGUAGUAAUGUUGAUCGUUGGUCGGCAAGUCGUAUGGUAGUGGCAGUGAGUAACACGCGCCAAUCACAUCGGCGGCGGCGGCGGCACUAUCCGGCGACUGUUAAAAUAAUAUUUUAUAUUUUCAGAUUAAAUAAAUUUAUUUUAUUAAAAUUUUUAAAUCAUUAUUUAAAUUUAAUUAAUUUAAAAUUAUCUAUAAUGUUGAAUUGAUAAAAUAAAUUUAUAAAUAAUAAUUAUGUGAUUACAUUAAAUAAGUUAAAAAGUUGAAGGGUUAGUUUUGGAAGAUUUAGUUUCCAACACAAAGGGAAUUUGAAUUCUUCACUUCUUAGUGUGGAAUUCAAAUUCUAUAUUGUAAUAGAUAUUAAAUUUCAAUAAAAAUUAAAUUCUUAUAAGUUAUGUCAAACCAAACAACGAAAAUAAAAAAGAAAUUUAAAUUAUUUUUCUUUCCUCCACCCUCUCCUUCCAACUAAAUACAUCCUGAAAAUAGAGAUAUUGAUUAAUUUAGAAGAGAUUCAAGCAAAAAAUAUUCCAAAAAAAAAAGCAAUAUGUCCCUUUGGAGGGCAAACUUGUCAGUUUCAAAAAAGUACAUGCUUUGUAUUGAUAGUUGUAGGAUAUUUGUUUUGUCACUAUGUAUUAGUUGGAGAAGUCCAGCCUUGUGGAGAAUGUUAUGAAAGAGCAAAGGAUAUUCCUGAUAGCUGAUAGAGCUCUAUCUGAUUAUGUAUCCAGUGAAUGGAUGUGUUGUUGGAAGAUAUCUGAGUGCAUUAGUUCAUAUGUGUCUGUCAAUGUGCUUUUAAUGAUUUUUCCACCUGUUUGUUGUAAAAGAUUAUUGUAAAUUGAAAUGAACUUGAUGUUUUAAUAUUUUCUUCCGUAAAUUGAAAUGAACUUGAAUUAAAUCUCGUUGAAUUUAAUAUUAUCUCCUUAGUGGAAUUUCACCUAGUAUGUAUUCAGUUGUGUUGUCUAUAAUUUUGCAUUCGAGUAAGUUUCACCUAAAACAUUAGCAUGAGUAGUGGCCCUUGAACCUUUGGUCAAAAUUAUUGUUAUUAUUUCUGACUAGAUGUAAAUUUUGUAUUAAAUCUCGUUAACACAAUUCUUAAUUAAAAGUAUAGGUUAGUGUUGGUGCAAGAUUUGCCACACCAAAUUCUGCCUAGCUGUCAAAAGUGCAAAAUAAAUGAAGAGAAAGCACAAAUACACGACUUGAAUAAGGAUACAACGAAACUUAAAUUCAAGAGAAAAUGAUAGCUAUAUCCCAAGAUUUGAAAAAGUAGUCAUGUAGGUUUUUAAGAUUUCAAUAAGCGACUGAGAUUCAAAUAAUAUCCUUUAAUUCUAUUAAUAAAAAACAAAGACUCAAAUAUUUUAUGAUAAAUAAAAAUAUAAUAUUAAAAUAUAUGUGAUAAUAUACACAUUUUAAAUACUUUCAAUCCAAAAAAAUAGUUAUGUUUUACAAUCUAUUAGACAUAUUUUAUUAAAUUAAUAUAAAUUUUCUAUAAAAUAAGAAUAUAAUAUUAAAACAAAUUCACAGAAAUUUAAAGAAUUUUGAAUGUAAAAUAAUUUUAAUAUAUUAAUACGUGAGUUUUUUUAUUAAUAUAAAAAUUAUUUAACUUUAAGAUUUUUUAAAAUCUUUACAAUAAGUAUAACUAUAUUAUUUACAUUUAAAAAUAUUUAAAUAUUAUUAACCUACAAUUAUAUUUGCAUUUGUUAGAAAUUUUUAAAGUCAAAUAUUUUGCACUUCUAUAUUAUUAGAAUUAUUGCACACAAAGAAAGAAACAUAUACGUUUAGAAAUUGUUUUCUUUUAAAAUAGAGAUGAUGAUUAGUAUAAGGAUCAAAAAAAGGAUAAAGAAUAUUAAUGAUUAACGAAAACUCUAUACAAAUUGAUUUUAGUAGGAAAAGAGUGAGAUGAAUGAUUUCUUUUACAGUUAGAAAAAUAGAUGAUGAUUAUUAUAACGAAGAAGAAAAGAUAAAGAAUAUUAAUUAUUAAUGGAAUCUCUAUGCAAAUUGAUUUCAGUAGGAAAAAAAAUGAGUUAAAUGAUUUAGAGUGCGUUUGGAAUUGAGAUUGGACAGCCAUAGAUUUUAAGUUACAACACUGAAGUGUUUGGUAAAUACUAGCUGCUGCAGAUUGAAAGUUAUGUUGAUAUGAUUUUUCACAUGUAUCAUAGAAAAUAUAUUACAUCUUUAAUAAUUUUUUUAAAAUUUGUAUUUGCUAUAUAUUGUUUUUUUUAUAUAGUUAUAACUUUUUUUUUUUCCACAGCAGCUGUAGCUUAAAAGCUACAGCACCUCAAUCUCAAACAAGUCCUUAGACAUUCAUAGUGUGUUUAUUUUUUGGAUUGGUGAAUCAAAAUUAUUGACAACGCUAACUUCAUCUUCACCGUUCGCAAUCCAACAGCAGCAAUUGUCGCCAAUAAUGAUAUCGCCGAUGAUGAUGACAAUAAUAAUAAUAAUAAUAAUAAUAAUAAUAAUAAUAAUAAUAAUAAUAAUUAUUAUUAUUAUUAUUAAUAAUUAAUAUAUUAAUAUAUUAAUGUUAAUAUUAUUAUUAUUAAGAUUAACAAUAAUUAUUAGUAAUACAAUUUUUUGAAUAAAAAUAAUCACAAUAAUUAAAAUACAAAUUAACAAUUAUGACAAUAGUUAAUUAAUGUCUUUUUAGUAAUUUGUAAUAAUCUAACUCAUUUUAAUUCUGAUUAUUACAGUUUAAGUAAAUAAAUUAUUAUGAUUCCUAUUCUCCUUUUCUAUUUUAACUCACUUCGAUUCCAGUCUAUUCUGAUUUUUGUUUAAUAAACGCACCAUUAGUGCUAAAGUAAUAUUUCAUACAUAGAAAAGUAAAAACUACACCUAAGGUUAAGGGAAAGGACUUCAAAACUCUCUUUUGAUCAUAAUACAUUUUGUACUAAUUAACUUAAAGAUUUUGAAUCUAAUAUUUUAUAAUAAAUAAAAAUAUAUUCCUAAAAUAAAUAUAAUAUCAAUAUUUAAAAUAUGUUUUAAUAUUUUACACAUUUUAUUAUAUUAAAGUAGAUUUUAUAAUAAAUACAAACGUCCUAUUAAAAUGAAUAUAUAAAAAAUUUAGAAAAUUUAGAAUAUUAUAUAAAAUAAUUUUAAUAUAAUGCGUGAGAUAUAUUUUAUUAAUUUAAAAUGUUAUUUUACCUAAAAAAUAUGAUAAAUUAAUAAUUACAUAUUUGAAGUUAUUUCAAAUAUUAAAAAAAUUUAAUAUUAUUAGUCUUUUAGAUAGAUUAAAUUAUUUUUUUUAUAAGAGAUAGAUUAAAUUAUUUUAAAAUGCCUUAAUUAUUUUUACUUUUAACGUUACCGGCCUUUCUUUUAUUUUAUUGCAAAUUAAUGCUAACAAGAAAAAGCUAGAUCAUAUUCCACAAAAGCAAAAGUGACAAACACAACCAGCUGGAAUCUUUUAUAAAACUACAAAUUAAAAUGGAUUUUUUUUUUGAUAAAUUACACAUGAAAGUGGAUUCUUUUGAAUAUAAGUGGAGUAGGCUCUUUUAUUUUAUUUUUGAAUAUUGUAUAACGGGACUGUAGACUCUUUUAUUAAACUACAAAUUGUAUAGUCUUUUUAAAAUUGUUAUAAAUUAAUGGCCCCCACAAUCCUCAACAAUUGUACCGAUAUUCACAAGUUGGUGGCCCCUACAAUUCUGUUCCGAUAAUUUAACUGUGCAAGUGCUCAUUCACAAUCUUCCAGGUCAUGCUCUCAAUAAUUGUUUUUUUUUCCUGCAUUCCCUUUGGGAAAUUUACGAAAAUAAUCAUUAAUAUUUUAUUAUUUUUACAAUUAACCGUCUUAAUUUUUUUCUAUCAACAUUAGCCAAAUACAAGUCUUUCUUCCCAAAUUACCCUUCUUUACAGAACAAAACCAACAUUGUUUCUCCCAUAUCGCCAAACCAAAAGCAGCUUUUUAUUCUUAAAUCAUCAGCCAACGGCGACCGCAAAAGACAACGGUAAAAGUGAUAUCCGAUCAUAAUCUAUCCGGAUCCAACACAAAUCUACAUCACUCAGUGGUAUGAAUUAUUUUUUGAACUUACUGAACUCAGUCGGGUGAAUCUGAGUCUGGCGACAGGCUGCCUGUCGCAGUAAAACUUGGUGCGACAGGCAACCUGUCGUACCAAACCUUGGUGCGACGGGCACCCUUGGAGAUUUAUUAAAAAUGUAUUAUUUUAAUAGGACUCAAAUAAUUUUUUUUUAUAAUUUCAGGCUUAAUGGAUUCAGUUGUACUUGAAUUGUGUUACGAUGGUUGGUGGGAGACAUUAGAGAAUGGCUGUAUGGAGUACGUGAAUGGUAAAAAUCGAGCUUUUUUGGUUGGAAAAAAUUACUUGUUUGAUCAGUUAUUGGCAAGAGUAUACGAGGUAUUAAAAAUAAACCCUAAUGACUAUAGUAUCACAAUGAAGACAACUUUGAGGUCUAGUAACACAUUAUAUCGUAUAUGUGCAAUGCCCAUGGAUAUAUGUGAUGAUGAAAUGGUGAGGGUUGUGUUGCAUAUGGCAUCUGACGUAGCUAAUUUUGGAUGCAUUCCUAUAUUCGUGACCACAUCACCUCGACUUCCGAGCGAAGGUAUUGAGCCACAUGUCGAUAUAGAAACUUCGUUUAGAGCAAAUAUGUCUGGCCCCGAUAAUGAUGAAGAGGUGUUGCCAAGGACAAUAUCGCUGCAGCAAUAUUACUCUCCAAUCCACGACAAUUAUGAUAACAUUGAUGAUAAUAGCGUUACGUUACAGGAUGUUGGAGCAACGGUAUUUCCAAUAACAACGUCGUUGGAGCAACGAUAUUCUCCGUAUCACAACAAUGAUUUUCGGGACAAUGAUGAUUUUCAUAAUGAGACAGAGGAGGAUAAUGUUUGUGCAGAACCUUCUAAUAAUACGAGGCGGGGCACUCGUUUCAAUAAUGAUGGUGAUGAUGGAGGAGUCGGUCAUUCGAAUGUUCCGUCGUUUCAGCAUGAGGAUGAGUGUGAAGACAAUACUCCUGUGAAUAACAGAGGCAAUAGACCUAUUCCUUCUAUGGUUCGAUCGAGAAGGAGAAUUGACCCCCUUACAAGUCUUGCUCCAACUUUACCUUCGAACAUGGUUGCUCCAAGCUUUGUUAGCAGUUGUGACUCAGAUGAUAUCAGCGUGGGUAAGCUAUUUGUUGAGAAGAAUGAGCUUAUAUUACAACUACGCAAGGUGGCCUUUAGAGAUAAGUUUGAUUUCAAGAUUGCACGGUCUACUACGACACGUUUCGAGGCUCACUGUUGUUCAGAAUCAUGUAAAUGGCAUAUUCGAGCAACUAGAAGUUCGAACGAGCAAAAUGUUCCUUGGGUGGUGAAGAGAAUUGAUAAUGUACACACUUGUCAUAAUGAGGUAUUGAUUGAUGGACGUCAUCAAGUAAGGAGCCGGGUUGUCGGUCAUAUUAUCGCAGAAAAAUAUAUUCAAGAUAAGAGGAUUUAUACUCCCAAUGACAUAAGAGCAGAUAUGCAACAGGAAUACGGUGUUCAGUUAACAUACCAGCAGGCAUAUAGGGCGAGAGAAGUUGGUCUUGAAAUAGUUCACGGCAACCCUGCAGAGUCAUACAACUUGCUCCCUAAAUACUCUCACGUACUAACUACAACGAAUGAGGGUACAGUCACUCACCUCGAGCAGGAUGGAGAUGGUAAUUUCUUGUACUAUUUUGUAGCACUCGGAUAUUCCAUCAAGGGGUUUAUGCAGUACAUUCGGCCUGUCAUUGCUGUAGAUGGUACUCAUCUAAAGAGAUUAUAUCGUGGAAGCAUGUUCGUGGCAACAUGUCUUGAUGGUAACAAUCAAUUGUAUCCGUUAGCCAUUGGGAUCAUGGAUUCAGAAAAUAAUGAUGCUUGGGAAUGGUUUAUGAUGAAGUUACACGGAGUGAUUGGUGAUAGACCUGAGUUGGUAAUUAUCUCUGAUCGAUGCACUGCCAUAAGGAGAGCCGUUCUUAAAGUAUUUCACAAUGCAACUCAUGGCGUUUGUUUUUACCACGUCAAAGGUAACAUUAAGUCACAAUUUAGAAUGUCCAAAGCUCUUUGGGAUGAAUUUGAGCAUGCCUUUAUUAAUGCAGCAAAAGCAUAUGGCCACGAGGAAUUUAAGAGACAACUUGAAGGGUUGUGGAUGAUCCACUCGGGUGCGGCUGAUUACUUAGAAAAUAAUGUCGGCACGUGUAAUUGGGCAAGGUCUCAGUUUCAAGGUAGGAGGUACAACAUUCUUACCACCAACAUCGCGGAGAGUGUUAAUGCUUUCAUGAGGGAACCUCGAAAAUUUCCUGUUACUCAUCUUGUUGAUCACUUCAGGAAAACAUUGCAGCAAUUGUUUUAUGAUAGAAAAAUUGUGGCUGAAUCAAUGACUACUCGGCUAACAACAUGGGCGGAUGAAAUAGUCACUGAGAGGAGAACUAUAGCUGAAAGAAUGAUAGUUCGGCCGGUGUCUCCGCAUCGCUUUCAAGUUAUAGGCGGUGGGCUUAAGGAAGGGUUGGUUGACUUGCAAAAGAGAACUUGCUCCUGCAGAGUGUUUCAGCUUGAUCAGCAUGUGUGUGCUCAUGCAAUUGCGGCGUGUCUAACACACCGGGUGGAUUUUAUUAACCUUUGCUCGGACUUUUACACUACAGAAUCGUUGGCGAUGGCUUAUGCACAACCAGUGGAGCCAGUUGGUGAUGUGGCUGAUUGGGAAGUUCCAGAUGAAAUUCAGGAGAUGCAGGUAUACCCACCAGUUGAGGCACCACUACCUGGCCGUCGUAAAGAGCUCAGAAUACCCUCGACUGGCGAGGACGUUGACCGGCGGACUGUAAGAUGCGGCCGGUGUCAUGAACUAGGCCAUAAUCGUAAGCGAUGUAAGAAUCCUAUUGCGUCGACUCGAAGUUAGUUGUAUUUUGUGUGUUAUUCGUUGGUUAAAACUAUUAUUGUUUUUGUGUUACAUUGGUUAAAACUGUUAUUGUUUUUUGUAUUUCGUUGGUUAAAACUGUUAUUGUUUUUUGUGUAUUGUACACUUAUAUUCAUAAAACUUUAUUUUAUUUUAAAGUUCAAAAUGUGAGGCAUUAAAAUUAUAUAAACUUAAGUGCGGAAAUUAAAAAAAAUGCAAAUUUCAACAUUGAAAUUACUACAUAGGUCUACAAUAUAAUAUCGUCAUUAAAUAUAUCAACCGCAAUCUUCUUUCUAAAGUACUCGACAUGACUAGCGUUAAACUCCAAUCUAAGCCCGAACAUUAAAUACAUCGUAACCAUCAAUACAAAAACACUGCAAUCGCUAGUUCCGGGCUCUUGUUGUGGUGCGCUCUUAACUGCGAUAACUUUCCACGGGUCUUCACUCCGCAACUCAGGUCGGAUAUUGUAGAAGCCAACAUAUUCCAACCAUCGAGGGAAUAUAACUUCAAGUGGCUUGAAUUUCAACUUGUACUUUUUGUCGUCGCGAAAUGUGAGUAAUGAGUCAUAAAUCCAGACUUUAUUUUUCCGAAAGUCAACUCGUGCUAGUACCCAAUGCGCGCCGUCCAAGUUAACAGGGAUGAGUAACUGCAUAUAAAAAUUAAAAAAACAUGUUCGUUAUAUAUGAAAUUGAAAUACAACAAAGAAAAAGCAACAACUCGAAUAUUUUCAUUAUAGAGCAUGUGAAAUGUAAUAAAAUACACACCAUAUCGACAUCCGUCAUUAAUUUUGACAUUGUGUGCUGUCGCCCACAAAGAUAACUAUUCAAGCGGUCGUCGAAUACCAUUGAAUCAACUGCACAAUUCCUGUUAUUCCAUAACUGAUUCAAGAACACCUAGUACAUAGAUAACCAAGAAAUGCAUAAAUUAAUAAAACUUAAAGGCAAUAAUUAAACAAAUUAAAUAGUAUUUAUAAGUUUUGUCGGCACGUUACCCAAAAAAAUGUGUCAGUAUGUGUGACACGUUGGAGUAAGGCAUUUGGAUACUGCCGUUGUUUCUCGCUAAUCAAGCGGAGAUACUCGUGAAUAUGCUGUAGAGAAACAAAAAUAUUACGAUUUAAAAAAAAAUUAUACACAAAUCCACAACAGUAUACACCACGAGGAAAAUAUAAAUACCUCAUCGCCUAGCCAUCCCAUCGAAGCUGUCCCCAAAAUUAUUUGAAAGAAUGACCGCAGGUGCUGGACUCUCCGGCGGACUCUGCUAUCACCAGUGAACCAUCGAUCAAACUCAGCAAACAAACUAGAGUCCUCCAAUCCUCUCAGUGGAUUUACAUCCACACUCGUACUCAUGUCAAUCGCAUGCUCCAUCAUUUGGGGUCGAGGUAACCUCCGGACGUUCUGUCCACGCCUGACCGGAGGAAUCAUGUAAGGACUGUUAUAAACAUACGACGGUAUGUACGCGCGGCCGAACUUACUAACGCCCGGAGGCACCUCUGUGAACACCUGCAUGCUCUCCCCACUAACAUCCCCGUAUAAACUAUAAAAUGACGUGGGCGUAGACAAAUUUUCAUUGCCCACGUCAGUAUACACUCCAUAGUCAUCCGGGGCCUGUACAUUCGCCAAAAAGAACAUAUUAAAUAAUUAUCAAAUUAAAAGUUAAACGAACAUAAUUAUUUAAUUUAAAUUAGCUUACCGCAUACGAGCGUGCAGUGGGAGAAUCCUUAUUUGGAUGUUUAGAAAAUGUGUCGAUGAAGCCAACAACGGUUUCUUUAAAAUCUUUUAAUUCUGACUUUAUUUCAUACACAUUACGAUCAAUCUUAUCCAGCCGUCGUCGUACGUAAUCAUUAAACUGCUUUGUCCUCGACUAUUACAAAAGAAAAAAAUAAAACUUUAGAAUAACAAUAAAAAAAUAAUAAUUUAUAAAGGAAAAAUAUCGUAUAUUAUUUAUAACCUCAGAAUCCCGUGCGUCAUCAGAGUUGUCUGUUUGCUGCUGGUGGUCAUCAACAGCCACCUCAUCCUCAAAAGUGUCAAGACGCUGCUCUGGUAUUGGGUUUAGUAUGUCGUCAUGAUCAUCAUGCUCGUCCGAUUGUCUUGUAACCGACGGCAUCGCGUUGAUUGAGGGUUGGUGCUGUAUAAAGUAUCAUUUAAAAUUACUAAAUGAAAAGUCAAAAAUUUCGAUAAAAAAAUUUUUAGUACUUACAGUAUACCGACCUUAUGAAUCCAAUCUGGAAUGCUUGGCAAGUAAUCCUUCACAGAGAGUCAAUAUUUUCUGCUACUCUCUUUUGAAUUUGGCUCAAGAGUUUGUAAAAUGUCCGUCUGCCAUAAAUUCAAUUGAAAAAUUUAAGUAAGUAUACCCAACUUAAAUUUAGUAAAGUUAAAAAAUAAGUAAUACAUAUUACUUACAAGACGAGAUUCGUCGUUGAAGAACGAAUAAACCUCCGCAAAGUUGAUUCUCGAAGACGUCAUGGGCUUCCAUUGCAGAAUGCGGGGAAUCUUACUCUUCGUUUUGACGACCCAUGUUGAUGGCAACCCUCCGAUUGCUUCGUAAAUCCAAGCCUACAACAAACCAAAGUGAAAAAUCAAAUAAAACAACUAUCAAAUAUUUAAUACUAUAAAACUUAUUAAUAAACAAAAAAAAGCACCUGCACCCCAGACGUAAAGCCGUAAAGAUUAUAUUUUUCAAUAUUAUGAUCUGAAUUUUUCAACCGAGUCUUCUUAAAUUUCUCGUCUUUCUCGAACAGUGCAUUGUCAAGACUCUCGUAAAUCAUUUCCCACGACAAUAGACCCCAUGGCGCUUUCGGAAGUACUGUAUAUCAUCAACUUGGUCAAGCCAAUCGAAAUUAAUUUGACAGUGAUUUUUUCUUGCAUUUAGUACUCUGUCCGCAAAAUAAAACAGCGCAAUCUUUAAUGCGUCCAUAUCGUCCAUUUCCUCGAAAUUCAACUCCUUAAAUACUGCAUCAAAUUGCUUCACAUUAAUCUUACGAUGCACACCACCAAAAUACGUAUUCCGUAGCCUCUGCUCCAUUUCAUCAUUUUUUUCAUUGGUAUCAACACCAAAUGAAAGUCCAGUAACCAAGCACCAUUCGAUAAUUGACAAGCGAAUCAAAUGCUUACCAAUUUGAAACCAUAACUGAUCCUCACAGCUAUCUUCUUCAUGGGCCACUUGCCGCAGUAAACGAUUGUGCAAAAUUACCCCACUAAAUGGAAAACUUCGGCACUCCAAGAAAUGCCCAAAUAUAUCCUUUUUGAACAUACUCAACUGCCGCUUUGUUAAUUUUUCCUCGAUGGCUUUUACGACCGAAGAUAACAUACACAUGCUCGAAAUUCGACCAGGAAAGUGAUCAGCAUAACGAAAAUACAUCUUGCCUACUUCAAUAUCCGGUGAUUCUGAUUUCGCCAUGUAUCUGUAAUAUUUAUAAAAUUAUUACAUUACAUUUACAAAAUUAUUACCAAACUCUAAUUUUUUGGUGCGACAGGCGCCUGUCGCUCCAAAAAACUGCCUGUCGCACCACAGCUGGUGCUCCAAAAUCGAAAACAAUACUCCCAAACACUACCAACUACCACAAACAUCAUCACCACCACUAUUAAUCUCAAGCUAUAACUAUUAUUAUUCUAAAAUCUCAUUUUAAAUUAAUGAAAAUAAGAAAAAUGACUAACCUAGGUUUUGUUGAAGGUUGUAGAUCGUAGAUCGGAUGCCGGUGAGAGAUGGAGCCGCCGCCGACGAGGGUUGAUGUCGCCGCCGAUGAUGGGAGUUGGAUCGGUUUGGGAGAGAUGAGUGAAAAAGGGAGUGUUGGGGAAGAGAUGAGGGAUGGGUAUUUUGGUCUCAAAUGUUGUUUUAUGGCUAAUGUUGAUAGAAAUAUUUUUGGGGGGUUAAGAUGAAAAAAAACAAAUUUGUUUUGGUUAUUACUGUAAAUUUCCCAUUCCCUUUCAUGCUCUUAAUAAUUGAAGAGCAUACUUUUCAUUUUCAAAUGUGGAGCCGCAUCUAAUGUCGCUAAUUUAAUUUGGGAUUAAAUUAGGGGACCAUUAUAUUGCAGUGUGUACUAAUUUUUGUGUUUAUCUAAACUCCUUAAGUUUAAGACAUAUUAUGGCAUAAAUAAGAAUAUAACAAUAACAAAAGAGAUGCCGGAGCAGAUCAGCAGGGUUUGAAUAUGACCUUUGGCGGUUGCUUUUUUUUUGUGAUUUUUUUCAUUUUUUCCUUCCUGUCAUUUUAUCAUUUAUUUGGCUCUGUUUCUAUUGCGGGUGUUACUGCAUGCUUACUGUUGCUUGACAAAGUUUGCUAGCUUUUUGUUUGCAGUGCUGCUAUUCACCCCGAGUCAAGCUCCGAAAAUUUAUUAAACAACGCCGUUUCGAUAGUAACAAUUUUUUUCUUUUCCCUUUGUCUGUCUCUUUCAUCUGCUGUUUCUCUAUCACUUUUCAUUUUUUAUUUCCUUACUUCCCAGCUGCCCCUAAAUUGUUAUUCUAGCAAUAUACUUUCUCAUCUUUGAAUUUUCAUCCUUGAGUACUCCCACAGCCGUAAUUUCAUCAUUAUAGACUUCACUUGGAAUGCUGUAUUUUUUCGAUUCUUAAGCUACUUCAAUUACAUCUCCCAGUAUAGGAUCCUCAUCUUCCUUUAUUUCUUCAUCUUAUGAGGUAACAAAUGGAUUUCACAACUCAUCUACUUUUAAGCAAUUACAUAUUAUACCUUGAAUGAUUCAACUGUUCCGACAGUUAAAGAUUUUAUGCUCAACCUGCAGUGCUACGAACAUUGUCCAUGAAAGAUGAGUUUCAGCAUAUAAAAUGAAAUAUAGAUGUUUAAUCUAAAAUAACCCUUCACUGCCAAGAAACCUAGGUCACAAAAUUCACAGAUAAUGAUAAAGAGCUAAAAAAUUUGAAAAACUCUACAGAUCACACAUCAAGCAAGAUAUCAUGUUUUUUUCCCUCAUUCGGUGGUGAUUGAUUCGCUUUUUGAUGAUGGAUAUGGUAUAAAAGUUUUGACCCAAUUUCAAGCAAACACAAAUAGAAACACAAAUAGAAACACAAACACAAUCAGGACUAGAGUUGUGGGCGAUUAUCUUAGGUGUACAAGUGAAACGGUGGUGGCUGUCGAUGGUGGUAGUGGGGUGGUUGGGUAUGCGUGAUGGCUAGAUUUUAGGACAAUAAUGGUUGGAGUUGACCUCGAUCAACGAAGGAAAGUGACAACAAUUUUGACAUCAAACGGUGCAUUUUUUAGCUUAGUAAAAUGGAGCCGUUUCGAAUUUGGGGUUUAAUCCGGGGUUUGACUCGGCGCAAGUAUCAUUUUCCUUUUGUUUAUUAAAUUUUUUAUGGUCACAAAGUAUUACUCGUUCUAUUUGAGAGUGAUGUGAAUCAAUUUUUCAAUUUUAUAUUUUGUGGUCAAUGUGAAUUUAAUUUCAUUUGUCUCCUGCAAUUAUGAAAAAAUUGCAGUCAUAAUAUGGAAAAGUACACCGGCAAAAACUUUGUAAAAGCUUCGGAGUGAUACGGGGAAUUUACUUACUACUGAGGACAAUUGGUGGCAAAGCUAUUCCAUUCAUUUUAUGUCCAUCCAUCUAUUUAGCUAUUGAAGAUUAGUGGUCCAUUUGUAAAUUUCAGAUUGUCUCUCUCUCUCUCUCCCACUUGAAAUAACAAUAUUUAAUAUAUCUCUUAAAUUAUUAUAAAUUUUAAUUUACUCUCGAUUUAAAAUGGAGCAUGUCGAUAAAAAAUUUUUCUUCUUAAUAAAAUUGACGUAAGUUGUGUGUUACAGUAGUUUGAAGUUUGAAAUAUUUUAAAGAUUAUUAUUCUAUAAGGGAGUAAUAUGAAAUGAUAUUUACUUUUCAUGUGUGAAAUGAAAAAGGACGAAGCAAGUGUCCCUGCUUUUAUUUUAUUUCAAGGAGGAGUCAUCUCACAUACUUUAGCUCUUAACAUUACAUUUUUUCUGGUUACAUUUUUUAUUUAUUUAUUUUUUUUUUUUUACACAUGCGUGUGGGUUGCUUUUCUGUAAGCUCCUUAAUAUAUAUUUAAGACAAAUCAUGGAAGAGAUGGGAUUAUAUCAAGAUGAUCAAAGCAUGUAAAAAAAGAAAAAAGAAAAAAAAAAAUUAAGAAGUAAGACACUGAAAAUGGAGAAGAGAUGGAAGCAAAAGAUAUUCCAAAACAAAGCAAUCUAUCCCCUUUCGAGGGCAGACUUAUCAGGUUUAAAAAAGUACAUGCUUUGGAUUGGUAGUUGCAAUCAAGGGAAAAUAAAUAGGAUCCAAUGAAAUUUAAAUCUCGGAGAAAAUAAAUAAUCAUGCAGAUUUUCAAGAUUUUAAUAAGGGAUACUAAUAUCUUAUUUUGAUUAAUAACAUUCUUUUAUUGUGUUAACUCAAAAAAAAUAUUAUAAUGCUUUACAAUAAAUACAAAUGUCCUAUUAAAUGAAUAUAUAAAAAAUUUAGAAAAUUUAGAAUAUUAUAUAAAAUAAUUUUAAUAUAAUGCGUGAGAUAUAUUUUAUUAAUUUAAAAUGUCAUUUUACCUAAAAAAUAUGAUAAAUUAAUAAUUACAUAUUUGAAGUUAUUUCAAAUAUUACUUAAUUGUUUUUACUUUAAACAUUACCGGCCUUUCUUUUAUUUUAUUGCAAAUUAAUGCUAACAAGAAAAAGCUAGAUCAUAUUCCACAAAAGCAAAAGUGACAAACACAACCAGCUGGAAUCUUUUAUAAAACUACAAAUUAAAAUGGAGUUUUUUUAAAAAAAUUGUUAUAAAUUGGUGGCCCCUACAAUCCUCAAUAAUUGCACCGAUAUUCACAAGUUGGUGGCCCCUACAAUUCUGUUCCGAUAAUAAUUGUUUUUAUUUUUCUGCAUUCCCUUUCAUGCUCUUAAUAAUUGAAGAGCAUACUUUUCAAAUGUGGAGCCACAGCUAAUGUCGCUAAUUUAAUUUGGGAUUAAAUUAGGGGACCAUUAUAUUACAGUGUGCACUAAUUUUUGUGUUUAUCUAAACUCCUUAAAUUUAAGAUAUAUUAUGGCAUAAAUAAGAAUAUAACAAUAACAAAAGAGUAAAAAAGUGUAGAGAAGAUCUUGCAGAAAUAUAAAUAAUAUCUAUUUUAAAAUAAUUUUUAAUAUUUUAUGAUCCAUUAGAUAUAUUUAUUAUAUUAAAGUAAAUUUUAUAAUAAAUAAAAACAUACUAUUAAAAUGAAUAUAUAGAAAAUUUAGAGUAUUUUAAAUAUUAUAUAAAAAAUUUUUAAUAAAAUAUGUGAGAUAUUCAUAUUUUAUUAAUUUAAAAUACCAUUUAACCUAAAGAUUUAUUUAUGAUAAAUUAAUAAUUAUAUUUUUGAAAUUACUUCAAAUAUUAAAAAAUUAAUAUUACUAAUCUGUUAGAUAGAUUAAAUUAUAUAUAUUAUUUUCUAUUUAUUAAAAAAUUAAAAUUAUUUUUAAUUACUAUUCAAAAAAUAUAAUGAAAAAACAUAAUGAUAAAAAAAUCUUAACAUCUUUAUUAAAAAAUUAAAAACUUAUAUGAUAAAUUCUCUAAAUAUUUACGGUAUAUGUGAACCACGGUGGAUAAGCUUUAUUUAAUAUUAUUGAUUUAAAUAAUAUGUCAAUUAAAAAUGUACAGAGAAGAAAUUUCGGUGGGUAUUUUAGUCUUUUAAGCAAUUAUCAUGAUCAGAUCAGCCUUUAGCCUUCAAACGUCGGUCAGAAAAGUUUUAAAAUUAAUGCUAAAUUGUUUUUCACUUUUAACGUUGGUGGCCUUGAAAUUGCUUGUAUUUUAUUAAAAAUUAAUGCUAACAAGAAAAAGCUAGGUCAUAUUCCACAAAAUCAAAAGUGACAAAACAACCAGCUGGUUUCUUUUACUAAACUACAAAUUAAAAUAAAUUUUUUCGAUAAAUUACAAAUUAAAGUGGAUUCUUUUGAAUACAAAUGGGACAGACGAUUAGGCUCUUUUUAUUAGAGGCAAGUAAAAACUAGUCAAGAAUCGAACAGUCUUUUUCCAAUUCUUGUUUUAUUAUUUUUCAAAACUAGUUUUUGGUAAUUACAACCGGGUCAUUAAUCAUUAUUCAGAGUUACUGUUAUCUUCGGGGGCAGUGGGUAAAAGAUAAUUACUAACUGUUUUUCCUUCAAAAGUUAGCGGCUCAUGUUUGCAAGUGUGAAUGUGCGAUGCUCUUUUCUUAAAGGCCAUUACAGUGGGGCCCGAAUCAGACGUGCCUAAAUCUUUUUAAAAUUUUUGCCGUAUAACGAACAGAGGUCAUUACUAAAAUUUCUCUUCCACAGCCUACAGCAGCUUCAGUUUAUCAAACUCCAUCAAUUUUCUUUCUUAACAAAAUUCCAAAGAUGUGUAGCAUUUUUCAGAUCACAUGCGAUGGUGCUCUUUUCAAUCGUUGCUUGGAUUGCUUUCUUGGAAAAGCAGCAUACAUACGUAACCUCCAAGAUAAUCUUGUAGCCUUGGAGACUGAACUGGGAAGACUAAUCGCAGCAAAGAACGAUGUGAUGAUGAGGGUUGUCAAUGCUGAACGGCAACAAAUGAGAAGGCUGGACGGAGUGCAAGUGUGGGUUUCGAGGGUGGAUUCUGUUAAAACUGGAGCCGACGAACUUAUCACAGACGGCUCUGAAGAAAUUGGCAAAUUAUGUGUUGGAGGCUACUGUUCCAAGAACUGCAGGUCAAGCUACAAAUCGAAAACAAGUGGCUAGAAAGCUACGACAUGUGAAGACUUUAAUCGCCGAGGGAGUUUUUGAGGCGGUGGCCACUGAGGUGGUGCCCGAGAGAGCUCCGGAACCUGUAGCAGAUAAAAGACCCACUGAGCCAACAAUAGUAGGCUUGCAAUCACAGCUUGAACAAGUUUGGAGAUGUCUUGUAGAAGAAUCAGUGGGAAUCAUUGGCCUAUAUGGUAUGGGCGGUGUUGGUAAAACCACACUAUUGACCCAUAUCAACAAUAAAUUUCUUGAGAGUCCCACAAACUUUGAUUGUGUGAUUUGGGUCGUAGUUUCAAAAGACCUGCGACUUGAAAAAAUUCAAGAAGAUAUUGGGAAGAAGAUAGGUCUGUCUGAUGAUUCAUGGAAGAAUAAAAGUUUUGAAGAGAAAGCUGUGGACAUCCUGCCGAGAUUAGGAGAGAAGAGAUUUGUAUUGUUGUUAGAUGAUUUAUGGGAGCGGGUUGAUUUAACAGAAGUGGGCGUUCCACUUCCCAGCGCACAAAAUACUACCUCAAAAGUCGUAUUCACAACCCGUUCCAUUGGUGUUUGUGGCAGCAUGAGAGCUAGGCCGGUUAAAGUGGCAUGCCUAUCAGAAAAGCAAGCUUGGGAACUGUUCCGCGAAAAUGUUGGGGAAGAAACUCUUGAGAGUGAUCAUGAGAUCGUUGAGCUAGCCCAAACUGUGGCCAAAGAGUGUGAUGGUUUGCCACUCGCACUUAUUACUAUUGGUCGAGCUAUGGCCUACAGAAAGACAGCCGAGGAGUGGAGUCAUGCAAUUGAUGUGCUAAGAACAUCAGCUUCUGAGUUUGCAGGUUUGGGAGAGAAGGUGUAUCGUCUUUUAAAGUUUAGCUAUGAUAGUUUGCAGAAUGAUACGGUUAGAUCUUGUUUCUUGUACUGUUGUUUAUAUCCUGAAGAUUAUGGCAUUCUUAAAUGGGACUUGAUUGAUUGUUGGUUUGGCGAGGGAUUUUUUGGGGAAUCUGACAGGUCUGGUGCAGAAAACCAAGGAUAUGACAUUUUGGACACUCUUGUUCGUGCAUGUUUAUUAGAAGCGGUGGAAGAUGGUGAAGUAAAAAUGCAUGACGUUAUUCGUGAUAUGGCUAUAUGGAUAACUUGUGAAAUUGAGAAGGAGAAGAGAAACUUUUUGGUUCGUGCAGGUGCUGGAUUAAAAGAGGCACCGGAUGUUAAAGGAUGGGAAAAUGUGAGAAGAUUGUCAUUGAUGCAAAACCAAAUUGAAACUGUGUCAGAGGUUCCCACAUGCCCUCAUCUCCUCACUUUAUUUCUUGACUUUAAUCAGGAGUUGGAGAUGAUCGCGGAUGGCUUCUUCCAACUUAUGCCUUCUCUCAAAGUUUUGAAGAUGUCAAACUGUGGACAGAGGAGGUUGAAAUUACCUGUUGGGAUGUCAGUGUUGGGUUCAUCACUAGAACUUCUCGAUAUUUCAUGUACUGGCAUAACAGAGUUACCAGAGGAGUUAAAGAAGUUGGUAAAUCUGAAAUGUUUGAAUUUGAGGUGGACAGGUGCGUUAAUUAGAAUUCCACGGCAACUAAUAUCAAAAUUUUCAAGGUUACGUGUGUUGAGAAUGUUCGCUAUUGGCUAUGAUCGUUUUCAUGAAGCACCAGAAGACAGCGUUUUAUUUGGUGGGGGUGAAGUUUUGAUACAGGAAUUGCUCGGUUUGAAAUAUUUAGAGGUAUUGGAGUUGAGCUUGGGAAGUUAUCAUGCUCUCCAAAUUCUUUUGAGCUCAAAUAAGUUAAAAAGUUGUAUUCGAUCUCUUUGCCUCGAGUUCGCCGGAGAUACAGCGUCAAUUAUUGAUGCUACGGCUUUCGCAGAUCUAAACUACCUCAAUGAAUUAAAUAUUUAUAGUGGUUUUGAGUUGGAAGAGUUGAAGAUUGAUUAUACAGAGAUAGUACGAAAAAGGCGGGAACCUUUUGUUUUCCGCAACCUUCACCGUGUUACUAUACAUAGCUGCCAGAAGUUGAAAGAUUUGACAUUCCUCGUUUUUGCUCCAAACCUCAAGUCUGUUCAGCUACUCGAUUGCUAUGCUAUGGAAGAAAUAAUCAGCGUCGGAAAAUUUGCUGAGACUCCUGAGAUGAUGGGACAUAUAAGCCCUUUUGAAAAUCUCCAAAUGCUUGAUUUAGAAGAUUUGCCACAUUUGAAGAGCAUCUUCUGGAAGCCAUUGCCUUUCACUCAUCUGAAAGAAAUGGCGGUAAGUGGGUGUGAUCAGCUUGAAAAGCUUCCACUCGAUUCCAACAGUGCAAAGGAGCGUAAAUUUGUAAUUCGUGGAGAAGAAGACUGGUGGAACCGACUUCAAUGGGAGGAUGAAGCCACUCAAAUUGCUUUUCGUUCCUGUUUCCAACCUUAUUCCUGAGCGGUGGUCGCAAAUUUUGAUUCUCUGUUUUUAUUUCUGGUUAGUUUCUCUCUCUCUCUUUCUCUCUCGCUCUCUCUCUUUUUGUCUUCUGCAAAUCACAAUUAAAUGUUGAAUUAAUGGAAUUAAUGCUUCAUAAAUUUGCCGGCACAGCCACUACUUUUUUUUGGGGGGGGGGGGGGGGGGGGUCGAAUUGGUGCUCUGGUUUUUGACUUUUUGUUAGCGAUUUAAUUUCCUGUCAAAAGACGAGCGAGAAGAACAUAUAUAUGACGUAAACCAAUUGAUACUUUAUUUAUGUGCAUUGUAUGUAAUAAAUAUUAAGUAUACUUUAUUUUUGCCCUGUUCUCUGUUUUUAUUUCAGUCUCUCUCUCUCUCUCUCUGCUGUCUCCUGUCUCCUGCAAAUCACAAUUAAAUGUUGAAUUAUAUGGAAUUAAUCCUUCAUAAAUCUGCCUGCGCUGGCUUUUUUUUUUUUUUUGUGGGGGUCGAAUUGAUGCUCUGGUUUUCGACUACUUUUUGUUGUCAAAAUUUUCUCUGUUUUUUCAAAUUGAUGCUUUAUUGAUAUCUUCUUCGUGAAAAGUGAUUUAAUUUCCUGCCAAAAGACGAACGAGAAGAACAUUAGAGUCAAACUAAUGCUCACAUAAAUUUCCCGUAAGAAUAUAUAAUUAUUAAGAUAGAUCUGCUCUUUCAUUAAAUAUAUAUUCCUUUUUCACAUAUUAAUUGACCUUUAUUUAAUUUGUUUAAAAAGUUUAAUUAAUUGUUGUUUGCAGAGAAUCAUCUACGCCGCUCGCCGAUAAAAGUUGAGGUGUUCGAGCAGGUGCUUGCCUUUUUUUUUUUCUUUUUCUUUUUUCCCUGUUUUAAUAUUUCUUUAAAUUUUGAAAUUGUUUAAUUAUUCUUCUGGUUUGGAAUGUUGAUAAUAGUGUUGUGAAAUUAAUUUUUACAGGAUAAAAGGUUGUGGGACAUUUAUUAUCCAUGUCCUAUGUAUCUCAAGCUUAAAGGUCUCAGUGGUCCUCUAUUGGAAAAAGCAAGUUUAAUAUAUAUUAAUUGGAUAUCGUCGCCUGUAUAUAUAUGUAUAUACAUACAUACACAGCCACUCAUCGAUUAUAGACUUAAUUAUUUAAUUGAUUAUGUAAUCUCUCGUAGUUUCUUUGUGCAUUUUUAGUUAAUUUAAUGAAUAAACUCAAAUACAUUGUAAAUAAAACCAAAUUAAAUGUUCCCUAAAAUAUACGUAUAUGCCUCUCGAUGGCACACAAGGUUAAAUGUCAGCCCAUCGCGGGUAAUAUUAUUUCUAGCCGCCUUCAUUACGAGUUAAGAGUCAAUUAUUACUAAACUAAACUAGUCAAAACUCGUAAGUGCUAGAAAGUAGAAACGUUUGAUUCUAUAUAAAUGACUUCAAUUCAAUAUGUACCAAAGAGUAUCGAUAAUUGAACCCCAAAAAACUUUAAAAAAGAUUGACAAAAUUAAUUAUAUUAUUGUGUGUUUUUAGAAGAAAAAAUAAAAUAAUUAAUUAAUGUUAUAACACUAUGUUAGGUGAAAAGUCAGCUGUCUGGAAGAGAACAAACUUACUAAGAUAAGAGCCUUCUUCAGUAAUCAACCGAACGAAAAAGUCAUCUCUUUUCUUAUUUAUUUAGUAAAAAUAAGUAAAGGCCGAAAAUUUCCUAAAAUAUCUAAAUCCCUCUCUUUAAAAGAACACCAUAUGCUGCAUAACAUGCAAAUUAAUUUCCCAUAUGUGAUGCAAUUUUCUCCUCAACAUAUGCGCAAUUCUUUCCAUUCCGGCAUUUACACUCAAAUUUUCCUUCCUUUCUCUUUGUGGUUGAAUCUUACACCACAACUCAUGUGAUGCAAUCUCCUCUCGCUGCCUAAAUUGCACUCUCAGCAAAGCAGCAUAUGUAAGCAAGCUUGAAGAUAAUCUUGCUGCUCUGCGGAAGAACGGCAAAAGUUAAUCGAAGCAAGGACUGAUGUAUCAGAAAAAUUUUGGUGGAGAAUUCAGCACAAACAUAUUUCGGAUGAUCAGAAUCAAUAAAACAUGGUGGUUGCGCCAUAUAAACAUCUUCGGAAAGCUGGCCUUGAAGAAAGGCGUUUAUUGAUAUCCAAUUGACGAAGAGGCCAGCCAUGACUAACAUCAAUACUAAGAACAAGCCGUACUGUGGUGGGCUUAACAACUGGACUGAAAGUGUCAUAAUAGUCCACACCAGGCCGUUGAUUGAACCCUUUGGCAAUAAGACGAGCUUUGAACCUGUCAACAGAACCGUUGGAAUGUCUUUUAAUACAAAAAUCCAUUUGCAGCCAACAAUAUUGGAAAGGAUGGGAGGUGGAACAAGCUUCCAUGUCCCGUUAAGAACAAGAGCAUCAUACUCUUCUGACAUAGAUUGACGCCAGUGAGGAUUUUUGAUAGCUUGCGUCACAGUUGUAGGUUCACAAUCAGAAGGAGGGCUAAAAUGAGCACAGAGGUUAAGUUUUUGUAACGGCUUGUGAAUGUUAUUUUUAGCUCCGGUAGUCAUAUCAUGAUGAUUUGUGGGGCAACGAUCUAGUGGAGUUUGGGAAGAUGAUUGAACAGGAAGUGAAGAAGUGCUUUGUGUAGAGGUAGAAAUAGGUUGGGAGGAUUGCUGCGGAGAUGUUACCGGUAGAGAAGAAGGAGCAGUACACGGUGGCAACUCCAAAGGGCCCACAAUAGAUGGAGUAGGUGCCGACGAUGGAGUACUAGGAAAUGAAACAGUAAGAAUUGGUGGAACACUUGCGUAAUUAGGAGUUGUAGAUGAGCUUGUAAUGAUUUGUAUGGAAAAACAAACUCUACAAAUUUAACGUGACGUGAAAUAAAAAUUUGAAAGGUGGAUGGGUCAAAACAUAAAUAAGCACUUUGAGAUAAAGGAAUAUCCUAGAAAAACACAAGGCUUAGAGGGUGGUUCGAGUUUAUGUGAUGAAACACAAACAUUCAAAAUUUUUUAAGUUUAUAUUAAUUAGGAGUGGUACCAAAAAUUAAUUGGCUAUCGGGUUGUUGGAUGUGUUUUGGAUAUUUACAGCUAAGUUUGAGUAUCUCAACUUAAAAUUUGUAGCUUUCACUUGAAAAAAUUCAGUUAAAAUUUGCAAUGCAGACUGAUUGAUUUAUCAGUUUAACGUGUGCCAGGAAUGAAGAACUGGAAUAUCACCGUCAAGCAAGCACCCUGUGGAGCAAUACCAAACAAUGUACAAUCCGGCUUUGCUAGGUGACACUGGAGGCUUUUUGAAAAGUGCUUCACGCUCACUUGCACAGAUUGAGCAUCCCCUCUGGAUAUUGCCCUCUCUGAUCGAGUCUGAGCACUCAAAUUUUGGUCCUCAGAGGGAGCUACAGUUUUCUCUCCACUAACCAACAAUUUUCUAAACUCAGCACCUAGUGUGAUCUUGAGCCAUAUCUAAAGCAGUUUGAAGUUCAAGUACUUGAGCCCUUGACAAUGGUUUUAAAAUUGGAACAUCUUGGAUUACUGCAGACUUGUACCCCUUGGUUUCAAAGUAAGGAAAGGUAUUGCUUGAGUACAAUUUGGAGGCAGCUUCUUCACCAAUUUUAUUUGGAGGCGAUUGGCAGCGGAUCCAGCUGCACGAAGACUAAACAAGUCAGAUGCAGUUUAUUUGUCCAAGCACAAAUUGCAUUUUGUCCUCAACUUUAAUAUUUAUUGAUGAGAAUCAAUACAGGUCCCUCAUUUGUUAUAGAAAGCUUUAUUGUAGUCUCACCAGUUAAUUCACAGGUCUAUAAUCAUCUUGCAAAGUUAAGGGCAUUUCUUUCGAUCUAAAGUCUUUGCAUCACCACCUCAUCACACGCCAAGCCAAUAUUCCAUUUACCUCUGCAACAAAAAGUUUUAAGUAAACAAUCCUAAUGCACGCAGCCAAAUAAAAUGCAGUAAGAAUAUUCAACUUAAAAAUCUGAAAGCCAACUUGGUGAAUUGCCUCCUUAGGUGAAGUUCCAUGCUUUACUAUAGUUGACAGAACUCAGCAAAAGCUUCCAUACAACAGAUUUUGAAAAUGAUGAUGCCAAUAGAUACUCAUUCAAUCCAUUGAAAAUCCAAAGGUUCAUUGUUAAUAGAAGUUUACAGAGUUUUGGUCAUCAAAUAGCUCAGACCUAAUCCCAAACAAAAAACGAGUGAAAAUUAGAUCACGAGCAGCUAAUUGUAAAUUCUAACUUAACUCUUCAUCUCCUUUGUAAACAAGAAACAAAAUGGAGACACGCAAAAUGAAUAUGGAGAAAAUUUGAACUCAAAUGAAAUGAGGGCACGAAAGCAAACAAAUGGCAUGCACAAAAAAACCAAGCCUCAAUCAAAAACUAAUUAACCAUUAAGAAAAAAAUUGGUCAGAGAAUGAACUCCAAAUUCAGGAGUCAAGCAAGAAGCUUUCAUCAUUUCAGAAGCUCCUGUACAAAAAAACCAAGCCUCAAUCAAAAGCUUUCAUUAAUAAGUUAUGCUCUUUGGAAGCAAACCUAAAUUCCAAGAGAAACAGAAGCCAAAAAAUUUGCAAUUAUACGCAAAGGAAGUGAAGCACAGGAUUCUAUCACACAUAGGAAUUGUAUAACAAGAGAUCGAUAUAUCGAAUUAGAAAACUCAAUUCGAAUUUGUGUGAAAAAUCAAAAUUAGAAGAUUUCACAUUUCGAGAGGAACAAGCAACAGAUGACGUUCAAAAUUUCAGCCAUAACAUGCUAAAAAUGCUACACUUAACGGUUCAUUUUCAUGGAUUUUCUCGGGAAACAAACAGAAAAUUACGGUUCAGAGAGUUGACUGACCUUUUGGCUUUUGAAAUUGAGAAGAUCGCGCGCCAAAUUGGAAGAGGGAAAGUGAAAGUGCGAGUUUUAAUAUGGGUAGAUAAGGAAAUUUUAUUAGGUUGCGAGGGUAAAAAAGGAAAGAGAUAUCAUUAUUUUAUCAUCGAUAAUUAUUAAAUUUUUUUCCAAAAAAAAGAACAAGCAAGGAUAUUUUAUUGUCAUUACUAAGUUAAAAAAAAUUGUUUCAAAAUUACUUGAGUCAUAUCCAAUGGACCAACAAAGUAAUCGUUUUUAUUUUUAUUGAUUUUUGCAGGAAAUUAAUAACUUAAAAAUACUGAAAGCUAUUGUAAAAAUUUUUAUUAUCAACCUCAUAGUUUUUUUUUUUUGGGGGAAGAGAAUUCAAACAUUUUUUUUUUAAAUUUCCAAGAAUUCUUGACACCCGUCUUAAUUAAAAGCUAUAUUUUUAUUCAAGAGUCAUGCUAUUCAUUCACUCACAGACCAAAGGCUUUCCGCAGCAAUAUUAUUAUUUAAAUUACAACAAAGGGGAAAUCAAAUACGUCAUACAGAAGCUUAAAGCUGAAUCAACAAAAUCUAGAGCUCUCAACUACAAAAAUUACACUUGAUGAUCCUCUACAAGAUGAAGCUUGUUCAAUAUCUUAUCCAAAGCUUGUAAAGUAACCUUGUAACGAUCUUGAGAUUGCCUGCCUUCCUCGACGACCUGCACGAUGCGUUUGUACAAAUCAUCAUACCUGUGCACCGGAUUUUUAAUAUCAACGCCACUGCAGCUGUGAUUAAGAAAAUAAGAGCGUUUAACAUCUUUUCUCCAUCGAGAAAGAAUGUACUGAGAUGGGAUCUCCUGCACGCCACUCUGGUUUAGAACACAAAGAAUGUGUCUGCAUAAAUAUCCUCUGAAAUUGAACAACCCACAAACGCAAAGCACCUCCAAGUUGGAGGCAUUGUACAAAACAUCGAAAGCCCUUGAGUCUUUCUCAUUGCUACCAACCUCGAAUUCUUCCUUCACUAUGUAUGUUAUAGGUCCAUCAGCACUAACAUGUUUUGUGCUAUAGCAAGAGUACAUAGCCUCCACCUCCGUCUGAAACUUCCUUAACAUUUCAUUUGUGUACAGUUUUGAGAGUUGAAAUUCAUAGUAACAUCUUGGUUUCUGGAUACAACUUGAAUUUCUUGAAUCCAUAUCUGCCAAGGCUUCCAGUUGAUAAUUCGCCCGCAGUGCUUGAUCAUACUUGUCUAAGAAUUCUUUCAAAGGAGUAUUCUUAUCAAGAUAUCCUUCAAAGUAUGAAGUAGAAACCUCAUUCUGCGGGAACGAAAACACUCCUGAUAAAAAAGCUUCCUUCAAAUAAAUAGGAGCCCACCUUUUACGAUCUUCAUAUAAAGUUUGAAUCCAUCCGUGAUCCUUUAUUCCAUGACGUUGAAUCAUGUCUUUCCAAGCUGCUUCAAAUUUCUCAGGCCUGAGAGAGUGAUAAAUUGCUCUAUGUAAUGCAGCUUUAAUAGCUUCAUAUUCAAACAAUCCUUGGAGUUUCACUGGAAUUUUUUGCAUGAUGCAUGACAAUGAAAAGCAACGAUAAGCUCUUGGGAAAACAUCGCCAACAGCAAUUUGCAAGAUUCUACAUUGGUCAGUGAUGAUUGUUUGUGGAGAGCGCCCUAACAUACAUGUAAGCCACGCCCUAAACAACCAUGUAUAUGAUUCUAUGGUCUCACUGGCAAGUAAACCACAACCCAACAACACUGAUUGUCCAUAAUGAUUCACCCCAAUGAAUGAAACCAGUGGUACAUCAUAUCUUUCAAUCAAGCACGUAGUAUCAAUUAAGACUACAUCACCAAAGUACCUAUAUGCAACUCUUGACCUGGUAUCAGUCCAGAACAGGUUUCUCAAGCAUCCCUUUUCAUUUAGAUCCACUACAUUAAAAAAGUUUGGAUCUGUCAACUGCAAACGACAAAAGAAACUCUGGACAGCUUGUGCAUCACCUGGUUUAAGCUUCAAUUGAUUUGAGCUAUUAACAUUAUUUCCAAAUACUCCAUUAACAUCUACAUUACCAUUUCCCUAGGCAUCAAUGAUAAGAGUUCGAAACAGUUUAAUUUUUUGAACUUCUUCAGCACUAUCUAAAUGCAAUGUUCUUUUGGUUCCAAUACCUAUGUGCUUAUGUGACUUGCAAAACUUUCCACUUCUUGGGCUUAACAAGUGGUUAUGCUCAAGCUCGACUUCAAUGAUUCUCCACCUUUUGGUUUCCAUCAACCUAAACUUUAUCAUUGCUGGACAGCCAGCUCUUGUUUCUGGUCUUGGACGGUUUGCCUCACUUUUCUUCUUGAAGCUUGCACUACUACAGCUCAGCUUUCCUCUAUACUUUUCUCUACUCUUUCAGUACCAGGUAUUGCUAACUCUAACACCAAAACCCUGUUCCUUGGCAUAGCAAUUGUAAAAGUAAUAUACAUCAUCGUACAUCUCAAACUCCAUUCCAACAGCAGGAGGCAAGGGAUUUUGGAUUAUCCCAGUUUGUCCAACAUAUUCAGUCAUCGCACAAUCUCCUACGACCUCAAAAUCAUCAGUGUCAUCAUCACCUAUUGGUUCGGUGUUGAGAGAAACUUCAUCCAUCUACAAUGGAUGUUCAAUGAAGUGAGCUUUAAGGAGAAAAAGCAAAAUCAGUUCAAGGAAUCAUAGUAUAAUCAUACAGUUACUUUCACAAAGCUUCAUAUUUCAUCACUGCUUUACCAACAUGCAACUGCCAGAGAACAAACAGACAUGUCAUAGACGCUUGAAUUAAGUAUUGGUACAAAUGAGCACACAUCAUGUGGGACAAAAUUUCAGUCACUAAACCCAAUACCACUUUUUACAUCAUACCAAGGAACAGAUUAAACCCGACACCUUCUUUUAAACCAUACCAAGGAACAGAUUAAAUCAUCAAUGAAAAAUUAAUCACAUAAUAACUUAACCAGACAAAUGAAGAGCCUGAAACAGCACAAAACUUGAAUCUGAUUAUGAUAAUUGUUGAGUCCUUGUAUCUACAGCUUUCCUUCAAUGAUAAGACAAUGAACAUAAACGAGACACAAAAAAUUUAUUUUAAACUGACAGCCCAUGAUAUAAAUCAAACAAAAUCAACUCCUUUUUUUACACAUCACAUCUCAUAUUCAUUUACAUUGAAACACAAAAAGGAAGCGGGAGUGGGAAAAAAACAACAGCAGAGGAACUUAUUUCCAUAAGGUUUACGAAAUAAGGAAUCUAUUAAAACCCAAAACUUGAGGUCACCACAAAGAAUUUGGUUCUCAUUAUUUUUUUCUUCAUUUUUCACCAAUUGAUGAACUUAAAAUACAAUCAUAAAUGAUAAAACCCCAUCUCAAUCUUUUUGAACUAGAGCUAAAGCAAAGCAUUUUAAGAUGUUUCAUCAUUUUUUUUUUAAAAAAAACCUCAAUAGUACAAUGUUUUUACUCUAAUAAUCUCUUAAUUAAGGAAGAUUAAGCUUCAGUUGUAAGCUAAAACAAAUUUCUUAAAUCAAGCCCCAAUGCUUUAUGCUAUUCAACAAGGGCUCAUAAAUGAUAAAACUACUUCUACAAAGAUACCCAUUUUCUAAAUUAAUUUCAAAAACUGAAAUCAAACUCCUGAAACGUAACGAGCAUUAAUAUAAUCAAACCCGAACAAGAAUUGAAAAAUGACACAUAAACUCGUUUACACAUUUCGACAGACACUUUGCAAUCAAUGAGCAAAAAAUUAAUGGAGAAGAUAAAAUUCAAACGAAACAUGCCUUACAUUGAUCAAUUAGAAGGGCAAAAGAAAUUUUAGUACGAUAUGGGAUCAGGGUCUUGCCACGGUGAUGUUAUUUGUGAUGUUCGAGCGACUCAGCGGCCUUCGAGGUUGAAAAUUUGAUUGACCAAAAGCUUCCCGUUUGUUGAUUCUCUAAUAGCAGAAACGAGACUGGCAGUAAACACAACAACUUCGCUGAUUUUAAAUUCCGUUGUUUGAGAUGGAAAACUUUUUGAAAAAAUUAAUGUGUUCGAUGAAUAUCAAAAUCUAAAAAACUUUUUGUUUUUCAUUUUUUUGGAAAAAACCAUUGAGAUCCUUACUAUUUUUUCUUAUAUCAUCUUGCUUAAUAAUUUGCAAAGUCUAUCGCAUAGCACCCAUGCAUGAUGUAUGCUGCGUAACUGCGUUGUAAUUUACAAAAUUGUAAAUUUGUUAAAAGAAAAUAAUAAUAACAAGUUAAAACUUUAAAAUUUUUAUCAUUCGAAGAAAUUUUAAUUUAGUUAAGUAGGUGACAUGAUAAUAAAUAGAUACGUAUAAUGUCCGAGAUUUUUUAUAAGAUUAAUAAAUAUGAUAAAUUUGGAUUAGUUCAAUUUUGACGUAAUUCAGAAUAAACACAUCUUCCUAAUCUAAAAAUAAUUACAAACAAUUUAAUUUGUGUUGUUUCUCUAAAAGUUUGAGACACAAAUGUUAUUGCAAAUUGAAACGCCAUGCACUAGUAGAAGGUAAGAGAAACCAAGGUUGAAGUUACUGUUCAUUUAUUUUUAUUUAUGAUUUUUUGUAAAAUGUAAGAAAUAUGUAGAAAUGUUGCCAGCAAUGAUUUUGGAACUUUGCAUAAAAUUUUUAUCAUUAUUGUUUUUGGUAUUAAGAAAUCCGAGGCGGUGAUUAGUCGUAUGUUGCAACAAUUAAGAAAUUUCUUAUUGGAGAUAAUUUGGUAGGUUGCAACAAUUAGAGAAUAAUUUUCCUGUCAGUUAAUCAAUCAAUAAUAAAUUUCAAAUUGCAGAAAAUAAAAUAAUACUGUCGCACUUAGAAUCAUCUUUUCUAUUUCUUUCAAUUGUGACAAUCAUUUGUAACAAAUAAAUCAAUUUGAUGCACAUCAUUUCCCCAAUUCAAAGUUCAAGUCACUGCUCAAUUGCAGGGUAGUUAGUAGACAUGCAUGCAUGUUUAAUUAAGUACUGCAUUGUAAUAUAGAAAAUCAUAACAUCUCACCAAGCCCGGAAGCAUAGCUCUUUAUCUUGUAAAUGUUGAAAUCUUAUGCAAACUAUGGGAAACAUGAUCUCACUCUCAGUGCCACUUGAUUCCAUUUUCUUUGUUGGGAAUGCUACGAAGUCUAAGCUUGAAGAUAAUCUCGAUGCCUUGCGGACUGCAAUGGAAAAAUAAGCGGAAACGAGAAAUGAUGUGAUAAAUUGUGAGCCAACAAUAGUGGGCAUGGUGUCGACUUUUGAGAAAGCCUGGAGAUGCCUUGAAGAAGAAUCAGUUGGAAUUAUUGGCCUGUAUGUUAAUGGGGGAGUUGGAAAAUAUUUACUCAAAUCAACAACAAGUUCCUUGAUGGUCCAAAUAAUUUUGAUGUUGCGAUCUGGGUAGUGGUCUGCCAAGAUUUACAACCCCAGAAGUUUCGGGAAAAGAUUGGGAAAAAGAAAGGCUUGUUCGAUGAGUCAUGGAAGAACUGAAGUUUUGAAGAGAAAGCACUCGACAUAUUCAAGAAUUUAAGCAAGACGAAGUUUGUAUUACUGCUGGAUGAUAUAUGGGAGCAGGUUGAUUUAAUUAAAAUUGGUGUCCCUCUUCCAAGCACAAAAAUUACAUUCAAGAUAGUCUUCACAACUCGUUUUAUUGACAUUUGUGGCCUCAUGGAAGCUCACAACAAGAUUAAAGUGGAGUGUUUAAAUGACGAAGAAGCAUGGGAAUUAUUCUGCAAGAAGGUUGGAGAAGAUGUGGCGACUCUGUCCAAGUGCUAAGGAGAUCAGCCUCAGAAUUUCUAGGUAUGUAAAAAUGAGUAUAUAUAUCCACUUUUGAAAUUCAGUUAUGAUAAUUUACCUAGCGAUAAAAUUAGAUCGAGUCUGUUAUACUGUAGUUUGUUUCUGGAAGACUUUCCAAUUAGCAAAACGGAAUUGAUACAUUGUUGGAUAAGCGAGGGCCUUUUGGAUGAAACUAAUAGUUCUGAGAUAUGAAAUCAAGGAUACUACAUUAUUGGUGUUCUUGUUCCUUUAUGUUUAUUGGAAGAAGAGGCUCCACUAUAUGUAAAAGUGCAUGAUGUGAUACGCGAUAUGCUUCUGUGGAUCGCAUGUGAAGUUUUUUUUUUCUUUUUGAUAGGGAUAGCAUGUGAAGUUGAGAAGGAGAAAGAGAAUUUUUUGGUUCGUGCAGGUGCAAGGAUUAACUGAAGUGCCAGACAUUUGGAAAUGGGAAGGGUUGAGAAGGGUGUCUUUCAUGAGCAACAAAACUGAGAAGUUAUCAGAAAUUCCUUCAGAUCCCCAUCUACCGACUUUGUUGCUUCAACGUAAUUAUUUAGAGAUGAUCAAUAAUGACUUCUUCCAAUCUAUGAAUUCCCUUAGAGUUUUGAACUUAUCAUGUAAUCAUUCUCUAAUUGAUAAUUUCAAAGUUAGUUUCCCUACAACAUCUUAAUUUAUCAAUGACUAACAUACGAGAGUUGCCGAAUGAGUUAAAGUUUGUAGUGAAUCUAAAGUUUUUGAAUGUGGAGUAUGCACGGUUUCUUCAUUCAAUUCCAGGGCAAGUGAUAUCCAGUUUUACGAUGUUACACGGUUUGAAGAUGUUUGGUUGUGGGAGGUCAUCUUCUGAUCAUGAGCCACACUAGAAGAUAGAGUUUUAUUUGAAGGCUGUAAACUUUUGAUUGUGGAGUUGUUUGGUUUGAGAGACAUCUAGAUGUGUUGACCAUCAUCCUAACAAGUUCCCUUGCUCUGAAAAGAUUUUUGAGCUACAACAAACUUCAAAGUCGUACUCAAUCUCUCUAUCUUAAAUGCUUUGAUUCAAAUCUUCUUGUUUUUUCCAUAAAACAUUGCCAUGAUAUGGAGGAAAUACUCAGUGUCGGAAAAUUAGGUGAAGAGAUGAUGUCAAAUCUGGAACCUCUUACAAAACUCCAAGUUCGUUGCUUGAAGAAGCUACCAAAUUUGAAGAGCGUCUACUGGAAGGCCUUGCCCUUGCCCAAUGUAUGCAUAAUUUUUGUAUCUAAAUGCCCAGAACUUAAGAAGCUGCCGCUGGAUUUUGAAAGGGCGGGCGAAGGUAAAAUUCUUAUCAAGUGAAAGGAAAAUCGAUGGAAACGACUUCAAUGGGAGGAUCAAGCAACUCAGAAUGCAUUGCUUCUGUUUUUCAAAUCUAGUGAUUGAAGGGGGCAACAUCAACAUCAUCAGCCUGGAUGGGGAGAUUCUGGAGCAGAUCAGUAGGGUUUGAAUCUACAUCAUUAACAUCAUCAGGGUCUGUAUUUCUAUUGCUGGUCUUAAUGCUUGCUUACUGUUGCUUGACAAAGUGAGCCAGUUUUUUGUUUAUUAAAUUUUGUCUUGUAGAGACAGUCACAAAGUAUGGGUUGUUCUAUGUGAGAGUGAUGUGAAUCAAUUUUUCAAUUAUAUAUUCUGUGGUCAUUGUGAAUUUUGUUUAGAGAUGCAAACUUAGAAUAUGGAAAAGUUCAUCGGCAAACAUUUUGUAAAAGCUUCCAACUGAAGUUUUCAUAAUUAAAUAAUAAAAAAAUAGGAAGUGACGAAAAAAUUAUCCUAGGUGUUACGAAAAAACAUGAGCUCCGAAAAUAUUGGAAGUGACGAAAACUUAGGGCUAGGGUUUGAGAACUCUAACCCGCCACCACUGCAAGAGGACAGGACGACUAAGAAGGCCCGGUUUCGGGCUGAGGGAAUUGAUGCUGAUAAUCCUCAUAAACCCUCUUGGAGAGAUAAGGCUAUGGAGGCAGUCACGGUGAUGGCAGGUCAGACAGGAAGGAUUGGAGAGUUGGGUUACGGCAGUGUAUGCUAGCCCUAUUCCAACAGUCCUGCGUGAAUUAUGGUAUCACCUUGCAAGUAUUGCUUCUCAAAUGUUGGAUCCGUGGUUGGUGGGCGGAGAUUUCAAUGCUAUCUUAUACGCACAUGAGAAGAAAGGGGGCUCGAACCGAAUAAGUGGCACUUGCAAUUUAUUUAAUCAUUGGUUUCAUUCUUGCAGGAUGCUUGAUCUAAAGUUCUCCGGCCCUCGCUUCACUUGGUCUAGGGGAAACCUUUCUAAACGAUUGGAUAGAGCGGUUUGCAAUAAUGGAUGGCUAAUAAAACAUGCAAAUAGUAGUGUCAUGCAUCUUCCAAAAAUUGAUUCCGAUCAUCGGCCUAUUCUAGUCAAGUUCCAGAACAUGGAUUCCAAGCAUGGGGGCCCGAGGCCAUUUCGAUUUUUGGCUGCAUGGCUCACAGAUGAGAGAUUUGGGAGUUUUAUGAAUGAUAGCUGGAAUAAGGGAGAGAAUUUUCUUGAGGCAGUGGCUGAUUUUACUCAACAAACUAGGUGGUGGAAUAAGGAAAUUUUUGAAAAUAUUAUUUAUCGGAAGCGGAAAUUGUUGGCUAGAAUAGGUGGGAUCCAAUGAAUUUUGGAAGCCAAGCCUAACCAUAGCCUUACUAGACUUGAAGUUAAGCUUCAGAAGGAGCUCGAAGAGGUUCUCACUCAGGAAGAAUUAUUGUGGCUUCAGAAAUCCAGGAGAGAUUGGACUUUGUAUGGUGACCGCAACACUGCUUAUUUCCAUAAAAAAAUGCUAACCAGGCAUCGCCAGAAUCGGAUUACUGCAAUUCAAAAUGAUACUGGGCAGUGGAUACACGACGUCGAGAUCAUUAAGCAACGUGCAGUCAAUUUCUUUUUGGAAUUAUACACGCCUGAACAAGGGGUGCAUAGAACAUAUAAUGUCAGGGGGUGUUUCCCUGAGACGUCAGAUGAUAUUUGUUUAAGUUUGAUGUCUGCGGUAACAGAUGAGGAAAUCAGACAUACUAUUUUCAGUAUGAGUCCUUUUAAAGCUCCUGGAGUUGAUGGCUUUCAUGCUAGUUUUUACCAAGCGCAAUGGAAUACAGUUGGUAUGUCUUUGAGCUCUUUAAUCAAAAAUAUUUUUAAUUCUAAUCAUAUCCCUGCAGAGAUCAACAGAACCUUGCUGGUGCUCAUUCCUAAAGUGUAUCAUCCAACAAGCCUCAAGAUGUUUCGGCCGAUCAGCCUUUGCACAAUUCCGUAUAAAACGGUGACGAAAAUUAUUGCAAAUAGGUUACAGGUUUUUCUUCCAGAUCUCAUUGGACCCCAACAAACCAGUUUUGUACCGGGUCGGCAUAUUACAGAGAAUAUUGUUAUUGCUCAAGAGGUAAUCCAUACAAUGAAGAAAAAUGUGGGGGGUAAAAGAAUGAUGGCGGUUAAAGUGGACUUGGAAAAGGCUUAUAACCGGUUGAGUUGGCGAUUUGUUCAGGAAACUUUACAGGAAGUUGGGCUACCGGAGCGAUUUAUUCACCUCAUAAUGGAGUGUUUGUCCACAGCCCAAAUGAAUGUUUUGUGGAAUGGAGAAAUGACUGAAGAUUUUCGGCCAGGGAGAGAAAUUCGACAAGGAGACCCUCUUUCGCCUUAUAUUUUUGUGCUUUGUAUUGAAAGAUUAAGUCAUGGGAUUAUCCAGGCGGUUAAUCAAGGUAGAUGGAAACACAUUUGACUGACUCGAACUGGCACUCCUCUAAGUCAUUUAUUUUUUGCGGAUGAUCUGCUUCUCUUUUUGGAAGCAAGUUACGGCCAAGUUGAUGUAUUGAAUGAUGUGGUGGAGAAUUUCUGUAGGAGCUCGGGCGCUAGAGUUAGUAAUCAAAAGACCCAAGUCUUCUUCUCCAAAAAUGUCCCGGUCACUUUAGCCAAUGGAAUUGGCAAGGCUUUAGGCUUCUCGGUUACAAAUAAUUUGGGAAGAUAUCUUGGCAUGCCUCUUCUUCACGAUCGGGUUUCUAAGAAAACGUAUCAGAGUAUCAUUGACAAAAUUGAUCAGCGGCUAUCAGGAUGGGCAGCAAAGCAAUUGUCUCUGGCAGGGAGAGUUACUCUCACUCAAUCGGUGCUUCAGGCAAUCCCGAUUUACGCUAUGCAAACCACGUACCUCCCAUCUAGUGUCAGAGUUAAAAUUGAUCAAUUAUGUAGAAGAUUCAUUUGGAGUGGGGCUGGUUCUCAACGCAAGUUAAGUUUGGUUAGCUGGGACAACAUUUGUAGGCCUAAGAGCAAUGGAGGGCUCGGUUUCAAGGACAUGGAACUUAUGAACAAAGCCUUACUAAUGAAAGUGGCUUGGGAUUUAUUCAUAAAUCCUAGCAAGCUGUGCUCCCAGGUUUUAAUUUCUAAUUAUGUUGCGCCUUGUGAUAUGAUUACUACUGAUGCUUCAUUUAAAAAUGGUUCCUAUUUAUGGCGCUCUAUGGGUAAGAUUUGGAAAGACUUCCAGAAGGGUUUGCGUUGGAGUAUUGGAAAUGGCCAACGGGUGAAGUUUUGGGAUGAUAUUUGGGCUACAAAUGGUGAUCCCUUAAUCAACUAUACGGUGGCUUCAAUUCCGGAUAGCAUGCGAAAUAUGUUGGUGGCGGAUUGUGUGGAUCAAAAUGGGAAUUGGUUGUGGAACAUAUUCAACUCUUUUUUGAAUAACCAUGCUGUUUUAAGGAUUGCUUCCAUGGCUCCUCCGUCGUCAAUGAGAGGCGAGGAUAGGAUGUAUUGAGGUGCAUCAAAUACUGGCAAUUUUACAGUCCAAUCAGCUUACCAAGUGCUUACGAAUUUUUGCCCCGCUGAAGACUGUCAAGACUGGCAACAUUUGUGGAAAUGGAAGAGGCCUCAAAGCGUAAGAAUUUUUCUAUGGUUAUUAUGCCAUGAUCAAUUGAAGACGGGAUGUGAGCUUGCUAGAAGGCAUCUGGACGUCGAGGCUUUAUGUGGGAGGUGCCAUGCAGACGUUUAGAAUUCUUUGCAUGCAAUUCGAGAUUGUGAUUAUUCGAGAGGUGUUUGGCGGAAGCUUGUUCCCGCGCUUAGACAACAUGACUUUUUUAGUUAUCCUCUUUGGCAAUGGAUCAUGACAAAUCUUAGGAGAAGAGUCUGUGAUAUGGGGAGCUUAUUUUGGCCGAUUAUGUUUGGUAUUGCGGCUUGGAGAAUUUGGUAUUGGAGGAACCAGGUGAUGUUCAACAACAAGAGCUGGAAUGGUGAUUUGAUCGUUCGAGAUAUUAAGGCAAGGACUGAGAGUAUUUGUUCUACUCUUUCAAGCAUAGGCUAUCGAAGAAAUGAAAGGAUUCAGAAAUGGAUUCGUUGGGCUCCUCCACCAUGGCCUUUCUUGUGCUUAAAUACGGAUGGUGCAAGGAAAGGAAAUGGAGAGGCGAGUGCAGGUGGGCUGCUGCGGGACUGUCAUGGUAAUUUUAUUCAUGGUUUCAGCGCACAUCUCGGAGUUUGUUCAGUUCUAAAGGCUGAACUUUGGGGUGUCUUGCAUGGGUUAAGAAUGGCAUGGGAUCUUGGCUAUAGACGUAUCCAAGUUGGAGUAGACAACUGUAGUGUGGUGCAAAUUAUAAGGGAAAAUAAUGCUCAUGUCAACGAAAUUUCGAAUAUAAUCGAGAUGAUUAGAGAACUCAUGAGGAGGGAUUGGAGGAUUCAAAUUGAUCACAUCUACCGCGAAGCAAACUCGGCAGCUGAUUUCCUUUCUACGCAUGCUUUGAGUUUACUUGUUGGAGUACAUUUUCUUCAUUCUGCACCUUUAGGUUUGAGAUCUAUUUUAUAUUUGGAUAUGUAUGGGGUGGCACACUCCCGGUUUGUGCCCCUUUAGCUCUUCUCUUUUAGAGCCUUUUGUUUAUCAAAAAAAAAAAAAAAGCUUCCAACUGAAAUAGGGAAUGCACUUACUACUAAGGACAGUUGGUGGCCACCUAAUGCAUUCAUUUUAUAUCAAUUCAUCAUUUUAAUUAUUGAAAACAAGUGGCUCAUCGCUUUUACUUUAGGUAAAAUUCGGAUAAUCUCUAUUAUGAAAUGAUAAUAUUCUCUUAAAUUAUUAUAAACCUCAGCCAAUCUUAAUUUUAUUUAAAAGAUAAAAGAAAAAUAGGUUAUGUUGGUGACUUUUUUCUUAUCUUUUUAAUAAAAAUAAAAUAAAUUGAUGUUUAUAAUUGUUUAAAAUACUUUAAAGAUUGUUAUUUUAUGAGAGAGUAAUAUUUUACUUUUUUAUUGUGAAAUGCUAAAAAGGACAAAGCAAGUGUCCCUGGUUUUUAUUUUAUUUGAAAUUGGUCAUCUCAUAUACUUUACGUUUCAACACUACAAUUUUUUUGGUUAUAUUUUUAUUAUUUUUUUCUUUCUUACACAUGCACGUAAAUUUUCUUUCUUUAAGCUCCUGAAUAUUUAAGACAAAUCAUGGAAGAGAUGAAAGUAUAACAAGAUGAUCAAAAUACGUAACAAAAAAUUUACAAGUGAAACAUACGUUAGAGUCGAAGUAAAACUCUGAAAAUAGAGAUAUUGAUUAAUUUAGAAGAGAUGCAAGCAAAAGAUUUUCUUAAAAAAAAGAAAAGCAAUUUGUCCCUUUCCAGGGCAAACUUGUUAGUCUCAAAAAGGUACAUUCUUUGAAUUGAUAGUUGCAGGAUUUUUGUCUUGUUUUUGUUGUUGUGCAUUAGUUGGAGAAGUCAAGCCUAGUGAAAAAUGUUAUGAAAGAGCAAAGGAUAUUUCUGACAGCUUUAUUUAAUUAUGUAUUCAUUUAAUGGAUGUAUUGUUAGAAGAUAUUUAAGUGCAUUAGUUCAUCCGUGUCUGUUGAUGUGCUUUUAGUGAUUUUUCCAGCUGUUUGUUGUAAAAGAUGAUUGUAAAUUGAAAUGAACUUGAUGUUGUAAUAUUUUCUCUUUUGUGGAAUCUCAGUUGUGUUGUCUAUAAUUUUAGUCAAAAUUAUUGUUAUUAUUUCUUACUAGAGGUAAAUUUUUUAUUAAACCUCAUUAACACAAUUCUUAAUUAAAAGUAUAGGUUAGUGUCGGUGCAGGAUUUGCAGCACCAGAUCCUGCCUAGCUACGUGUCAAAAAUACAAAAUAAAUGAAGAGAAAGCACAAAUACAUGACUUGGAUUAGGAUAGAAGGAAACUUAAAUCUUAAAGAAAAUGAUAGCUAUAUCCCACUAUUUGAAAAAAUGGUCAUGUAGAUUUUUAAGAUUUAAAUAAGGGACGGAGAUCUUCUUUUGACAAAUAAUAUCUUUUAGCUCUCUCAAGUAAAAAAAAAAUUAAAUAUUUUAUAAUAAAUAAAAAUAUAAUAUUAAAAUAUACGUGAUAAUAUAUACAUUUUAAAUAAUUUCAAUCCAAAAAAAUAGUUAUGUUUUAUCGAAUCUACCUAUGUUACAAUAGUAGUAUGGUACCACAAUAUUUGUUCUUAUCCAAUGUAAUCAUUGGAUGAUUUAGAGCUUAAUCUAACGGCUUAAAUUAUUUUUCUGAAUAUUUGAAGCAACAACUUGCAACCGUUGGAGCCGGUUGCAUAUUAAUUUAAUAUCAUUUGGGGAAGCGUACGGUCAGGAAGUUUCUUAGUAUGCCACCAAUGGAAUUUGAUUUCAUCUCAAAUCGAUCUGCAGGCAGCAAUUGGGAAAUUACACUCACGGUCUUCCUCUUCUUCACUUCCUCUCUACUCUUCACUUUUCUCACUCUCGCGAUGUUUACAGCAUGAUAAGUACAAUUACAAACCAGGAAAUGCCAUUAACAAUUUUCAUUUGUCUUAGUCGUUUUUUUUUUUUUUAGUAGAAAGCCAAAAAAGAAAACGGGUGGGAGGUUGGGGCGUCGUGAUGAAAUGGUUUUGAGUUUUUGACGGAAUGUUUGUUUUUGUGAUUCAUUUAGGGUUUGAAUUCAGGCUUGUACGAACUCGGAUCUAUUCGAGAUCCGUAUUGGCGCUGAAAUCAGAUCCUUUGAAGCCUUGGUUUGAAUUCAACCUUGAGAACUCCAAGCUUGUUAGAAUCUUCAUUGAUCUCUCCAGAAAUUACACGGAUCUUAUUACUAAACCCUACAUAUAGGGCUGCAAUGGAGUCCGAUUCUCUCACAAUUGAUGAAUCAAUAUUGAGACAGUUCGAAAAGGAAGUAAAAAAGAGAAUCAACUUGACUGGCUAAAUAAUUGCGGAGGCCAAAGAGUCUUUUGAUAAUCAAUUGAAGAUUUAGAAGUUAAAAGACACUAUUUUUACUAUGAACGAACAAUUGACUAAGGCGAAAAAGCAAGGAGCUUUUUUGAGUUUGAUUGCUGCGAAAUCGAUGCCUUAGAGUUUGCAUUGUUUGGCCAUGAGGUUGAUGAAAGAGCGAGUUGUUCAUCCGGAGAACUAUAAUGAAGAAGGGAAGCCCACACAUGCAGAAUUCGAGGAUCCCAAACUUUAUCAUAAUGCUAUUUUUUCUGGGUAAUAUGCUUGCAGCUUCGGUGGUGGUGAUUGGUGAAUUUAGCUGUUAAGAACUCGAAGGAGCCUUGGAAACAUGUGUUUCAUGUUGUGAUGGAUCAAAUGUUUAAAUUGAAGGAUUAUAAUGGAGCACAUUUAGGCACGAAGGCUGUUGAGGAUUAUAAGUUUUUGAAUUCUCACAUGUCCCUGUGUUAAGGCAGCCGGGGUUUGCUAAUUUGCAAAGGUUUUACUUCGGGAAGUAGCUUGAGAAUGCUACGAAAGAUGCUACUAACAUGAAGUUUAGGAAUCCCAAUUACUUGUUGAUACUGUAUCAUUUGAGGUUCUGGAUAAGAUUUCAAUGAUGGCCGCUUAAAACAAAUAAUAAAAAAAAAGAACUUGUACUGUAUUUGGAUCUUUACUUAUUUGAUAUAGUUUUCUGCAAUCUCUCCAUGCAACCGGUUACUUUAAUUAUCCACUAACUCAUCUCAACCGUUUGAUGGACUCACUUUAUAUCCAACGGCAGUUUUAAAUGAAGACAAAAAGUGUGGUAUGUUGCAAUUGUUGCAACAUAUGUGAGUCUUGUUUUACAAUCUAUUUAACAUAUUUUAUUAAAUUAAUAUAUUUCUAUGAUAUAGGAACAUAAUAUUAAAAUAAAUUUACAAAAAUUUAAAGAAUUUUGAAUGUAAAACAAUUUCAAUAUAUUAAUAAUGAGAUUUUUUUAUUAUUAUAAAAAUUAUUUAACCCAUAGAUUUUUUUAAAUCUUUACAAUAAGUAUAAAUAUAUUAUCUUCACUUAAAAAUAUUUAAAUAUUAUUAACCUAUAAUUAGGUUUGCAUUUAUUAGAAAAUUUUAAAGUCAAAUAUAUUGCACUUUUGCAUUAUUAGAAUCAUCACAGAGAAAGGAGCAUAUAUACUUUAUAACUUUAAAAAUUGGUUUCUUCUGGAAACAGAGAUGAUGAUUAUUAUAAGGAUGAAAAAAAAAAGAUAAAGAAUAUUAAUGAUUAACGAAAUCUCUAUGCAAAUUGAUUUUAGUAGGGAAAGAGUGAGAUGAAUAACUUCUUUUACAGCUAAAAACAGAGAUGAUGAUUAUUAUAAGGUUGAAAAAAAAAGAUAAAGAAUAUUAAUUAUUAAUGGAAUCUCUAUGCAAAUUGAUUUUAUAGGAAAAAAGCGAGCUAAAUGAUUUAGACAUUCAUAGUGUAUUUAUUUUUGAAUUGGUGAAUAAGAAUUAUUGACAACGCUAACUUCAUCUUCACCGUUGGCUAUCCAAUAGCGGCAAUUGUCGCCGAUUAUGAUAUCUCCAAUGAUGAUGACGGUUUUUUUAUUAUUAUUAUUGGUGACCCCUUGGAAAGUUAACUGCAACUGCCAAUCAGAGAAAAGUCGUCAUGCACAAUCCUCAAUCGAACCAAUCAUCUACGUUACAGAAUCUGAAACGUACACACUGUUAACAUAUAUGUUUCCAUAAUGUUGAUUUUGAUGAUAACAAACAAGAUUAAGAAUGAUUAAUCUUUUAAGCUCAAAUUAUUUUUAUGCAUUUUAAAUAAAUCAUUAUUUUUACAUUAUAAAGGUUCUAUAUUUAAUGGAAAAAUGAUUUUAUGAAAUUGAUUGUUUUUUAUUCUUUUUAAAUAAAUCAUUAUUUUCACAUUAUAAAUGUUUCAUAUUCAAUGGAAAAAUGAUUUUAUGAAAUUGGUUGUUUUUCAAAGUUUAUGGUUUAAUUGAAAGAAUUUUGAAAACUUUGAAAUAAACAAGUAUUGCUUGAAAUUUCAGAUUUGGACUUAUUUGAAACUAUUUAAAUGUUUUUAGGCUAUUCUAUAAUUUCACAAAGUUUGGGCGAAAUUAUAAUUUCAGAACGUUGUGGGAUUGACAAAGUAUUAUUCUAAAAUUCUGAAAUUGGACUUAUUUGUAAAUUUUCAUAACGUUUUGGGUUAUAGUAUAGUUUUAUAAAGUUUUGGGGUCAAAUUAUAAUUUCAGAAAAUAGUGCACUGUGCAGGUUACUGUGGCAUCCGGCUUACCGGAUAUAAAAAUCGGAAAACCGGAUACGGGGCAGAAUGUAUCCAGAAUGUAAACGGCUUACCGGAUUUCGUAACCAGCAAGCCGGAUAGGCAAAAUUCAAAUUUUUGCCUUAACGGUAACAUAAAUCCAGCUUAUCGGAUUCCAUAAAUGGCAAACCGGAUACGCCCAGAAUGUGAGUAACGGCUAGUUUUUGAGUUCAAACUAUAUAAACUCAAAACCAAUUCAUUUUUGGUAAUCCAAGCAAGAAAGAACAAGUGCACAUAACAUAUAUUGAGCUUCAAUUUCGUAACUCAUCAUUUAUUAAAUCAUCUUUGUUUUUCAAUUUGUAUAUCCACUCUUAAAGAGAGAUUCAUUGUUGUAUUUUUCAUUUCUCAUCAAAUUGUGAGUGUACAAGUGUGAGAAACACUUGGGGUGAAGAGAUUGGAGAGAUAAUCUCUUGUUGUAAAGGUUCAUUAACACAUUGAAGUCAAUUGUAAACGUUUGAAGCCUUGGAAAUGCUUGGAUAGUGAAAUCCUCAAGCCCGGUGUGCUUGGAAGCGUGGACGUAGGCGGAGAUUACCGAACCACGUAAAAAUCCUUGAGUUUGCUUUCUCUUCCCUUACUCUUUAAUUAUUGUGCUUUGAUUGAACUUAUUGCUUUCAAUUUUUAUUAAGACAUUAGAUUAAAUUGUUGUGUGGUUUGCCUAGGAUAAUUUUUAAAAUCUCAAUUCACCCCCCUCUUGAGUUGCCUAGUUAGUAUUUCACACACCCAAUGGGAAGCAGCACACGUGUUCUGAGGAGAGAGAGAAAAAACCGUGCAAAUGCAAGCAAUAGGUAUUGGCUACAGUUGGAUCUGUAAGUUACAGAAUCUGUAACUUAGCCAACUCCCUCAAUGAUCAAUAUUGUUUCCGAUAUUUAUAAAUUGGUGGCCCCUUGGAAAUUUAACUGGAAGUUUGCAAGUGUCAAUCAGAAAAAAAUCGUCAUCCAUUGUUUUUUUUUUUCUGCAUUCCCUUUCAUGUUCUUAAUAAUUGAGGACAGGUUGUUCAUAACAUUUAUACUUUUCAAAUGUGGAGCUGCAUUUAAUGUCGCUAUUUUAAUUUGGGAUUAAAUUAGGGGAACACUAACUUUUAUAUUUAUCUAAACUCCUUAAAUUUAAGACAGAUUAUGGCGUAAAUAAGAAUAUAAUAAUAACAAAGGAAUUAAAAAGUAUAAUGACGAUCUUGCAGAAAUAUAAAUAUUAGCGUUGAAUUAAAUAACAUAGAACACAUGAAUUGAAUAGUGAUUAUCAAGACGGUGUUACUUGCACUCCUAUUUAUAAAAAAUCUUGGUUCUGUUCCAUUAGAUUUUUUAUCUUCAAAAUCUUGCAAAGUUUUGACAACCCAAAGGCUCAGUUUGGUUGUUCUAUAUUUGUAUGAUAUGAAUUCAAAUUUUUGUGUUCUGUUUUUCUUAAUUCUGAACACGGAUUCUUCUCUUCUCGUGCAAACCAGAAAGAAAUGUUGUCUUACAAAAAAAAAAGGGGAAUAACUUCAUGAGAACAAAAAUUCAGAAAAAUAAUAUAAAGUUUAUAUUUAGACUUUUGUGGUAUAUUUUAAUUUUCAACAAUGAGUUAAAGAAAAUAAUAAAUAAAGUAAAUAAAAGUUUAGAGAUUCAAAUUUUUAGUAUUGGAUUCUUUAAUUCAAAUACCUCUCAUUAAUUAACACUUAAAAGAGAGUUCACUAUUAUAAUUUUAAGUUUUUUGAUUUAUUAUUGAUAUAUAAAUUAGGAGUUUAAGCUUACUUUUUUAUUUUUCCAUUUUUUUUCAAAUUUGAAAUUAUUAUUUAAAUUUAUAAUUUUUUUUAAAAAAAUAGAGGGCUUGAGCCUGGCUUGGGUAUUGUUUCCUAAACCCUUAUCCGGCCCUGGCUUUUUUGCCAGCCCCAAUGAUGAUGAUGAUGAUUAUUUUAUUAUUAUUAUUAAUGAUGAAAAGUAUUAUAAUUAAUUAAUAUAUUAUUGUAUUGUUAUUAAGAUUAACAAUAAUUAUUAAUGAUAACAAUUUUUUGAAUAAAAAUAAUCACAAUAAUUAAAAUAUAAAUUAAUAAUUAUAACAAUAGUUAAUUAAUGUAUUUUUAACAAUUUGUAAUAAUUUAACUCAUUCUAAUUUCGAUUAUUAUAGUUAAGUAAACAACUUAUUAUAAUUUUCAUUCUCCAUUUUAAUUUCAGCUCAUUUCGAUUUCAGUCUAUUCCAAUUUUCAUUUAAUAAACGUUCCAUUAAUGCUAUAGUAAUAUUUCAUAUAGAAAAAAAUAAAAGCUACAACUAAGGUUAAGGGAAAGGACUUCAAAACUCUCUUUUUGUCAUAAUACAUUUUUUCCUAAUUAACUUAAAGAGUUUGAAUCUAAUAUUUUAUAAUAAAUAAAAAUAUAUUCCAAAAGUAAAUAUAAUAUAUCUAUUUUAAACUAAUCUCAAUAUUUAAAAUAUAUUUAAUAUUUUACAAUCUAUUAGACAUAUUUUAUUAUAUUAAAAUAAAUUUUAUAAUAAAUAUGAACAUACUGUUAAAAUGAAUAUAUAAAAAACUUAGAGUAUUUUGAAUAUUAUAUAAAAUAAUUUUAGUAGAAUACGUGAGAUAUAUUUUAUUAAUGUAAAAUGCUAUUUAAUCUAAAGAUUCAUUUAUGAUAAAUUAAUAAUUAUAUUUUUAAAAUUAUUUUAAAAAUUAAAUUUUUUUAAUAUUAUUAAUCUAUUAGACAGAUAAAAUUAUUUAUAUUAUUUUGUAUUUAUUAAAAAAAUUUAAAGUCAAUUUUUUUAAUUACUAUUCAAAGGAUAUAAUAAUUAAAAAAAUCUUAGCGUUUUCAUUAAAAAUUUAAAAAUUUACAUGACUAUUUCUGUAAAUAUUUAAGGUAUAUAUGAACUACGGUAGAGAAGCUUCAUUUAAUAUUAUUGAUUUAAAUAAUAUCUCAAUUAAAAAUGUACAGAGAAUAUAUUUCGGUGGGUAUUUUAAUCUUUUUAGCAAUUAUCAUGGUUAGCCCUUGGCCUUGAAACGUCUGUCAGAAAGGUUUUCAAAUGCUUUAAUUGUUCUUAUUAAAAAAAAAAUCUUUAAUUGUUUUUUCACUUUUAACGUCAGCGGCCUUGAAAGUGCUUUUACUUUAUAACAAAUUAAUUAAUGCUGACGAGAAAAUAUCUCUUCCACAGCCCACAGCAGCUUCUGUUAAUCAAACUCAACCAAUUUUCUCUCUUAACAAAAUUCCAAAGAUGGGUAGCAUUUUUCAGAUCACAUGCGACGGCGCUUUUUUCAAUCGUUGCUUUGGAUUGCUUUCUUGGAAAAGCAGCAUACAUAAGCAACAUCCAAGAUAAUCUUGUAGCCUUGGAGACUGAACUGGGAAGACUAAUCGCAGCAAAGAACGAUGUGAUGAUGAGGGUUGUCAAUGCUGAACGACAACAAAUGAAAAGGCUGGGCCAAGUGGAAUGGUGCGUUUCGAGGGUGGAUGCUGUUAAAAUUGAAGCUGAUGAACUUAUCAGAGACGGCUCUCAAGAAAUUGACAAAUUAUGUGUUGGAGGCUACUGUUCUAAGAACUGCACGUCAAGCUACAAGUUCGGGAAACAAGUGGCUAAAAAGCUACGAGAUGUGGAGACUUUAAUCGCCGAAGGAGUUUUUGAGGCGGUGGCUACCGAGGUGGUGCCUGAGAGAGCUCCAGAGCCUGUAGCAGAUGAAAGACCUACCGAGCGAACAGUAGUAGGCUUGCAAUCACAACUUGAACAAGUCUGGAGAUGUCUUGCAGAAGAAUCAGUGGGAAUCAUUGGCCUAUAUGGUAUGGGCGGUGUUGGUAAAACUACAUUACUGACCCAUAUCAACAAUAAAUUUCUCGAGAGUCCAACCAACUUUGAUUGUGUGAUUUGGGUAGUAGUUUCAAAAGACCUGCGACUUGAAAAAAUUCAAGAAGAUAUUGGAAAAAAGAUAGGUUUGGUUGGUGAUUCGUGGAAGAGUAAAAGUGUAGAGGAGAAAGCUGUCGACAUCUUCCGGAGUUUAAGAGAGAAGAGAUUUGUAUUGUUGUUAGAUGAUAUAUGGGAGCGGGUUGAUUUAACAAAGGUGGGCGUUCCACUUCCCGGACCAAAAAAUACUACCUCAAAAGUUGUAUUCACAACCCGUUUCAUCGAUGUUUGUGGUAGCAUGGAAGCUGACAGGAAGUUCCAAGUGGCGUGCUUAUCAGAAAAGGAUGCUUGGGAACUGUUUCGAGAAAAAGUUGGGGAAGAAACUCUUCAGAGUCAUCAUGAUAUCGUUGAGCUAGCCCAAAUUGUGGCCAAAGAGUGUGGUGGUUUGCCACUCGCACUUAUUACUAUUGGUCGAGCUAUGGCCUGCAAAAGGACAGCCGAGGAGUGGAGACAAGCAGUUGAAGUGCUAAGAAGAUCAGCUUCUGAGUUUGCAGGUUUGGGAAAAGAGGUGUAUCCUCUUUUAAAGUUUAGCUAUGAUAGUUUGCAGAAUGAGACGAUUAGAUCUUGUUUCUUAUAUUGUUGUUUAUAUCCCGAAGAUUAUGGAAUUCUUAAAUGGGACUUGAUUGAUUGUUGGAUUGGUGAGGGAUUCUUAGAGGAAUCUGACAGGUUUAGUGCAGAAAACCAAGGAUACUACAUUGUGGGCACUCUUGUUCAAGCAUGUUUAUUAGAAGAGUUAGAAGAUGAUAAAGUAAAAAUGCAUGACGUUAUUCGUGAUAUGGCUCUAUGGAUAACCAUUGAAAUUGAGAAGCAGAAGAGAAACUUUUUGGUUCGUGCAGGUGCUGGAUUAAAAGAGGCACCGGCUGUUAAAGAAUGGGAAAAUGUGAGAAGAUUGUCAUUGAUGCAAAACCAAAUUAAAACUCUGUCAGAGGUUCCUUCAUGCCCUCAUCUCCAUACUCUAUUUCUUGCCUCUAAUGAUAAUUUGAGGAUGAUCACGGAUGGCUUCUUUCAAUUUAUGCCUUCUCUCAAAGUUUUGAAGAUGUCAAACUGUGUGGAUUGGCCAGUUUCGAAAUUACCUUUGGCGAUGUCAAAGUUGGGUUCACUACAACUUCUUGAUAUUUCACAUACCGGCAUAGAANNNNNNNNNNNNNNNNNNNNNNNNNNNNNNNNNNNNNNNNNNNNNNNNNNNNNNNNNNNNNNNNNNNNNNNNNNNNNNNNNNNNNNNNNNNNNNNNNNNNGAAGAGUUGAAGUUGUUGGUAAAUCUGAAAUGUUUGAAUUUGAGGUGGACAUUUGAGUUAAAUAAAAUUCCAUGGCAACUAAUAUCAAAAUUUUCAAGGUUACGUGUGUUGAGAAUGUUCGCUACUGGCUUUGCACGUUUUGAUGAAGCAUCAGAAGACAGCGUUUUAUUUGGUGGGGGUGAAGUUUUAGUACAGGAAUUGGUCGGUCUGAAAUAUUUAGAGGUAUUGGAGUUGACCUUGGGAUGUCAUCAUGCUCUCCAAAUUUUUUUGAGCUCAAAUAAGUUAAAAAGUUGUAUUCGAUCUCUUCUCCUCCAGUUGGCCGGAGAUACAACGUCGAUUAUUGAUGCUACGGCUUUCGCAGAUCUAAACCACCUCAAUGAAUUAUGCAUUGAUAGGGCUAAGGAGUUGGAAGAAUUGAAGAUUGAUUGUAAAGAAAUAGUACAAAAAAGGCGGGAACCUUUUGUUUUCCGCAGCCCUCACCGUGUUACUAUACAUAGCUGCCAGAAGUUGAAAGAUUUGACAUUCCUCGUUUUUGCUCCAAACCUCAAGUCUCUCGAUCUAGACCGUUGCGAUGCUAUGGAAGAAAUAAUCAGCGUCGGAAAAUUUGCUGAGACUCCUGAGAUGAUGGGACAUAUAAGCCCUUUUGAAAAUCUCCAAAUGCUUGAUUUAGAAGAUUUGCCUCAUUUGAAGAGCAUCUUCUGGAAGCCAUUGCCUUUCACUCAUCUGAAAGAAAUAUCUGUGGGUUAUUGCCGUAAUCUUAAAAUGCUUCCACUCGAUUCCAACAGUGCAAAGGAGCGUAAAUUUAUUAUUCGUGGAGAAGAAGACUGGUGGAACCGACUUCAAUGGGAGGAUGAAGCCACUCAAAUUGCUUUUCGUUCCUGUUUCCAAUCUCUUUUUGAUUAACUCUUAUACAUUUUCUCGUCGUUUGCUUCAUGCAAAAGACUACGUCUUUUGUUCUCUGUUUUUAUUUCAGUUUCGUUUUGUCUCCUGCAAAUCACAAUUAAAUGUUGAAUUAUAUGGAAGUAAUGCUUUAUAAAUUUGCCGGCACUGCCAUUUAUUUUUCCUCUUUUUUUUUUUGGGUCGAAUUGAUGCUCUGGCUUUUUUAUUUUUUGUCAUCGAAUUUUGCUCUGUUUUUCAAAUUGAUGCUUGAAUAUGUGAAUUCAAUUAAUGCUCACAUAAUUUUGUUUAGUUGCCGUAAAAGAAUAUAAUUAGACUGAAAUUCGCACUCCCAGAAUGAAUAGAAUCACAACAGAGAAAAUAUUAAGUAUGCUAGCCCUCUUUACAGAAAAUCAAAUGAAAAUAAAAUUUUUUGGAUAUUUGAUUUUCUAUGGUCUACUAUAUACACUUUAUAAAUUCUUCUGUUCUAAGGAUAACCAAGUAGGGGAUUGAUGAAGGCUCCUUUUUGGGAUUCUUCUUUUUCUAGGCUGCAAUUAGGAUAUGUACAUGAUAGACAAUCUUUUGUUGGUUUAGCAUAUCUUCGCUGAUUUUGUCUUUUAUUCCCCAAUUUUAUAAUUACACACCAUGAAUGUUGGGUGAUUGUAUAGAAAAUUUGUGUUAUAACAAAAACAUUGUGAAGGAGUUUCCGUGCUAAUAGUUAGUGGCUUCUGUUUUAUUGGUAUUGAUUGGGUAGAUUUCGUGUUACAGUGAUUCAAUUUGUGUUCCAAACUUUGCUUUAAUUUUCUGUUUUCCCCAACUAUUUAUGUCAAAUUUAAAUCCAGAAGCAUGUACUGAUUUUUUCUUUUUGUAUUAAUCUGUGAAGUUUACUUGGAAUGGAAGUAACUGGGUCGGGUCUAAUGGAUUAAAUUAUGACAUUGAGGGGAAGGCACUAAAAGGGUUUGCUUGACACAUUUGGUUCUGUAUUUACUCUGCAAGAAAUAGCUUUUGCUUAUUGCAAUGCAGGGGGAAAUCCCGAUUUGGCUGGUGAAUUUCUCUGCAACAAACAGGCAAACGCCUCAACCUCUUCUGUCCAUACUUCUGCUGGGGAGGCAAGGGGUAAAGAGUCUUCAAAAUCAUCAAAUAGUAACAUCUCUGAGAAUUCAUUUUAUGGAAAUGGAAAAUCUAGAGCUUCUAAUACAAAAUGGCAUCUGGUAUCAGGACGUACCGUUUCAAGUUUUCUUGGUAAAGAUUAUGUUAAACCUGCACAGCCAGCUAAUGGCACUGUUCUGGCAUCAAAGCCAUUGAAGUUGGAUCCAAGGGAGUUUCGCAUUUCUGCACUUUCAGAGUAGAAACUAAACCAAAACAAUCAAAGGAUGACCAUUUGCAGAAGGAUAUGGAAGAUUUUCUGUUUAAAUUGCUAGGAGAAGGGUUCCAGCUGUACAGGGAUGUGAUUCAGGAGGUUCAUGGAAACGUCUUAAAUAUAUUGAUGCCAAUUUAAUACAUAUUGUCCUUUUCAAUGUUCUUUCUUUCUUUCUCCUCUUUUUAUUCUUCUUCUUCUUCUUUUUUCUUUUCGUGUGCAUGUGAUCACUAAUUUGGUAUUAUUCUUAACUUGCAGAUAGUUGUGGAUAUGAUAUGCAAAAUAUCUUCUUGAUGCUGGCAGAUUCACUUGAUUCUUAUUAGUUUGUUUAGUGGCAAGGCAUAUAACCUGUAUUUCAAAGCCAAGUUGUGCUAUUGAUUAUGUUAACUUUAUUGUUAACAUAAAGUGAUAUGGAGGACAUAAUCAAUGUAGGAAAAUUAGGUGAAGAGAUGAUGUCAAAUCUUGAACCUCUUACAAAGCUCCAAGUUCUUUACUUGAAGAAGCUGCCAAAUUUGAAGAGCGUCUACUGGAAGGCAUUUCCAUUCCCAGAUGUAUGCAGAAUUUUUGUAUUAAUGCCCAGUUCUUAAGAAGCUGCCACUGGAUUUUCAAAGGGCGGGCCAAGGUGAAAUUCUUAUCAAGGGAAAGGAAGAUUGGUGGAAAGAACUUCAAUGGGAGGAUCAAGCAACUCAGAAUGCAUUGCUUCCAUUUUUCAAAUCAACUGACAAGUGAUUGAAGGGGGCAUCAUCAACAGAGAUGGAGAGAUUCUGGAGCAGAUCAACAGGGUUUGUAUAUGAUCUUUGGUGGUUGCUUUCUUUUGUGAUUUUUUUUUCUCAUUUUUUUUCCUUCCUGUCAUUUUAUCAUUUCUUUGUCUCUUUUUCUAUUGCUGAUGUUAGUGUAUGCUUACUGUUGCUUGACAAAGUUUGCUUGCUUCUUGUUUAUUAAAUUUUUUAUGGUCACAAAAUAUUACUUGUUCUAUUUGAGAGUGAUGUGAAUCAAUUUUCAAUUAUAUAUUUUGUGGUCAAUGUGAAUUCAAUUUCAUUUGUCUCCUGCAAUUAUGAAAAAAAUGCAGAGUCAUAAUAUGGAAAAGUCGACCGGCAAAAACUUUGUGAAAGCUUCGGAGUGAAACAGGGAAUUCACUUACUACUAAGGACAAUUGGUGGCGAGCUAUUCCAUUCAUUUUAUGUCCAUACAUCUAUUUAAUUAUUGAAGAUAAGUGGUCCAUUUGUAAAUUUCAGAUUGUCCCUCUCUCUUGAAAUAACGAUAUUUAAAAUAUUUCUUAAAUUAUUAUAAAUUUUAAUUUACUCUGGAUUUAAAAUGGAACAUGAUGAAAAUUUUUUUUUCUUCUUAAUAAAAUUGAAAUAAAUUGUGUUUGCAGUAGUUUGAAAUAUUUUAAAGAUUAUUAUUUUAUAAGGGAGUAAUAUGAAAUGAAAUUUACUUUUCAUGCGUGAAAUGUUGAAAAAGGACAAAGCAAGUGUCCCUGUUUUUAUUUUAUUUCAAAGUGGAGUCAUCUCACGUACUUUAGCUCUUAACAUUAUAAUUUUUCUGGUUACAUUUUUAUUAUUAUUUUUUUUUUUUACACAUGCAUGUGGGUUACUUUUCCGUAAGCUCCUUAAUAUAUAUUUAACACAAAUCAUGGAAGAGAUGGGAGUAUAUCAAGAUGAUCAAAGCAUGAAACAAAAAUAUUUAAGAAGUAAAACACUGAAAAUGGAGAAGAGAUGCAAGCAAAAGAUAUUCCAAAGAAAAGCAAUCUAUCCCCCUUUCGAGGGCAAACUUAUCAGGUUUAAGAAAAGUACAUGCUUUGGAUUGGUAGUUGCAGCCUUGCAGGAUAAUUGUUUUUGCCACUAUAUUAGUUGGAGGAGUUGAACCCAGCGAAGAAUGUUAUGGAAGAGCAAAGGAUUAUGUAGCCUGAAUGGAUGUCUUGUUGAAAGAUAUCUCAGUGCAUUAGUUCAUCCUUGUCUGUCAAUGUGUUUUUAAUGGUUUUUCCAAUUGUUUAUUAUUAUAGAUUGAUUGUAAAUUGAUAUGAAUUUAAUGUUGAAAUAUUUUCUCUUUAGUGGAAUGAAUUUAAAAGUGCAAAAGCUUAUUGCACACAGAGAAAUAAACAUAUAUGCUUUAUAGUAUAACUUUAGCAAUCGAUUCUUUUACAGCUGGAAACAGAGAUGGUGAUUAUCAUAGGGGUGAAGAAAAGGACAAAAAAUGUUAAUGAUUAACGAAAUUUCUAUGCAAAUUGAUUUUAGCAGGAAAAAAAGUGAGCUAAAUGAUCUUAAUGUUCCACAAAAGCAAAUCGUAAUAUUCCACAAGAAAAAGCAAGAUCUUAAUGUUCCACAAAAGCGUUAUUUUUUUUUUGGUGAGCCACGUGGAGCUCAAUUAUCAUUGUCUUUACUUUAAAAACGUUAUUUUAUUUUAUUUUAUUACAAAUUAAUGCUAAACAAGAAAAAGCAAGAUAUAAUAUUCCACAAAAGCAAAUCGUAAUAUUCCACAGAGGAAUAAGAUCCACAAAAGCAAACAACUAGCUGGAUUCUUUUACUGAAUUACAAAUUAAAGUGGAAUCUUUUAUUAAACAAUAAAUUAAAGUUCGAAUAUUUAAGUAGUAGUGCGUUAGAUGAUUAGGCUCUCUUAUUAAAGGCAAGUAUAAGGUAGUCCAGAAUCGAACAUCUCUAUUGUCUAGUCAUUUUUUUCAAUUCUUCUUUUAUUAUUUUUCAGAAUAGGUUUUGGUGAUUACUAUUGGGUUAUUAGUCAGAGUUAUUCUUAUCUUCCGGGGCAGUUUCUGUUCAUCGGAAUUGUUAAUUAAAAGAGUAAUGAUAUAGUCACAAACUCUUGUAUAAACUUAUUUUGUACAAACUGAUGUGGCAUGAUAAGAUUAGUUGAAUUAAAUAUCACUUAGGCCACAUGAUUUAUUUUUAUUAUUUUAUAUUUUCAUUCAACCAAUGAAUUAAUGCCACGUCAGUUUGUACAAGAGUUUGUGGCUGUAUCAUUACUCUAAUUAAAAUUUUAGAACUCUUGUGGGAAGAAUGUUUUUCUGUUAUCUUUUUUACAUUCUAAUUUCAACAAUAAGAAGGAGUCAUUUUAGAAUUCGGGUCUUGAAUCGAAUUUCAAUGCAUGAAUUAAUAUUUUAAAAAAAAAUUACUACACGCAGUUUAGGUUACAAACUAUUUUUUGCAAAGUUGACUAUGAAAUUGGAGAAAUUAAGUAAUUUAUAAUGUUUGCAAAGGAAGAGACUAACAUACUUCCAAUUACACUAUAUCUCUAUUAUCAUAAUGUUAAGACUAAACUAACUUAAAAUAAAUUUUAUUUGAAAAGUUAUAUCAAACACAGUCUAAUUUUAUUAACUUGAAGAGAUAAUAGUUAUAGAAAUGAUUGUUCUAACUUAAUUAGUACAAGUGGUAUAAAGGUUAAGUGUGCACUAAAUUUGUUUAAAUUUUUUCCAGAAUAACUAACAGAGGUCAUUAUUAGAAUUAUAAUUACUAGUCUAUUAGAUAGAAAAAAUUAUAUAUAUUGUUUUAUAUUUAUUAAAAAAAUUUAAAGUCAAUCUUUUUAAUUAUUAUUUAAAGGAUAUUAUAAUUUAAAAAAAUUUAAUGUCUUUAUUAAAAAUUUAAAAAUUUACAUGACCGUUCUAUAAAUAUUUAAAGUGUAACUGUCAUUUUCUCAUGUAUAUAUAUAUAAACCACGGUGGUGAAGCUUUAUUUAAUAUUAUUGAUUUAAAUAACAAUAUCGCAAUUAAAAAUGUAGAGAGAAGAAAUUUUGGUGGGUAUAUUAGUCUUUUACAAUUAUCAUGAUUAGCCCUUCCUCUUGUAACGUUGGUCAGAAAAGUUUUAAAAUGCCUUGAUUUCUUUUACUUUUAACGUUAGCGGCCUUCCUUAUAUUUUAUUACAAAUUAGUCCUAACAAGAAAAAGCGAGAUCAUAUUCCAAAAAAGCAAAAGUGACAAAAAAACCAGCUGUAUUCUUUUAUUAAACUACAAUUUAAAAUGAUUUUAAAGUGGAUUCUUUUGAAUACAGGUGGGGUAGUCGAAUAGUCUUUUUCAAAUUCUUGUUUUAUUAUUUUUCAAAACUAGUUUUUGGUAAUUACAAUCGGGUCAUUCAUUAGUCAUUAUUCAGAGUUAUUGUUAUCUUCGGGGGCAGUGGGUAAAAGGCUAAAUGAUAAUUACUAAGUGUUUUUCCUUCAAAAGUUAGUGGCUCGUGUUUUGCAAGUGUGUACGUGCGAUGCUCUUUGUCUAAAGGCAAUUACAGUGGGUCCCGAAUCGGACGUGCCUAAUAAAUCUUUUAAAAUUUUUUCUAAUAAAUAUUCCUAAAAUUUCUCUUCCACAGGCAAUUACAGCAGCUUCAGUUAAUCAAACUCAAUCAAUUUUCUUUCUUAACAAAAUUCCAAAGAUGUUUGGCUGUUUUCAGAUCACAUGCGAUGGUGCUCUUUUCAAUCGUUGCUUGGAUUGCUUUCUGGGAAAAACAGUAUACAUACGUAACCUCCCAGAUAAUCUUGUUGCCUUGGAGACUGAAUUGGGAAAUCUAAUCGCAGCAAAGAACGAUGUGACGAGGAGGGUUGACAAUGCUGAACGGCAACAAAUGAGAAGGCUGGACCGAGUGCAACGAUGGAUUUCGAGAGUGGAAGUUGUUGAAACUGAAGCCGAUGAAUUGAUAAGACAUGGCUCUCGAGAAAUUGAAAAAUUAUGUGUUGGAGGCUACUGUUCCAAGAACUGCAUGUCAAGCUACAAGUUCGGAAAACAAGUGGCUAAAAAGCUACGGGAUGUGCGGACUUUAAUCAGUGAAGGAGUUUUUGAGGUGGUGGCUGACAGAGCUCCAGAGCCUGUAGCAGAUGAAAGACCUACUGAGCCAACAAUAGUAGGCUUGCAAUCACAACUUGAACAAGUUUGGAGAUGUCUUGUAGUAGAAGAAUCAGUGGGAAUCAUUGGCCUAUAUGGUAUGGGCGGUGUUGGUAAAACCACACUAUUGACCCAUAUCAACAAUAAAUUUCUUGAGAAUCCAAUCAACUUUGAUUGUGUGAUUUGGGUUGUAGUUUCAAAAGACCUGCGACUUGAAAAAAUUCAAGAAGAUAUUGGGAAAAAGAUAGGUCUGUUUGAUGAUUCAUGGAAGAGUAAAAGUGUAGAGGAGAAAGCUGUCGACAUCUUCCGGAGUUUAAGAGAGAAGAGAUUUGUAUUGUUGUUAGAUGAUAUAUGGGAGCGGGUUGAUUUAACAAAGGUGGGCGUUCCACUUCCCGGACCACAAAAUACUACCUCAAAAGUCGUAUUCACAACCCGUUCCAUCGAUGUUUGUGGCAGCAUGGAAAGUCACAGGAAGUUCCCAGUAGCAUGCUUAUCAGAAGAGGAUGCUUGGGAGCUGUUUCGAGAAAAAGUAGGGCAAGAAACUCUUGAGAGUCAUCAUGAUAUCGUUGAGCUAGCCCAAACUGUGGCCAGAGAGUGUGAUGGUUUGCCACUCGCACUUCUUACUAUUGGUCGAGCUAUGGCCUGCAAAAGGACAGCAGAGGAGUGGAGACACGCAGUUGAAGUGCUAAGAAGAUCAGCUUCUGAGUUUGCAGGUUUGGGAGAAAAGGUGUACUCUCUUUUAAAAUUCAGCUAUGAUAGUUUGCAGAAUGAGACGAUUAAAUCUUGUUUCUUAUAUUGUUGUUUAUAUCCCGAAGAUUAUGGAAUUCUUAAAUGGGACUUGAUUGAUUGUUGGAUUGGUGAGGGAUUCUUAGAGCAAUCUGACAGGCUUAGUGCAGAAUACCAAGGAUACUACAUUGUGGGCACUCUUGUUCAAGCAUGUUUAUUAGAAGAGUUAGAAGAUGAUAAAGUAAAAAUGCAUGACGUUAUUCGUGAUAUGGCUCUAUGGAUAACCAGUGAAAUUGAGAAGGAGAAGAGAAACUUUUUGGUUCGUGCAGGUGCUGGAUUAAAAGAGGCACCGGCUGUUAAAGGAUGGGAAAAUGUGAGAAGAUUGUCACUGAUGCAAAACCAAAUUGAAACUCUGUCAGAGGUUCCUACAUGCCCUCAUCUCCUCACUUUAUUUCUUGACUUUAAUCAGGAGUUGGAGAUGAUCGCGGAUGGUUUCUUCCAAUUUAUGCCUUCUCUCAAAGUUUUGAAGAUAUCAAACUGUGGAAACAUUUUUCAAUUACCUGUUGGGAUGUCAAAGUUGGGUUCACUAGAACUUCUUGAUAUUUCACAUACCUUCAUAAAAGAGUUACCAGAAGAGUUAAAGAAGUUGGUAAAUCUGAAAUGUUUGAAUUUGAGGUGGACAAGGGAGUUAAAUAAAAUUCCACGGCAACUAAUAUCAAAUUCUUCAAGGUUACGUGUGUUGAGAAUGUUCGCUACUGGCUACAUACGAUUCGAUGAUGCACCAGAAGACGGCGUUUUAUUUGGUGGGGGUGAAGUUUUGAUACAGGAAUUGCUCGGUUUGAAAUAUUUAGAGGUAUUGGAGUUGACCUUGGGAAGUUAUCAUGCUCUCCAAAUUCUUUUGAGCUCAAAUAAGUUAAAAAGUUGUAUUCGAUCUCUUUACCUCGAGUUGACCGGAGAUACAACGUCAAUUAUUGAUGCUACGGCUUUCGCAGAUCUAAACCACCUCAAUGAAUUAUAUAUUAAUAAUGGUAUUGAGUUGGAAGAAUUGAAGAUUGAUUAUACGCAGAUAGUACGAAAAAGGCGGGAACCUUUUGUUUUCCGCAGCCUUCACCGUGUUACUGUUAUGGAUUGCCAUAAAUUGAAAGAUGUGACAUUCCUCGUUUUUGCUCCAAACCUCAAGUCUCUUACGCUAUUCGAUUGCGGUGCUAUGGAAGAAAUAAUCAGCGUCGGAAAAUUUGCUGAGACUCCUGAGAUGAUGGGACAUAUAAGCCCUUUUGAAAAUCUCCAAUUGCUUGAUUUAGAUAAUUUGCCACAUUUGAAGAGCAUCUUCUGGAAGCCAUUGCCUUUCACUCAUCUCAAAAAAAUGGUGGUGGUACAGAGGUGCGAUCAGCUUGAAAAGCUUCCACUCGAUUCCAACAGUGCAAAAGAGCGUAAAUUUGUUAUUCGUGGAUACACAGGGUGGUGGAACCGACUUCAAUGGGAGGAUGAAGCCACUCAAAUUGCUUUUCGUUCCUGUUUCCAACCAAUGGGAGUACUGAGCGGUGGUCGCAAAAUUUGAUUUCUGGUGAGUGCGUUUGUCUUUUAAAAGAAGAAUUUAAAAGAAAUUUAUUCUUGUCGUUUGUUUUCUUCUCUGUUUUUAUUUCAGUUUCUCUCUCUCUUUGUCUUCUGCAAAUCACAAUUAAAUGUUGAAUUAAUGGAAUUAAUGCUUCAUAAAUUUGCCGGCACUGCCAUUACUUUUUUUUUUUUUAAAUACAAAUUGAUACUUUAUUUAUAUCUUCUUAGCGAUUUAAUUUCCUGUCAAAAGAGGAACGAGAAGAACAUAUGACUUAAACCAAUGCUCGCAUAAACUUGCUGUAAAAAGAUAUAAUCUCACUGAAAUGCACACGUCUAGAAUGAAUAGAAUUAAAACAGAGAAAAUAUUAAGUAUAUUAGCCCUCUUUACCGAAAAUGAAAUGACAAUAAAUUUUUUGAAGUUUUGAUUUUCUAUGGUCAAUUCCACCUUUUGCAAUUUCUUCUGUUCUAACAAAAACCAAUUUCUUUGUUCAAGUAUUUUCGUUUGGGUAUCAAGGAUCUCUAAUCAAUAGCUGGAAGCAAUUCAGAGGGCGCCGAGACCCGAUCGGACCUAGGCCCAAGUUUGGUCUUAAAGCCUGGGCUUGAGCCUGACAAUUAAAUUAAAACAUUAAUUGAUUUAUUGAUUGAAUUGUCGUGCAAUUGAUUUAUGGAGGAUGAAAAAUCAACAUACUUGAAAAUACACUAAUCUUAGCAUCAUCGGUUAAUAACUUUUAGAUUUAUGGGUAAUCAAUAGUUAAGAUCAGUUGUCAUUUAUUUUUUGAAAUGUCCAUAUUCAGUGUACAUUUGAAAAAGACCCAAUAAUUUCUCAUAAAUUUCAAUUAAAAAUAUUCAAUUUGUUAUUUCAGUUCUUUUAUUUUUUAUUUUUUCCAACAUGAAAGCGACUUAAUGUUACUAAAUUGCUUUUAUGGUCUUUGGAUUUUCAUGACCCAAUAAUUGGAACAUAACAAUUUUCUCAAGCGCUCUCCCGCAACAUUUUAUAAUUGAAGCCGCUGGCCCGCCUGUGGUUCCAAACUUUUAUCUUCCUCCUCCUUUAGAUUAAUGCGAGCAGCCUCCGUCCUUGACUAGUUGACUUCUUUUCUUCUUUUUUAAUUAAUUAAUUAAUUAAUUCAGCCGCCCACCUUUCUUUUCCCAAUGUCUUCUACUUUCGAUUUCCUUUAAUUUUUUCUUUAUUUUUAAAAUAUGAUUAUAGUAAUAAUAAAAAAUAAAAAUAAAAAUAAAAAUGAGCAUAUUGUUAGAGUGCAAUUUAUGCACUAGUUUUGUAUUGUUUACUUCCCUUAAUAUCGAUGUUUUGCACUUAAUAAUAAUGUUUUACUUGUGUUUUACUUUUGUAGGUGCAAUUCUAUUGAUUGAUGAUAAAAUUGAGCUAAAAGAUGAUGUUUAAGGAGGAUUGUUCUCUUGGAAAAAUUUCUGAGCGUCAGAAGAACUUUGUUGAUAAGGCGUGGGCGCGUGCUGUCAACUGCGGACCUGCAGUUUUUAGUUUAACGUGUUUUGUAUUUUUGGUUAUUUUUGUAAUUACGAAUUUAAUAUUUCAGAUAUUAGUAUUUUAUUUUAAAUAGAAUUCUAAAAGAGAAGAGAGAGAGAGUAUUUAAGAGAGGAAUCUAUUGUGAAAAAGGGGGGAUUUUGGAUUGAAGAAAAAGAAACCCUAGAUCUAAUUUUUCUCUUCUCUCUAUGAAGAGCUAAACCUAUUUUUCUGGUUGAAGGAUAACGAAGCUUUGAUUCAUCACUACUGUGAGAUCUUUCUUAUGCUUUAAUUGUUUUAUUACUUUUUGGGUAUUUGUUUAUUCUCUGAAUUAGUUUUAUGAUUAUGUUUGUUAAUUAGGUAAUUGGCCACUAUUUAAUUAUCAACUUAAUCUAUUAUCAAUUAAAGGAUUCAUCGUAUGAAGAAUUUAAUGUUUGUGACAAAUAACAUAGCAGAGAGUUGUGUUGUGAGAAUAAACAAUCUAAUUUAAAUGAAUCAUCAUAUGUGUUGAUUAGGAUUUGGGUCUCUCUGGUUUUUCAGGCUGUCAAUUGAUUAAAUUCUAUGAUCGUAUCUAGGGUUGUCUAUUGAUUAGGGAAAUAACCAACGGUCGUACCUUGGUUAUCAACUAAUUAAGGAGAGAUUGGCUAUUAGAGGGUCUCAGUAGCUAUAACCGGUCUAUUCAUAAGUAAUAAUAAUAUAUAUUUGAAUCAAUGAUCAGUAGUCGAAUCAAGCUGAGUUAAUUCCUUCAACCAGAGCUUUCUCCAAUUUGAAUUACAACUUUAAUUUGCAUUCUUGUUAUUUUAAUUUGAUUUUUAUUAUUGUCAACAAUUCCCCCAUUUUACGUUUUACGUUUCAAAAGGAUUUAAAUAAUUACCGAUCUCUGUGGACACGACCCUGCUCAAUCACUAUACACAAUUUAUUUAGAGUAGGAAUUUAUUUUUGUUGGCUUCGACACCCAUCAAAUUUUGGCGCCGUUGCCGGGGAUUGGUGUCAUUUAUUUAAUCCUUUUUACGUUUUACUUGGUGUAUGGUUCGUUCUUCUCGUACAGGUACACUUUCGUUUGAUCCUGAAAUUGAGAAGACAGCUCGCCAGCUGAGACAGCAGACUAAGCGAGCUAAGCAACGAUCCUUGUCGCCUUUGCUUUCUGAAAUAGAUACAGUACCUGAUUUAGUUGAAUCAUCUAGCGAUUCAGAAGAACAAGUGAUGGAUAGAUCUGCACCUGUAGAAAGAACUCUUAGAGAGUUAGCUGAACCAGACUUGAAUCAACAACCACUCUGCAUUCAAUAUGCAGAUUUGGAGGUAAAUUUUGAAUUAAAGUCUGGUCUUAUUCAUUUAUUACCCAAGUUUCAUGGUUUUGCAGGUGAAGAUCCUCAUAAACAUCUUAAGGAGUUUCAUGUUGUGUGCUCAAGUAUGAGGCCACAAGGCGUGACUGAAGAGCAGAUUAAGCUGCGUGCUUUUCCGUUCUCUGUAGAUGGGCUAGCUAAAGAUUGGUUAUACUACUUGCCUCCUGGAUCGAUUACAACGUGGAAUGGUUUGAAGAAGCAGUUCCUUGAGAAGUACUUUCCUGCUUCAAGAGCUGCCAACAUCAGAAAAGAUAUUUGUGGGAUCAGACAACUUCCUGAGGAGACUUUGUAUGAGUAUUGGGAGCGAUUCAAACAAUUGUGUGCCAGCUGUCCUCAGCAUCAGAUUUCUGAUCAACUUCUUAUUCAAUAUUUUUACGAAGGACUGUCAUUGAUGGAUAGGAGUAUGAUAGAUGCUGCUAGUGGAGGCGUGUUGGUGAACAAGACCCCUACUCAAGCAAGGGAGUUGAUCUCAAAUAUGGCUGCCAACGCACAACAAUUUGGCAGCAGACAAGAUGCCACUUCAAGAACGGUGAAUGAGGUAAAUAUUUCUUCUGUUGAACAACGUUUAGAUAAACUUACUUCUCUUGUGGAAAAGUUUGUUGUAGGUAAUGUGCAACAGGUGAAGACUUGUGGCAUUUGUUACAAUAUGGGUCAUUCAACUGAUAUGUGUCCUACAUUUCAAGAAGAACCCGCUGAACAAGCCAAUGCAGUUGGAGGAUUUCCAGGCAUGCCUCAGAGGAGGUAUGAUCCUUAUGCACAAACAUACAAUCCGGGAUGGAAGGAUCAUCCCAACUUCAGCUAUGAAGUUAGGCCGUCAGGAUUCCCACAACAGUAUCCACCAAGACAACCAACACCUCCACAGUCAAAUUCUAAGUCAGGUAUAUCUCUUGAAGAAAUUGUUAAAUCACUUGCAACUAACACUCAACAAUUUCAGCAGGCAACUACAGUAAGCAUUCAGAACUUGGAGAACCAAAUGAGUCAAUUGGCGACUACAGUGAGCCGUCUGGAGUCUCAAGUAUUAGGGAGAUUGCCUUCACAAUCUGAGGUGAAUCCAAAGCAAAACGUUAGUGCUGUCAUCGUUAGAAGUGGGACGGAGUUGCAAGAGCCUAGUAAGAAAGUGACAAAGCAUGUAGAGGAUGAGCUUGAGAAGAAUGAAUUGAUGCCUAAAUCUCAAGAUGCACAACCCACCAGAGCGAAACCCCUACCUAUUGUGAUACCUCCUCCUUUUCCAAGCCGGUUUACAAAAUCCAAGAAGGAGGAACAAGAGAAAGACAUCCUUGAGACAUUUCGCAAGGUUGAGGUAAAUAUUCCUUUAUUAGAUGCUAUAAAACAAAUACCUCGAUAUGCUAAAGUCCUUAAAGAACUGUGCACCUCCAAAAGAAAAUUAAGAGGAGAUGAAAAAGUUCACAUGGGGGAGAAUGUUUCAGCAGUUCUCCAAAAGAAACUACCUCCUAAGUGCAAGGAUCCAGGUAUGUUUACUAUCCCUUGUAAAAUUGGUAGUGUUAGAGUUGAAAAGGCUAUGUUAGAUCUAGGAGCUUCUAUUAAUGUCAUGCCUCGUUCCAUUUAUUCAUCUUUGAAUGUUGGUCCAUUAAAAGAAACUGGCGUGAUAAUUCAACUAGCUGAUAGGUCUAAUGCAUAUCCUGAUGGGGUAUUAGAAGAUGUCUUAGUACAAGUUAAUGAGUUGGUUUUUCCUGCUGAUUUUUAUGUACUUGAUAUGGAAGAUGAUAACUCCUCUAAUUCUGUCCCAAUUUUGCUAGGAAGGCCUUUUCUUAAGACUGCUAGGACUAAAAUGGAUGUACAUAAAGGGACUCUCACUAUGGAAUUUGAUGAAGAGGUUAUAGAAUUCAAUAUGAAUGAUGCCAUGAAAUAUCCUAGUGAGGAACAUUCAGUAUUUUCUGUGGAUGUUAUUAACCCUAUAGUGCAGGAAGUUUGUUACAAGGAAAAAACGAAGACAUUUCAUGAUAGAAUGAUUUUGAGAAAAGAGUUCUCUGUUGGUCAAAAAGUUCUUCUUUUUCAUUCUAAGCUUAAACUUUUUCCGGGUAAAUUACGAUCUUGCUGGGUUGGACCUUUUAUUGUUACUAAUGUUUUUCCUCAUGGUGCAGUUGAGAUUCGGAGUCCGACCUCUGAAAAAGUUUUUAAGGUUAACGGUCAUCGCUUAAAACCUUUUUAUGAAGGUUUUUCGGUAAAUAUUGUGGAGGAUGUGGCUCUUGAGAGUCCCAAUUAUGGAGAUUGAUGCAUAAAUGUGUCUAGCCAAAGACAUAAAACAAAGGCGCUUUUUGGGAGGCAACCCAAAUGAUUUGUUUAUUUUGGUUUUUGUUAUAUCUUCUUUUAAUUUUGAUUCAAAAAAAAAAAGAAAAAUUUUGCUUAUUUUGGUCAGAAGAAAAUUUUUGAUAAGGCGUGCCCACGUCUUAGCUAAUAAGUACUUCUGUAAUUUUUAAAGUAACAUAGUUUUAAGGCGUGCCCACGUACUUAAUAGAAAAGUACUUUUGAAAUUUAAUGUGUUUGCUUAUUUUGGUCAGAAGAAAAUUUUUUAUAAGGCGUGCCCACGUACUUAUUAGAAAAGUACUUCUGAAAUUUUUAGUGUCUCAAAGUGAUUCAUCACUAAAAAAAAAAAAAAAAAAAAAAUUUUUUUCUUUUUUCUUUUUUCGUUCCUUUCUUUCUUUUUAUUUUUUUAUUUAUUUAAAAAAAAAAACCAAAAAUCGAAAAUCACUGUUCACUAUUCACUGUUCACAAAAUCCCUAAUUUUCCAGAACUUGUUUUCUUCUCCAGCCGCUUGCAGCACACCAGCAGCAAACCAGCCGGCCGGAAAACGCACCAUCCCGUGAGCGCAGCACCAGCAUCCCGUGUCUCGCAGCCCAGCAGCGCGCAACGAAGUCCCACCAGCGAAAGCAGCCGCGCGCAACGCAGCAAGCCCCAGCCAUCACCAUCGUGCGAAAUCAGCAGCAACCGUGCAUGCAACACAUCCCGCGAAGCAGUAGCAGUAACGCCCCGCAACGCAGAUCCUCAGCUCCAGCCCGCGCGCACAGCGCAAAUCAAUCCAGCAAUCACCCUCGUGAAGCAGCAGCAGCAACGCCUCGCAACACAGCCACGCACCAGCAUCCCGCACGCAACCAGCGAUGUGCAACUAGCAACCAACAUCCACAGCCCACGCAUCAGCAGCAGCCGCGCGCAACGCAACGCAGCACCAGCAUCCCGCGCGCAGCAAGCUCCAGCCAUCACCAUCGCGCAGCGCAGCAGUCCCAACGCGCGCGCGCAACACAAUCAGUGCCAUCCCGCGUCCAUCAAGCAAGCUCCAGCCGAGCAGCAAUCGCAACGCAACCAGCCUACGACCUGCAUUCCAGGCGCGUGAAUCGAAAUCCGUGACAAGAUGGAGCAGAAUUUGGCCGCAUACUUCAAGAGUGUGGGAUUUAUCCCACCAUUCCCGCCAAACCCAUAGACGUUAUGAGGAUCAAAGCUCACAAUUCAGGGAAGUUUCUUUUUGCCCUUAAUCUUUUAUCCUUACGCUUUAAUUUUUAUGUGAGCUUUGAUUAUCUUACAUUGGGGACAAUGUAAGUUCUUGGUGUGGGGGAGGGAUUUUUGCAUUAUUGAUGUCUGGAAUUAUUGUUUUCACUCUACUCAUCUAUUUUCACUCUACUCAUCCUUAAAUGAUUUUGGAGUUAGUAUGCUUCAUAUAUUAUUAUUCUUCUUUUCUUUUCUUUCUCACUACUUUUUUCCCAUCUAUCUCAAACUAUUCAUAUCUAUUUUUAUUUUACCAUACUCUUUCAUCACUCACAUUUUAUCUUUCACUUUUCAUAUUACUACAUACAUCUUUCUCACUUCUUAUCAUUUUUACCUUUUCUUUUAUAUAUCACUCAUACUUUCUUCUCAUUCUACACCACUAUUGAUGGUUGAUUCAUUUGAAGAGUGUACAUGAUUUGAUGGCAAAUUUACCAACUUUGUGAGGAUUUGAGCCUAUGAGCAACCACUUUGCUAUAAUAUUUUUGUUAUGUGAAUAUCAAUCUUAGUUUGUUUAUUCGAGAACUUGCUUUGUUAUGCAUGUUGAAGCCGCAUUACGAGAUUUUAUGCAUUAAAAUGAUAAGGGCAAACCCUUUUCCAUUUUUCUAUUCUCGCAUUUUUUUUUCUCUACCCGAAGACCUUUAUUUGCUAUCUUUGUUUGAGCCUUAACCAUUACCCAUCUAAUUUUCUCCGUCUACUUAACCAUUUUUCUUCUUUUUGAGCCUCAAUUUAAGGAGAUUUUUGGACUCAUUGUGUGGAUAUAUUUUGUUGCUUUUUCUACCUUGUAAUAAAGUUUCUCAAUUAGAUCAACAAGCAUUAUGCUUGAAUUAAAUUGUGCAAGGUUCAUUUCCUUGUUUUGAUUCAAAAAAAAAAACAAAACAAAAAAAAAGAAAAAGAAAAAAAAGAGGAAAAAGAAAAAAAAAGAAAAAAAAAGAAAAAUCGAAAAAAAAGAAAAAAAAUGUUUACAUUCUUGGUGACUUGAGUAGAAAUAAGCAUUUUGAUAUCAUAAGUUCAUUCAAUGAGUUCAUUCUUCUCAUUUUGAUCUCUUUUUCUUUCGUAAACCUUUCUUUUUCAUUCAACCUAUUUAACCCCAUUACAACCCUUUUAAGACCCUUAGAUUUUUGCAAUUUUAUUCAUGUUUUGUGGAUUGAGAUGUGAUAUAUGAGCAAGCUUAUGGUAAUAGCAUUCUUUGAUUUGAUUUGAGUGAAUAAAUGACACCCUAAACACUUUGAGUGCAUAGAGUGAAGUUAUUGAGAGGGCUAUUACAUCUUGUUGCACUUGAAUUUUGAAUGGAUCUUCUUGGUGGUUGAAUGUUCUUAUUCUAUCUUAUGAGAUUCUAUGCUUUAAAAUCCUUGUCUCUCGAAUGUUGAUCGACUUAAUUUCUUGAGGUAUGCUUGCUUAAAAUUAUUUUUGGAUGAGUUGAGAUGAGAAUUGAGUGGAGAUUUGGGAUUAAUCUUGAGUUAUAUGCUUGAGGACAAGCAUCAUCUUGGUGUGGGGGAAUUUGUUAGAGUGCAAUUUAUGCACUAGUUUUGCAUUGUUUACUUCCCUUAAUAUCGAUGUUUUGCACUUAAUAAUAAUGUUUUACUUGUGUUUUACUUUUGUAGGUGCAAUUCUAUUGAUUGAUGAUAAAAUUGAGCUAAAAGAUGAUGUUUAAGGAGGAUUGUUCUCUUGGAGAAAUUUCUGAGCGUCAGAAGAACUUUGUUGAUAAGGCGUGGGCGCGUGCUGUCAACUGCGGACCUGCAGUUUUUAGUUUAACGUGUUUUGUAUUUUUGGUUAUUUUUGUAAUUACGAAUUUAAUAUUUCAGAUAUUAGUAUUUUAUUUUAAAUAGAAUUCUAAAAGAGAAGAGAGAGAGAGUAUUUAAGAGAGGAAUCUAUUGUGAAAAAGGGGGGAUUUUGGAUUGAAGAAAAAGAAACCCUAGAUCUAAUUUUUCUCUUCUCUCUAUGAAGAGCUAAACCUAUUUUUCUGGUUGAAGGAUAACGAAGCUUUGAUUCAUCACUACUGUGAGAUCUUUCUUAUGCUUUAAUUGUUUUAUUACUUUUUGGGUAUUUGUUUAUUCUCUGAAUUAGUUUUAUGAUUAUGUUUGUUAAUUAGGUAAUUGGCCACUAUUUAAUUAUCAACUUAAUCUAUUGUCAAUUAAAGGAUUCAUCGUAUGAAGAAUUUAAUGUUUGUGACAAAUAACAUAGCAGAGAGUUGUGUUGUGAGAAUAAACAAUCUAAUUUAAAUGAAUCAUCAUAUGUGUUGAUUAGGAUUUGGGUCUCUCUGAUUUUUCAGGCUGUCAAUUGAUUAAAUCCUAUGAUCGUAUCUAGGGUUGUCUAUUGAUUAGGGAAAUAUCCAACGGUCGUACUUUGGUUAUCAACUAAUUAAGGAGAGAUUGGCUAUUAGAGGGUCUCAGUAGGUAUAACCGGUCUAUUCAUAAGUAAUAAUAAUAUAUAUUUGAAUCAAUGAUCAGUAGUCGAAUCAAGCUGAGUUAAUUCCUUCAACCAGAGCUUUCUCCAAUUUGAAUUACAACUUUAAUUUGCAUUCUUGUUAUUUUAAUUUGAUUUUUAUUAUUGUCAACAAUUCCCCCAUUUUACGUUUUACGUUUCAAAAGGAUUUAAAUAAUUACCGAUCUCUGUGGACACGACCCUGCUCAAUCACUAUACACAAUUUAUUUAGAGUAGGAAUUUAUUUUUGUUGGCUUCGACACCCAUCACAUAUUAAAAUAUAAUUUAUCAGAAAACCAAGAUAAAGAAAUAUUAUAAGCACAUCAAUCAAAAAGUGAAAAAAAAAACAAUUUUAAUUUACAUUAAAUAUAAACUUUUAGUGUUAAUCAAUUUUCUAAAUAACUGAAAUUAUUUAAAAAUAAAAAUAAAUUAUUCUUCCCAAAAAAAAAAAAAAAUUACACCCACUCACUGGGCUGUCUGUUAAGAGUCGCUUUAAGGACUGAAGUUGGUAACUUUUUGCAAGUAGUCUUAAGUUGAAUGGCAGCCGCCCACGCUUUAUGUUUGCUAGCCUAGACCUGAUCGGGUCUAGGCCCAAGUUUAGUCUUAAAGUCCAGGCUUGAGCCCGAAAACUAAAUUAAAAAAUUAAUUGAUUUAAUCGUUGUGUAAUUGAUUUAUAGGGGAUGAAUCAGCAGCAUCAUCGGUUAAUCGCUUUCAGAUUUAUGGUUAAUCAAUAGUUGAGAGUUGUUAUCGCCCUGUAUUUUCUUAAUGUUUUUUUUCUCUCUUCCACAGCAUCUUCUAGGAAAGUGCAUCCAUUACUAAAAUUUAGUAUUGUAAAUAAUAAACCAAGUAUAAACAUUAAAUCUAAGAAAUUGUAUUGCAUUUAAUAUUCAAGGGAGAAAAAGAACUAUGGUGCAUUUAUUAACCAGUAAUGAGAAAAGACUAGAAUCAGAAUAUAUUAGAAUUAUAAUGAACCGUAUUAUGUGUUUAUUUUAUUUUAGACUCGAAAUUAAUUAUUUUAAGUUAUUGAAAUACCCUUGAUUUGUUAUCCUAAUUAUUAUUAUUUAAUAUUUAUUGUAAUAUUUUUCAUAUUACUAAAAAGUAGUAAUAAUAAUGAUAAUAUUGGAAUUGUUGUUUUUUAUAUUAUUAUUAUUCAAAACACUUCUUGUUAGCCCAUUCAUACGUGCAGACCAAAACCAAAUCUCUUCUUCUCCUUCUUUUCUUAUAGUGCAGGAUGUGUGUGCUCGGACUUCUCUCUCAUUCUUUUUUCUUUUUAGAUUUUGAAAACCUAAAAAAAAAAGAGUGUAGGAGUUUUUAUUUUCUUAAAACAAGACUUUUUGAAUUAUCCAAUUAAGUUAAAUUCGGUGGCAUCUGGUAUUUACAUUUCUUGUUUUUUUCGCAAGUUAUUAUUGCCUAAUGCUAUGUCAACUCUAACAUUAGCAUUUUUUUUUUUUGGUCCUCUUUUAACACCAAACAUUAGUAUAGGUUAAGUAACAUAAUCAGUACUGGGACAAUUUGAAAUCCCUUUGUGUUUUAUUCACAGUAUCUAUGAGGGCUUAUCCUUUUGCUAGAACAAACUCUAGCAAAUUGUCAAAUGUGCUUAUCUUUUCCCUUGACGACUCAUUUUAAAAUUGUCUUUCAAUGUACAAACACAUACAUAACCGCCGACAUCGAGCACCAAGUUUGGAAUUUAAUUGAUAAGCAUACAUUUGAUAAAUUAAUGAAAAGUUUGGGAGAGUAGUUUUGAUCACCCUCGAUUAGGGUGGUAUCACGGAAAAGAUGAAAAAAAAACAUCGUCUCUUCUUCAACAAAAAUAAAUAUUUUCCGUUGGAAUCUAAAUACAAAAUAAUUGUUUUUUAUUUUUUGAAUUAAAAUUUAAUUAAAUACACAAAUAAUUUAUAUAUUUUUUAAAAAAAAUUUACACCCAGUCACAAGGCUGGCUAUUAAACUUAAAGGGUGGAAGCUUCGGAGACUAAAGUUGGUAACUUCUCCAAGUGGUCUUAUGUUGACUGGAACUACCCAGAAUUUAUGUUUGGUAACCUAGACCUGAUCGGACCUAGGCCCAAGUUUGGUCUUAAAGUCCACAAUUAAAUUUUAAAAAAAUUAAUUGAUUUGUAAUUGGUUUAUGGGAAAUGAAUCAGCAUACCUAAAAUAACACUAAUCUUGACAUAAUGACAUCAUCGGUUAAAAACGUUCAGAUUUAUGGUUAACCAAUGGUUUGAGAUUUGUUAUCAUUAAUGCUAAAUAUUUUUUAACAUUUUUUCUAUCUCUCUCUCCUUAAGGAUUUUCUAGGAAAAUGCAUCCACAACAAAAAUUUUAAAUUGUGAACAAUAAACAAAGUAUAAACGUUAAAUCUAAGGAACUGCGUUGCAUUUCAGUUGAAGCUAACUUUAAUAUUUUACGGAGAAAAAUAAUUAAGUUUUUAAUGUGAUUUAUUUAUUAAUAUAUAUGACUAAUUUUUUAAAAUAAGAUGAAGGGUGAAGCUUAAAAAUAUAAAUUAUAGAAUUAAUUUCUCUCUUCAAUAAAUCUAAAGUUUAUUUUUUUAUUACAUGCUUCUAUUUUAUUUUUAUUCCAUGUUAAUGAAUGGAGAUUUAAAUCCAUUUUGGAUUUAUAAAGAUGUUUAGAUAUUUAAAUCCACGUGUGAUUCCAAACUUCAACCUUUUUUUUUUUCUAAUUAAUGCAAACAGCCGCCUCUUUGACUGCUUUUCUUCUUUGUUUAUUAAUUAAUUAAUUCAGCUGCCCACCUUUCUUUUCCUAAUGUUUUCUAAACUCAAAUUUUUUUUAAGGACAAGGCUACGUUGCAGACGCUUAGCCAGCUUCACAAAGGGUGCAUUUGGUAGGCAAUUUUUCUUUCCUGUGCAUAUGUGUCCUUCCACCAUUAGGUGUGUACGUAACAGAUAAUGUACCGUAACAAGCUCCUAUUUUUAAAUAUGUUUAUAAUGAUAAAAUAUAAAAAUUAAGAUUAAAAUGUAAUGUAAUAUAAAAUUAAAGGUGGAAGAGUAUUAAAAUAAUGUAUAAGAUAUGAAUAAACAAGUCAAUAAGAAAACCAACAAACGGCAAGAGAAAAGGAAUGGUCAUGCAGAUUUCAAAGGUGGCAGUGACAAUGAGAUCUCAUUUUAACCGAUCAAGUCUUUUGACUCUGUCAACUCAAAAAAAUAGAUUCAAAUGUUUUGUAAUAAAUAAAAAUAUAAUAUUAAAAUAAAUGUGAUAACAUAUAUUUUAAAUAAUUUCAAUACAAAAAACAUUUGAAUGUUUUAUAAUUUAUUAGACAUAUUUUAUUAUAUUAAUAUAAAUUUUCUAAGAAAUAUGGACAUAAUAUUAAAAUAAAUUUAUGAAAAUUUAAAUCAUUUUGAAUGUAAAAUAAUUUUAAUGUUUUAUAAUUUAUUAGACAUAUUUUGUUAUAUUAAUAUAAAUUUUCUAAGAAAUAUGGACAUAAUAUUAAAAUAAAUUUAUGAAAAUUUAAAUUAUUUUGAAUGUAAAAUAAUUUUAAUAUUAUUAAUCCAUUAGGUAUUAAUUAUAAAAAUUAUUUAACCCAAAGAUUUUUUAUGUCCUUACAAUAAAUAUAAAUAUAUUAUUUGCAUUUAAAAAUUUAAAAAUAUUUAAAUAAUAUUAAUCUACAAUUAUAUUUUCAUUUAUUAUAAAUAUUUAAAGUCAAAUCUUUUGCACUUCUAUUUUAUUACAAUUAUGGCGCACACAGAAAGAGCCAUAUAUGCUUUAUAGCGUUAGAAAUUGGUUUAUUUUAAAGCUGGAAACAGAGAGGAUGAUUAUUAUAAGGAGAAAAGAAAAAGGGGUAAAGAAUAUUAAUGAUUAACAAAAUCUCUUUGCAAAUUGAUUGCAGUAGAAAAAAAGUGAGCUGAGCAAUCUAAUUUAGUGGUAGAGUGAUAUUUCAUUAGUAGCAAAGUAAGGUUAAGGGAAAGACUUAAGAUCUCGCUUUUGAUUAUAAUAUUUUUUUUAAAAAAAAUUAAUUUUAAUAUUUUAUAAUAAAUAAAAAUAUAAUCUUAAAAUAAAUAUAAUAGUACAUAUUUUAAAAUAAUCUCAUUAUUUAAAAUUGUUUUAAUAUUUUGUAAUUUGCCAGACAAAUUUUAUUAUUUUCAAGUAAAUUUUAUAAUAAAUACAAACACACUAUUAAGAUAAAUAUAUGAAAAAAUUAAAGUAUUUUGAAUAUUAUACAAAAUAAUUUUAAUAUUGUUAAUAGUGAGAUAAUUCUAUUAAUUUAAAAUGCUACUUAACCUUAAGAUUUAUUUAUGAUAAAUUAAUAAUUAUAUUUUUAAAUUAUUUCAAAUAUUAAAAAUAUUUUAAUAUUACUAAUCUAUUAGAUAGACUAAAUUAUUUUGUAUAAAUUAAUUACUAUUUAAAGGAUAUUAUGAUAAAAAGAUCUUAGUGUUUUUAUUAAAAAUUUAAAAUUUACAUGACUAUUUCUUUAAAUAUUUAGGGCAUAUAUGAACCACGGAGGAGAAAAGCUUUAUUUAAUAUUUUAGAAUAGUUUUUGAUCAGUACAAUUGGGUCCUUAUUCAGAAUUAUUGUUCUCUUCCGCAACAGUUUUUGUUUAUCAAAGUCGUCAAUUAAAAUUUUAGAAUUCUUAUCAUCAGAAGUAGUCGUUUUAGAAGUUGGGUCUUGGAUCAAAUUUCUACGAGUGCAUGAAUUAACAAUAAAAAAAAUUUCAUUACACACGGUUUAAGCUACAAAACUACUAUUUGCACAGUUGACUAUAAAACUUACCUCCAAUUACACUAAACCUCUCUAUUUGGUAACGUUGAGACUAAAUUAAUUUUAUUAGCAUGAAAAGAUAAUAGAAAUAUUAUCAUAAAUAUUAUUGUUGUUAAUCAAUUAGUACAUGUGAUAUAAAGGUUAAAUGUGCACUAUAUUUAAUAAUUAAUUAAUUGAACAUGUUAAACAAAAUGUUAAUGUAUAUUUAUAUAGUGUUAGGAAUAUGCAAAGUCAAGUCCUCAAUUUGCAUUAUCCUGUAUAGAAUAUUACUCUAAAAAUGUUUUACUAUAAUUGGCUUAGAACAUUUGUAAAGAAAAUAAUAAUAGUAAUAAUAAAUAACAUACACCGUCACAUAGCAUCUAGACAGUGAUAGAAAAUUGUUAAAGAGAGUGCAAACAAUUAAUUAGAGAUUUUUAUGAUAACUUUUAAUAUUCAUGAUAAUAACAAAUAAAUACAUGUACCACUUUUUUAAAAUAUUAAAUUUGACGUGCUCCAUUAAUAAAUUAUUAUUGUAAUUCAGACUCUAUCUAUAUAUCCUUGCACUAAGAAUAAUUCAGUCAUAAUAAAAAUUUUCGUAACUACAUCUUGUUUCUUCCUCAUAAUAAUAAUAAUUAGAUUGGUUCGAAUAUUAUAACUAUAUAGAUUUAGGUGGCGUUUGUUUUUUUGUCUGAAAUCUGAAUAGACCUGAAUUAGUCUGAAUUCUGAAUAGAUCUGAAUGUUUGAAUCUGAAUAAUAUGUUUGUUUUUUCGUCUGAAUCUCAAAAAAUAAGUAUUAAGUUGUUUGUUUUUUUCAACUUAAAAAGUUAAAAAUAUGUACUUUUACAUUUGUAUCCUUUUAAAUUUGAAUGUCAAAUAAAUAAUAUAUUAAAUACCACAAUAUUUUAACAUUUAUAAGUAAAACUAUAUUCAAGUGAAUACAUAAUUAUUUUGGAAUUUUAAUAUAUAAAAUACCAUAAAAUUUAAAUUUUAUCAUAUAUAAUAUAAGAAAGAAAAAACAAUGAUAUUUUUAUGUGGGGUAAAUGUCUAUGGGUGAGUUUGAGAUAGACCUGAAAAAUAAAUUUAUAAAGCCAGGAUAUUUUUUACAUUACUAAGAAAUUGACUUUAAUUCCGAUUUUUCCCUUAAAUACAAAGCCCAAAAAUUGACUUAUUUUAUUAAGUCNNNNNNNNNNNNNNNNNNNNNNNNNNNNNNNNNNNNNNNNNNNNNNNNNNNNNNNNNNNNNNNNNNNNNNNNNNNNNNNNNNNNNNNNNNNNNNNNNNNNNNNNNNNNNNNNNNNNNNNNNNNNNNNNNNNNNNNNNNNNNNNNNNNNNNNNNNNNNNNNNNNNNNNNNNNNNNNNNNNNNNNNNNNNNNNNNNNNNNNNNNNNNNNNNNNNNNNNNNNNNNNNNNNNNNNNNNNNNNNNNNNNNNNNNNNNNNNNNNNNNNNNNNNNNNNNNNNNNNNNNNNNNNNNNNNNNNNNNNNNNNNNNNNNNNNNNNNNNNNNNNNNNNNNNNNNNNNNNNNNNNNNNNNNNNNNNNNNNNNNNNNNNNNNNNNNNNNNNNNNNNNNNNNNNNNNNNNNNNNNNNNNNNNNNNNNNNNNNNNNNNNNNNNNNNNNNNNNNNNNNNNNNNNNNNNNNNNNNNNNNNNNNNNNNNNNNNNNNNNNNNNNNNNNNNNNNNNNNNNNNNNNNNNNNNNNNNNNNNNNNNNNNNNNNNNNNNNNNNNNNNNNNNNNNNNNNNNNNNNNNNNNNNNNNNNNNNNNNNNNNNNNNNNNNNNNNNNNNNNNNNNNNNNNNNNNNNNNNNNNNNNNNNNNNNNNNNNNNNNNNNNNNNNNNNNNNNNNNNNNNNNNNNNNNNNNNNNNNNNNNNNNNNNNNNNNNNNNNNNNNNNNNNNNNNNNNNNNNNNNNNNNNNNNNNNNNNNNNNNNNNNNNNNNNNNNNNNNNNNNNNNNNNNNNNNNNNNNNNNNNNNNNNNNNNNNNNNNNNNNNNNNNNNNNNNNNNNNNNNNNNNNNNNNNNNNNNNNNNNNNNNNNNNNNNNNNNNNNNNNNNNNNNNNNNNNNNNNNNNNNNNNNNNNNNNNNNNNNNNNNNNNNNNNNNNNNNNNNNNNNNNNNNNNNNNNNNNNNNNNNNNNNNNNNNNNNNNNNNNNNNNNNNNNNNNNNNNNNNNNNNNNNNNNNNNNNNNNNNNNNNNNNNNNNNNNNNNNNNNNNNNNNNNNNNNNNNNNNNNNNNNNNNNNNNNNNNNNNNNNNNNNNNNNNNNNNNNNNNNNNNNNNNNNNNNNNNNNNNNNNNNNNNNNNNNNNNNNNNNNNNNNNNNNNNNNNNNNNNNNNNNNNNNNNNNNNNNNNNNNNNNNNNNNNNNNNNNNNNNNNNNNNNNNNNNNNNNNNNNNNNNNNNNNNNNNNNNNNNNNNNNNNNNNNNNNNNNNNNNNNNNNNNNNNNNNNNNNNNNNNNNNNNNNNNNNNNNNNNNNNNNNNNNNNNNNNNNNNNNNNNNNNNNNNNNNNNNNNNNNNNNNNNNNNNNNNNNNNNNNNNNNNNNNNNNNNNNNNNNNNNNNNNNNNNNNNNNNNNNNNNNNNNNNNNNNNNNNNNNNNNNNNNNNNNNNNNNNNNNNNNNNNNNNNNNNNNNNNNNNNNNNNNNNNNNNNNNNNNNNNNNNNNNNNNNNNNNNNNNNNNNNNNNNNNNNNNNNNNNNNNNNNNNNNNNNNNNNNNNNNNNNNNNNNNNNNNNNNNNNNNNNNNNNNNNNNNNNNNNNNNNNNNNNNNNNNNNNNNNNNNNNNNNNNNNNNNNNNNNNNNNNNNNNNNNNNNNNNNNNNNNNNNNNNNNNNNNNNNNNNNNNNNNNNNNNNNNNNNNNNNNNNNNNNNNNNNNNNNNNNNNNNNNNNNNNNNNNNNNNNNNNNNNNNNNNNNNNNNNNNNNNNNNNNNNNNNNNNNNNNNNNNNNNNNNNNNNNNNNNNNNNNNNNNNNNNNNNNNNNNNNNNNNNNNNNNNNNNNNNNNNNNNNNNNNNNNNNNNNNNNNNNNNNNNNNNNNNNNNNNNNNNNNNNNNNNNNNNNNNNNNNNNNNNNNNNNNNNNNNNNNNNNNNNNNNNNNNNNNNNNNNNNNNNNNNNNNNNNNNNNNNNNNNNNNNNNNNNNNNNNNNNNNNNNNNNNNNNNNNNNNNNNNNNNNNNNNNNNNNNNNNNNNNNNNNNNNNNNNNNNNNNNNNNNNNNNNNNNNNNNNNNNNNNNNNNNNNNNNNNNNNNNNNNNNNNNNNNNNNNNNNNNNNNNNNNNNNNNNNNNNNNNNNNNNNNNNNNNNNNNNNNNNNNNNNNNNNNNNNNNNNNNNNNNNNNNNNNNNNNNNNNNNNNNNNNNNNNNNNNNNNNNNNNNNNNNNNNNNNNNNNNNNNNNNNNNNNNNNNNNNNNNNNNNNNNNNNNNNNNNNNNNNNNNNNNNNNNNNNNNNNNNNNNNNNNNNNNNNNNNNNNNNNNNNNNNNNNNNNNNNNNNNNNNNNNNNNNNNNNNNNNNNNNNNNNNNNNNNNNNNNNNNNNNNNNNNNNNNNNNNNNNNNNNNNNNNNNNNNNNNNNNNNNNNNNNNNNNNNNNNNNNNNNNNNNNNNNNNNNNNNNNNNNNNNNNNNNNNNNNNNNNNNNNNNNNNNNNNNNNNNNNNNNNNNNNNNNNNNNNNNNNNNNNNNNNNNNNNNNNNNNNNNNNNNNNNNNNNNNNNNNNNNNNNNNNNNNNNNNNNNNNNNNNNNNNNNNNNNNNNNNNNNNNNNNNNNNNNNNNNNNNNNNNNNNNNNNNNNNNNNNNNNNNNNNNNNNNNNNNNNNNNNNNNNNNNNNNNNNNNNNNNNNNNNNNNNNNNNNNNNNNNNNNNNNNNNNNNNNNNNNNNNNNNNNNNNNNNNNNNNNNNNNNNNNNNNNNNNNNNNNNNNNNNNNNNNNNNNNNNNNNNNNNNNNNNNNNNNNNNNNNNNNNNNNNNNNNNNNNNNNNNNNNNNNNNNNNNNNNNNNNNNNNNNNNNNNNNNNNNNNNNNNNNNNNNNNNNNNNNNNNNNNNNNNNNNNNNNNNNNNNNNNNNNNNNNNNNNNNNNNNNNNNNNNNNNNNNNNNNNNNNNNNNNNNNNNNNNNNNNNNNNNNNNNNNNNNNNNNNNNNNNNNNNNNNNNNNNNNNNNNNNNNNNNNNNNNNNNNNNNNNNNNNNNNNNNNNNNNNNNNNNNNNNNNNNNNNNNNNNNNNNNNNNNNNNNNNNNNNNNNNNNNNNNNNNNNNNNNNNNNNNNNNNNNNNNNNNNNNNNNNNNNNNNNNNNNNNNNNNNNNNNNNNNNNNNNNNNNNNNNNNNNNNNNNNNNNNNNNNNNNNNNNNNNNNNNNNNNNNNNNNNNNNNNNNNNNNNNNNNNNNNNNNNNNNNNNNNNNNNNNNNNNNNNNNNNNNNNNNNNNNNNNNNNNNNNNNNNNNNNNNNNNNNNNNNNNNNNNNNNNNNNNNNNNNNNNNNNNNNNNNNNNNNNNNNNNNNNNNNNNNNNNNNNNNNNNNNNNNNNNNNNNNNNNNNNNNNNNNNNNNNNNNNNNNNNNNNNNNNNNNNNNNNNNNNNNNNNNNNNNNNNNNNNNNNNNNNNNNNNNNNNNNNNNNNNNNNNNNNNNNNNNNNNNNNNNNNNNNNNNNNNNNNNNNNNNNNNNNNNNNNNNNNNNNNNNNNNNNNNNNNNNNNNNNNNNNNNNNNNNNNNNNNNNNNNNNNNNNNNNNNNNNNNNNNNNNNNNNNNNNNNNNNNNNNNNNNNNNNNNNNNNNNNNNNNNNNNNNNNNNNNNNNNNNNNNNNNNNNNNNNNNNNNNNNNNNNNNNNNNNNNNNNNNNNNNNNNNNNNNNNNNNNNNNNNNNNNNNNNNNNNNNNNNNNNNNNNNNNNNNNNNNNNNNNNNNNNNNNNNNNNNNNNNNNNNNNNNNNNNNNNNNNNNNNNNNNNNNNNNNNNNNNNNNNNNNNNNNNNNNNNNNNNNNNNNNNNNNNNNNNNNNNNNNNNNNNNNNNNNNNNNNNNNNNNNNNNNNNNNNNNNNNNNNNNNNNNNNNNNNNNNNNNNNNNNNNNNNNNNNNNNNNNNNNNNNNNNNNNNNNNNNNNNNNNNNNNNNNNNNNNNNNNNNNNNNNNNNNNNNNNNNNNNNNNNNNNNNNNNNNNNNNNNNNNNNNNNNNNNNNNNNNNNNNNNNNNNNNNNNNNNNNNNNNNNNNNNNNNNNNNNNNNNNNNNNNNNNNNNNNNNNNNNNNNNNNNNNNNNNNNNNNNNNNNNNNNNNNNNNNNNNNNNNNNNNNNNNNNNNNNNNNNNNNNNNNNNNNNNNNNNNNNNNNNNNNNNNNNNNNNNNNNNNNNNNNNNNNNNNNNNNNNNNNNNNNNNNNNNNNNNNNNNNNNNNNNNNNNNNNNNNNNNNNNNNNNNNNNNNNNNNNNNNNNNNNNNNNNNNNNNNNNNNNNNNNNNNNNNNNNNNNNNNNNNNNNNNNNNNNNNNNNNNNNNNNNNNNNNNNNNNNNNNNNNNNNNNNNNNNNNNNNNNNNNNNNNNNNNNNNNNNNNNNNNNNNNNNNNNNNNNNNNNNNNNNNNNNNNNNNNNNNNNNNNNNNNNNNNNNNNNNNNNNNNNNNNNNNNNNNNNNNNNNNNNNNNNNNNNNNNNNNNNNNNNNNNNNNNNNNNNNNNNNNNNNNNNNNNNNNNNNNNNNNNNNNNNNNNNNNNNNNNNNNNNNNNNNNNNNNNNNNNNNNNNNNNNNNNNNNNNNNNNNNNNNNNNNNNNNNNNNNNNNNNNNNNNNNNNNNNNNNNNNNNNNNNNNNNNNNNNNNNNNNNNNNNNNNNNNNNNNNNNNNNNNNNNNNNNNNNNNNNNNNNNNNNNNNNNNNNNNNNNNNNNNNNNNNNNNNNNNNNNNNNNNNNNNNNNNNNNNNNNNNNNNNNNNNNNNNNNNNNNNNNNNNNNNNNNNNNNNNNNNNNNNNNNNNNNNNNNNNNNNNNNNNNNNNNNNNNNNNNNNNNNNNNNNNNNNNNNNNNNNNNNNNNNNNNNNNNNNNNNNNNNNNNNNNNNNNNNNNNNNNNNNNNNNNNNNNNNNNNNNNNNNNNNNNNNNNNNNNNNNNNNNNNNNNNNNNNNNNNNNNNNNNNNNNNNNNNNNNNNNNNNNNNNNNNNNNNNNNNNNNNNNNNNNNNNNNNNNNNNNNNNNNNNNNNNNNNNNNNNNNNNNNNNNNNNNNNNNNNNNNNNNNNNNNNNNNNNNNNNNNNNNNNNNNNNNNNNNNNNNNNNNNNNNNNNNNNNNNNNNNNNNNNNNNNNNNNNNNNNNNNNNNNNNNNNNNNNNNNNNNNNNNNNNNNNNNNNNNNNNNNNNNNNNNNNNNNNNNNNNNNNNNNNNNNNNNNNNNNNNNNNNNNNNNNNNNNNNNNNNNNNNNNNNNNNNNNNNNNNNNNNNNNNNNNNNNNNNNNNNNNNNNNNNNNNNNNNNNNNNNNNNNNNNNNNNNNNNNNNNNNNNNNNNNNNNNNNNNNNNNNNNNNNNNNNNNNNNNNNNNNNNNNNNNNNNNNNNNNNNNNNNNNNNNNNNNNNNNNNNNNNNNNNNNNNNNNNNNNNNNNNNNNNNNNNNNNNNNNNNNNNNNNNNNNNNNNNNNNNNNNNNNNNNNNNNNNNNNNNNNNNNNNNNNNNNNNNNNNNNNNNNNNNNNNNNNNNNNNNNNNNNNNNNNNNNNNNNNNNNNNNNNNNNNNNNNNNNNNNNNNNNNNNNNNNNNNNNNNNNNNNNNNNNNNNNNNNNNNNNNNNNNNNNNNNNNNNNNNNNNNNNNNNNNNNNNNNNNNNNNNNNNNNNNNNNNNNNNNNNNNNNNNNNNNNNNNNNNNNNNNNNNNNNNNNNNNNNNNNNNNNNNNNNNNNNNNNNNNNNNNNNNNNNNNNNNNNNNNNNNNNNNNNNNNNNNNNNNNNNNNNNNNNNNNNNNNNNNNNNNNNNNNNNNNNNNNNNNNNNNNNNNNNNNNNNNNNNNNNNNNNNNNNNNNNNNNNNNNNNNNNNNNNNNNNNNNNNNNNNNNNNNNNNNNNNNNNNNNNNNNNNNNNNNNNNNNNNNNNNNNNNNNNNNNNNNNNNNNNNNNNNNNNNNNNNNNNNNNNNNNNNNNNNNNNNNNNNNNNNNNNNNNNNNNNNNNNNNNNNNNNNNNNNNNNNNNNNNNNNNNNNNNNNNNNNNNNNNNNNNNNNNNNNNNNNNNNNNNNNNNNNNNNNNNNNNNNNNNNNNNNNNNNNNNNNNNNNNNNNNNNNNNNNNNNNNNNNNNNNNNNNNNNNNNNNNNNNNNNNNNNNNNNNNNNNNNNNNNNNNNNNNNNNNNNNNNNNNNNNNNNNNNNNNNNNNNNNNNNNNNNNNNNNNNNNNNNNNNNNNNNNNNNNNNNNNNNNNNNNNNNNNNNNNNNNNNNNNNNNNNNNNNNNNNNNNNNNNNNNNNNNNNNNNNNNNNNNNNNNNNNNNNNNNNNNNNNNNNNNNNNNNNNNNNNNNNNNNNNNNNNNNNNNNNNNNNNNNNNNNNNNNNNNNNNNNNNNNNNNNNNNNNNNNNNNNNNNNNNNNNNNNNNNNNNNNNNNNNNNNNNNNNNNNNNNNNNNNNNNNNNNNNNNNNNNNNNNNNNNNNNNNNNNNNNNNNNNNNNNNNNNNNNNNNNNNNNNCAUCCAAUUUAAAUAUUGACCCAAUUGGGAUGGUCCCCAAAAAAAAAAUUCGUUAAAGGAUAAUUCUAAUUAUUUUUACUUCUCAAACGUUAGUGGGACGUUUGUAUUAGUGCACUCGUAAGCCAAGUGGUCAAAUAUUUAUAUUAAACUACAAUUGCUGACAAGAAAAAUCAAGAUCGUGUUACGCAAGUGGGUCCCGAAUAGGACGUGCCUAAAUCUCUCGUAAGCCAAGUUGUCAAAUAUUUAUAUUAAACUACAAUUGCUGACUAGAAAAAUCAAGAUCGUAUUACAAGUGGGUCCCGAAUUGGGACGUGCCUAAAUCUUUUUAUAAUUUUCCCAGUGUAGCGGACAGAGGUCAUUACUAAAUUUCUCUUCCACACGCCACAGCAGCUUCGGUUAAUCAAACUCAAUCAAUUUUCUUGGCUUCUCCGCUUAUCAAUAUUACAAGGUAUGGGUAGCAUUUUUCAAAUCACAUGCGAUGGUACUAUUUUCAAUCGUUGCUUAGAUUGCUUUCUUGGAAAAGCAGCAUACAUAAGUAACCUCCAAGAUAAUCUCGUUGCCUUGGAGACUGAACUAAGGAAACUAAUCGCAGCAAAGAACGAUGUGAUGACGGCGGUUGUCAAUGCUGAACGGCAACAAAUGAGAAGGCUGGACCAAGUGCAAGUGUGGGUUUCGAGGGCGGAUGCUGUUAAAACUGAAGCUGAUGAACUUAUCAGAGGCGGCUCUCAAGAAAUUGAAAAAUUAUGUCUUAGAGGGUUCUGUUCCAGGAACUGCACGUCAAGCUACAAGUUCGGAAAACAAGUGGCUAAAAAGCUACGAGCUGUGGAGACUUUAAUCGCCGAAGGAGUUUUUGAGGCGGUGGCUGCGGAGGUGGUGCCUGAGAGAGCUCCAGAGCCUGUAGCAGAUGAAAGACCUACCGAGCGAACAGUAGUAGGCUUGCAAUCACAACUUGAACAAGUCUGGAGAUGUCUUGCAGAAGAAUCAGCGGGAAUCAUUGGCCUAUAUGGUAUGGGCGGUGUUGGUAAAACUACACUAUUGAUCCAUAUCAACAAUAAAUUUCUCGAGAGUCCAACCAACUUUGAUUGUGUGAUUUGGGUAGUAGUUUCAAAAGACCUGCGACUUGAAAAAAUUCAAGAAAAUAUUGGGAAAAAGAUCGGUUUGGUUGAUGAUUCAUGGAAGAGUAAAAGUGUAGAGGAGAAAGCUCUCGACAUCUUCCGGAGUUUAAGAGAGAAGAGAAUUGUAUUGCUGUUAGAUGAUAUAUGGGAGCGGGUUGAUUUAACAAAAGUGGGCGUUCCACUUCCAGGACCACAAAAUACUACCUCAAAAGCCGUAUUCACAACCCGUUUGAUCGAUGUUUGUGGUAGCAUGGAAGCUGACAGGAAGUUCAAAGUAGCAUGCUUAUCAGAAAAGGAUGCUUGGGAACUGUUUCGAAAAAAAGUUGGGGAAGAAACUCUUGGAAGUCAUCAUGAUAUCGUUGAGCUAGCCCAGACUGUGGCCAAAGAGUGUGGUGGUUUGCCACUCGCACUUAUUACUAUUGGUCGAGCUAUGGCCUUCAAAAAGACAGCCGAGGAGUGGAGUCAUGCAAUUGAUGUGCUAAGAACAUCAGCUUCUGAGUUUGCAGGUUUGGGAGAAAAGGUGUAUCGUCUUCUAAAGUUUAGCUAUGAUAGUUUGCAGAAUGAGACGAUUAGAUCUUGUUUCUUAUAUUGUUGUUUAUAUCCCGAGGAUUAUGGCAUUCUUAAAUGGGACUUGAUUGAUUGUUGGAUUGGUGAGGGAUUCUUAGAGGAAUCUGACAGGUUUAGUGCAGAAAACCAAGGAUACUACAUUGUGGGCACUCUUGUUCAUGCGUGUUUACUAGAAGAGAUAGAAGAUGAUAAAGUAAAAAUGCAUGACGUUGUUCGUGAUAUGGCUUUAUGGAUAGCUUGUGAAAUUGAGAAGGAGAAGAGAAACUUUUUGGUUUGUGCAGGUGCUGGAUUAGAAGAGGCACCGGAUGUUAAAGAAUGGGAAAAUGUGAGAAGAUUGUCAUUGAUGCAAAACCAAAUUGAAACUCUGUCACAGAUUCCCGCAUGCCCUCAUCUCCAUACUCUAUUUCUUGCCUCUAAUAGGAAUUUGACGAUGAUCACGGAUGGUUUCUUUCAAUUUAUGCCUUCUCUCAAAGUUUUGAAGAUGUCACUCUGCGAUAACUCAACUUUGAAAUUACCUUUGGGGAUGUCAAAGUUAGGUUCACUAGAACUUCUUGAUAUUUCAGAUACCAGCAUAAGACAGUUACCAGAAGAGUUAAAGUUGUUGGUAAGUCUGAAAUGUUUGAAUUUGAGGUGGACAGGUGCGUUAAUUAGAAUUCCACGGCAACUAAUAUCAAAUUCUUCAAGGUUACGUGUGUUGAGAUUGUUCGCUACUGGCUAUUUGUGUCUUCAGGGAGCAUCAGAAGACAGCGUUUUAUUUGGCGGGGGUGAAGUUUUGAUACAGGAAUUGCUUGGUUUGAAAUAUUUAAAGGUAUUGGAGUUGACCUUGCGAAGUUGUCAUGCUCUCCAAUUUUUUUUGAGCUCAAAUAAGUUAAAAAGUUGUAUUCGAUCUCUUUUCCUCCAAUUGAUCAGAGAUAAAAAGUCGAUUAUUGAUGCUACGGCUUUCGCUGAUCUAAAGCACCUCAAUGAAUUAUGGAUCGAUAGAGCUAAGGAGUUGGAAGAAUUUAAGAUUGAUUAUACAGGUAUAGUUCGAAAAAGGCGGGAACCUUUUGUUUUCCGCAGCCUUCACUAUGUGACCAUAUAUAGGUGCUAUAAAUUGAAAGAUUUGACAUUCCUCGUUUUUGCUCCAAGCCUCAAGUCUCUUUUGCUAACCUGUUCCUAUGUUAUGGAAGAAUUAAUCAGCGUUGGAAAAUUUGUUGAGGUUCCGGAGAUGAUGGGACAUAUAAGCCCUUUUGAAAAUCUCCAAAGGCUUGAAUUAUGGGAUUUGCCAGCUUUGAAGAGCAUCUACUGGAAGCCAUUGCCUUUUACUCAUCUGAAAGAAAUGGAGGUAAGUGGGUGUGAUCAGCUUAAAAAGCUUCCACUCGAUUCCAACAGUGCGAAAGAGAGUAAAUUUGUUAUUCGUGGAGAAGCACACUGGUGGAACCGUCUUCAAUGGGAGGAUGGAGCCACUCAAAUUGCUUUUCGUUCCUGUUUCCAAUCUCUUUAAUAUAAAUUCCUAAGCGGUGGUUGCAAAAUUUGAUUUCUGGUGAGUGCUAUUUCCUUAACUUUAACAUUUAUUCUCGUCGUUUGCUCCGUGCAAAAUACUAGGUCUUUUGUUCUCUGUCUUUAUUUCUUUUUUGGGUCUUCUGCAAAUCACAAUCAAAUGUUGAAUUAUAAAUUUGCCAGCAUCGCCUUUUUUUUUUUUGGGCCGGGGUUGGUGUCGAAUUGAUGCUCCGGUUUUUGACUUUUUGUUGUCAAAUUUUACUCUGUUUUUUCAAAUUGAUGCUUGAAUAGUUGAAUCAAAUUAAUGCUCACGUAAAUUUGUCCAGUUGCCGUAAAAAGAUAUAAUUACACUGAAAUGCACACCUCUAGAAUGAAUAGAAUUAAUCAGAGAAAACAUUAAUAAGUGCAGAGUUAGAAUAUGGAAAAGUUCACUGGCAAAUACUUUGUAAAACUUCGGAGUGAAACAGGGAAUGCACUUGCAACUAAGGACAAAUUGGUGGCCAGCUAAUGCCUUCAUUUUAUUUACAUUCAUCUUUUUAAUUAUUGAAGAUAAGUGGUUCGUUGCUUUUGUUGUAGAUAAAAUUCAGACGACCUCAAUUGUGACAUGACAAUAUUUAAAAUAUCUCUUAAAUUAUUAUAAACUUUAAUUUAUCUUAAUUUUAUUUAAAAGAUAAAAGAAAAAUGUGGUAUAUGGAUUAAAAUUUUUUUUAUCUUCUUAAUCAAAUGAAAUAAAUUACAAUUUACAAUAAUUUAAAAUAUUUUAAAAAUUAUUAUUUCAUAAGAGAUUAAUAUGAAAUUAAUCGUUUUUACUUUUUGAAUGUGAAAGGACAAGAAAAGAGAAAGCAGGUGUCCCUGCUUUUUAUUUUAUUUGAAAUCGGAGUUAUCCCAUAUACUUUACUAAUUUAGCUCCAACAUUACAAUGUUUUUAGGCUACACUUUUAUUUUUCUUUUACCCCCUUUUUUUAUACAUGCAUGUGGAUUACUUUUCUCUAAGCUCCUUAAUAUUUAAGACAAAUCAUAAAAGCGAUUGAAGUAUAACAAGAUGAUCAAAACAUUUAACCCAAAAAAAAAAAGAAAUAAAGAAAUAAAACACUGAAAAUGGAGAUGUUGAUUAAUUUAGAAAAGAUACAAGCAAAAGAUAUUCCCAAAAAAAAGAAAAAAAGAAAAAAGCAACGUUAGUUCAUCCAUGUCUGUCAAUAUGUUUUUUAUGGUUUUUUUCCAGUUGUUUGUUGUUAUAGAUUGAUUGUAAAUUGAUAUGAACUUGGUGUUGUAAUAUGUUCGUUUUUGUGGAAUUAAAUUUGAAUAUUCAAGAUUAUUCAAGUCUUAUCUAGUAUGUGUUCAGUUGUGUUGUCGAUAAUUUUGCAUUCGAAUAAGUUUUCACCUAAAAUAUUAGCAUGAGUAGUAGUCCUUGAAAUUUUGGUCAAAAUUAUUGUUAUCGUUUGUUUUAGAGGAAAUUUUUUUAUUAAAGCCUCGUUAACACUAUUCCUUAUUAAGAUUAUAAGUUAGUGUCGGUGCAGGAUUUGCAGCAACAAAUCUUGUCUAGCCACGUGUCAAAAAGUACAAAUAAAUCAAGGGAAAGCACAUGACAUGGAUUAGGAUCCAAUAAAAUUUAAAUCCCAAGGAAAAAGGACAACUGUAUCCUAAAGUUUCAAUAAGAGAUACUAAGAUAUCUUUUGACUAAUGUUAUUUUUUGGCUUUAUUAAUAAAAAGAUCGAAUAGUUUAUAACAAAUAAAAAUAUAGUAUUAAGCUAAAUGUGAUAAUUUACACAUUUUACAUAAUUUCAAUAAAAAAAAUAUUUUAAUGUUUUACAAUCUAUCAGACAUAUUUUAUUAAAUUAAUAAGAAUUUUCUUAUAAAUAGCAACAUAAUAUUAAAAUAAAUUUAUAAAGAUUUAAAUGUAAAAUAAUUUUAGUAUAAUUAAUACGUGGGAUAUAUUUUGUAAAUUAUAAAAUUACUUAACCCAAUGAUUUUUAAAAAUCUUUAAAAUAAAUAAAAAUAAAUUAUUCACAUUUUGAUGUAAAUAUUUAAAACAUUUUUAUACAUUAGUCCACAAUUAUUUAUGUUAUAUUUGUAUUUAUUAGAAAAUUUGAAAGUCAAAUGUUUUUCACCUCUAUCUUAUUAGAAUUAUUGCACACAGAGAAAGAGCCAUAUAUGCUUUAUAGCUUUAAAAUCGAUUUGUUUUAUAGCUGGGAACAGAGAUGAUCAUUAUUAUAAGGAUUAAAAAAAAGAUAAAGAAUGUUAAUGAUUAGCGAAAUCUCUAUGGAAAUUGAAUUUAGUAAGAAAAAAUUGAGCUGAUUUUAGUGGUAUAGUAAUAUUUUAUAUAGAGAAAAGUAAAAGCUGCACCCCAAGGUUAAGAGAAAUGGUCAAAACUCUUUUUUAAUCAUAAUACCCUUUUUUCCUAGAUAAUUUAAAAAUUUUACUCUAAUAUUUUAUAAUAAAUAAAAACAUAUAAUCCUAAAAUAAAUAAAAUAAUAUAUAUUUUAAAAUAAUCUCAAUAUUUAAAAUAUAUUUUAACAUUUUAUAAUCUAUCAAAUAUAUUUUAUUAUAUUAAAGUAAAUUUUAUAAUAAAUACAAAACAUACUAUUAAAAUAGAUAUAAAAAUUUUAAAGUAUUUUGAAUAUUAUAUAAAAUAACUUUAAUAUUGUUAAUGCGUGAGAUGCAUUUUAUUAAUUAAAAAUUCUAUUUAACCCAAAGAUUUAUUUAUAAUAAAUUAAUAAUCAUAUUUUUGAAAUUAUUUUAAAUAUUAAAAAAUAUUUUAAUAUUACUAACUAUUAGAUAGACUAAACUAUUUAUAUUAUUUUCUAUUUAUUAUAAAAUUUCAAAGUUAAUCUUUUUAACUACUAUUCAAAAGAUAUUAUGAUAAAAACAGAAUUUUUCUGUUUUAUUAAAAAUUUAGAGUUUACACCUAUUUUUUCAAAUAUUCGGGGUGUAACUGUUUUAUUUAAAUAAAAUCUCAGUUAAAAAUGUACAGAGAAGAAAUUUCUGUUGGUAUUUUAGUCUUUUACCAAUUAUCACGAUUAGGCCUUGGCCUUGAAACAUUAAUUGUUUCACUUUUAGCGCUAGUGGCGUUGAAAGUUGUCAAGAAAAAGCAAGACCAUAUUCCACAAAAGCAGCUCUUUUAUUAAAGGCAAAGUAUAAAGUAGUCAAGAAUCGAAUAUCCUGUCGUCUACUCUUUUUUAAAUUCUUCUUUUAUUAUCUUUUAGAAUAGUUUUUGGUAAUUACAAUCAUUAUUCAGAGUUAUUGUUAUCUUCUGGGGCAGUCUCUGUUCAUCGAAGUCGUUACCUUUUUUUCAUGGAUCAGUUCCAGUGCCAAGCAGUAAUUUUCUUAGAACUCGGAUCUUUAAUUCGAGUUUCUUUGUGAAUUAAUAAUAAAAAAUUUUCAUUACACGCAAUUUAAGCUACGAAUUACUUUUUGCAAAGUUGAAUAUGAAAUUGGAGAAAUUAAAUAAUUUAGAAUGUUGGUAAAAAUUGACUAACAUAUCCCCAAUUACAGUAAAACCUCUCUACAGUCAUAACAUUAUAACAAAAUUAAUUUUAUUACUAUGUUGAGGUAAUAUAGGUUUAGUUACAAAAUUAUUGUUUUAAUAUGGUUAGUGUCAAGUGAUAUAAAGGUUAAGUAUGCAGUACAUUGAUAAUUAAAUAAUGAAGCGUGUCAAAUCUAACGUAUAUAUAUUAAUGAUAUAGAUAGACAUAGUUUUAAAAAACUAAUUAAUGUAUAUUUAUGUAGUGUUAUGAAUAUGGAAAGUCAAGCCUACACUUUACAUUAUCCUUAAUUUUUUCUGUCAGUUAAAUUCUACAAAUAUUGUACAAUGAUUGGGUAAGAACUCUAAAUUAAGAAUAAAUUAUUGUCACAAAUAAUUUUAAAAAAUAUUUUAUUUCAUCUUAAACCUUUAAUGUAAGUAAAUAUAUAUAUAUAUAUGUGUGUGUGUGUGUGUGUGCAUAUUUUGCAACGUAUAGAUAAUUGUUAGUAUAUGGAGACAAGUCUUUUAAGGUAGGACCUAGGAAAAUUUAUAACUUACUACACUGGGGAGUUUUUAUUCCUUUUUAUAAUUGUCUCAUAUUGAUACAUUCUUACACAAAAUAUUACCAUUGACAUAUGUUGAUGCGAGAUUCUGGUUACCCUCUUCCUACGACCAGGAUAUCUGCUCGACCAACUUCACCUCUAUCAGGAUCUCUCCUCGUAUGCUUUUUUCUCCAAAUAUUCCUGCGUCCACAGAAACAAGUCAGAGCACGCCGGUUGUUUUCCCGGCGUAAACCCUCUGACGCUCAAGUCAGAUAUGAAGGCUCUGGGAAUGCUUGCCACAGAUCUUAUGGUUUUUCUGUAGUUUCUAUUCUUUAGAGUUUCAUUUAUCUCUGAAUAUAAUCUCAAAAAUGCUAACCCUUUUACCUUCCUUGGCUACCUUUUUAUAGGCUUCCUCUGAAUCCCGGUCUUCCGUAGUCCACGCCCGUUAUUCUCCCCACCCUCGGAUGUGGAUGCCCCAUUAUCGCCAUUGUGGGCGAAUGGAGAUGGACUUCGUGCCUUGAUUCUCGGAUAGGAAUGCACGUCUUGCCAACUGUCGUUGACUGGGUCUCCUCGCCUCUCGACCUCUAGCCGGAAUGGCCUUAUGCCUCUAACAAGAGUUCGACCUCGUGAAUGGCAUACUCGCGGACGAGCCGAAUAUUUCUGCUCAUGUUCCCCUGCUACCUGGCUCUUACAGGACAUACCUGUUCGCAGAACUCCGCCAUCAAAUAUCUGCUCAUCACGUCUGGUCUCGUUGAAGUAUUUCCCUCAAACAACAUAUUUUACUACAAUUAGUUUAGAACAUUUGUUAGGAAAAAAAAAGAAAAGAAAACAUUCCUUGGAUGUAGCUCUCCUGACUAUUUAAAUCUUUUAAGGAAAAAAAGAAAAAAGAAAAACUGACACAUUCAAAUCUUGAAGCAAUUACAUUAAAACCUCUCCAUAAUGAUAGGAAUAAUCUCCAUUUAGUAAUAAAAAAUUUUGUUCGCAAUCUAGGCAGAGUUAUAAAUAAGAAUAAAAUCCUCAUUGUAAUAAGUUGUAUUUAUUAUGGAUCCCAUCCUAAGGAACUUGUCUCUAUAUAGUAAUAAUUAUUUGCAUAUUAUAAAUAUAUAUGUUGCAUUAGAUUAAAUGAACUUGUCUCCACAUACUACUUAGACAAUGAGAGAAAGUUAUUAAAGAGAACACAAAUAUUUAGAGAUUUUUAAGAUUACUUUGCAUGUUUAUAACAAUAAUACAUUGAUAUAUGUAUUAGUUUUUUGAUAUAUUAGAUUUGACAUGCUCUAUUAAUAAAUUAUUAAUACGAUGCAAACUUCAUCUCUCUAUCCUUGCAAUAAAAGUAACUAAGUUAUAACAAUAAUUAUUAAUAAAUUAUUAAUACGAUGCGUACUUCAUCUCUAUAUCCUUGCAAUAAAAGUAACUAAGUUAUAACGAUAAUUUUUGUAACUACAUGCUUAUUAGGUUUUAACUACUUCAUAAUAAUAAAUUAGUUUCGUUCUAAUAUUAUAAGGGAGCGCCUAAGUUGCGAUCAAUGUACCUUACGUUUUUUGUUUUAUUCUUCUUGGUAGUUUUCAUUUGAGUCCCUUGAUGUUUCUUUAUUUGAAAGAAUUUUAUUUGAAAGAAUUUGCAAAUACAUGUUAUUUGAAAGAAAAAUUUUAUUUUUCUUUAAAAGAAAAAUUAUUAUAUUUUUUAUAUCUCUUUUCUUUAUUAUAAGAUUUUCUUCGUUUUUUAUGGGGUACAUAACAUCCCCAUUGGGUAGGCAUAUCUGUCUUUUCACAACAUAUUUUUGUUAUAUUUUUACUCUUUUUUAUUAAACUUCUUUGGAUACAAAUUUCACUUAAUCUGUUAUUUAAAAAUCUAAUCCUAGAUCCUAAUGUAUCUGGGAUUCUACUAUCGCUUUUAUUAGUAUGUUUUUCAUAUUCAUUUAUAAAAUAUCCAUUCCAUGGAUAAGGUAAUUUAGAAUAAUAUAAAUUUUUAUAAAUGUUCUGGUCUUCAUGACUCAUGAAUUGUGUAUAAUAAUAUUUACUAAAUUCACAUGUAUAUUCUUUUACAAAACACAUAUUACAGAUUGUCAGGUUUAUUAAUUUCAUUCUAGCAUUUAAUUUAUCAUUUUUUGCUUCAUUUUCUGUAUUUUGUAACCAAUCUUCUCCUAAGAAUUCACUAGCAAUAUAUUCGAUUAUUCUUUCUAUUCCUAAUCCCUUAUCUUUUCCUAAUGCUAUUUUGGUUGAAUCUCUUAUUAAUUUUUGUGUAUCUUCACUUAAUCCUUUCCACCAAUUAAAUACAUUUCCUGUAAAACUUGCUAUUAGAAUAUCUGUUAAUAUAUUUAUUUUUUCUUCUUCAGUGUCUACAUUCCAAUCAUCUUUAGAUCCAUUGAAUAUAAAAAAUAACUUCAUUUGCAUUCCCCAUUCUACUAAAGCUUUUCGGGGGUCUAUUUUGCAAUCUAAGUCUAAAAAUGUACCUGCAUUGCUUAUUGGCAUCAAAUGGUCAUUAUUAGGUUGGUAAUCUUUUUUCCAAGGGGUAUUUUUAAUGGGUGGAUAGUAUUCAUAAAAAGGUCUAUUUUUCUUUUUAUUUGUUUCAUAUCUGUGGCUGGGUUCUCCAAUAUCAGGUUUCAAUUCUGGACCUCCAGCGAAAUUCAUCUUUAUUUGAUAUUCUUUUUCAAAUUCUUCUAAAUCACUAAGGUUAAUAUCACUAAAUUUUUCUGUUAAUUCUUCUAAUGUAUUUUCCAUUAUUCUGUGUCACUAGGUGUACUUUCUUUUAUCUCUAAUUUUUCUUUUCCCUUUUCUUCUCUUUUUAAUUCUGCUUUUAACUUUUCUGAUUCCUCUAAUAUUUUUGGAUACUGGGUUUUUAUAAACCAGUCAUCAUAGCUUCCUGGUUGAGGUUUUGUCAUAUGUUUUUCAAUGCUCGUCCCUAUUAUUCCUGAUUUUAUUAUUUCAAGUUUCUCAACUUUUUUAUUUUUCUUUCGACUUAUCUGAAUUGUUGAUAAUUCUAUUUUUAUUUUUCCUAUUUCCUGUUUUAUUUCUCUCAUUUCCUCUUUAAGAUUUAAAAGUAUUUCUUUUAAUUCAAUUAAUGUAGUUUCCAUAAAAUGUAGGGGUACUAACAGCUAUUUUUACCUUUGAGUGUAUGUUACAUCCAAUCGUAACAUAGGGUUAGCCAUAUUAUAAUUAUGUAGAGUUGUAGUGUAUAGACACACCCAAUUUAAAUAGUAAAUCAAAUAAAAUUGUCCCCACAAAAAAGAAAAAAGGGGUAAAGGAUUGUUAUUUCUUCAAACAUUAGGAGCACGUUUGUUCAAGUGCGAUGCCUUUCUUUUGAAGGCAACGUCAGUGGGUACCCAAUAGGACGUGUGUAAAUCUUUCCAAAAUUUCUCCGGUAUAACGGACAGAGAUCAUUACUUUUCUCUUCCAUAGACCACAGCAGCUUCAGUUAAUCAGACUCAAUCAAUUUUCUUGGUGUCUUCGCUUAUCAAAAUUCCAAAAUAUGGGUAGCAUAUUUCAAAUCACAUGCGAUGGUGCUUUUUUCAAUCGUUGCUUGGAUUGCUUUCUUGGAAAAGUAGCAAACACAAGUAAGCUCCAAGAUAACCUUGUUGCCUUGGAGACUGAAUUGGGAAAACUAAUCGCAGCAAAGAACGAUGUGAUGAUGAGGGUUGUCAAUGCUGAACGGCAACAACUGCGAACGCUGGACCAAGUGCAAGUGUGGCUUUCGAGGGUGGAAGCUGUUAAAACUGAAGCUGAUGAAUUGAUAAGACACGGCUCUCAAGAAAUUGACAAAUUAUGUGUUGGAGGCUACUAUUCCAAGCACUGCGCGUCAAGCUACAAGUUCGGGAAACAAGUGGCUAAAAAGCUACGGGAUGUGCAGACUUUAAUCGGCGAAGGAGUUUUUGCGGCGGUGGCUACUGAAGUGGUGCCUGAGAGAGCUCCAGAACCUGUAGCAGAUGAAAGACCCACUGAGCCAACAAUAGUAGGCUUGCAAUCACAACUUGAACAAGUUUGGAGAUGUCUUGUAGAAGAAUCAGUGGGAAUCAUUGGCCUAUAUGGUAUGGGCGGUGUUGGUAAAACUACACUAUUGACCCAUAUCAACAAUAAAUUUCUUGAGAGUCCAACCAGUUUUGAUUGUGUGAUUUGGGCCGUAGUUUCAAAGGACUUGCAACUCGAAAAAAUUCAAGAAGAUAUUGGGAAAAAGAUCGGUUUGGUUGAUGAUUCAUGGA
rnacentral:lncRNA from 1 species